UGUGGUGGUGACGAUAUCACUAGCGGUGGUGGCGGCGACUUGUGAUGAUGAUGGUGGGAUGUCUCAAACAAACGACGUGGUGAUGAUGAUGGCACUGGUGGUCGUGGUGGUGCUGGAGACGAGUGGUGAUGAUGGUGCGACGUCUCAAACAAAUUGUGUGAUGGUGACAAUGGCAUAGGUGGUAGUGGUGGUGGCGAACUGUGGUGAUGAUGAUGGUGUGACGUCUCAAACAAACGGCGUGGUGGUGACAAUAGCACUGGCGGUGGUGGUGGUGACUUGUGGUGAUGCCAGUGCGACGUCUCAAACAAACUUCUCGAUGGCAGUGACAUUACUGGUGGUGGUGGAGGUGGCUUGUGGUGUUGAUGGUGCGACAUCUCGAACAAGUAGCGUGGUGGUGAUGACAGCACUGAUGGCAGUGGUGGUGACCAGUGGUGAUUAUGGUGUAAUGUCUCUGUGAAACUGUGAGUUGGUGUUGGCGGCAUUGGCGGUGGCUGAGGCGGCCCAUGGUGGUGGUGAUGGUGCGAUAUUUCAGACAUACUCCGUAGCGGUGAUGAUUCCACUACCGGCGGCGGUGGUGAACUGUGGUGAUGAUGCCAUGCCUCAAGCUGGUCUUGGCCUAGACAUGAAUGCAACGCAAUACAAAAUAAUCAAAACAUGUUGAUCGGUACUCUGUCAGUUCCCAAUUAUAUAUAGCUGCAUCAAGUUUACAGAAAAAAUACUCGAACAUCUAAAAGCUUCAUAUUACAUUUAUUAAAUUCUUGAGGACAUAUGUUAUUAGAGUCAUUUAACAUAUAACACAAAGCCAAAGCAAGCCAUUCUUUGAAGCAAUGGAGUAAUAUAUAACAGUGUAAAGUAUAAGUAAUCAUAUAUCUAUCUAUGUUUACCUUGGCUUGAUGGAGUGGCCGAAUCAUUGAUCAUAAGUAUCACUAAAAUAGCACUUAUUAGGUAUACAGUCCUCAUUGUAUAGCACUUGGUGACUAAUGCCAGAGGACAAUACUACUCUUUUUUUUACUCCUUAUUUCCCCAUUUCACCUUGUUUAGGGAUCAAGAGUGUAGGUGUUUAUAUAGGAGUACCCCAAAACCUUGAGUAAGAUUUAUUAUCAAAAUUUAUUUAAUUAUAUCUAUAUCUAUAUCUAUAUCUAUAUCUAUAUCUAUAUCUAUAUCUAUAUCUAUAUCUAUAUCUAUAUCUAUAUCUAUAUCUAUAUCUAUAUCUAUAUCUAUAUCUAUAUCUAUAUCUAUAUCUAUAUCUAUAUCUAUAUCUAUCUAUCUUUGCGUACCUAACUAUCUAUCUGUCUAUAUCUAUGCUCUAUCUCUAUCGAUUUGCACCUACCUACCUAUUUAUUUAUCAUGUAUCUGGAUGGCACUAGCCUUCAAUACGCCGAUGUCUAUCUUAUGUAAUUACUUAUAGUAAGGCCCUCAAGAGUAAUUUUGUAGUGAAUAACCAAUAGCACAAGCAUAAAACCAUAAGUUUUGUACCUUGUUCGUCCACUGCCAUAAAUAUACUACUUUGUUCACCUACCACCAUAUAUAGGACCAAAUGUGACGUCUCUCGAACGUGUGAACUGUGGCUCUCAUAAUAGUAAAACAAAAUUAGGGCAACCCCAGAACAUGUUAUGAUCCUGCCAGAGAAGUAGAAAUUCAACUAUUUUCUACAACAAUCACAUACCAAUUUAGCAUUAAUAGAUCAUCUGACUAUUUAGCGGUAAGUUGGGAAUUUGUCACCAAACGAUGAUGGAAGCAAAAUGCCAACUUCCAUUUACAGAAAACUUGAUAAUAUACUGGUUCCCAAUGAACAUGGAAUACUCUAGUUUCCAAUAUAUGCACUGUCAUUGUCAAUUGCUCAUACAUGAUUUUUUUCAUUUACUAAUCACUAGUAGAUGGAUGGGUUGUAAUCCCGGUUCGGAAACCGGCCCCCUUAGUCCCGGUUUUCCCAACCGGGAUUGGGAAUUCGGGACUAAAGGUCUAGGAUUUUAGUCCCGGGUCAUGCAACUGGGAUUAAAACCCAUCUUGGGAACUCAAAAAUAAUAUAAUCCUACAGACCUCCCUCUUGCGUGUGUGAGAUUCAAACCCAAGACCUCUUAUCUCGCGCAUAUCUUCCUUACCAACUCAACUGCACACCACAUGUGACAAUGUGUUGGAUGCUCUCCCUUUCAAUUCAUUUGUGGGGGACCUUUAAUCCCGGGCCGGAGACUUUUAAUCCGGGUUGGUGGCUUUAACCAGGAUUAAAAGGUCACCCUUUAGUCCCAGUUGGUGUUUACCAACCGGGACUAAAAGUUAGAGGACCGUUACUCUGGGUUGGUAACAACCACUGGGAUUAAUGGUCCCUGCUGUAAAAGUCUGCUGCACUAUCUGUUGGGUAGGAGAUUAUAGUCCCGAUCGGUGGUUCCAACCGGAAUUAAAUCUCUAUUAGUCCUGGGUUCAGUUUAUAGCGGGACUAAAAGUUAGGAUCAAAAGUCUAUUCUCUAGUAGUGAAUAUAGCAUAAUGAGUCCAUGACAAUAUAAAAAAACUGAGUUAAAACUGCAUAUCCAUGUGCCCUGUUACUCCCACAUUUACCAAAUAGACUCGAUCGAAAUGGCACUUUAAUAUUCAUCCAGAUCUUGGUCAUGCUGCCUGAGGAGCAAUAUAUGCUCGGUGCGCUAUGUCCUGUUAGCUUCUAUUUUUAACUGCAAUGGUUAUAUGAACAUACGUCCCUACUAAAAGCUGGUGGAAAAAAAAUACUCUGUCCACUCUGUGAAAGUAUAGGGAACGAGUUACCCAUCCUGGGUGUCUCGGCUGGGUGUUAAAUAGCUGGGAACAGCCCCCAAGCAUGGCGUAUACAACAGAUGAAGAUACAUGAUCCACUUGCUAUACAAGUCUCUUGGAAUACAAGACAUGCUAGUCUAUCUUUAUCUAAACCAACAACUUGCACGCCUACAACCGAAGGCACCUAAAUACAUGGAGAGUUAACCUAAACUAGAUACAUAGUUUAACACCCUCCCUCAAUCUCAGCCAUCUACAAGGUUGAGAUUGCUUUUGAACAUCUUCAAUUUCUGGACCGGCAAAGCUUUGGUGAAACCAUGAGCAACUUGAUCAUUUGUAGAGAUGAAGCGUAUAUCCAGCAACUUCUGCGCUACUCUUUCUCUAACAAAAUGAAAGUCAAUUUCUAUAUGUUUUGUUCUUGCAUGGAAGAUUGGAUUAGCAGAAAGAUACUUUGCACCAAGGUUAUCACACCAAAGUCUAGCUGCCUUUGGAUGAGGGACUUGCAACUCAGUCAAUAGCUUCUGUAUCCACAUCAUUUCAGAUGUAGCGUUGGCCAAUGCCUUAUACUCGGCUUCAGUACUUGAACGUGAUACUGUGGCCUGCUUCCUGGCUGUCCAUGACACCAGAUUAUCACCAAGGAAUACCGCAAAGCCACCAGUUGAUCUUCUACCAUCAACACAACCCACCCAAUCAGCAUCCGAGAAGGCACUCACAAUCAUUGUUCGUGAUUUGCGAAUUCUGAGUCCAAGAUUAAUCGUCCCACAUAUAUACCUCAAUAUCCUUUUAACCAUACUAAAAUGGACAGUGGUAGGAUCAUGCAAAAACUGACAAACCUUGUUCACUGAGAAUGAAAUAUCAGGCCUUGUCAAUGUAAGAUAUUGGAGUGCAGCAACAAUACUUCUGUACCGUGUACUGUCUUUAGCUCCUAGUUUUGUUCCAUCCUUUAUACUCAGCUUUUGUGUGCUUGGAAGUGGGGUAUCAACCGGUUUGCACUUACUCAUUCCUGAAUGAGCGAGUAUAUCUUUAGCAUACCUUGUUUGUGACAGAGUCAAUCCAUCCUUAUCCCUCUUCACUUCCAUGCCCAAGAAAUAAUGAAGAUCCCCGAGAUCCUUCAAAGCAAAAUCUUUCUGUAAGUCACAAAGCAAUGUCUUUGUGACUUCAUUAGAGGAACUCGCCACAGUGAUGUCGUCUACAUAUACUAGGAUGAAUACAGUAUACCCUCCCUUGUUCAAAUAGAACAAAGAAGUAUCUGCCUUUGAGGGAACAAAGCCUAGAGAAAUCAAAUUUCCACGUAGCCGGGCAUACCAAGCACGCGGUGCCUGUUUCAAGCCAUAGAUAGCUUUGUCCAGUUUACAUACAUAGGCAGGAUGAGAUCUAUCAGCAUAGCCAGGAGGUUGAUCCAUAUAAACCUCUUCAUCAAGAAGACCAUGCAAAAUAUGAGAAACCUCUUUGCAUUCUUUAUCCUGUGUUGUUCAAAUUUUGCCAGCAACAAAACAUUUUGGUGGAUCAGGUUAGAAACAAUCAUCAGAACAUCUCUUUUACUAGGUGCUUGGUAGACGAUCUGCUUUAUGAGUGGCAAAAAAUCUUGAGUGAUAUGAGAAAAGUUAAUUUUACUCCUGAUCAUGAUUCAGUUGUUUGGAAAGUUGGAAUUGCUGGAAUUUUCAGUGUGAAAUCUGUUUAUAAUGCUAUGACAUCUGAUGAAUCUGGUCCUUCUCAUAGUAAAAUUUGGAAAAGCAAAAUACCUGCUAAAAUCAAUAUUUUCCUCUGGCUCCUUCUUAAUAAUGCGAUUUUAACGAAGGACAACUUAAUUAAAAGAAAAUGGAUUGGUGAACCAACAUGUUACUUUUGUGAUCAGGAUGAAAGUGUUUCUCAUCUCUUUUUCCAUUGUAGUACAGCUAAGGCUGUUUGGGCCAUUGUUGCUCAUUGCAUUGGUGCUAAUAAUAUCCCUAAUACUCUUAACCAAUGCUGGACAUGGUGUGAGUGUUGGUUACCUUCUGGCAAACAGUUUCAUACUUUGGGCAUAGCUGCCAUUUGCUGGGCAAUCUGGAAAACUAGAAACAAAUGUUGUUUUGAAGGAAGAAAAAUAAAAAAUCCUGCUGAGAUUAUUUGUUAUGCAUGUGCCCUCAUGACAUAUUGGGCAGGUCUGUUCCCGGAGAUGGACAAGGAGGAGCUUCAAGCUGGAGUGACUACAAUGUUGCAGAUCGCCACCAAGCUGUUACUCAAGUCAAAGAAGGGAGAUGGCACUCUAUUCCUGAAAGAGAGUCCGGAUGACAGUUCUCAGGACUGAGGUGUUUCGGGGUUUGAAAGAUGGCUUUGUGUGUGCUACCUUUUUUGGAGAAUGUAUGGUGUUGCUGUUGGUUUGGCUACCUUUUAGACUUGUGGUUUCUGGGCAAACUUUCUUAGGUUAAAACAGAAGUUGUGAGAGGCCCCGCUCUAUUCUUUCUUAGCUUUCUCGCUUUUCUGCAACAGUCUUGAAUGAACCGAUGUAUUUCCGUUGCACGUUAAUGGAAAUGGGGGUUGCCUCCGGUUCGAAAAAAAAAGAAGACCAUGCAAAAAUGCAUUUUGUACAUCCAAUUGCCUCAAAGUCCAUCCCUGAGUGACUGCAAUGGACAAGAUGAGUCUGAUUGUUGCCGCCUUAACUACCGGACUGAACGUAUUCUCAUAAUCAAUUCCAUAUCGUUGCUUAAAACCCUUUGCAACCAAACGGGCUUUGUAGCGUUCAACCGUGCCAUCUGACUUUCUAUUCACCUUGUAUACCCAUUUGCAGCCGAUCACAUUUUUACCCUGAGGCCGGGGAACAAGUCUCCAAGUCUUGUUUCUUAGUAGCGCCUGGUGCUCAGAAUCCAUCGCAGCUGCCCAUUUUGGAUCACUCAUUGCCUCUGCAAUUGACACUGGUUCCUCUGGACUGAUGACAACCUGAUUGCACCACUUGACUGUGCCAUCGGUGUAGACCUUUGGCUUGGAGAUCCCAUGCUACGACCUUGUGACAGGACGUGGCACAACAGGAAACUCACCAGCCAGUGCCGCACCGGAUUGCUGACCAGACACAACUGAUCCAGCGUGAUCCUCCUCAGAAGAAACAGUGCCGAUGCACGGAUCUGAGUGUGGCCCAGUAGACCCGUGAGCCUGAUGUUUCGGGAGAGGUCGGCGCAGAAGAUCCCGCAACAGCCGCCGUAUCCAACCCGGCACCCAUACCCUGCGUCGCAGGGGUCGAGAUUGAUCCCCCGAUAGCCGCCGACUCCCCGCCAAAUGGAUCCACCUGGGAUCGCACGCCGGUCGCUGUGCUCCCAAUCAGGGAACACAUGCGAUAUAAGCCUCCGUUGUCACCUUGAUCGCCACUGUGUGCUCCCAUGCCAGCAUCAUUUUCUUCCAGAUUUUCUCCUGCAUUCAGCACAUCUCCAAACAAACCUUGUGAAGCAUUAGUAGGUACAGAAGAGUGCACAUUUGGGUCAAGUAAAUUGUCACUCCCAUAGGUUGGGUUUAAGAGUAUAUUGGGUAGGAGUCGAAGCUCAGCUCUGAGCUGUGCACCGGCAUUAGGAUGCAUGGAAGCGAAAGGAAAUACUUGCUCAUCAAAGACUAUGUCCCGAGAGACAUAAACACGGCCUUCAGCAGGAUCUAGACACUUAAAGCCUUUGUGUAAAGUACUAUACCCAAGAAAAACACAAGGUUUAGAUCUAAACUCUAGUUUCCUUGAGUUGUAGGGACGGAGAUUAGGCCAGCAGGCACACCCGAAUGUUCUGAGAGAAGAGUAGUUAGGGUGUUUACCAAAAAGUCGAAGGAAAGGUGUAUCAUUGUUUAUGACUUUAGAUGGUAGACGAUUAAUUAGGUAAACAGCAGUAGAAAAGGCUUUAUCCUAGAACUUUAACGGCAUAGAAGAAUGAGACAGAAGUGUGAGACCCAUUUCGACAAUAUGCCUGUGUUUUCUCUCUACGGAUCCUUUUUGCUGGUGUGUGUGUGUGUGUGUGUGGACACGACACAUGAUGAUUUAUCCCGAUACGCUUAAAGAAGGAGUUGAGAGCUUUGGUACUCUCCACCCCAAUCAGUUUAGAAUUUUGCAUUCAAAUUGUCUCUCAACAAGAGAUUGAAAAUCAUGAAAGCAUUGAAAAACUUCGGACUUAUGGCGCAACAUGUAAAUCCAAACAAAUUUGCUGUGUUCAUCAAUAAAGCUGACAUAAAACUUGUGUCGUCCAACAGAUGCGGGUGCAGGACCCAGACAUGAGAGAAAAUUAAAUCUAGAGGCCUAGAUGAAACACUACUAGACCUGACAUAAGGCAAUUGAUGAGCUUUGCCUUGCUGACACGCAUUACAUACGUGAUCUUUAUUUUGACUUUUGACAAAAGAAAGCUUGUGGCGACUCAGGAUUUGCCUAACUACAGGAGUAGAGACAUGACCGAGCCUAUUAUGCCACAAUGAGAUUGAUGGACGAGCAGUGCUGAGUGCUCUCUUAUUCGGGGACAACUUAUUCGAAGAUGAUGAUCGCAGAGGAUAUAGGCCACCCUCACACUUGCCUCUGAGGAGAGUUCUCCUCGUCUCCUCCUCCUUGAUAUCGAAGUAGCUAGGAUGAAAUUCAAGAAAAACACCAUUAUCACGAGUAAGAUGAUGAACAGAUGCAAGAUUUUUAUUAGCUUUAGGAACGUGAAGAAUGUUUUUCAGAUGAAUAUUUGUGGAAGGGGAGUGCAAAAUACUAUCAACCAGUAUGUGUGAUCUCCAUACCUGAACCAUUUGCGGCAUGAACUUGAUCUCCUCCAUGGUACUUAUCCCGUACCGUCAGUCUCUCCAGAUCCCUCGUGAUAUGAUCAGUCGCACCAGUGUCCAUGUACCAGUUUGAGUCGACACCUUAGGAGUUCGUAGUUGCAGUCGAUGCUGACUUUUGUGGUGGUCCAUUGAAGUUUGCAUUGAAGCGCUUGAAGCACUUCACGACGGUGUGUCCCUCCUUCUGGCACAGCUGACAGAAAACACCAGCAAGGAAGGUAGAUCCUUGUGGACGAGCACCACCGCAUCCAUUCUUGAAGCCACGGAUGAAUCCACCACGCCCUCUGUCUCCACCAUGGCCUCCUCCACGAGGCUGGCUGUUGCGGCCUCCCUUGGCCACCAUGUUCGCAGCAGAUUGCUGCACACCGCCAUUGCGCAUCUCCAUCCUGGACUCAAAACUGGUCAACUGAGUAUAAAGCUCACCAAGUGAGAUUGGUUCAACGCGUGACGCCACCGCCGACACCACCGAGUCAUACUCCUCGCCAAGUCAAGUGAGGAUGUAGGAGAUCAACUCCUCAUCUUCUAGCUUCUUCCCGGCCGACGCCAUCAGGUCAGCCAGGGUCUUGAUUUUCUGGUAGUACUCCGCAAUCGACGAAGUGCCCUUUGUCGCCGUGGCGAGCACCAUCCGAGUGCUAAUGAUGCGCGCACGAGACUGCGACGCAGACAUAGACUCGACUUGCCAGAUAUCAACUCGCUGGAUUACAAAUAUGUAUCAAGCUAUAUAUCUAGAAGUGUACGAACACAUGAUCUUUCGCCCUGGAUUAUUGCAUACUGGUCAGUAAAGAUUUCUAUAUCACCAUUAGUUUAAUUGCAUCUCUGUUGUGUACCCCUUGUACAAGCAACUUAUGGGCUCAUGUCUUACAUAAUUUUUUAUACUGUGUGUUGGUUCAAAUGCCAAUGAGUAUUGUCCUGGUCUAAUUUAAAGUACAAGUGAUUUGCAAGAAAUAUGUUGUAAUGAAAUACUCCUAACACUCAAUUUUGUCCAGAGAUGCAACUUUCUCUCCUCACCACAUCUCAUUUCUUCUGUCAUGUUAAAUGACUGUUAUUGCCUGUUGUUAGUAUUUACAAAAUUCUUGUAGUACUAAUUAAUCAUUACAUUUUAAUAAAGCAGAGAUGACUUCUGUUCUAGUGUGCUACAGCUGUAGGUCCUUGCGAAUGGUUUUUCUGAAUGCAAGACAUUUGACAAUUUUACUGCAAUUUUUUUCUGAGUGCUGAUUGACAGUUUGUAGCACAGUAGCAGUUCUGUGGAACCUGGGGCUGCAUGUCAGCAUCACCAACAGCAGGUAGGCAAGCAAGUAGGUCGUCAUCAACAUUCAGUAAAGCUGCAGUUCUCAUCUAGUCCUCAUAUUUGUGAAAUGUGCCUUUUGCUGGUUCAAUGUAUUUGCUAGCAUGGCUGGUUAGAGAGGCAGAAAUGAAAUAAAAGCAGAGGAAAGUUAUAUUACAGAGAAAAUGAGCCCAUCGUUAUUUGUGUUUUCCAGGAACUGCAGUUUACAGAAAGAAGGAAGAGACAUUGCAUAGGAAGGUCCAAGAUGCAGACUACAGAAUCAAAAGGUAUGUACUGCCUCUAGGAACUGCAGGUUAUUUUGUGUUGUCCAGGAACUGUAAUUUUCUCCGUUCAGUAAAUCUUCAUCAUUGAUAGCUGUUGUUGCUGCUAUCUGUUCUCUCCUUCAGCAGUCAGGUUACUCAGUUUCAAAAACUUGGUGUUCAAUAUGCAGUUCAGUGUAUUGCUCAUGAGAGCAGACUUUUAGAGUUUCAGUUUAGUAAAUAAUCUGAAUUUCACUGAAUAUCAAAAAGAAGCUUCCUAUGUAGGGUAUUCUUCCUAAUGCAGCACUUGUUGCAAGCUAUCUGAAUUCUGCUCAAGUCUAUCAAGUGCCAUUAACAUGCUUCCAAAUCCUGUCAGAACAAAGUAGAACUACAACCAGGGAAGUGGCAAAUGCAUUUAUUUGUUGGAACCUAUCUUUUGUUAUUUCUGAUGCCUGGGGGUGAUGGUCCAAGCUGACGACACAGUCUGACACGCAGAUUGUCAUAACAAAGCAGCCGGACAACGCCCAGGCUUCUUCGGCUCCAAAACUCCUCGACGGUCCACAACGCACCGCUGCAAAGGCCCUCCUAGACUCUGGCACGUGUAGACCGACCAUCUCAUUAUAUAAGGGAUGUGAUCGGACCUAGGAGCGAGAGAGAGAUCAAUCACCCGACUCUGUUCCAUUCGCCUUUGCUCAGCAUCCGAAGUAAGGCAACCCACCGAGUGGCGCCAGAGGCUCCUCCUCCGCCAUCCUAUCAUCUCCUUCCUCGCUGACGAUGGGGAGACUCCACCGGCGGUGAGGCAAACCAUAGGAUUAGCACCAAGCUAACCCCUACCAAACCUCUUCUUUCUUUUACACUUUGUUAACCCCUCCAGAUUUUGGGUGCUGUUGCACAUAAGAAUCAUCAAAUGCUGGACAUAGGGACCGAAACCAGGAUAAACUGUUGCGUCUUCUCUAUGUGAUUCUUGUGUUCCUGAGUCCACCAGAGCCACCAGAGAUCCAUACUCUGACACCAAUUUGAACAGCAUGCUUGCCGUGGUUUUGACCCCACGAUAGGCGGCGCUAUGGGAGAAUAGAGAGAGAGGUGGUUUGGAAGCCCGAUAACCCUAUAUUCCAUUUUGGGCAUACUUUCUAAAAUGGGCCUCUUAGGAGGUCUGCCUCUAGAAAAAGGACACCUUUUCAAAGGCAGGCAUCGUUAUUCAAUAUUAGGAAGCAACCAUUUUUCAAAGGGUUUCCUAAAAUGAAUAGAAGUCUACAGUCCAUUUCUAGAGACGCCAUCAAAUUUUACCCAUCUCUAUAAAUAAAUAUGCUGGCCUCCAACUUGUUUUUUGUAGUUGUCGUAUGGGACGAGGACAGUUAUUAGGAGCGAGCAUAGGUUGCUUAGUGGCACACAGAAGGGCUAGCAUGGUCACAGACGAUUGAGAGCGCAGCGAUGACUGUGGGUGUCUUUGAUGAGUGAUAGUUGUAUGCGCAUGGCCGAUCGGUAAGCAUGGUGCAGCAUUGCUGCUGCCAUUGCAGACAAGCAUGGUCACAGCUGCUUCCUAACAUCAGCGAGAGGACAGCGGGGGCCUAUGGAUAGAGGGAGUCUAUGUGGCCUCAACAUGCAACAAGCGGUGCGUCAUGGCAAGCACAGAGGACACCUCUCAAAAAACACGCAACAAGCAGUUUUUUCUCUGGCUUUUGCAGCCAAAAUCAUCAUUUGUCCAUUGAGAAAUCAUUUUUGUAUUGUCUCUUCUGUUAAUCUCUUGCUGCAAUGGCAUCCUCAUUGAUGGCAAGAAGCCACUUGUGUCAGUAGUGCCCUUAGUUCAUUGUUACAUGCAUCCAUUGUUUUUCCUAGUACAAAGUAACUUUGUCGGGUGUCUGUUGCAUCCUUGGCCACUUUGCAGCACUAUUCCCUAUUCAGUUUUAGAAAUUGAUGAGUUAACUCGUUGUCUAGCGAUGUUUGUGUGCAGUGGGAACGAAUUAAAUAUAGCAUCAUGUGCAUCUAGGCAAUAAAUGACCAUGUUUAUCGUGUUUCUAUCCAACAGAUGCUUGCGUUGCAUUGCUUAACGUGGUCAGUAGCAUUCCCAUUUAGCGGAACUGGACAUGCAGUGGACAGAGGAGUGCCCCGAGACGCACGUCACCGACUGGGUUGGGGUGGGGAGCAAAAGGGAUUGGAGUGGUUGGAGGGUGAUAGGACAGGGAGCUCAGAGAAGUGGAGGUGGCGGUGCUCUAAAGGGAGAAGAGGACUACGGAGAGGAGGGGAGAGAGAACUAUUCAGAGAUGAGAGAGGACCGGCAUGGUGUGAAAAUGGAGGGUGGUGAUGUGGGAGCCCGAAACCCUAUGUUUGUUAUAGACAAGUGAUUCUAGUAAUGUGAUUUUUGGGCAUUGGACCUAUUUUCUAAAACGAACGUGUUAAGAGGUCUAUAUCUAGAAUGGACAACUUUUUCAAGGACGGGCCUUUGUCAAUUAAAUUUUGGAAGGGGUGCUUUUUUGGAGGGCCAUUGAAAAUGAAUAGACCGUCUCUUCAGUCCAGAUCGAGUCCAUUUCUGGAGAUGCCAUCAAAUUUUGCCCACCUCCAUAAUUAAAACUGCUAGUCUCCAAAAAUCUUUUUAUUAGUCGACAACAACAGUUAUGUGAGCAAGCAUAGGUGAGCAGAAUGGCACACGGAACGGCUAGCAUGGCCAUAGGCGAUUCGGAGCCAAGCAAUUGCCAAGGGUGACUUUGAGUGGCAGCUCUACAUGCAUGUCAUCUGAGGCAGAGCUUCGACAAGGUGCAGCAUUCUGCUGUCACAAGCUAAUAAUAUAGCAGUAGCUCGGUAAUACCAGCGAGAGGAUGGCAGGCCUACGGAUGGAAACGAGACUAUAUGGCCCCAACACGAAACAAGCAGGGUUUUAUUUGCUUUGGGCCGUGUUUAGUUCCUGAAGAGAAAAAUUUUACGACAAUGUAGCACUUUCGUUUGUUUGUGGUAAUUAUUGUUCAACCAUGGACUAACUAGGCUCAAAAGAUUCGUCUUAUAAAUUUCGACCAAAUUGUGUAAUUAGUUUUUAUUUUUGUCUAUAUUUAAUACUCUAUGCAUGCGUCUAAAGAUUCGAUAUGACAGGGAAUCUUGAAAAAAUUUUAGGUUUUAAGGUGAAAGUAAAAACAAGGCCAAUGGCAUCCUCAAUAAUGCCAAGAAACCACUUGUUCUAGGAAUGCCCUUAGUUCCUUGGUAGAGCAUCUCUAGGAGUUUAGUAUAAUUUACUUGAUAAACUAAUAAAUAUAGCAAGUUAAUAAAAGAAACAGCUACUUUAAAUUUUAUUCUCCUCCAACACUAACCAAUAAUAUGUUUCUAAAAUUUAAAAAUUUAUAGUAGGUUUUACAUCUAUUUGUUUUUUGUUUAGUAGAGCCGAUCAUGUCUAGGAGUGCCCUCAGUCCAUUGUUUUUGCUGGUACAAAGUAACUUUUGGUGUUGCGUGUUGCAUGCCAGCCAAGAAGCACCAUUCACUGUUCAGUUUUACAAAUGGAUGAGUACGCUCGUUGUUAGCUAUUGCGCCCAUAUAUACCCGUGAUGUUUGUGUGCAGUAGGAACGAAUUAAUACAGAAUUAACUGCAUCUAGGCAACAAAAAAUAACCAUCUUUAUUAUUUUGCCAUCAAACUGAUCUUGCGGUUAUAUACAUUGCUUAAUGUGGGCAGCAGCAUUCCCAUUUAGCCUCCUGUCCCUGGAUGUAGUAGCUGUCUUUGGUUUUGAAGCCGUUUUCCUUGCACAUCUGCUCACAGCCAGUCGGAGAUAGUUUGUUAUUGUUAGGGUAGCACGUCACUGACUUUGGCUCUGCAUGCAACAAACUCUGUGGUGGUUGUCGAGGUGGAUGCGGCGGCCCUGGCAUUGGCGGCAUUGGAGGGAGUGGAGGCAUUGGCGGCAUUGGAGGCAUUGGUGGCAUAGGAGGCAUUGGCGGCAUAGGAGGCAUUGGUGGCAUUGGAGGCAUUGGUGGCGUUGGCAUUGGCGGCGGCAUAGGCGGCCAAGGGGGAUGAUGACCGCGUACGACCUGGGGCUGCUCUACCUGCAACAAACUGUGUGGAGGUGGUCUGUGUGGGGUUGGUUGAGGUGGAUGAUGCGCCCAUGGCUUAAAAUGACCGCUUACCACCUGGGGCUGCUCAUGGCCUACACAUGCAUGAACACAGUUCAAAAUAAUCAAAACCCAUUGAUUUGUGCCGCCUCCACUUUCCUCUGACUUUGUUUUAUGUCAAUCUCUGUCAACAUCUAGAACAUCAAAUAGUUUUAAUAAUUUUUCAAUGAAUAUGUUUUAAUACUGUAUUUAUUGAACUUGAACAUGCUAAUAUUUUUUUAAAAGAACUUUAUCAAUGUUAGAGUAGUUUGACCUAGCACAAAACUAAACUAUUAUUAGAAAAAAACAAGGAGUAAUAUGUAACAAUUCGAUGUAUAAGUAUUAAUCUCUCUCUCUAUAUAUAUGUAUAUAUAUAUAUACCUUCACAUGAUGGAGAGGUUGAACACAUGAUCACAAGUAUCAGGGAAAAUAAACAUGUCAGGUAUACAUUUCUCACUGUAUUGCAUUUGAUGACCGCCAUACUAUGAGAGGACAGUACUACUAUUUCCCUUUUCUUCUCACUCUAUUUUCCUGACUCACUUUCUUUAGUGAUGAUGAGAGGUGCACUCCUUAAGCGUAUAUGUUUUUCUUCUUUUGUUGUGCAGUUGUUUAUAUAGAAGUAUGGAUCUAUUUGAAAAUUUGUUUUAUUCAUUUAUAAAUUAUUUUUAUAAUACCAAUAUCUACAUCUACCUACCUAGCUAUCUACGCGUCUGUUUAUAUAUUUAUUCUAUCAAUCUCUAUCUAUCUAUCUACACAUGUCUACUUUUUUAUUUGUAUCUAUUUGUCUAUCCCUACCUACCUACGCACCUUCCUACCUAGCUAUCUCUAUCUAUCUUUUUGUCUCUAUCUGUGUCUACCAUCACAAUUAUCAAUUUCAUUUUAUUUGUAUGUUUAUCUAUCUAUCUAGAGACAAGGAACAAUCUAUCUAUAGCCGAUGCACUCUUAGCACUUGUGCUUGAGCCACAUCAUUAAAAAUUCUAUGCAACAAACCAUCAUGUAAACAUAGACCACUACAAGAUUUAUGAUACACAACACUCAGAGUCUAUCACAGUAUCCCUAAAUUCUAUCAUAAAAGGCCAUCUUUGGUGGAAUUGCAAAGUAGCAUGUAUCAAGCGUUAUAUGUCAACUUCAAGCUAUCCAUGACAAAUUAUGACCAUCAUGGAAUCCCUAGAUGUCCACUUAGCCCAAGCUAGGCCCUAUGGUCUAUGACAUGUAGGAUGCCAUGUUGGAUGUUUGUCAAUGACAUAUUUGAGUUGCCAUUUAAGCGCCAUGUGUUCCUCAGCACGGAUGUUGUCGUGUUGUCAACGUGAAUGCAGUCCAAAUAUACUUCAUUCCAAUUAUGUCUUCCUAGAACUUUCGGCCAUUUUUUAGGCAAAACUGAACCUACAGCACAUGCAGCCUGGUAAUGUGGAUUGCUCAAUUUAGCCUGUUAUUAGAUUUGAGCUCAACUCAAAAUUACUGAUAGAUUCAAAAAAAUAUUUCCAUUGUACCUUUUCAUCCAAGUUCUAUCAUAUCAUCAUUUCAUCAACACAAGUUCUGAUCAUCAGCACAUAAUAUUUAGGGGAUACACACUCAACACCGCUGAUUGUGACUAGAUCUUUAGGAAACACAAACAUGAGUUAGAAAGAAGCUCACACCUCAUACAACAUAAUUAAAACUUGUCCAAAAGCACAUCACAGUACCCAGCAGCUACCAUGGCACUUUGGCCACUCUAGCAUCAAUGUUUGCCACACAACAAAAGAAGCUCAAUAACUCAGUAGCAGCACCACCAGAAAUGGCACUUUGCCCAAACAUCAAAGUUUACCACACAACCAAAGGGGCUCAAUAGCUCAGUGCAACAGCAGAAAUGAUGCAACAAAAAGGCAACAAUGCUGCCAUGAGACCCAGCGCAUCUUACCUAGUAUGCUAAGUGUCGCAGGGUCAAAACUGCGGUAAGCAUUGUUUGUUGGAUGUCACUGAGUUUGGGUCUGUGGUGUCUCGGUUGGACUCAAGAACACAAAAAAUACAUAAAGGACACAAACUUUAAUCCUAGUUCAGGCUCUCGGGGCCCUACAACCAGUAGUUUGAUGAUCCUUAUCCAAGAGCACCCAAAUCUAGGGGUUACAACAGAAGUAGUUUGAUGACCGUUGUAUCCAAGAGCACCCAAAUCUAGGGGUUACAACAGAGUGUAAGAGAGAUUUGGCAAGGGAUCGCUCGAUGAUUAUCCUGGGCUCAUCGGGGGUGAGGUUCCUUCCUUGCCAUAGAGGAACUAGAAAAUGGAACCAGAGGAUCUCUUGGUACUCCCCUCAGGGUGGCCUUGCUCUUGAUGCAAAGCUCGAGAUUGUCUUAAGGACUCUGGUUUGCUUUUGUUCGGCUUGGAUCAUCCUCUAUCUCUCUCUCUGUAGGAUCUGACCUUCUCUUAUAUAUUGAGGUAGGUCAGGUACAUGGCGGUUUUGAGGAGCUUAGUCUAUGGUCUACAUGCGUCGGAGUCCAUGAGCGCUCAUCUAUGGUCUAGAUAGACCUCGACGUUGUUGUGGACUUAGAGAUGCCCCGGGCCUCAUCCAACUGCUAUGCUUUGACACUCUAACCAUUAGGUUUAGUUGAGUUGAACUAGCCUCCACUAGUUGCACCUUCUAGAGGCUUCCUUGGUGGCGAAGGCGCCUGGCCAUAGGGUUUCACGAGCAGGCCCAUAAGCCUAUAAGCCCCUAGAGCCAACGGAGGGAGUUUUCCCUUUGUGUUAGGUGAUAGGUUGGUGCCCGUUGUGUGGUCUCAAGGAGCCCCUAAUCCCUGAGUGCUUGAGAUGCAUGGUUCUACCCCAACACUUGACUCAGAUUAGUUGGGAUUGAGGAUCAAUAUCAGACUACCAUAGAUCAAGAGCUCGAUGCUUGAGUGGGCACCUAAGUCUAGAGAAGAGGCCUAGGGCAUGCUCAGGUUUUGCUCAAUCCUUUGGUAGAUGGCGUGCAUGUGUGGACCCGAUGGAUGUAGCCCCCAAGCGAUCAUAUAGGGUUUGGUCAAGGGGUCCUUUGAUUAGAAACCUCUUACCCUAAUACUUCACAUACCCCUAUGUUUGAGUCUUGUUAGGAGCCCUAGAGCCCAUCAUGACCUUGCUGGUGUAGUCCACGAUGGUGACAAGGGGUCCUUCAGAGAUUUGACUAGCCAUGAUGAGGUUGGCUUCCACUAGCAAGAGUUGGGUCCCCCUUGAGGGGUUUCCAUGCAUGAUCACAGUUGGUAUAAAUUAAAUGCAAAUAAGAAAAUAUAGAUAUCUACAAACACAUAGAUAUUAUACUAUGUAGCACUUCAUCGAGAAUAACCCAGUUUUAAUAUUGAACCUAGAUGAACAAUAGGUGAGAAUACUAAGUUUCUAACAUAACCCAGGUCACAGAAUAGGGGAGGUAUACAAGAGACUACUAAGCCCUGUCUAGUUCCAAUCUCGAUAAACCUUGCCUUCUAUUGUUAUAUUGUAGGAGAUAUCUUAUAAGGAACAAAAUCAAAGUUUCUUCCCAACACGCGAUCAAGUACUUGCCAAUCCUAUCAAUGGGAGUUGUCAAUCCUAUCAAUGGUAGGUGGACUACAAAGGAUUUAAUGAAGCUAUAAGAGUCACCUUCACGAGCUACCACUGAUAUGAAAAAUAGGGGACAUUCACAAGUAACCCUAGUCUAAGCACCAUGCUUACACUAAGAAUACUACUUCAAUCAAAGAGCUAUCAACACCAAAGCACUCAAAGAGAGUUGUAAACUUGAAGAACAAUAUGAACAAACUACUUACUUGAAUCAAAAGUACUUGAACUCGUAGAGUACAAGCCAUAGAGGUAGCAUCGAUAGGCCAAAACUCCUCCAAAACUCUUCUCUCUCACUCUAUCUCUCUAUCUCUACUACAAGACUAGAUCCUAUAGAGGACUAAUCUUCUCUCGAUUGCUGGCCUAGAUCCUAGUGGAAAUAUGAAUUAGGGUUUCUGGGUCUUUAGCUCUAAAGAUUUAACUUGGCUCCCGAGGAGGUGCAGGCAUGUAUAUAUAGCCCUAGGGGUUGAAUGUGAAUCCUCAGAUCAAACCUACUUUAAGGGAUGGUAUAGAUGCAAUCCUAGGAGGCGGUGGACGAACAUUCUACAAGAUGACCAACAUCAGGGCCCAUAGGAGGUCGAGCUACCUAGGGUGGGGCCAGUCAGCCCCACCUAGCAGGGACUAAGGGUCCCCCUCUGUGGGGUACGUCCUGGAAUCUUCUAGAGUCUUCUUACGCAUGUGCCAUGAAAUUAUCCUAUGAUAUCUUUUGAUAGUUAAGUCCUUCUUGCCGGUUUUCUGAUUAAAUCCUGUUGAAAACAAAAAUGCACCAAACCGCAUGAAAAUUGUCAGUUUAAACCUCCUAUUGUAUGAUAUUGAUCCAUUUGAAUUAUUUAUGCAAGGAAGAUUGAUGAUUCUUGAUGUAUGUUAACUACCAUCAACAAUCAUUGCGCUCAACUAUUAGGACCAAGCACUGGUGGUGUGCCAUGCUACAUAAGUCUAGGGCCUAAGUGAGGUCCCAUGCGGGCUUUUCUGGUAGCCACUAGACUUUGGCCUUAGGGUGCCCUCCUUUCUGACUUUGGCCUAUCAUGGAUUUAGCUUAGGGACAUCUGAUCGCUUGGUGUGCCACACCCUUUUGGGGCUUGGUAAUAGGCCUCAGUGGCUUGGGCCAACUUUAGCAACGUUGGUCGGGGUGGGGAGCAUGCACUCAGCAUUGAUGGGUCCUUCAUUGGGCAUGCUGUUUAGUGGCCCCUGCCCCAACUCUAGGAAAAUGUUUGGGGUGUGCCAACAGGCCCAUCGGUUGAGAGCCCAAGAUUUCUAUCUGAAGUGUUGGCAUAGCCCCCCUCCACCACAAGUUUGGGGUUUUUUGUGGUCUAAAGGAGGACGAUGGGAAGAUGAAAUGACAAUGAUGGUGGUUCUAAGACGACAAUGUCUACCAUUGUAUCCUUUUGUCUAGCAAUAACAAAGUGGCCCUUGAUAGACUAUAUGUUGAACCACAUAAUCGAUUUAGUAUCCUUAAUGGGACCAAGUGAUUGGAUUGCUUAAUCUAGCCCAAUCAUCACAUGUAGUGACAAGUAUCCUAAAACUAUGAUACACAUGUGUCUAGAAAAAGGCCAUGGUACCUGAGAAAGCUUCUAAUUGAUCCUGUCAACAUGCCAAGAACCUGAAAAGCGAUCGAUCAAUUUAGACUAAUAUGUUGUUUGAUAAUUGACUUUAGGUUGAUGGUGAGCCCUAGCUGGGACUCUUGAGCUAGAUACUCGAUGUUGAGUAUCCAAGCGCCAAUCGUUCAUUAGGUCCAUAAAUUGACCAGUAGUAGGCAUCGCUACAUGUUUCACAAAAUUCCUAUUGCUCAACUGAUGGUGCCUCUAAGGAUACCAUCCGACCCAUAUUGAUAUGAGGUAUAGCCUAAAUCGAUAAAGAUCUUAAGGCCCAUUUGUAAGAUAAUUGUAUUGAUGAGCCCUAACCCUACUCUAGAAGGUACUCGAUGCACCUGACAAAAAGGUAUCCUCGAUGUGUGUUACUUGGACAAAGUUAUACUCGAUGGAUGGCAGUUUGACUAUGCCACUCUGUGACUGAUCUGCAACCCAGGUGAUGGUAUUGACUAACUGUGCUUUUACUUGAGCUACUAUAGAGGAAAGUACUUGAUCUACUCAAAGAAAAUACUUGACUAAUUGAAGGAAACAUUAGAGCCAUUCAGAUAAAGGUCCACCAAGUAGAAGUUCAAUUAUUUGAGAUAAAUUAUUAUGCUCGAUGUACAAUAACAAAGACUUUGGAUGGGUCACAAGGUGUACAAGAACAAAGACCUUCCAUGUAUAGGGAUGCCUAACAAUCGGUUUCAUUCCAAACAUGUGUUCCACCUACACCUAUGGCGGUCAAGGCUUGAGGGGCUGGUCAAUCCUGGGAAUAUGGGGUAGAAUUUUCCUAUAUGCAAGCACACCUAGAUCACCACUAGGUCAUUGACAAGGGGCGCUUCCGGUUCUGUGCGUGCUUCAAACAAUUUUGUCUUCUCCAUAUUACCAUAUCUCUAGAGUCAAUAAUUUUCUAUGAGGAACUACUGAACUCAAUCACUUGCUGCCGUUACUCAACAGUUUUCUGUUGAGGUCUAUCCCGUAGAGGUAGUCAAAUUGGACCAUGACCGGCAAGAAAGAACAAUGGGUCAUGCACGACAUGCAUGGUUGUCACACCCCAAUUUUUUUUGAUUUUGGGUUGUGCAUAGAAAACACUAAUUAAAAUAAAUUUUUUUGAUAUUUGGAUAAAACUUCUAAUGUGAGUUUAAAAUAGCAUCAAUUAGUUAUAGGAAAUAUAUCAUUCUUUAAAAUUUUCUAAAUUAAUUUGAUGGGCUUUUGUUGAUGUGCUGUGAUGCUUGCUUGCUGCUUGGCUUUGUGUUUGGCUAAAAUUUAGACUGCGUUAGUAAGUCGUUGUUUUUUUAUCCGACAUGUCUCUGUCCUUUUCUAGAAUCAAGUUUCCUCUUUCUUGAUCUUAACCUUUUUAUUUAGAGUUUUUCAUAUCCCUUUAUUCUUCUCUAAAUCAAUCUUUUGGGUAUAUCUUCCAUCAAUCAAUCUAUUAAAAUUUCUUGGGAGUUUUCCAGCUUUUUCUGAAAUUCUUUUCCACUUUUCUAUGAGCAUAAUCUAAUUUUUAGAUUCUCCAAAUUAUCUUAUCAUGAGCUCCAAAUACUUUAUUUAGACUCCUCAUAUUCUAAAGUGUCUCUAAAAAUUUUUCCCAAACUUUUGGAGCCUUCGAAGUAUUUUUCAGACCCUAAAUAUCAAUUCUGGACUUGCUGGGCACACAUAUAGUUAGCCUGGUUUUGUUCUUUAAAACCGGGUGUGACAAUGGUGGAUGCUCGAUAUAUCUAUUCAACACAUGAACUUUAAGGAGGAAGAGUAUUUUUCAGACCCUAAAUAUCAAUUCUGGACUUCCUGGGCACACAUAUAGUUAGCCCUGGUUUUGUUCUUUAAAACCAGAUGUGACAAUGGUGGAUGCUCGAUAUAUCUAUUCAACACAUGAACUUUAAGGAGGAAGAUGGAUUUGUGUGUUCAGCGAAGAACUCCAGCUCGUUUGAUUUUAUAGGUGAACCAUGAAGAUCAACUAGGUGCACGACAUGUUGAUCCACACAUCCUGCCAUCUUAGCAGAACUAAUGGUGAUGAACCCAUGGCUCCUCAAGUCAAUUUUUCAGCUUCAACUGAUUUAUCACCACGAUGAUUUACCUCGUAAGAAUAUGAAACAUCUUUUUUUUUAUAAAAGUUUGGCGCAUUUUCAUCUGAUGUGCGGCAGAACCUGAAGAAGGAAUCGGAUUUACUUUGCACCACUAUUAUAUCUACUAAACUACUUUUUUAUGGAAUCAAUCUACUCAAGAAGCAUGAAAGGAAACUAAAUAUAAUUCAGUUUGGUUCCAUGCCUGCCAUGGAGAUAAUGUGAAGAUGCAUCACGUGCUUUUACAUAGGGGCCACAUUAUUUAAUUAUUUUCUAUUACAAGAGUAACAGUCAUGUCAGGUUAGCUAGUUAAUAAUUAUUGAUUUUGGUUGAGGCCUUGUUUAGUUCCAAAAAAUUUUGCAAAAUUUUUCAGAUUCCUCGUCACAUCAAAAUCUUGCAGCACAUACAUGAAGCAUUAAAAAUAUAGGUAAAAAGUUAACUAAUUACACAGUUUGUAUGUAAUUUGCGAGACAAAUCUUUUGAGCCUACUUAGCUUAUGAUUGGACAAUAUUUGUCAAAUACAAACGAAAGUGCUACUGUUCACAUUUUACAAAUUUUUUUGCAAGAUGUUGGUCUAGUUUAGGUGGGUCCAGUCAUCCAGUGCCUGCAUGCGUGUAAAGGGCCUAACUGAUCGUGUAGGAGAUUAGAUUAGAUUUUAUUUGGAGAGUGUUUCGUCUAGGGUUCUCCCUAAGAACAGGAGUGGGUGUCUCCUCACAUCUACCCGACCAAUUCGUCCUGAUUGAGAAUUGAGUGCGAUCAAGUUUCGUCUUGGGCACGGAUUUCAGUGCAAUCCCCAUCUUCUAAUCGUGGCUCAUCGUGACUGCUGGUGGAAGAACAUUGCUAGAGUUUGGAUUAUAAUUAUUUGUAAGCCAAGCUCUUAUUUGUCUUAGUUCAACACAUGUUGAAUUAUCUACUGCUCUUUGGUCUUGACUACGGUUAACACUGGGACAAUUCUCGGGCAUCGUAGGCAUGUCCAAACCAGAUGGACCCAUUCAUCACCCCCGCCCACGAGCCGAAUGCCUUCAUCAAUAAGGAAGCCUUAAGAAGGCUCACCUAGUGGAGGCUGGUCCAUAGAGACAGCCCCUGGCGAUCAGAUGCGAAGACUCCAUGACAAGAUGAGGUCCAUCCACGCCGUAGCAUUACAUCCCUAGACCCUGGUGCACCAAGGCUAUGGAUUGUAGCUUACAAGCCACCUUGUACCUGUCCUUCGUCGGAAUAAAAGAGCAAAAUAUGCUCCCAUCGAUGUAGGAUUCGUUUGCAAACAGGCUCAGCGAGUGAGAGCUCGGCUGAGAGCUCAGCAACCGAGAGUGUUCCACCACCGGCAACCCAGUGAGAGUAAGGAGCAUUUCUCUUACUUGCCACGAAACUCGACCUCACCGUCCAUGAGCCAUAGGAUAACACCAAGCGAUCUCCUGCCAAACUCUAUAUGUCUCUUUAGUUGUAACCCCCCGAUUUGGAUGCUCUAGAAUACAGAGAACAACCCACACCUCGUCGUAGGGGCUCGAUAGCCCAAAGCAACAUACGUCAUUGUAUUCUUGUUCGUGUUUCCGAGUACCCAAGCUAUUGGAUGCCCACACUCAGUGACACCCACAAACGACGACCAGUACGAGAAAUGUGUGGUUUUUUCACGUAUUUAGUAUGACAAUAGGUCAUAAUAUGCCAUUCUAUUUUAGGCACUUCAACUUCGUGACAAUAAAUGUUGUAUGUCAUAAAAAUCAUCUUGCAACUAGUCCAACUCCAUGCAGCUAUGAUAUUUUGUACGUCACAGUGGCAUUUUUAUGUCGCAAAGGCUAAUUUACAAAUGCAUCAACCUAUAAUAGUGUAACAUUUCUGUACUUCUGUGUAAUACACUACUACAGAAUGAGGCAUUGGUCGAUGCCCAAAAUGGCCAAAAACCUCGGCCUUUUUGCGGCCCGGGGUUAAAGACCCCUUUAACACCGGUUCGUAACACGAACCGGUGCUAAAGGGUCCUGCCCAACGGCUACUGACAAGUGCUGUCGGGGCAGAGACCCUUUAGCACCGGUUCGUGUUACCAACCGGUGCUAAAGGGUCCCCUUUAGCACCGGCCAGCGCCACGGGCCGAGGCAAAGCCUUUAGCACCGGUUUUGUCCCUGAACCGGUUCUAAAGAUCCGAUUUAUAGGCUUAUAGGCCGGAUCACUCCUCCUCUCUGCCCAUUUGAAACCGAGAGCACCAUUCACCAUUGUUGUUCUUGGAGCUUCUUCUUCCUCAUUUGUUCUUCAUCUCCGACGCCCAUUGUUGAUCUUCUUCGUCUCUGUCAUCGUUUCUUCGUGUUUGGAGGUGACUAACUUUUGUCUUUCUUGUCUUUUUCAUGUUGUUUUUGGCUUGUGAUGUUCCCAUUAUUUUUAGCUCAAAUCCACGUUGUUAUUUUGAAUCAUUCACAUGAAUUAGUAUCCAUAUAUAUAUAUAUCAUAUUUCAUGGUUGACCUAGUAUUAAUGUAGUUUGCAAGAAUGAAUUAUAGUAUCUUUUUAUGAUCUUAGAAAGUAGGAUAGUUCAAAUUAAUUGGUUUGUUAAUAUCACUUGAUUUAUUUUUAUUACUACAUAAUGUCCAUUGUAUAAUUUAGAAGAUUUGUUGAAGUAACUAGACAAAUAAAGGAUAUUAUUAGGUUCUUCUUUAAUCAUACAUGUUUACUAGUAAAUGUGGAAUUUAUAAUUGUUUAAAAAUUGAGUAUGGAUAGUAGAUGGCAACCGUGACCGGGUCUUCGGUCUCUCAACGGGUUCAAAAGCGAUACCGUCCGGAACUCCCUCUCAUUACUUGUGGCAAGUGUGGGCAGAAGAUUUUGAUGGAGUACAAAGUGUCGAAAGAGAGAGUAAACAAGGGUCGUAUAUUCUACAAGUGUCCGGAUCGUAAUGUGAGUUAUUUCCAGACAUUUGCUUAUAUAUGUGCAUAUUUUUUUUAAAUGAUAUUAAUUAAAUUUUUUAUUCUCUCUUUUAAUUUCAGUGGGACGGUACCGGCGGAUGUACAGGUUGGUACUGGAAGGAAGAAUACAUUGAACACAUUAAGAAAUCUUUUGCACAGAUGGUUGAGGCUGAAGGUGGUGAGGCAGUGAGCCGACGAAAGGAGUUCAAUGAUGUUGAUCAAGCGAAUGAUCUAUCUAUUAUAGUUGGGAUCGGACGCGAACUAAUUAUGUUGCUUAAGUGCAUUUUAGUUUUGGUUUUUUUAGUUCUAGUUGCGAUUGUAUUUGUUGUAGCCAAGCUUUCCUAAAUUAAUCAACUAUGUAUCUUAGACAUGUUGUGCAAUAAGAUGAGAAACUAUAUGUGUGCAUGGUUUUCAUAAUAUAUAUGUUAUAUUUAAUGCAGAUAGUAACACGUAAUUGGAUGUAUAAUGCCGAUCGGCGCUCCGAAGAGUUCAUUAAUGGUGUGCACUAUUUCUUAAGUGUGGCCGAGACAAAUAAGAGGGACGGUUUCAUGUGCUGUCCAUGUGCCGUGUGCAAGAAUUUGACGGAAUAUUCUAACUUAAGAACUCUUCAUUCACACUUAUUAAAGUCUGGUUUCGUACCAAACUAUAUUUGUUGGACCAAACAUGGAGAAAGCAGGAUUAUAAUGGAUGAAGGUGAAGAAGAAGAAGAAGAAGAAGAAUUGGACCAUGCCAAUAUUAUUGCUCAGUACGGUGGCUUCAAUGAUGUUGCAAUGGGGGGAGAUAAUGAAGAAGAGGUAGCGGCAGAAGAUGAUCGGGGCGAUGAUGCUUUUGGUGAUGCCAUCCGUGAUGCACAAAGAGAAUGUGAAAGUGAUAAAGAGAAAGCCAAGUUCGAGCGCAUGCUAGAGGACCACAGGAAAUCGCUAUAUCCCACCGCUGAAGAGGGGCAAAAAAAGCUGGGUACGACACUAGAAUUGCUGCAAUGGAAGGCAAAGAAUGGUACAUCUGACAAGGCAUUUGGGCAGUUAUUGAAGAUUAUAAAAAAGAUGCUUCCGAAAGGCAACGAAUUGCCCACCACUACGUAUGAAGCAAAACAGGUUGUCUGCCCUUUGGGAUUAGAAAUCCAGAAGAUACACGCAUGUCCUAAUGACUGCAUCCUCUACCGUGGGGAGGAAUACGAGAAUUUGGAUGCAUAUCCAGUAUGUAAGGCAUCACGGUAUAAGAUUAGACGAGAUGAUCCUAGCGAUGUUGAGGGUGAAGAAUGUCAUAGAAAGAAAAUUCCUGCCAAGGUUAUGUGGUAUGCUCCUAUAAUACCACGAUUAAAACGUCUGUUCAGAAAUAAGGACAAUGCAAAGUUGUUGCGGUGGCAUAAAGAAGACCGUAAGAUAGACAAUAUGCUGAGACACCCUGCCGAUGGAUCCCAGUGGAGAGCGAUAGACAGAGAAUUCCCAGAUUUUGCAGAUGAUGCUAGAAACUUGCGGUUCGCCUUAAGUACAGAUGGUAUGAAUCCUUUCGGUGAGCAGAGCAGUAGUCACAGCACUUGGCCAGUUACUCUAUGUAUCUACAACCUUCCUCCAUGGCUAUGCAUGAAGCGGAAGUUUAUUAUGAUGCCGGUGCUUAUCCAAGGACCGAAGCAACCUGGCAAUGACAUAGAUGUCUACCUAAGGCCAUUAGUUGAGGAACUUCAACUUUUAUGGAGCAAACCAGGAGUUCGCGUGUGGGAUGAGUACAAACAAGAGCACUUUGACCUGCGAGCAUUGCUGUUUGUAACAAUCAAUGAUUGGCCAGCUCUGAGUAAUCUUUUAGGCCAGUCAAACAAGGGAUAUAAUGCAUGCACACAUUGUUAUGAAGACCUUGACUGUGUAUUUUUGAAAAAAUGUCGAAAGGUCGUGUACCUUGGCCACCGUCGGUUUCUUCCUGUGAACCACCCCGUACGAAAGAAAGGCAAGAAUUUUAAAGGCAAGGCAGACCACCGGACCAAACCUCUCAAUCGAACCGAGGAUGAUGUACUCGAAAUGGUCAAGGAUAUAAAAGUGGUAUUUGGAAAGGGACGAGGCAGCGAACCUAUUCCCAAGGAUGCUAAGGGAUACGUACCCAUGUGGAUGAAGAAAUCAAUAUUUUGGGAGCUACCUUACUGGAAUGUCCUAGAGGUCCGCAACGCGAUCGACGUGAUGCACCUGACAAAGAAUCUUUGUGUGAACUUGCUCGGAUUCAUGGGUGUCUACGGGAAGUCUAAGGAUUCACUUGAAGCACGACAAGACUUGCAGCGCAUGAAAGAACGAGACAACCUGCAUCCAGAAAAGACAGAUGAUGGACGUCAUUACUUAAGCCCUGCUAGCUACACUCUGAGCAAAGAAGAGAAGGAAAGCAUGUUUGAAUGUCUUAGCAGCAUGAAGGUCCCAUCUGGAUUCUCCUCCAAUAUCAAGGGAAUAAUUAAUGUGCGAGAGAAGAAAUUCCUGAACUUGAAGUCCCAUGACUGUCACGUUCUAAUGACGCAAUUGCUGCCGGUCGUUUUAAGAGGAAUUUUACCUCCACACGUACGUCUAGCCACCGUAAAUCUAUGUGCAUUCCUCAAUGCAAUUUCUCAGAAGGCAAUCAAUCCAAAGCAACUAGCUACUCUGCAGAAUGAUGUCGUUCAAUGUCUCAUCAGCUUUGAGUUGGUGUUCCCUCCAUCCUUCUUCGAUAUCAUGACACACCUCCUAGUUCAUCUCGUCAAAGAGAUUCGUAUUUUCGGUCCUGUGUUCCUACACAACAUGUUCCCCUUCGAGAGAUUCAUGGGUGUCCAAAAGAAAUAUGUCCAUAGUCGUUCCCGGCCAGAAGGAAGCAUUGCCAAGGGCUACGGAACAGAGGAGGUCAUAGAGUUCUGUGUUGACUUUAUUCCAGACCUUGACCCAAUUGGCAUUCCUGAAUCUCGACACGAGGGCAGACUCAGCGAAAAGGGAACACUUGGGAAGAAAACAUACAUUGGUACGAGAGACGAUUACUUCAAUAAAGCACACUACACAGUUCUCCAGAACUCCUCAUUAGUGGAACUAUAUGUUGAGGUACACAAAGAUUUCCUACGGUCCCAGUGGCCCGGGAAGAAUGAAGCUUGGAUAAUGCGUCAGCACAUGGAAACUUUUGGCGAUUGGUUGCGCAAAAAAUGUCAAGGUGAUGAAAACAUUGAUGAGCAGCUUUAUUUGUUGGCCAGGCAACCAUCAUGGCAUGUCCUCACGUACAAAGGGUACGAGAUAAAUUGUAACACAUUUUACACAGUUGGCCAAGAUAAAAGGAGCACCAACCAAAAUAGUGGUGUACGCGUGGAUGCCACAGAUCCAAAUGGGAACAGACAAACAUAUUAUGGACGCAGAGAAGACAUAUGGGAACUAGUCUAUGCAGCUAAUUUUAAAGUUCCUUUGUUUCGGUGUCAAUGGGUGAAGAUGACCGGAGGUGGGGUAACAGUCGACAAGGAGUAUGGGAUGACAACCGUGGACCUUAACAAUAGUGGGUUCAAAGACGAACCAUUCGUCCUUGCUGUAGACGUGAGUCAGGUGUUCUAUGUCAAAGAUAUGUCUACGAAAUCAAAGAGAGGAAAAAAUAAUGACCACUCAAUCAUCAAUGAGCCAAAGCGCCACAUUGUCCUUUCUGGGAAAAGAAACAUUGUCGGAAUUGAGGACAAGUCAGACUUGUCAGGCGAUUACGAAAGGGAUGAUCGAAUUCCGCCCUUCAUAGUCAACAAAGACCCAAGCAUUCUGUUAAACAAUGAGGAUACUCCAUGGUUACGGCAGGACCAUAUUUUUUUUUAUUAUACUUCUAACUUCUUUAAUUACAUGUAUAUAAUCCUUACACACUUAGGAUUUGUAUGUAUAUAUGCAGGCACCAAAUGAGAGAGCUCAGAAUGAGAAAUGACAAUAGUAUUGGGUUCGUUGACCCUUAUAUUAUUUUCAAGGCUCCGCGGGCAGUGUGGACAGCAGCUCAUGAGACAGAAAUCUGCACCAAUCUUAUGAGGUUCUUUGUGAACCAAAAAGAAAAACAAAAAAUACUCUUCCCCUUCAACUUUGAGUGAGUUAUAUAGUUAUUAAGUGCAUGCAUAUUUUAUUUUACAUUAUAGGACUUACUAUAUAUAUAUGUGUAAACAGUUUUCACUGGAUACUCAUAGUCAUUGAAAUUCCCAAGAACCGGUUGAUAAUCUUUCACUCCAUGAGAAAACCACAAGAAAAUUAUCAACAAAUGGUAAACAUUAUUCAAAGGUACGUAAUGUCGAUCUCCGCUAGAAGAAUAUCAUAAUAUGACUCUGUAAUUAUUAGUUCACGAUCCACAAUGGCUGUGUGUAGGGUUUGGGAAAGAUUCAUUGACCGUGAACAUCUCAGUGGAUGUAAAGCGCCGCUUAACAUAAUACAUCCACAAGUAAGUUCUACUAGCUAGCAAACUUUCGCUAACUUUUAGCCUUCUUAUUGUCGUGGUCGUGAAUAUUUUUUAUAUAUAUAUCGUAUAGUGGUGUUUAAGACAAGAAGGGGGGAACAAUCUAUGUGCAUAUUACGUGUGCAAAUUCAUGAUGGCACAAGUCAAUCAAACACCCACAGAGACGCUCAGAGUACGUUACAUGUCUCUUUUCAUUAUCUCUGAAUUAUAUUGAAUAACUUAGAUAACUAAUACCUUUUUUAUGUUGAGGGAAAAGGUCCUACAACAAGACCGAAUCAAAGCUAUCCAAGAGACGAUAGCAGGAUUUCUCCGCGAUCAAGUGAUCAAUCCAAACGGCGAGUUUCACUUCAACGGCAACGAAACUCUUAUUCCAAACAACGAUGAUCAUUUGUAUCGUUUGUAGACAUCAUUGGGAGAAAAAACUCUAUGUAUAUAUGUGUUACGAAUUUUGUACAUAUAAAACUAUAUAUAUAAAGCUUUUUACUUAUCUAUUUAAUUUUUGAUGUGGCCUAUUCAUUUUAUUAUAGGCAAAGCUUAAUUAUUAAGCUAAGCCUAUAAUUUUCAUUUAUAUAUGCUUAAUAUGCGUGUAAUAUAAGUAUAUUAUUGUAUCAGAAAAACAUGUAUUGAAAAACCUAUUAUUAUAUAUUAUAUACAAACAAUAAACAGAACCGAAGAAGUGAAAAAAAAAAAGAAAUCCUUUAACACCGGUUGGUAAUACCAACUGGUGUUAAAGGGUCCUACAACGUGGCAGUCCUGGCAGGACCCUUUAACACCGGUAGCCCCGGUUCCCCGAACCGGGACUAAAGGGUGGGCCUUUAGUCCCGGAAGGGCAGCACCGGCUCAGGAACCGAGGCAACAGACCCUUCCCGACCGGUGCUAAUGCCCGAACGUGUGGCAGUGAUAGUAAAAUUCCAACUUUUUAAAAACUCUUGUUUGAAUGUGUGUUGCCUGUAAAUAUUAGGUCAAACUCAAGUCAAAUGUGUUCCCUUUCUGCCCCAAAUUCAAAAUCCGAGCUUCAAAAACUUUUUACAACGAACCACUUGCCGUGACGUUGGCCAGGACAAGUCAACAACAUAGCAAGGGGAGUUUUGAAAUAAUAUAUUUUCUAGAUAAAUUAAAACCACACUCGAAUUCAACAUGCAACCCAGACUCAUCAUUCAUUAUUUUCCUAAAACAAAACCCCCCCACAACUCUCACCCAUCUCCUUCAAAUCGAGCUUACAAUGAAACAAGCACCAUGUCUAGUUAAGCUUUCACGAGUGUUUGGUUCUUUUGUCGUGCUUGGAGCCCUCUCCCAAAAAAAAAUAAUAAUAAAAUCCCUUGACCAAUAUAGGAAAACCUUUUCCUUAGCCUGAUUCCAUCAUGGCCCAAGUCGCUCCCUCCUAGACCUGCCCUGGCCUUCCAUUGCCACCAGACCCAGCCGGCCUGCUUCCCCGGUGCAGCCCAACCCGGCGCCUCUCCUUCCUCACCAUCCGGCCCAAGCCGCGCCACGGCCCAGCAGCUAACCAGGCCCGCCUCCAUCACCAGCCCAGCUCCUCUCCGCCUCACGAGCGCGGCACGUGCACGGAGCAACCCGUGCAUGCUUUUGCUCCUGCACGGUUUCUCGCCUCUGGGACCCGCGCGUCAGCCUCAUGUGGAGAAAAAGACAAGCCGUGGAUGUCGUUUCAUUCCGUCGGGGCGCCGUCUUCUCCUUUUUCCGUCGGGGUUAAUUUUAUUCUUCUACCUUUUUAGCGAACUUUGCUUCGAGGUCUAUAAAUUAAAAAAAUAUACAGGUGAGAGGUUUUCAUCUCAUUUCUCCGAAGGAAGUUGGUGACAAAAGAUUAGAUAAUAAAUAUCUCUGAACAAUCAUACUUGUUUUGUAUUGAUUAUAAUUAAUUCACUGGUGGAUCGGUUCUCUUUGGAUUCUACGUAUGCAAGUUCGAGAGAGAACAGAUGAUACAUCAGUAACCCUUCUAUAGUAAUAUAUAGUACAUCAAUUGUAAUAAAUAUAUGAUGUUUAUAAUCUUUCUUUCUAGAAAUAUGAUGUAAAAAAAGCGAAGCACAUGACCCGCGGUGCUUUAUACAACAAAGUGAAGGACCUGUGCAUAUUCAUCUUGAAAGAAGUCAUUCUAUAAAAAGGGAAAUAUCACGAUGCUACUAACGUUUUAGCAGAGCCAAACUAUAGAGUGCUAACAGAUAUUAGUAGGCUAAACCUUAUCAAGAUGAUUAUUAGAGCAGAGGUGGAAACUUUGAUGUAUAUAUGUUAACUUUAAGUUUGCGAGCACAAACUUUGAUGUGCAUAAAUAUGAUAUAAUUAAAUUGUAUGUUGCUAUAGUUGACAUGAUCCAAUAGACUUUACUAGUUUUAAUAUCAAUAUAUAUAUAUAAUAGGGUUUGGUGGAAAAUUUUAAAAAAAAUGCGGGAAAAUUUGAAAAAAUUAUUUAGUGGAAAUCGAUGUCCUCUAACAAUUAGCUUAAGAGAAGUGCCUAAAAUCUAUUUCCACUGGCGAUUGUCUUAGCAAACCCCUAGCACCAGUGGAAAUAGAUUUUUCAUAAGCGGUUCUCAGUUAACCGCGAGUGGAAAGAUCCAUUUCCACUGGGCCGCUAGCUCUUGCGGUUUAAGAAAUACGUGUAGAAAUGACUUACGAACCGCUUGUACAAAGCUUCAUUAUACUAGAACCCACCACAAAUAAUUUCUACGAUGCUACUGCACACCAGACAAACAUGUCUAGGCUGUCUCCAACAGGAGACUCAUUUGGGAACCCAAACCUAAAAUGGGUCUCCAACACAAUACCUAUAGUACCCAUACAGAAGACCUAUUUUGGGUAUCAGGAGAGGCAUAACCUAAAUUUGAGUAUCCUCUCUCCUCGAGACCCAUUUGCAGAUAGUGUUGUCUUUUAGGUCUUGUUGUUGGAGAAGACUAAAAAUAGGUAUGGAACCUUUUACCUGUAGUACUACCCAAAAGAACAAAUGGAUCUUGUAUUUUGGGUAAUAAUUGUUGGAGAUAGUAAAUAGGACGGAUCCCCACUAAUGGAUUCUCCUAGCUUCUCAGCCGACCACGUCACGAACCACCACAAAUGAUUUCCACGAUGCAGCUGCACACCAGAUGAAUUAUAAAUGCAUGCAGUUACUAAAAUAAUUAUCUAGUGGUAAUCAAUUUUCACUAGCAGUUGCCUUAAGAGAAUCGCUUAUGAAAAUCUAUUUUCACUAACGGUUAAUUAUCUUACCAAACCGCCAGUGGAAAUCGAUUUCCACAGACGGUUCUCAGUUAAUUGCUAGUGGAAAGAUCUAUUUCCACUGGCCACUAGCGCUGGUGGUUUAGAGAAAUACAUGUAGAAAUGACUUACGAACAGCCUGUACAGAGCUUUAUUGUACUAGAGCCCACCAUAAACUGUUUCCACAAUGUAGCCUAAUUAAUUUGUCAUUAGCAACAUAUUAUCGUAACACCAUAUUAUCAAAUCAUAGAUUAAUUAGACUUAAAAAUUUUAUCUUGCAAAUUAUUCGUAAUAUGUGUAAUUAAUUAUUUUUUAGUCUAUAUAUUUAAUGUGUCUAAAUAUCCGAUAUGAUAAAAAAACGAAUGGUUCAGUACUGCGUCUUUGGUUCCUCCGCCACCAGCCCACGACAAAUGUAGAAACUGAACCAUCCCUGCCUUCAUUUUAAAUGUGUACUGCUAUGUGCUAUCGUCGUCUUGGCAGCACGUCCACCAGGAGAACCACUUCUUCCUCUUCGCAGAUCGCAAUGGUGGUCACUGUGGCAGCAGCCCUGGCGUGGCAGAGAAGGAUGAGACGCUCACGGAGGCCCCUCGCGUCUGGUCAUGUUCGCGGAGUCAGCGGCUUAAGGCAACUUGCUGCCAGCGAUCGAUGCUCGCGGUUUGUGGAGCUUGCAGAGGCCCCUCGCUGCCGGCGGCGCUCCUGUGCUCUUCUCCAAUAGGUCUGCGUCAUCCUUCUUAACUCAGUUUCGACCUCGGUUUCUUCCAUCCAACUCUCUCUCAUACCUAUGAAAGCUUUUCUAACUCUCAGAUUCACAAGAGCGCUGUGCUGAAUCCAUGGCUGGGGCAGCCUACUAGGACAGAUCAUCCAUGGUGGACACAAUAGAUCCAUGGCGGGGUGAGCUAGACUACGACGCGCAUGUGGAUGAGGCAGUGAAGACAAAUGUAUCCAUGUUCUGUAAAAAAAGUUUCUGUGUACUGUACAAUAAAUCUAUACUCCCUCACUCUCUUUUUAAUUGUCAGUUACGCUUUCAAAAAACAACUACCGACAAUUAUAUAUUAAAAAAUAUUAAUAUUUAUAAUACAUAAUUAGUAUCAUUAGAAAGAUUUUGAAUCUAGUUUUUUAACAAAUUUAUUUGAAGAUACAAAUGUUACAUGUAUUUAUACAAAUCGAGUCAAACUUGUGGCACGCACACCAACGACGACAAUUAAAAAGAGACAGAGAGAGUAUGUACGGCCUUAUUUCCAAAAAAAUUUUGGAAAACGACACUUUAACACUUUUGUUUUUAUUUGACAAACAUUGUCCAAUCACGGAGUAACUAGUCUUAAAAGAUUCGUCACACGAUAGGCAAACUGUACAACUAGUUUUUAUUUUUAUCUAUAUUUAAUGCUCCAUGCAUGUGCCGCAAGAUUCGAUGUGACGAAGAAUUUUGAAAAGUUUUUGGUUUUUUGGGUGAACUAAACAAGGCCUAACUUAUGGAUGUCAAGUCAAUGAUGGUGUUUUCUUUUUCUCCUGCUUACAAGAAUCCAGUACAAGAAUUUAUUCUAUUUUUUUAGUUUAGCGCAUUUCGUUUUUCUCCUGCUUCCUAGAAUCCUAUAUUUUUGUAUUUUCAAUAGCAGUAUCUAGUUUUAGUUGUCUGUUUGCGAUCUAUUACAAAUCAAAGUAUUAUUAAUUAAUACUCAUAAUUAUUUUCAUAUGUCUAAAGUAACUAGAUAGAUGUUCAGUCAUAUUAUUCCUCAUAAGGCUGUCUUCAUAUCCUGGUUUAAGAAGUGUUUACUAUCUACCAUUUUAUAACUUUCAUAUUUCCUUCUGAACUUUGUAUAUGUAUGUAAUACCCGAUUUUAAGGACAAAACCAGAUAUACACUAUAUAUGAGUUUUGGAAAUCAAUUCUCAUAUAUAGCUACAAAUAAGGGGUAAUAUCAAAAGACAAUGCAUAAAUAUAUAACGUACUUAGUAUAAAAGAGAUAACCUUUGAUAACAAACAGCGGAUAGACAACUCCAAACUUCGGGUAUUAACUUCUCUCUACAGGAUCCAACUGACUGGUUGAUCACAAGCCUAAACUUCUCCUGAGGUUUGGGGGAAAUAGCAAGAGUGAGUCCAUGUCGAACUCCACAAGUAUAGCAACUAGAUUGUAUAGCUCCCACAAUCUCAUGAUCAAUGUGACAUAAAUAAUGUAAAGCAUUAAAUAAUAAAUAAUGAGCAUAUUAACACACAAGAAUCAUCAUCGUCGCAGCAAGAAUCCUCAAGGCCGCUCCUGACCGUGAGCUCGGCUAGUAUACUAGUUUUUAACCCUCUGCAGAGGUUGCACAUCUUUACCCAUGAGUCAUGAUUUACCCUUUCGCCCGAGGUGAUCAGCCUCUUAACCCACUUCCAAGGAAGGUCGGCAGGGAUCACUAUGAAGCCUUUCAAAAGUUCGUCUAACAUGUUAGGGCCGCAAGGUUUCCUUUGCGAGCAGAUAUAGAUACCCCCCUUCCGAAUGGCACAAUGACGCGCAGCCUAUACACAUAGGGACAGGGGCUCGCACUAUACCCGUGUCGGUUCAGCCCCUCCGCCCUUUCGGGUAACCUCUAACAAGCUAGAAAAGUUCUUCAUACUGAGCUAAAGCCAGAGCCAUUAUAGCCCUCAUGGUUGCACUGUUGUCCCGGUUAUCACUUACAGAUAAAUCAUCAAGUGGCUAAAAAGUCAUUUUUAUCAUUUAUUACUUAACAUUAAUCUAGUCACACGAUCAUGGUCACAGAAUAUAAAAUCCAAAUGCUAUACUUGCCUUAAUCCAAUUGCUCUUGUUGUUCUUGCUAGUUGUCCAAAUGCUGAUCUUGAUCACUGAAGCACUCUUAUUCACCACGAAUUGUUCACCAUCUAUUCUCGAUCAUCGAUCAUCAACACACAAACAAUCGAAACCAAACAUACAUGAAGCAAACAAAGCUACAAUUAGAACAGACACCAAACAAUAGCAAAAUAGUAAGAAACGUUUAUAAAAUGGUUUUACGCGUCACUACGAUCACAAAAACGUGAGAAGCACUCUAAUUGGAGCUACGACGAAAGAGAAAUGACUAUUUUAAAAUUUACAUGCUUCGUUGAUUUCAAUAGUUAUAUAAAAUAUCUAUAAGAUACUUUAGAGAAAUACCUAGAUUAAAUUAAAUUAAAUUAAAUUAAAUUAUAUUUGAAUUAGAAAAUCAAGUUAAAACUAAUAAUAUUUUAUUUAUAAAUGUGGUUGUAUAAAUUAAGCAAAUUAAUCUCUAAUUUUAUAAAAAGAAGUAACGUGUGGAAAUCUAUUGGAAUUGUGUAUGAUCAUGUUCAAGCUAAGUAAUUAAGGUUGAGAAACAUGAUUAUGUUAGUAACUAAUUAUAUUAAUGAUUACCAAAGUUCGACACCUAUAUGGCUUUUAGUUAUAAAACUAUAGUUGUAUGCAUAUUAAUCAAAUUAAUAUUUAAUUAUAAGUAUUCGGCAUGGGAACCUUUGCUUCUAGAUAGAAGAUUACAUUACUAAGCUUACAAACUUAUCAUCCUUGGCACUUGCUAACGUGUAUUAUUGGCAUUCAUGCACGUACGGUGCUAUUCGCUUGAAGGUUUGCAUCUGUUGUAGGAGGAAAAUAAAAGACGAAAAGCAAAGCAGGCGGCUUGCCAGAAACAGCAGGUCAGCUGCAGCUAUGGCCAACUGUCACACAAACACGGUCAGCGGUUCUAUCCACGGCAGAAGGCAUCGUAGGGAGGGAGGAGUAGGCAGCCUAUGACGUAUUGGAGAGAGCUGGCUGCUGGAGGUUGGGUCGUCUAACAACAAGAUCAGUGAUAACGCCGAGCUAGAACUAAGAAACGGAAUUACGAAGACAGAAAGUUCCUCACCGGGCAGGGAUAGAAGGGGUGGAUCGCUGGUGACGGCGAGAGAAAAAAAAAACAACGACGUCGGGUCUUCACGUGGAGAAAAGUAGAUUAGGCUUUCUGUAGCCACGGAAGCGCCGGUUGAUUCCGAGAAGACGAACAAUGGCAACUCGUACCGCACGGCCAUCAACGCCAUAUAUGAAGACUUCUUAUACGAGGACUUCUCCAGGGUAGUUUUGGUAUGCUUAACUCAAGGAAUUGGUACGUAUAUAUAGGGAGAAAAACUCCUCACCUCCAUGUCACUAGCGAUAUGGUACUAAUCAAUGUUACACACUUCAUCUUUAUUAGUAGGCCUAGUUAAUUAUUAAAGCCCUCUAGUAAAUAAAUAUAUGGGCCUAUGAGAUCAUGGGUUGAGCGUUGGGGUAAAAUGAAAGAUUUAUUAAUUUCGAAAUUAAUUAUUUUUGUAAAUAAAAUAUUUCUAGAAAUGUCUAGAAUUAUUAUUUAAGUCAUGAAAAAUAUUUCGAAAGCUCUGAAAAUUCGAAGAAAAUUCUCAGAGACACUAUGAAACAUGAGACACUCAAAUAAAGUAUUUGAAACUCAUGAUAAGAUUAUUUGGAGCAUCUCAAAAUUAGAUUAUGCUCACAGUCAAAUGGGAACAAGUUCCAGAAAAGUGCUGAAAUAAUUCCUGGUAAGUUUUUAGAGAUUGAUUGAUGGACGAGGAACUAAAAGAAGUGCUUUGAGUGAUAAAGAAAAUAUUUUAGGAAGGUCCUAAUAAAAAUUUGAGCUUAGAAACAAGGAAUUUGGUUGUAGAUAAAAGAUAAAUAUGUGCCGAAUAAGGAAGAUCGAUCUACUAAACGUAUUUUAAAUAUUUUUCUUACUAUCAACACAUAAAGGAGCAACAAGCAUCACAUCAAAACAUAUGCACCAGCAUGUAUGCAUAAUAAUAUUGCUAAGCCUUAUGAUAAUUUUUAAUUUAAUGAAAAAUAUUAUUUUUCCUAUAUUUUCAUGAGCACAAAAAUACAAAUUAAAUAAUUUUAUCUAUAUUUCAAAAGGAGUAAAUUUUAGGGUGUUACAAAUCUACCCCCCUUAAGAUGAAUCUCGUCCUCGAGAUUCGGAAGACGGUUAUCAAAGAGACGUAGAUUUUGAAUCUUGUUCACUUUCUUGAGUAAUUAUAUCUUCAUAGCAUUGAUUCCACUCUCUUACUCCAAGUAGCCUCUCAAGUAUUCCUAAAAUAUUGACGAGACACCUAGUGUAGCAGGUACGAUCCUUCUUUAAACUUAUUUCUCCUAUCCUUUUUAGACGCUACACAUCAUAUAGUCUUUUAAAUUAGCUGUACCGAGUCUCUUGAUCCAAGGUUAGUUUCAUCACUAAGUUCCAAUUAUCGGUACCUUUAUUACAGUUAAGUUGCUUCACUCUCACACUAUACAUACAACUCUGUAGACUUUGGUGUCAUCUGAUCCUCAUACACAACUCUUAAUCCAUGAGUAUCAGUAAUGACAUAAACCUCCAUUGGUAUUAGCACACUCCAAAUAGAAUGAUAUCUUGAAACAAACCAACAUACCAAGCACUUGAUGUCCUUGUAGAUGUUCGAGUUAUUAACCACUUCUUCUCCUUGUAGUUCUUUAAUUGGGCUACCCCCUUAAAAAAAAGUCAACUAAGGGACCAAGAAAGGUAGCUUCCAUACUUUCCAGACAGGUUAACUAACAUUGAGAACCUCUGACAUUCCAAAGAACUUAUGUGCAAUAGAGCAAACAGGUAUCCUGAAAUUUUCUCGCGAUAUGAAAAACACCAGCGUAGUAAAAUGGACAUAACUCUUAUUCUGUGAAUCCAAUAGAGUUGUGGUUUAUACCGUUAGAAAACUUAUGAAAUUCCCAGCAACUUUCCUGUAGAAGACCUCCUUAGGUUCUGUCUUUAAGCUCAGGUAAAAAACAACCAAACUUAAUAUCCAUCCUGAAAAUGUCUCAGCAAAGGUGCAGCAGCUUCCAGAAGUUAUAUCCCGAGCUACUUAACUCAUCUGGAGAUGAUCCUUACAUAUUUGAAAAGCUUAGAAAAUCCUCUACAACUUUCGUAUACAACUUUUUCCUAGAUUCUGAUGUUAAGGUAUCUGAAAAUAGGGAAUACCAGAUCUGUCUAGAUUUUGAAACGGAACAGAAACAUCCAGGUGUAAAUAUCAUAUCUCAGGUUCUACUUAUCCAAAUAAGUUCCAGCUUAUACCGUUGGAAAGCUUAGCAAAUUCUCUACAACUUUUCUAUAGAACACUUUUCCAAAUUCUAUAGUUAUAUAUGUCUAAACAGUAAGCAACCGAAACUGGUCCAGAUUCUUGACAGCAUAUUUGUAUCAUCUUGUGAUUUUUGUAACUUCUAAACCAUAAUAGCUAUGAGGGUGCUUCUUGCGGUCAGGGAAAGAUCUUGAAGUCUAGUUGUUACCAGAAAAAGUUGAUAGACUUUGCACGAUCAAAACUUGAGAUACUCCAGAAUCAUCGUAGACUGCUCCAGAAAUCAGCAGGGGAUAGAAACAAGAUAUAACCAAACCCAACUACUUAUUUCAUUAAUCCUUACGCCUUAGGCCUAUAAACUAAUGAAAUUGUGAAGAAAUCCCACAAGAUCAUUGCACUCAUUACAAAGAUCCAAAUCAAGCAUAAGCAUAAUGACAAACCAACAAGGCAUUAAAGUUUCAUACUUCAAACAUUGACUCAACUUGCGAUACUAUCGUUCUCUUCCUGUUAAGGGUAAAGAUCCUAAAACUUAUAUUUCAAAGACGCAAGAAGGUGGUAAGAAAAGGUUCUAAAAGCAUACCAAAUCAAGGAGUGAAGGUGAGAACAAGUACUUUUAAAACAAGCAACAAGGUAGAGACAAAUAGCAAGGAUAGAGAUAUAGUAUGGAUGAAAAUACCAAGGUUUAUAGAGCAAGGAUUUUAUGACAAUUCCAAAACUUUAAGACGACCAAUUUCUAACUAGGCUUGCGUCCUACAGUCAGCAUUGCUUUGAUACCACUUUGUAAUACCCGAUUUUAAGGACAAAACCAGAUAUACACUAUAUAUGAGUUUUGGAAAUCAAUUCUCAUAUAUAGCUACAAAUAAGGGGUAAUAUCAAAAGACAAUGCAUAAAUGUAUAACGUACUUAGUAUAAAAGAGAUAACCUUUGAUAACAAACAGCGGAUAGACAACUCCAAACUUCGGGUAUUAACUUCUCUCUACAGGAUCCAACUGACUGGUUGAUCACAAGCCUAAACUUCUCCUGAGGUUUGGGGGAAAUAGCAAGAGUGAGUCCAUGUCGAACUCCACAAGUAUAGCAACUAGAUUGUAUAGCUCCCACAAUCUCAUGAUCAAUGUGACAUAAAUAAUGUAAAGCAUUAAAUAAUAAAUAAUGAGCAUAUUAACACACAAGAAUCAUCAUCGUCGCAGCAAGAAUCCCCAAGGCCGCUCCUGACCGUGAGCUCGGCUAGUAUACUAGUUUUUAACCCUCUGCAGAGGUUGCACAUCUUUACCCAUGAGUCAUGAUUUACCCUUUCGCCCGAGGUGAUCAGCCUCUUAACCCACUUCCAAGGAAGGUCGGCAGGGAUCACUAUGAAGCCUUUCAAAAGUUCGUCUAACAUGUUAGGGCCGCAAGGUUUCCUUUGCGAGCAGAUAUAGAUACCCCCCUUCCGAAUGGCACAAUGACGCGCAGCCUAUACACAUAGGGACAGGGGCUCGCACUAUACCCGUGUCGGUUCAGCCCCUCCGCCCUUUCGGGUAACCUCUAACAAGCUAGAAAAGUUCUUCAUACUGAGCUAAAGCCAGAGCCAUUAUAGCCCUCAUGGUUGCACUGUUGUCCCGGUUAUCACUUACAGAUAAAUCAUCAAGUGGCUAAAAAGUCAUUUUUAUCAUUUAUUACUUAACAUUAAUCUAGUCACACGAUCAUGGUCACAGAAUAUAAAAUCCAAAUGCUAUACUUGCCUUAAUCCAAUUGCUCUUGUUGUUCUUGCUAGUUGUCCAAAUGCUGAUCUUGAUCACUGAAGCACUCUUAUUCACCACGAAUUGUUCACCAUCUAUUCUCGAUCAUCGAUCAUCAACACACAAACAAUCGAAACCAAACAUACAUGAAGCAAACAAAGCUACAAUUAGAACAGACACCAAACAAUAGCAAAAUAGUAAGAAACGUUUAUAAAAUGGUUUUACGCGUCACUACGAUCACAAAAACGUGAGAAGCACUCUAAUUGGAGCUACGACGAAAGAGAAAUGACUAUUUUAAAAUUUACAUGCUUCGUUGAUUUCAAUAGUUAUAUAAAAUAUCUAUAAGAUACUUUAGAGAAAUACCUAGAUUAAAUUAAAUUAAAUUAAAUUAAAUUAUAUUUGAAUUAGAAAAUCAAGUUAAAACUAAUAAUAUUUUAUUUAUAAAUGUGGUUGUAUAAAUUAAGCAAAUUAAUCUCUAAUUUUAUAAAAAGAAGUAACGUGUGGAAAUCUAUUGGAAUUGUGUAUGAUCAUGUUCAAGCUAAGUAAUUAAGGUUGAGAAACAUGAUUAUGUUAGUAACUAAUUAUAUUAAUGAUUACCAAAGUUCGACACCUAUAUGGCUUUUAGUUAUAAAACUAUAGUUGUAUGCAUAUUAAUCAAAUUAAUAUUUAAUUAUAAGUAUUCGGCAUGGGAACCUUUGCUUCUAGAUAGAAGAUUACAUUACUAAGCUUACAAACUUAUCAUCCUUGGCACUUGCUAACGUGUAUUAUUGGCAUUCAUGCACGUACGGUGCUAUUCGCUUGAAGGUUUGCAUCUGUUGUAGGAGGAAAAUAAAAGACGAAAAGCAAAGCAGGCGGCUUGCCAGAAACAGCAGGUCAGCUGCAGCUAUGGCCAACUGUCACACAAACACGGUCAGCGGUUCUAUCCACGGCAGAAGGCAUCGUAGGGAGGGAGGAGUAGGCAGCCUAUGACGUAUUGGAGAGAGCUGGCUGCUGGAGGUUGGGUCGUCUAACAACAAGAUCAGUGAUAACGCCGAGCUAGAACUAAGAAACGGAAUUACGAAGACAGAAAGUUCCUCACCGGGCAGGGAUAGAAGGGGUGGAUCGCUGGUGACGGCGAGAGAAAAAAAAAACAACGACGUCGGGUCUUCACGUGGAGAAAAGUAGAUUAGGCUUUCUGUAGCCACGGAAGCGCCGGUUGAUUCCGAGAAGACGAACAAUGGCAACUCGUACCGCACGGCCAUCAACGCCAUAUAUGAAGACUUCUUAUACGAGGACUUCUCCAGGGUAGUUUUGGUAUGCUUAACUCAAGGAAUUGGUACGUAUAUAUAGGGAGAAAAACUCCUCACCUCCAUGUCACUAGCGAUAUGGUACUAAUCAAUGUUACACACUUCAUCUUUAUUAGUAGGCCUAGUUAAUUAUUAAAGCCCUCUAGUAAAUAAAUAUAUGGGCCUAUGAGAUCAUGGGUUGAGCGUUGGGGUAAAAUGAAAGAUUUAUUAAUUUCGAAAUUAAUUAUUUUUGUAAAUAAAAUAUUUCUAGAAAUGUCUAGAAUUAUUAUUUAAGUCAUGAAAAAUAUUUCGAAAGCUCUGAAAAUUCGAAGAAAAUUCUCAGAGACACUAUGAAACAUGAGACACUCAAAUAAAGUAUUUGAAACUCAUGAUAAGAUUAUUUGGAGCAUCUCAAAAUUAGAUUAUGCUCACAGUCAAAUGGGAACAAGUUCCAGAAAAGUGCUGAAAUAAUUCCUGGUAAGUUUUUAGAGAUUGAUUGAUGGACGAGGAACUAAAAGAAGUGCUUUGAGUGAUAAAGAAAAUAUUUUAGGAAGGUCCUAAUAAAAAUUUGAGCUUAGAAACAAGGAAUUUGGUUGUAGAUAAAAGAUAAAUAUGUGCCGAAUAAGGAAGAUCGAUCUACUAAACGUAUUUUAAAUAUUUUUCUUACUAUCAACACAUAAAGGAGCAACAAGCAUCACAUCAAAACAUAUGCACCAGCAUGUAUGCAUAAUAAUAUUGCUAAGCCUUAUGAUAAUUUUUAAUUUAAUGAAAAAUAUUAUUUUUCCUAUAUUUUCAUGAGCACAAAAAUACAAAUUAAAUAAUUUUAUCUAUAUUUCAAAAGGAGUAAAUUUUAGGGUGUUACAAUGUAUCAUGAAAUGCGUUAUGUUUCAUCAAAUGUUCAAAUAUAGAUACGACCAUGCAUAGCCAUGGUUUUAAUUAAUAUAAGAAUUGUUUACUAUUUGCAAUUUUAUAAGUUCCAUAUAUUUCCUUCUGGCCUUUGUAUAUGUAUCAUUAUCAAUGCACUAUUGUUUCAUCAAAUGUUCAGAUAGAUAUACGACGAUACAAAACUCUGUAGCAACGCACUAGGUAUUAUCUAGUUGUUUUUAAUUUACUACUACUGUGGAAUCUUGAAAGCAACUUCUUGUAGUUGCGUGUUGCAUGCCGGCCAGUUUCCAGCACCAUUGCCAGUUCAGUUUUGGAAAUUGGCCAGUCCACAGUCUUAUAUAUACCUAUGGGGACGCUAUUGGUUACUGUAUGUUUUCUUUUUCUGGCUUGUCACUUUUUCCUGAUAAGAAAAAACCUUGACUCUUAACCAGACUACUAACUCGACUACCUGGGGAUCAAAAGGAAACAACCCUCAACCUUCCAAGCAACAACAGAGUUUUAGAAAGGACAAAACAUUGCCGAGAUCAGAUUGAUCAUCUAGUCACGACGCUUUCUUGCUAGUCACUCGGUACACACAUUAUGUUUGUGUAGAGUAAUACAGUAUACUGGAACAAAAUACAUAAGCAUGUAACCAACAAAAAGAAUCAUCUUAUUGAGUUCGAAUCAAACAGUUGCUUGGGUUACACUGCUUAAUUUUUGCAGCAGCAUUCCCAUUUAGCAUCCGGUCUCUCGAUACAGUAGCUUUUCUUGCGUUUAAAGCCGUUUGCCUCGCACAUGUUCUCGCAGUCAUAAGUCAGACAGAAUCUGUUAUUGUAAGGGUAGCACGUAUCGGGCUUUCCCUUUGCCAUUGGAGACGACAACUCAGACAAACUACAUGGUUGAGAUGACAGUGCCGGCGGUGGCGGUUCCGGUGACCAAUGGUGAUGAUGGUGUGACAUCUCAGACAAACGGCGUGGUGGUGACAACGGCACAGAUGGUGGAGGUGGUAACCCGUGGUGAUGAUGGUGGUGCGUUGUCUCAAACAAGCCGCGUGGUGGUGAUGAUGGCGCUGGUGGUGUUGGUGGCGACUUGUGGUGAUGAUGGUGCGACAUCUCAGACAAACUGCGUGUUGGUGACAACGACACUGCCGGCGGUGGUGGUGACUUAUGGUGAUGCUGGUGUGGCACCUCAAGCAAACUGCGUGGUGGGGAUAAUGGCACUGGCGGAGGCGGAGGUGACGCGUGAUGAUGAUGGUGGGACUUCUCUGACAAACUGCGUGGUGGUGAUGUACGUGGUGGUGGCGGUGUCAUAGGCCUGUGGGGAUGAUGAGGCGGCCUUCGUGGGCCUGGUCUUGGCCUACACAUGCAAACAAACAUUAUAGAAUAGUCAAAACAAGUUGAUUUGUAUUCCCUCUAGUUCAAAUUUGUUUCCUCAAAUUAGUCUAUUUUUUUUACAAAAAAUGUACCAACAUCUAAUAUAUCAAAUCGGUUUUCAAAAUUUCAAUGGACAUGUGUUGAUAGUGUUAAUGUUUUUUUGCCAAAAAUAUGGUCAAAAUUAUAGUAAUUUGACUUAGCUCAAAGCCAAAGCAAGCUAUUAUUAUUUUGAACUGAGGGAGUAAUAUCUAACAUUGCGAAGUAAAAGUAAUGAUCUCUAUCUACAUAGACAUAUACCUUGGCAUGAUGGAGAGGUUGAACAAAUGAUCAGAAGUAUCAAGAGAAAAGUACUUGUCAGGUGUGCAUUCCUCGUUGUCUUGCAUUUUGUGAAUGCCAUGAGAUGAGAGGACUAUAUUACUCUCUCCUUUCUCCCUAUAUGUUUUUCUUGUUUUGCUUUCUUCAGUGACGAGGAGAGGUGCACUUUGCAUCUGUAUUUGUCUUUCUAUGUCACUUUGCAAGUGCUUAUAUAGAAAACACAAAACCUUAACAAGCAAUCAUUGUGAAAAUAUAUCUAUUUCUACAUUAAUGCUUCCAUCUAUCUAUGUGUAUGUCUCUUUGUCUAUCUAUCUAUCUAUCUAUCUAUCUAUCUAUCUAUCUAUCUAUCUAUCUAUCUUCUGCAUUCAUAAUAUGACCUGAGCCAAAUUUGAGUGUCAACAUAUCUAUCUAUCUAUCUAUCUAUCUAUCUAUCUAUCUAUCUAUCUAUCUAUCUAUCUAUCUAUCUAUCUAUCUAUCUAUCGUCUAUCUAUCUAUCUAUAUGUUUGUAUACCUAAUUAAAUGGUAAUCUAUCUAUCUAUCUAUCUAUCUAUCUAUCUAUCUAUCUAUCUAUCUAUCUAUCUAUCUAUCUAUUGUAUAAUCGGUCGUGGUCGUGGCCAUGCCUAAUUGUAUUGCCUCCCCACAGCCUGACACGGCCUUGAAGACACCCGGCAACCCAAGGGAAGAGAGCGACGGGAGAAAGGGAACAUGUUCUCUGGCCGGUGUAGAUUUUUACCGUAAAAAUAAUAUGCCAAGAAACAUUUGGAUAUUGUAUGACACACUUUUAAUAUUGCAAGCAAACAUGACUUGUACAUAAUAAGAGACACCAUCGGAAUGGUUUCAGCACGAACGUAUGAUGUUUAUCGUUAACUUGUUAUAGUUAUAUUAUGGCUCUAUUUGACACAGCUUAACUUCACUAGUAAAGCUGUUUUUUUAAAAAAUAGCUUGAUAAGCACCUUUCUAAAUGAAGCUAAGCUAUUUUAGAAAAAGUGUUUGGUAAAAUAGCUUCACCAACUACUUCUUGUAUAGAUGGGAGAAAAAAAUGAGGAAGAAAGCUGCAAUAAGCUACUUUUUUCAGCUUUAUUUCAUUUAUGUUUUUGUGAGAGGAUAAGAAAAACAGCUUCAUUCAUAAAGCUGUUUUAGAAACAAGUAUUUAGAAAAAAAAAACAGCUCACAACAGUUCAUGAAGUGUUGUAAUCUGUACCCUAUAUCCCAUCAGGCUCUUCGGUGGAGCUUCUCAAGCUUUCAGCUUCGCCUCUUAAUACACUGUUCAUAUAAGUAUUCGUAGAGUUUUUUUGUUUCUCUCACGUUCUCAGCAAGCCAGUGAAACCACUAUCUUUUUUGCUAGACCGACUUUGGCUAGCUUCUCUAGAUACUAUAACACUAAGCCAAAGCUAGAUGAAGCUCCACCAAAGAGGCCCUAAAACAAUCCGAUGGCUUUACAAGACCCAAACAUAAGUGCCACUGUAAAAGUAUCAGCACACACCAACUCCAGCUAGUAAACUUUCCAAUAACUUGUUUCCCAAUUUAUUACACAAAACAUGAGAUUUUAUCUUGCAGGUUGAACAUAUUUUGGACACCCUCACAUGUGCACACAACGAUAGCAAUAGUUGCUUCCUUCUCACGAAAGACAACAACAAUUGCUGCCAUUUGAGAUUUGACAAAACCAAAUAACUGUAUCUGACUGAAUGAUCAACUCAUCGUACUGCUUCCAGAUAGCAAUAUUAAUUAUGUCGGAACCAGCUAAUGAGCUAGGGCCCAGCUGCUGUAGCAGUAGUCUUGGCGAGGCUCCAGCAGUGCAGGACGCUGCCAGCGACGUCAAAGAAGGCGAGGUGGGCCUCCGUCUUGCUCAGCCGCAUCGACAUAAACCCUUGCCCAUCAUAGAGGAACUCCACUUUGUCCGGGGUGGUCUUGAACUUGCCAGCCCAUGCCCUCGACCCACCGCCGCUCGUCAGAAGCUGAAGAGGACUGCAAAUAUUUUCGUUGUUUUAGAACAUAACAACAACAACGAAGCAAAAGUUGCUGUGGACAUGGAAAAGAACAGACUCUGGUUCUGGUUUUCUUUUGUUAUUACUGGUUCCAAUGGCAAAUGGCCAAGUUCAGGGUGUUCAGUGAACAAGAAAGCUUUGCAUGACAUGUGAAUUAAUUCUGAACUUAAUUUGAUAUUUAAUAUAUUGUCUAAGUCAUCUUUUUCCCGUGGAACUGAUGAUUAGAUGGAUGAGAUGAUUAUAUGCGUGCAUGUGAAACUUCAAUGCUAGUUAUCAUUGCUGGCUCUCUGAUAGAGAACCGGCACCUAUAGUCAACUAUCAGUCCUGACUAAUAAAAGCCGGUUUAGAAACUGACACUGACAGAUACCGUUUUUGGGGACCGGCACAGAUGAACCUUUCACGUAGUAUACUGGGGAAACUCUGUUUACUCUUCUCGCCCACUUAGGCUAGCUUGAGUUUAGAAGCAUUACAUACCCGUUUCAUUACUCAAUGGACAGUGAUCUAGCUACUGAGAGAUGAUGGGUACCUGUCUCUGCUGCUGACGCGCUGCAGACAGUGGUCAUGGCCAUUCACGUACAUGUCAACACCGUGUGUCUGCAAGCGUUGUAGUAGUGGCAUGGGGAAACAAGAAUAUGAUGCAGUUUCACAGUUCAUGUUAAUGGCUAAGCACUACUAUAAGUAGUCAAGAUUAUAAUAUAAUAAAGCUGAGAAGAUAACGCCAUUGUGAAAAUACCUGGAGGACCGGGAGAAGUAUCUCCUUGAGUUCAGUGUUGUUGCCAUGGCCGCAGGCGCUGCUGAUAGGGUGGUGACCGACGACGAUCUUCCACGCAGCCUUGGAUGUGGUCAGUCCAUACUUCAAGUCCUGACAACAGACGUCAUUAUAUAUUAGUUGGAUCAAGAAAUCAGAACAUUCUGCUUAUAAUACCACCAUAAUCACAAGUAGACGAUCGACAUGAGUUAUCAUCUGAUCCAUGUAAUUGACAUAUAGUUCACUUGGUAUAUACAUUGAGGAGAUUUGCGAUGUAGGUGUCGCGAGGAGCGACACCUCUCCAGUCGAACUUGGAGUUGUUCCAGUAGUGGAGGAUGAACGGCGUCGUGUCAAUGAGGAAGAAAUCCGCAAUUCCUUUGUUGAAAAUAAAAGUACACCCACAAAUGAAAAUUUUGCUUUAGAAUAAGUGAGAGUAGAAUAUCUGUAUUUCUUUGCUAUUGUAGAUACGUGUGUAUUUCGUGGUCAUUCAUUUGCUGACCUGAGUUGACAAUGAAGGACUUUGCGAUGACGGUGUAUCGGCUAUCCACCUUGCGAAUGGCAGGGUCGAGCUGCGCGAGCGCAUUUCCCGUGUAGUCAUGGUUGCCAAGGACUGAAACCAUUUCAUGGAAAAUUGAUUAGUGUCACUUAUUAUUCAGCUCCUUAAUUGGCAUCCAUUUGUGUGUGAGUCGGAUGUAUAUAAUACUGUUGCAUUACCGAGGUACCAAGGCUUCUGAAGGCUCUUGGCAGUGUAGAUGUUGGAGAAAGACUCCUUGAAGAGUGGGUCGCUCGUGUUGGCAAUGCCGUCGUCGUAGAUGUUGUCGCCAGUGGAGAUAACGAAGUCGAUGUCCAGCUUCUCCCCCGCCACUCCCAUCUACGUACAGCAAGAACAAAAAAGGAGUAGUUUAAAGCAUCCACCUACUUAAUUGGGAUGAUUAUUGUAGCACUGUUGUGUUACUUGUAAGUUUGAAACAAUAAUUGGGGUUUUGCAUGCUCCUGUCUUAUAUAUAGGGCCGACAUAACUGCUUCAACCGAAGAACAGUAUGAUCCUAUUCCUAGCUACCGUACAAACUGUCGAUAAUGAGGAGAUAUUGUAUGCAAUGUUUGCACACUUUCGGCUACUUAUGACCGACGUGCAUGCAUGCAAUUAAGCACCUCAAAAGAAAUGUCUUUGUCUAGUAGGUUCAGCGUUUAAUUACGCAAGAACGAUGAUAUGAUAUACAGGAAUGGUCUCCAUGUGAUGAUUAUGCAGUCUAGGACGUUGUAACCGACGAGAUGCAACAACCAAUAUUCUUUCAAUGUUUUAAAUGUGUUUUGGACAAGUUCUGAAGCAUUGGAUCUUUCACCAUAUCCAAUAUUUUGGGGUUCGUCGUUGGAUUCGGCAUAAGGACAGUAUUUUGCCUCUGGCAUUCAAGGGAAGUCAUUUGGAAAUAUGACCAUGGAAGAAUCUGGAUAGGACAUUAUGUAUUUUUUUCUAUUUUAGAUUUUUUUCAUGUGUAAUGUGGGGAUGUAUUGUACCAAGAUUUAAUAUAAAUCCCCCUUCCCUUCACAAAAAAUAGAAAUUAAGUUUGCAUUAUUGAACCUAUGACACGAACCCUAGUAAGCUAGCUGGCUGCCCAUGUGUACAAUUAUUAUUCUAACUAAUCAUUCGGACAAUUAUCAAUCUAUACUGCAUUUAUCCGGCUACCAAAAUCAAAUACAGCUUACUGUAGACAACACGUUAGUUGCGUAAGGUGAUGUGUAACUAAUUCAAUUGCGCGCGGGUGCUAGCUCUAACAACUUUUCCGUAAUUCAUACGAAGAUACACAUAUAUAGCAAAUGAAUGUGUAGCAAGUAGAAAAAAAUCUAAAUAGAUGUCAAAUUAACAUUGUGUAUUAAUAGAGAAAUUAUUUGUAAAUAUGAAUCUCAAGCUGCAACCACUUUUUGUUUAUAGCAUAGACAUUUAAUAUCUGUGAGAGGGAGAGUAUUGUUAUUUCUUAUGUCGUCACUGAAGGUAAUUUGUGAGAGGGGGAGUAUUGUUAUUUCUUAUGUCUCUGAAGAUAAUUAAUUGAUUUUUGUUAAGUGUCUACGAGAGCCAGCAUAAAAUAGUAUAGAAGGGCUUCAUGCGUAUAGUGACAAAAAGACGAGGGGUUUGAGUCCCAUGCAAACCCAUGGGUGUCUCACCAGAAAAAAUGGCAUGACUUGCAGCGGUAGGAUCCUCUAGGUAGUGUUUCAUUUUCUCUCAUCCACGACGAUCACUACUGGAAACGUGUAUUGCCCUGUCGGUGCAAAAACCGACAUGACAAAUUUUCAUGUUUGUACAAAAACCGCACAGAAAUAUUUGUCACUCACAGGGCAAUUCAUGUUUCCAGUAGAUCCCAAUAUCUUUUAGAAGUAUAUGUAGUCAGCUCAAAUAAAUGUGCGAGUUGGCCGGGCAAAUUUCACUUUUCAGUCCAAAACCGACUUGACAUCAGAUCAUGGGCCAACCAUUAACAAUCAUGACGAAAGGAUCAUAGGAGAUACGUCUAAAUUGUAAGUCACACUCACUACAGCACCUUUACCGAAUGCCUAUUGGUUUAGCGAGUGCUAAAAAUCGGGCACUCACCAAAGGACUUCUUUGCCGAGUGCCUGGCCACGUGGCAUUCGUCAAAGAAAUGCACUUGGUAAAAUCGUAUUUGCCGAGUGCCUGACACUUGGCAAAGAAAAGCACUCGACAAACCGGCCUCUUUGCCGAGUGCCAAACACUCGACAAAGAACGACACUCGGCAAAGAAGGCCCGAGCCUAACGGUAUCUAUGGCCGUCACCUUUGUCGAGUGCCCGCCGCCUGGCACUCGGCAAAAAACCAAUCUUUGCCCAGUGCUAGGGCUAGCACUCAGCCAAGAUUUUUUUUUAUUUUGGCCACCAAAAUUUUUUGCAGCUUUCACAUAUCACCAUGGUCAACAUGUUCAAAUUUGUCACUUUUUCAUAACUUUUUGUUAUAUUUUUUUGACUUUAUUUUGUUUUCUUGAUUUUUCCCAUAAGAGGCAAGUUUGAACUGUGGAUACAUCGAAUAACGGAUUUCAAUGAUUCAAAAAAUAUUAUUCUUGUUCUUGAAUGUUUGUUUAGGCCAAAUCCAAAAACUGACAUGAAGUUUCGAUCAACGCGCUCUUGGCCUCCAAAUUACUUGUGGGCGGUUUUUUUAAUUUUACAAAAUGCAAACGAAUUCUGAAAAUCAUGAAACUUAGCGAGAUGUCGUUACAUCUAAUGCAUAUGCCAUGGAAAAAAUUUGAAAAAGUUUUGAGCACGUUAUUACGUACGAUGCUCACAAACCAGUACAUCUCCAUAUGUGAUACUUUGCCGAGUGCUGCUUGCACUCGGCAAAGCCAGUGUAUCUAGUAGUGACUAGCUUUCUAGAUAAAUAACUUUUUUUAUGUAACUAGAUAUAACAUAUAUAAUAUCUAGGUGCAUAACAAAUUAAAAGCGAUGCACCAAUAAGAACAACUGAAAGAACUUACAAUUUAGAACUUGAGAGAGAGUAUAUAAAAGCAGAUCCUAUAUAUAGGUUUCAUAGAAGCUGAAUCGAUCAUUGGCAUUUUUGUCGUGUGUUCCAAUAAUGAGUGCAGUGCAGGUAGAGUCGUUAGUGGUACGUGGUGCACACGUACGUACCCGAGCAACAAAUUAACUGAAGCAGGUUUCUAUGCAAGACCAUGUCUUACCACGCAUCAGUGGACCACGACGACGACAUGCAUUGCAUGCAUGCAUGAGAGAGAGUUCCAUUAACGGUUUUGUAACUACUGUACCUGCUGGGCAACCAAGGUCUGGUUGAACUGUCCACGGCGGCCCCAGUCGCCGACGGCGAGGAUGGCGAGUGACCCGUCAGCCUUGGUGGGCGCGUGCUCCACCCGUGGCAGCGCGGCGUCCGCCGGCGACGCCAGAAGCAACGCCGACGCCGCCGCGCCGGCAACGACGACGAGGAAACUCAGUCGGAGCUGAUGAUCAGCAUGAGCUGGAGCCAUGGCUACUAGAGGAAUGCAGCAGAGAGAGAAGCACUGCAUGCAAGAGCCGUGGUAGUACGAGUGUAUGUAUGUGCCUGUCGUCUCCCGGCCCAAUCGUGACGAGCUAGCUCUCAUGCAUUUAUAGGCACGUUUGUUGGCGCGAGACCUAUAAUAUAAUUGGAGCAGCUGGUCCGUUGCAUUGCAUGGUGUGUGUGCGAGCGUGGUCGCUGUUGUGUACUGCUCACGGCAUUGAAUCACGGUUGGUGAGGAGCAACCGAUCCACGUACGGAAAACCAUGCAUGGCUUUGAUUUUCUUUGAAUUGCAAUUAACGUUGCUAGUUCGGGUGAAGCCUUUGCUACAAUCAAUCAUUGGUGAGAUUAUCACUGUGGAGGUUUUUCCAGAGAGAGUGCAGUACGGAAAGUAACCAUCGCAGCUAGUUGAAGGAAAAAGCGUGAUGGCGCCAGAACAACGUGAUUCUUUUCGUGCAAUUUAACGUACAUCUAGUGAUGAUCGAGGGCACGCAUUAUUGUAUUCUAUCAACCCUAUUAAUUCACCAACAUAAACAUUACUACACCUACACGAUAUAACCUCUCCCACUGAGAUGGUUCACCUUCACUCACCUUAAAAAUUGUACCUAGAAAAAUAACAUCAUACAAAUCAACGAUCCAGAUUGCUUCUCAGCCUUCUCUCUCCUUAGGAAAGCCAAGAUCAACGAUUCCAGAAUCGGUAAUGCUCUAAUUAAGACGUCCGGAACGGACGGACACCUCAUUAGCUCUCGCCCGCACCUGCCUGUUCCUUGCGGCCCCUUCCCGCACCCGCUUGUUCCUUCUGCCACCUUCAUGCGCCGCGGCAUCUUCACACCCGCGUGCCACGAUGCUCCUCUAUUGUGCUGCACCUCCGCCCUCCCCCCCUCCUCCGGCUCCAGUGUGGAGGUGGCCCCGGCGUGAGCGUGAGCUGUGAUGCACACGGUCAACCCCAGCGACCCUUUCCUCUUCUCCGAGCGGUCACCCCUGGCCUCAACAUUACGCGGGGAUGGGCGCAACUCCGACGUGGCCGCAGAUCCGGUGGCUCCUUCACCCACAUCGGCGUCCUACUCCAACCACCUCGGGCGGUUCCUUCACCCACCCCGGUGGCGCCCCUUCCCUCACACCGGCAUCCUCCCCCACCGGUAGCCUCCAAUACCCACAGAUUUGAUGGCCAUGGCACUACCCGCGCUAGGGAUUUCUCUCCCACCUUAUGCUGCAAUUGUAUGUUUUAGUUGUUUCAGAAGGUUCAUAGGUAUUGCAGUUGAAUUAUAUGGAUGUUGUAAAAGUAGAUCGGGGGAUGUGGUAUGUUGCAAUUGUUUUCUGAGACAUGUCGCAAUAGUAUGUUUGAGUGUUCCAAAUGUCCAAGCGUUUUUUAUAUGGAUAUUGUAUAUGUUCCACAUAUCUGUUGCAACAUUAUGUUCCAAAAUAUUUUUUCUGUUCCAGUUUUCUGUUGCAGCAAGUGUUUUCAAGUUGAAAGUGUCCUUUUUUUUAGAUGUUGCAUAUGUGUUUCACAUAUGUUGCAACUACAUGUUCUAGAUGUUUCAUCCGUUUAAGAUGUUUGUUGCACUCAGGUUUCAUAUUGCACAAGUUUCAAGUUGUUUUGAGAGUUAGGGGCCAUCGAGGAUUAGGGAGCGGCGAGCCGGUGGACGUGGCACGUGGCAUGCUUAGAGGCCAUCGUCAGGGGACACGACGGGGUAGGGGUGCUCCUGCAGGGAUGGGGAAUGGGAUGAGGUGCGGGGGCAUGGGGGGCAACGUGCGAGCGUGUUGAGCGUGCAAGUGGUGUCUCGAUGGAAGCUAAGCUCAUGUGCAUGUGUGUGGGGAGCGGAGGGGUUACCGGUGAGCGCACAGGCAAGGUAGCAGCACGAGCGUCCGGACGCUAGCGCUCGGAACGGACGUCCGGGCGCUAGCACUUUUAUUCCAAAAUACAUGAAUCCCGGUACAUAAAUGUACUGUUGGAUUUAUUUUAGGCUAGGCUUAAUUUAGAUUUAAUAAAUCAAUAAACUCUAUGGUAUGUAAUUGUGGAUAAUAUGAGUUGUAUCGGAUUGGAAUUCCAAGAGUCCUUGACGCUGCUGCCGCUGACCAGAGCCUGGCGUGGGCGUGGCGAGGCGAGGUGGGCCAGGCAGGUAGGCAUGCGGUGUGGUGGUGUGAUGUGUUAAUUUUUAGCACUCACUAAUUAUAGGAUUUUCAACUCCUGCUUGUCUCUUCAAUUGCCAUCCCUUUCUCUCCUCCCUCUCCUGCCGCAAGGCUAUAAAGAGGACAUGAGCCUCUGGUCUUGGACACACAACACACAACUUAGAACACAAUCCUACUGUAAAGAAGGAAUCCUCAUCUCGUAACUCCACGCGCACGAAGGAGCGAGAGGGCAGGUGCCUCCGAAAGCCCUUGCCGUUCAAAACCUUGCACGAGGGAUCAACAAUUAGGUUUUUGGGGAGCGUCUACGCGACUGCCCAAUUCACCGCUGCUGUUCGUCUUCCUCAAGCUGGUUCGGGCGGAUUUCUCCUUCCGAGUGGAAAGAUCGUCUUCAUCCUCUACAUCAUGGAAGUUGGUCAAGGAUCGGGAUCAUCGUAGCGCAUGGGAGGGUAUGAUCCAUUCAUCUUCAUGUUGUGUUUUGUCUUCCUGUCCGUACAUGUUGCAGUAGUGUAUUCAUGUUGUUGCGUAUACUAUCCUCGAUAUGUUUCGUAUGUUCUACCAUGUCUUUUCCGUUUCUAUCUUAUAUAUGUUUUUGCUGUAAGAUCUAUGUCAUGUCUGCUUGUUUCGUUGGUUAAGUCGAGACGUUUCAUAUGCUAUUCUUUUUGUGUUUCAGUAGUGGUUCAGUCACGUCUUAUGAUAUACUGUUUUUCAAAUGUUUUAGUAGUUCUGUUUCGUCGUUUCACAUGCAAUCUUUUGUUUAUUGCUGUCUUGAGAUAUAUGUCUUGCCUUGUUAUUAUGUUUCAUAUAUUGUGUUUUUAUAUUUUUAAUAAUCUCAUGUUCUACAUGUUCAUAGAUCACAUAUGUUCCAUAUUGCUAUGAACAUGUUUAAAAUCAUGAUUUCUAUGAUUAAUUAUAUUAUAUAUGUCAUCAUCAUAAUGUUGAUUUAUGGAAUUAUAAAAUGAUAUAGAAAUUGUCUAAUUAUCUAACAUGUACAUGAAUCACGACCCACCUUGACACCCGCCGGCUCUUGGAGUGCCUCUAGGCGCGCGUUCACGCCGCCACUAGCACCGCCGGUCGCGCUCACGUGUGGCCAGCCCGAUCGGAGGAUGCCGUGGGCGCGUUCGACAACGGUGGCGUCGCGUGCAGGGUGGCCGCCAUAUACAGGAGCUCCUUCUCCUUUGCGUCCGUGCCUUGCCUCGAUUUGUUCCUCCUUCCUCUUCUCUGGUCCAUCUUGUUUUUUCCUCCUCCUAGAAACUGUCAAAGGAGAGAUUUGUUUUCCUGCUAGGCCUGGAAAAACAAGUGACGAACGUCUACUGUGGCUUCAUUGCCUGCGAUGAUGCCGUGCAGCGCAAAUUUGCCGCUGCCGCCACCGCCAUUAUCCUCGUCGUCGACACCAUCGUGCUGGUGAAGAUUAAUAACCUUUCAGUUUUCAACAUGAUCAAAGCACCGUCUACCAACAAAGCACGGAUGUUCUAUCUUUUUGUCAAGGAGCAGCACAGGAGGGAUGUGUCCUCAUUUGUAGUUUUGAUUCAGAUUGUGUUGCUCUCUUUCUAGGGUUUGUGAGUUGGCUAGAUUUGGAAAAGUCGAAGAAAACAUAACGGUUAACCAAGAACACUUGUGGCAUAUAUGAUACUAUAUAUGGCCAAUUCUUUUAGAGUUAGCUUUGAGGAUUUACCUAAAUUAAGUGAAGUUGAUGCUAUUUUUUUUUAAAAAAAUAUAGUCAAAUGAUGCUUGCUUUUUUUCAAAUACGUAGGAUAACUGAUUCUAUAUGGUUUGCUCUCGUUUUCUUAAUUUCCAUGUGGACUUCGGGCUUGCAAGAUAGUAGCUGGACAGCAAUACCGGAAGAAGUUGGAUGGCCACCAGGUCUCUAAACUGAUGGACUCAACAUGCCAGCGUCCAUCUGUCUGUGAGGACAACAUUCGUCAGGUGCUUGCUAUUUCUCCAUAAUUUUUCUGUUUUAUUUGAUCUAAAUUGUGGGCAAAUACAAAUAAUUUGCAACAAAUGUCUGUAUAUAAUUAAUUAAAUGGUGAACUCUAAAGUGUAAUUCAAAAUUGGACCAGCAACUGCAUUUUUUUCUAUAGGUCGGUGGAUGACUCGACAAAGAAAGCAACAAGUUGAUUUUGAUGCGCGGAACAUUUUUUGACUGCGCAAGGUGUCUAAUUUCUGGGGAAAGGUAUAUGGCUUGUGACGAUUUCUUGUGCGUUUGGAAACCUCUAGCUGUUUGAUGCACAACAAAUUAAACCCCUUAUUCAUUUGGCAGAUAAAUCAUGACAGAAAGUACUGUUGACUGAUUUUUUAUGAGAGAAAAAUAUUACUGAAUGACUACCAGAUUUGGUUGGUAAGCUCAAGCGAAAUUAAUUAUCAUUCAUGUCCAUUUAGUAGAAAUAGGAAUAUUACACCAAUCAAUGUGCAUAGACGAAGAAAGGCUUGCUAAGUAUUUUGUUGGUCCACGUGGAUGGAGAUAAGGUUGGAAAACAAGUAUUGAUCGUUUUAGUUUCGCUUGGAGACAAAAAAGAAAGGUACAUCUAGAUAUAAAGGCAUAAGGUGUUCCCGAUCGAGGUUUGUAAAAUUAGCGGAGUUACAAAGUAAUAAUUGUUCAAAUAAGAUAAUAUCAAAAUAUAAUUCCAGAAAGUAUCCUUUGUGAAAUACUUUUUUUAGCUAGACAUAAUAUUCUUCUUUUUAUUUUUUAAGAUAUUUAAGUCAAAGUUACUAAAAAGGAUUUCCCAAAUGUAAUGUGUUGAGCUGUAAUGGCUAAGUCUUAGGGAAGGUUAUUUUAGCUUGCAUAUAUUUUAAUUUUAAUUUGCAUAGACUCCAACGUUAUCAUAGCGUUAGCACGUGCAGUGUAUUGCUGAUAAUGCAUAUUGUGGAAAGGAAAAAAAAGGGAUUAGCUAAAGUUGGCAGUACAAAAGGUGCACUUGAAUAUUGUGGAAUUAAAUAAUAGCAAAAAAAUGAGACAAUUUGAACUAGAUUGACUGAAAAUAUUUAAAAAAACAGACCAAGGCCUGUUCGAAAAACAGGUUGGCUGGUUUGGGCUGUCCUUGUGCAUGUGCUAAAGAAGGCAGCGUAGGCAAGUUUUAACCACUGGAUUGUCAUUGCACUCCCUCUGUCUACAAAUAAAUGUACGUCUCGAUUUGGAGGAGUCAAACCUUUUUAAAUUUAACCAAAUAUAUAUAAAAAUAUAUCAAUAUUUAUUAUAUGUAACAUGUAUCAUUAGAAUGAGCAUGAAUAUACUUUCAUAAUAUACUUAUUCGCAGAUACAAAUAUUGAUUUUCUUUGAUAUAUUUCUAGUCAAACUUAAAAAAGUUUAACUCCUUGAAAAACGAGAUGUGCAUUUAUUUGUAGACAACGGGAGUACCAUGCAUUGUAGUAUUAAGGCCUUGUUUAGUUGUGAAUUUUUUUUGGAUUUUGACAAUAUAGCAUUUUCCUUUGUUUGUGGCAAAUAUUGUCUAAUCAUGGACUAAUUAGAGUCAAAAGAUUCGUCUCGCGAUUUGCAGACAAACUGUUCAAUUAGUUUUUAUUUUCAUCUAUAUUUAGUGCUUCAUGCAUAUGUCGCAAGACUCGAUGUGACGGGAAAUCUUGAAAACUUUUUAGUUUUUAGGGUGAACUAAACAAAGCCGUAUAUAAAAAAAGUAUAUCACAGACACACGUUUAGGCAUAUCACGGAUCGGAUGCGCCUGAAUUGCAAUUAACGUUGCUAGUUUCGGUGAAGCCUUUAAUUUGCUACAAUCAAUCAUUGGUGAGAUUAUCACUGUGGAGGUUUCCAGAGAAUGCAGUAUGGGAAGUAACCAUCGCAGCUAGUUGAAGGAAAAGCGUGAUGGCGCUAGAACAACGUGACUCUUUUCGUGCAAUUUAACGUACAUCUAGUGAUGAGGGCACGGGUUAUUAUCUUUGCUGAUAAUGCAUAUUGUGGAAAGGAAAAAACCGGAUUUGCUAAUUCUUGGCAGAACAAAAGGUGCACUUGAAUAUUGUGGAAUUAAAUACGAGCAAAAAAAAAUUCAGACAAUUUGAGCUAGAUUGACUGAAAAUAAAGAAAAAACAGAGGCCUGUUCGAAAAACAGGUUGGCUGGUUUGGGCUGUCCUUGUGCACGUGCCGCUAAAGAAGGCAGCGUAGGCAUGUUUUAAACAUUGGAUUGUAAAUAUACCAUGGAGUGGAUUAGUUUGCUUCAUACAACUAUUUAAAAAAACACACAUCACAUAGGCACAUUUAGGCACACAGAUGCGUCUGCACGCGUCUGCCGUAAUGCGUCUGUAAUAGUAAAACACAUGUCUGUAAUAAGUGGAUACUACAUACGUGUGUUAACAACACGAGACUACGAUCAAGACAAACACACGUCUAUAAUAAACCCUUAACAAAGAUUGGUGAGUAUUUACACACAUCUGGAGUAAGCUCUUAUUGGUGACGCAUGUUGCGAACACGCGUCCACGAUAAGAUUAUGGCGCUUUUGUGUGAAGAACCAUAGUUCACACACAUGUACUGUACAAGCGUCUAUAGUAGACGAUGUUUAUAAAAUGCAUCUGCAGUAGUUAGCAUACUACCGACUCAUAGACUCUACAUGCAUCUAUAGUAUUUUACUUACUACCAUUGACUACUACAAAUUUAUUAUUUUCUAAACUUUGAAAUUAAAAUGAUCUAUAUAAAAAACCUUAUAUUUCUAUAUUUCUAAACCAUGAAAUGAGCAAUGUAUACUAGCAAUGAAAGGUGGAUACUAGUUUUGAUGAACUACUUUCAGCUUUCUUCAUCUAAAUAUGCAAACUAGCUAUCAAGUGAUUUUGAGUUUAAGUGGUGUAUAAAUCACAAAAAUCCACCAUUAUUCUAAAUAGAAUAAACCACAUUUUUUUCUAUUUCUAGACCACAAAUGAGCCUAGUGAUAAAACAUAAGAGGACAAAGUUGGUAACCUUCAGAACCGAAGAUUGGAUGAAGGAAUCAAAUGAAAUCUUGAAAUGACUAGAGACGAGCAAGAAGGAGAUGGACACGAGCAAGAGCAGAGGGCUUCAAAUGGCUUGGGCUUGGGAAGAAAGACAGAGAAAGUACAAAGCCCAGAACCUAUAGUCCUAGAUUGUGGUUUAAACACAGACUACUUAUUGUCCUAGUUGGAGAUUCCAACCGGUAUUAAAGGUUUAGUCAUGGCUAGUAGUUCCAACUAUGGCUAGAGUUUGACCUUUAGUCCCGAUUUGAAUCACUAGCUGAGACUAGAGGUGCUCUCCUGCAAAAGAGGUGCUCUCCUGCAAAAGUUUGUGGUUCUAGCCAUUGGGCAGGAGACUUAAGUCCCGGUUGGUUACUCCACCUAAGAAUAAUACUCUCUUUAGUCUUGGGCUAAAAAUGGCCAAAACUAAAAACAAAUUUCAAUCCAAAUGGAAAGUCUAUUCUCCACUAGUAUUUUAACCUUGGCAGGCCAUGUUGAAAGACCAAAAACGGCGACCAGAGGGAGGGUGAAUGGCCUCAAAUUUCUUUCAAAAUAUUUGGCCACAGUCCCAAAAUCACUCCCGAGCACAAGUAAAUUAUCGAAUUUAAAAUACCCAAGCCAACUGGUAUCGAAAGUACCUAGAUCGAUUACUUACAACGAUAGAAAAACAGCAUAACAAACGGAUCACAAAACGAAGCUCAAACGAUCAAGCUACGAGCAAAAUAAUAAAUCGGAGCUAGAAAAGAAAAAGAAGCCGAUGAAGGGUCUGCUCUUCAUGGUGUAGCUACAAAAGAACAUGGUAGAGCUACCGAGAGCACAAACUCAAGCAAGGAUUAUCUCUGAGAAAGAAUUAAAAAAAUCCAAACACUAUUGCUGCACUGAGACAGCUUCCAAAGGUUGAGAUAACAAUUCACGUGAACCGCUAUUGCUGCUCUUUGAGCUGAGCAUGCAGGGGGGUGCUGUUUGAGCACGCAGAGAUACUACAGAGAGAGACGCUGGGCACCAACACUACUUGGGCGUGUCCCCUUCCUGCUGGAACGGUGCGGAUGGCCAAGAAGCCUCUCGAGCGCCCGUUCGGUGCUCGGUACGGCACUGGACCUCCCUGACUUUGCCUGCGAUGGAGCCGAAAGAGAGACUCGAUCAGUGGCAGAGCAAAAGUGAGCAGCUCGAGGGCCUGGCGGGGCGAGCGCCGCUCGAUUGAGCAGACACAGCACCUAAGCGCUCGGUGUUGGCAGCGCACUGCCGCUGAAAAAGCACGCACGACUAGACCCCAGAAGCACAGGAACUUGACGAACCCGACGAACUCGAUGAACACAGAAAGCGAGAGGCGGUUAAGAAAAUCUCGGUAAAAUUCGACUCAAAAUUUCAAGAAACGCUCCUAAAAUUUGCACGGACCAAAUUCACCUAGCAACGAAGCUAUUCGCCAAAAAUCAUUGCCUGGAAUUGACCCAAACUCUAAGAAAUUCAGAUCACAGCCAAGAACGAAAAACACACCACAAGUGCAGAACGAAAAUCACAGGCUCAAAAUUGGAAUCCCCGAGGACAUUUAGAAUUUGGAAGUCCAUUCCUAAUUGAAAUCACACAAAAUACACCAUGAAUUUUUAGUUCACAUGACCUCUCUCAUGAACAGGAAACUAACCCUAGGUAGAGAAAGGGGAAAUAAGAGUGGGGAGAGAGGUGGGGGAGACAAGGGACUCCCCCUUCUUAUUUAUCAGACAUAUUACAUAUUUUCUAAUUGUCUAUAGAUAUUUUUAAGCGAUCUAAUUAGCCACAGGGACAUUCUAGUCUAACUCGACAUAACCUAGAUCUGACGGCCACGGCGCCUUUCAUGAGGUAACUUAGCCUUGACGCCAACUCCUUAAUGCCACCACGUGGUGUCCGUUCCUCGAAACCUCCGCCCGGGUUCUGAGGUCCAAAUCCGUGAAACCCACUGCGGCUAGUCAUCCAGCCUUCUGGUCCGUCAGUCCAAGCCUCACAUCCGUCCUUCACCGCUCCAGAUCCAUCGACACGGCAUGUCUCUACUUGACCUUCUCCUCGCCGUCGACCACCGUCUCCGAACUCCACACCUACACACCACAAACCAAGAGACAUGUCGCACGACUCAACUCAUGCCAAUAGUUAGUCACUAACUCAAUAUUUAGCCAAAACCAAAUCCAAAAGACUUCACAUCGGUGGUUUGUUUAUUGAUUUACAUGAAUCGGUACCGGCGGGACAGCUAAUUCGCAAAUUGACAUGGUUGGGCCCCAUAGGCUUGAAUGUUAGUGACUAACUGGGCCCCAAUGACGAAUUGACGCUUGCUAGCGGGGCAAACUGUCCGGGCUCAAAUAUUGGUCGUUUCAGCAAAACUGAGCUAUGAAAUCUGCAUCGAGUAUGGCCUUACUUGUGGGCCCGCAAAGCAAAGCAAAGAGCCGGUCCAUGAAUAAUAUUCAUUGCCGGCCAACCCCAUUUGGAUGUUCAUGUGAUCGCUUCUUGAUGCUAGUAUUGACGUUUUCUUGAUGUUAGUAAUGACGUAAUAAGGUGCUGGUCGUAGCGAGUUUAAAUAAUUCGCAUGCAUUCCACUUCGUGUGUGGAUUGUGGACGUCUCUUUCCCUCUUGAUGCUAACGGCACUAUAAGAAAUGCAUGAUUUUUUGACAUAUUUAGUAUGACAAUAGACCGUGAUGUCAUUAUAUCAUCUAGAUUAUGACAUUUUGUAAUAAGUAUUUUGACCUAGUGACAUAAAAAAGCUGGAUGUCAUAAUAAAUGUCAUAGAACUAUUCUAAUUUCAUACUAUAAAAAUAUUCACUAUGUCAUGAGACCUAAUUUAUAAAUAUCAAAAAAAAUUGACAUAGAUUGGGUGUCAAAAAAUAUUUUUAGAAAUAUUUAUCAGCGUGAUUACUCAAAUGUUUGCCGUGGCAAGGCUUUGAACCCAUGACCUUCCGUUGGAACUAAAAGAGCAAACCAAAUGGACCAACGUUUGCCUGUGCUUGUUUGAGCAUUGUGGCUUUCUUUUGUUCUCAGGAGUCUGAUGGAGGGGAAAACAAGGGUUUUAAACAUGGGACCAAUUGCCAACAAGUAAACGAGCUAAGGCCAGUCUCAAUGGAGAGUUUCAUAUCAUUGUUUUCAAGGUUGCCAUGUCAUGUGAAAUGAAAUAAAACUUGGAUGAAACACCCACUCUCAAUAGAGAGUUCCAUUCUACGGUUUCAUAGACAUUUAAUUUUAAGACUCAUAGAGAGUUGGUAAUUGUGUCAAGAGAGUUUUAUCUAGAUGAAACCCAUUUCUUCUCUCUCUUCUUAAAUACAGUGUCAUAUCAUCCAAAAUGCCUAUGUGACAGCCUAUUUAGUGUGAAUAAAACUCAAGAUGAAACUCCCACUAAGACUGGCCUCACCACUAGGUCCAUUAUUUGAUAGUUACGUUUUAGGCGUUCUGAACUUUUUUUCUUCUUCGCAUAUGGGGUUCGAACCUGUCCCCCUCCUAAACAGUGUGAGCUAUCUGCCUUCUUUUCACAUCAUCUAAUAUCCGCACACACAAAUUACUCUUCCACUUUAUUUUUCAUCCCUACUAUUUUGUUUUUGUUUCCAUUAUUUAGGAAUUAAAAUAUCACACACGUAGAAAUUACUCUUCUAUUUUAUUUUACAUUCCAUCAAGGCUGUCAACAAUCUCAAAGGUGCAAAUCUUAGAACAAGCAAUAAGUUCCACUCUCUUGAUGAGAGAUUCUGCCAACCCAUUUUGAGUAUGGAUAUAUGGGACCGAGUGGUGAACGUGAAUUCCUAAAGCCAUGCAAUAGUCAUUGAAGGCAUGUGAAGAAAAUUCAGCAGCAUUAUCCAUUUGGAUGGAUUGGAUUUGAUGUUCAGGAUGUUGUGCCUUAAGUUUAAUAACUUUGGCAAUGAUUUUAGCAAAUGCAUGGUUCCUUGUGGAGAGGAGACUCACAUUAGACCAUAGUGUAGAUGCAUCUAUGAGAACCAUGAAAUACCUGAAUGGCCCAAACGACGGUUGAAUGGGACCACAUAUGUCUCCUUGAAUGCGUUCAAGGAACUUUAAAGGUUCGGCAUGAAUUUUGAGAUAAGAGGGUCUCAAAAUUAAUUUCCCCGUGGCACACGCAGUGCACACAAAAUCUGAUGAUUGAGGAAAUUUUGCAUCACUUAAAGUGUGACCAACAGAAUUGCUUAUAAUUUUCCGCAUCAUCCCAAUGCCAGGAUGGCCAAGGCGUUCAUGCCAAGUUUGGAAUGUGUUAACAUUCUGGAAAAUAAUUUUAUAAGCAACAUAUAGUACGGGUUUUAUGUAUGUGUAGUACAAUCCAGACUGGAGUGAGGGAACUUUUUCAAGUGUCUCUUUGCCAUAUCCGUUAUCUUUGGUAAUGAGAAGAAAUUCCUCUUUAUUGUCCAUGUGAGUUUCAACAUGGAAACCAUUCUUAUGGAUAUCUUUAUAACUCAAUAGGGUACGCAUUGAAUCAGGAUACAAUAAUGCAUCCUCAAUUGUUAGCGAUGUACCCAUAGGGAGCAUAAUAGUGGCUCUACUGGUGCCAACUAUUACUACAUCACGUCCAGCGAUUGUUAAAACAUUUUCUUUAUUCUUCGUGAGAGUUUGGAAAUAUUUUAUCUCCCUGAGUAUAGAGUUAGUGGUACCACUGUCCACUAAGCACAUUUCCUCUUCCAUCUUGAUUGACUCCCGUACAAUCUAUACAAAUGGAGAAAUUUGAAACAUGUAAUUCUCAACCAAUAUGUAUAGAAUACAUACUAUAUAUAUAGGUACUAAUUGUGCAUAAUACAAUUACAAUACCCAAUGUGCUUAAACAAGUAUAGUUCAAGGACUAACUUAUUACAUCCAUCCACAAUUUAACAACAUCAUCCACAAAUACUAUAUAAGGUAGCAAGGUAUCUCGAAGUGCAGGAGCCUAGUUGAAGUCUCCAAAGAUGUCGCCAGAGGUGUACUCCAUGAUCAUGUUCUCCGUAUCAGCGUCGUUUCUCCAUCAGGUGGUGGCAGGGCCUUGGUGUUGCUCGGUCCCGCAGGAGCGGUGUUGGAGCACCCAGGGGCAUCUAGCAUCGGUAGGUCAAGCUGGAAUGCUUGUUCCAUGUUGACACCGGCUUGAAAGUUGAAGUGUGCUUCAAAUUGUCCACCUUGAUUGGAACGUCCUUGAUCAGAGCGUCCUCAUCCCACGGAUUUCAAGUACAAUUCCACAAGUUGCUUGGGAGUGCGGCAUUUCUGAGUCGGAUGGCUAUAAUAGCCACAUUUGUCACAAGUGCUAGACUUGUAGGCUUCUUUUUGUCUAACUUGGAACAUCCUUUCCCUUGUUAGCACCCCGAGACUUACGCUGUCUCUGUCUCUUAUGCAUGUUCUUUCCUUUGAAGUUUCCAGGAUCACUAGAGUUAGUGGUAUUCCUUUGCUGUUUUGUCUGAGUGUUAGUAUGUACUUCUGGCAGAGGCUUGGUUCCCACAGGACGUAGGUUGGAGUUCCACAUAAGGACCUCACCAUGCUCUUCUUCCUGAAGUAAUGUCUUAAUUAACUCAGAAUAAACAGUGAAACCUCUUUCACAGUAUUGUUGCUGAAGGAUCAUCUGAGCAGGAAGUAAGGUAGAUAGAGUCUUCUCAAUUUUCUCUACAUCAGAUGGUUCCUUUUUGCAAAAUUUUAGUUUAGCACUGAGUUUAUGAACAACAUGGUUGAACACUCCCACAGAUUUAAAAUCUUGUAUGCGGAGAUGGUUCCACUCAUUUAGAGCUUCUCGUAGGAUGAUUGCCUUUUGUUGUUCAUAUCGUGUUUGAAGAGCAAGCCAUAGAGCGCGUGGGUCUUCUUCCAAUAUGUACUCAGCUUUGAGAUCCUGGUGGAUGUGGUUCCUUAUGAUGAAUAAGGCAUUGUACUUGUGAGGAUCAGUCAAUGCAUCAACUCCCUGUUGGGGUGGUGCAAUUGCCUGAUACAACCCGCGCAACGAUAGACUCACUUUGUGAUCCAUCGCCCAUGUGGUGAAGUUGUGGCCAUCAAGAGCGAGUACCUCAAACUCUAUGGUGGCCAUUGUGCCUACAUGAGUAGGGCCAUAGAUUUGUUAAAAAUCCUUGACAAUGUUGAAAAGUAGUGCGGAAUGCAAUUAAUCAAGGUAAACUUGAAAUAGAGGGACAUUCUCCAUUUAUGGAAUAACAUAGUCAAUCACCGAUGGUGUUAACUUUAGUUUAAUUUAAUUCUCAACAUUGGGUAUGCACGGUUAGGAUAAAAUCCCGCAGUAGUACUAUAGUACUAUCAUGUGUAUGGCCAAUGUGAGAAGAAUUAUAUGGUAAUCACUUCGGUGUAGACCUUGUUUUAUAAUCAAAUUGGGUACGCACGUUGAGGAUAAAAAUCCUGCAGUAGUACUAUGUUACUACCUUGUGUAUGGCCAAUUUGAAAAUAAAAGAUAGUCACCAAAAAGUGUAGACCAAUUUGUUUCAAAACUUGAUAUUGGGUAUACACGUUGAGGAAUAAAUCCCGCAGCAGUACUAGGGUACUACCUUGUGUAUGGCCAAUAUAAAAAAUUAAGAAAACUUAGUGUUAUUCCAGAAAUGAGAGAAAAUCAACUGAAAGCAUUUGCAUAAAAUAUUAAGUGCUUGUAUGGGAAGCUAGAAACUUAAUAUAUAAAUUGCAUAAAAUAAAUUGCAAUAAUUUUGUGGAGUAUGUUGUUAUUGGGAAUGCCGGAGGCAACACUGUGAACAAUAUACUCAACACAAAAAUAUUCAUGUUAUUGGGAAUUGCAUGAAGCAAACACUUUGAACAUGAACAAACCAUGUAUAUUAUAUUGCAUUUAAAGAAACACACAUAUAUAUAUAUACAUGGAUACAUCAUCAGGGGUCUAAAAACAUUAAAACAAUUUAGACUAACACACUGAUGAACAGUACUGCAAAAUUAGCAAUUAACAAGAUAGUUAACAAACUAAAUAUAACAGAAAUAAGUAGAUAAAUAUUGGGAACAAACAAGCUAGCUAUCCAUCGACAAAGGUAAAACAACAGAUAGUAGAUGCAAGCCCAUCCAGCAUGUGUGCUGUACGAGCAUACUCCUAGCCAUAAAGAAAGGCCACUUCUAGCUCUCUCCAACCAGAAAGCAAACGAUGGACCGCACACUUGCAUGUGUGCUGUACAAGCCCAUCCAGCAUAUGCCGUAAGCAGAAGCAAGCAGGUAGUGCUCUCUCAUCCCACGCUCGCAUCCAAAGCCAUGCUCCUCCCUCAUGGUGUGCUCAAGAUGGCGGGGAAGCAAGACCCCCAUCCUCAUCGGAGGAGGACCGUGUGCCACCGUUUCCGCUCGGCCCGGCAUGGCCGUUCGGGAGGCUACGCGCCGAGUCACCGUGGGGAACGCAAAUCCAUGUCCGACGGAGCCCCAGGUGGCGGUUGGCGGCCUGUCCGGCAUGCACGUGGUGACGGGACGCUUCAGCAAGCUGUGGAGGAGGACGCGGUGCAGCAAGCUCUGUGUCGGUGAUGAUGCGGCGUGCCGGGGCAUAUUGACGGGCCGCAAUGGUCAAAGGAGAACGGCUCUGGUGCCUCCUCAAUCCAGCCACGGUGAAGGACGGAGUCGGUGCACUUAGCGCCGGCUCAAUCUCCAUCGCUGCGGGGCCGGCCCAGUUAGAGGGGCCAACGACGUCCGGCGCUGGAGGAGGAGGGGCGCAGGGGCCGUGGCCAUGGUCGGGGCAGAACCUCGGCAACCACAAUGGGCAUGGCCCCGGCGCGUGCUCGGCGCAAACCGGCGCAGGGGCCACAGGCGCAUCGCCCACGCGACAACAACCACCAUGACCGCCGACCCGCAUCCGGAGUCCGUGGCCCCUAUCCCUUCCCCGGCGUUCACCAGCCUUUCACCGAGAAAGGAAGCAGAACAUGUCGAGCAGUUCAUCGCGGAUGUAGUGGUGGUUGAACGACACCCCCAAGUUGAGGGCACGGUGGAGGAUGAAAAAGACGAGAUCGGCGACAAGGAUCGCUGAAGGUACGUAGCGCGGCAUGGUACCUUUGGAUCGGCUUCUUCGCAAACUUGAAUGGCCUUCAACUCCUUGCAGGCCUGCUCACCAGCGUUCUUCUUCCUGGACUCCCUCUCGAGAGCACAUAGACUCAAGCAAUUGUUGAUAACGUGUUUGCGUUGGAAUGUAAAUGAGAAUGUAAAUGGGUGAAUGAACAGUCUUUCAUUGAUCUAGUGAUGUAUAUUUAUACACCCGUACGAACACCAUGGCGGAGUGCUUGCAGGCAACCGCUCAUGGCGCCGACGGUUCGACAGAACGUGGUGAGUGGGAUCGGGAGCGGGAGCGAGUGCGGGAGCAGUUCCCGUUCUCUGAUGAGAUCAACCCAGUCAAUAGUUGUAACAUUAUUGAAUUUGGAACAUCCAGCGUGGCUUUCUCCUAGUCGUCGCUCCUCGGUCUUUAACUGCAUCUAUCUAAUCUCCCUGGUGGACAAACAAUAUAAGUAAUUUAGUAGAUUUUUUAUAGCAAAAAUAGAUUAGUGCACCCUAAUCUCACCCUGCCCCUGUCCCAACCGCUGCAUGAGGCGGUGCAUUGCCAGCAUGAGCAUCUUGAAGCAACGCUGCUACCCCCGAUCGAUGCUCUGCAUGAGGCGGUGCAUUGCCAGCGUGAGCAUCUCGAAGCGGCGCUGCUGCCCCUGCCCCUCGAGCAGUGGUGGACCUAGCUAGAAUUUUGGCAUAGGGUAUGCCGCGACAACAUUUUCACGCGUGAUUCUGCCAAUCCUAUUUUGCAAUUGGGUAUAUACAGUAACAAAAGUUAUCCCACGAUUCAGUAUAUAAAUAUGAAUAAUUCAUAAAUCAAAAGUACCUAAAUUCCUAAUAUUUGACUACUAUAUGAAGAAAACCUAUUUGAUUUUACACGCUACCUCAAUGCGUAAAUUUAAUGUACAUAAACAAAUUGUAUUAGUUAAACGGAAAGAAGGUAUAUCAUGCUAUUGGACUUGAGCAUAAAAGGAUGGCUUGGUUUUGAAAUGUUGUACAGUGUAUAGGUGUUUGGAGCUUUUGUGCCUGAUGAACGAAGUAGUACCUCUACUGCUCAACGCUGGCUACCUGCCCUAGAUCUUAUAUUAAUUAUUAUAAGCAAACGAAAUGAGUAGACCCUGGAGCAGCUACUUCCUAGCUUGCACUAGCCUAGGGUAUGUCGUGCCAUACUGGUGCCACCCACACUGGCUCUGCCAAUGCCCUCGAGGCCUCGACUGCCCCUCGAUGCUUACCGCCAGCCGGCCGCACUCUGGAUGCCCGGCCAGGGGGGCAGGCGGUCCGACGGUUACUGCAGUGCACCGGUACGUCACUGCGCACCCAGCCAGUAUCUCUCUCGUGCUGUCCUCAUGAAACGAAUGGAAGGCUGCCCCGGAAUCUCUCGUGCUGUCCUCAUGGCUGCCAAACCCUUUUCUUUUGCUGUGCAUGACGACAGAGUGAAGGAGGAGAGAGAUGAUGGGUAGUGAUAGGUCCCACGCUAUUUUUGGAAUAUGUGGGAGGUUUAGUUGUUGUACAACUUAGCUGCAAGAGUAUCUGACAUGGCUUGGCUAUUGGCAAGUUUAUUGGAGCAUGGUCAAUAAGCUUGGCUAAUAGCCAAGACAUGUCAUCUUGAGACUAGCUUAAGAGCCAACUCAUACAACAAUGAGAGUAGGUACAAUAAGCCAUGUCAACUUGGCUAAUAGCCAAGACAACUUAGCAAAGUCUGAUGUGGGAGAGAGAGAAAAUAGGAGAAAGAGAGAGAGAGGGAGAGAGAGACUAGUGGGAGACGCGCUCCUAGGCAUGUGUAGGACCAACUGAGAAUCAAUGUGAGGUUGCAUGUGCUGGUUCUAUUCUGUCCGCGAAUGAGAGGAAGGAGGUAGGAUGUAGUGGCGGGUUCCACAUAAUUAAAACUAUUUUUGGAAUCCAUUAAGAGCCAAGCUUACUGUAGAUAUUGGCUUUAAGACUAGUUCACCUAUGACAUGGCUUGGCUAUUAGCCAAGCUUAUUGUUCUUGGUGGGCUGGGAUGAAUGCAGCUAGACUACGGAAGAAGUAAAAAAUAUACAGUUGCCCUACAGCCCUGCAUCCUUGUUUCGGUGGUCCCACGUCUAAACUUGCCUCUUUCCCGUAGGCCCUGCAUCCUUGUUUCGGUGGUCCCAAGUUCUAAGCUAGCAUCUUUCUGAUAAACUCUAAAACGACUGUGAGGGAGACAGGCCAGCCCUCAUACAUAGUGUACACACUACAUACACCAUGCAGCUGCCUUACAGCUGCACCAUGUGUGGCAGAGGGCUAUUGCAAGGCAUGCCUGAAUAUACAUGUGGCCUGAUAUUUGUGGACCAAAUCGUUGUGUUCUUCCGCCUGCAAAGGAUCCAUGUUCCCCUGCUUCCCACACCACCGGAUCGCCUCACUACUUCCCUCACUACUUUUAUUUAUAGUAUAGUAGCCACGUUCUCUCGGCACUACAAGUAGAAGUAGUGUACACACUACAUACACCAUGCAGCUGCCUUACAGCUGCACCCUGUGCGGCAGAGAGCUAUUGCAAGGUAUGCAUGAAUACACGUGACUUGACAUUUGUGGACCAAAUCGUUGUGUUCUUCCGCCUACAGAGGAUCCAUGUUCCCCUGCUUCCCACACCACCUGAUCGCCUCACUACUUCCCUCACUACUUUUAUUUAUAGUAUAGUAGCCACGUUCUCUCAGCACUACAAGUACAAGUAGUUCUCUCGGCACUAUAAGUAGAAGCCCCACGUUCUCUCGCCUCAAUACUUCCCUCACAAAGCAUCAUCGUUCUCUCGGCACACUCACCAAUCAAAAUCCACCCGUCCUCGUCUCUCUCCUCAUCAUGGUCGGACAAUACCCAUACUACCUCUACGCCGGCAGCUCCAGCUCACAGCCGCCCAAUCCCUUCGAGCAGCAGCCGAUCCAAUACCCAUACCACCCCUACGCCGGCAGCUCCAGCUCACAGCCGCCCAAUCCCUUCGAGCAGCAGUCUAUCUAGGACCCAAACCAGUAGCAGCAGCCGAUCCAGGACAGUAUGAGCAGCAGUCGCUGUCGAUCCCGCAACCGAUCCAGCAGCAACAGCCGCCGAUCGCGAACCCAAAACCAGCAGCAGCACCAGGUACUGAACCUGAACCAGCAGCAGCCCAACAAUAAGCUUACAACCGAGCAGACACAGUUCUUCCUGCAAAACGGGGUUAAUCCCGAGAACAUAGUGUUCUACUUCGCACAGGGGUUUGGCGCCGAAGAGAUAGCCGGCCUCUACAACCUGAACUUGUCGGAGCAGCUCCGGACCAUCAACAACCAACCUCUCCCUCAGGUAGACAAUGAACCAGCGUCGAACAUCAACAACCAACCUCUCCCUCAUGCACAAAAUGAACCCCCUCAGGCAGCCAGAGCCGGCCGAGGACUUCAACAUGCAACCUCCCCCUCAGGUACACUUGUAACAUAUGUAAAUACAUAAUUAAAAUAUUAAUUAUGUGCUAUAAUAAACAUAAUUAUUGAGCAUCAUGGAAUUAAUACAUUCAUGUUUUAAUAAUGUCUUGUAUGCAAUGUUGGGUCAUGUUUUGUAAAUCUUAGGUGUGUUGAGCAUCUCCAACAACUUUGUAAAACAACUUGCUAUCUAAAAGAUUUGGCAAAACCACAAAAUUUCAUCUCCAACAACUUUGUAAAUCAACUUGCUAUUUAUUGGAACUUGCCAUCCAGCCGAGCCGCACGCGUAUGUAUACGCGCGCGUUGCCGAGUUCCUAUCGCGAAAAUUCUCCGUCGCUGGCUCCGUCCCGGGCGAGCUGUCCUCUCCCGCGCGUGCGAAACUCUUCCCCCUCCUAUCCCUCGCGAUAAAGACCGAUCCACUUCCAUCUGCAAAUUAGAUCGGCGACCUCUCUUUCGGGCGCUGCUCUGUUCGACCUGAAGCCGCCUCGACGUGAAGCCGCCAGGGCGUCGUAGCUCUCCUCGACGUGAAGCCGCCAGGGCCUCGAUAUGAAGCCGUCGGGUACGUGCUCGUACUCGUCAUCUGGUUCAACUUGGAAAUGGAACUGGAUUAUUGUUGUAUUCUCGCCAUAGGGCUUGUGCUCGUGUACUCGCCGUAGGGCUAGGGUAGGUCGCCGCCAGACAGCACGGCUUCAGUUUUAUAAAUAUAUAUGCUAUUCUCAAUCUUGCAACUGGAUUGUCAUAUACUGUUCGUGUGACGGGAUUAAUCUCCUGUCGGCUGGAUUACCCAACAGAUAUGGGGGCAAUGGCUGGGUGAAACUGAAACUGAACAAUUGGUUUAGCCUGUACGUAAUCCUGCCAGUGCUAAGUUCAGUUAGUUUCAGAUCAAUGUCCGGGGAAUUCUUUUGCAAUUGCUUGACCAUAACCUUGUUCAUGGAAGUAUAGUACUCAUGUUCAGGAAGUGCUAUGUUCCCUGUCAUGAUCGGAUUCUUGUCACUUAUAUUUUUCUGUAAAUUAUUUUGCAAUUAUAUUUUAGAUUUCUUUGUUCAUGGUAUUCUGCUAGUACUCAUUGCUUGACCAUAAUCUUGUCAUUUAUAGUAUUCUGUCAUUCCAAUUAGGAUGGAAGGAGAAGAUGCAGAUUUCUUGUCCGACAUUCUCAAUGUAGAUGGGGCUCAUGUUGCUGGUUUGGAUGAGAUGCAAAUUCCAAACACUCAAGACAGUACUCGUGUUGAGGAAGUGCAGGGCAGCCGCAGUGGUACGAAGGGAGGAAGGAGGUCCAAAAAUUUUCAUUGGAAGGAGGAUGAAGUUGUUUGCUUGGGAUGGUUGGCUGUUAGCAAGGAUCCCCUGAAUGGGGCUUAUCAAUCGCGUACCACAUUUUGGGGAAGAGUUCACGCUUACUAUGAGGAAAAAAAUGAAUCUGGAGUUCCUCGUACAGAGAGUUCCAUUAUGCAUAGGUGGCUAACAAUCCAGUUGCAAGUGAACAAGUUUUGUUCGUGCUAUGAGGUCAUUCUACGCAGGAAUCAAAGUGGCAAAACUAUCCAAUACAAGGUAUGAAAUAUGUAUUCAAUGUUUUAGUUGAACUUUUUUUUGAUAAUGUAUAUAUACAUUGACAAUAUCUGUGUACAGCUUAAUGAAGCAAAAAAGAUGCACACGGACUUGGACAAGGAGAAAAACUUUUACUCUUGAUCAUUGCUGGACCAUACUGAAGGAAGAGGACAAGUGGAAAGCCAAGAUGGUAGAACUUGCAGAGUUGGAGAAGCUAGCAGCAAGCAAGAACAAAAAGAAGGCUGCAAAGGUGUCAAGGCCAAGGAAUGAAGAAGCCAUUAAUAAUGAUGAAGUCAUAGCUGUUGAUGCUUCACCAACAGCACCAAGGAAGAGGUCAGAUGGGAUAAAGAAGGUACAAACUUAAUGUGCAUGAUAGCAUAUAUAUAUUAUUUCUUUAUGUAUUUGGUUAGAAUUGAUUCUUGAAUUCAUGUACAGGUAAAAGAAAAUCUAAGGUGAGGAGGUGGUGAGGCUUGCAUGGCCGCUUUGGAAAAGAUGUGGUCAAAGAAGGAGGCAUUUGACAAGGAAAAGGAGAAGGCCAAAGAGGAAAGGUUCAUGGCUACACUAGAGAUAGAGAAGGCUACACUAGAGCUAGAGAAGAAGCGGGUGGAAAAUGAGGCAAAAAAAGCUGAAGCCGACUUGAUGAAAGAAGCAAAAGAAAUUAUGUUAGCGGACACGACUACCCUCAACCCGAUGCAGCGUGACUGGAUUGAGAUUAUGCAGAACAAGAUUUUUGCGAGGCAUGCUGAAAAUUAAGUUUAGUUUAUGUCAUCUCUUAUUUAUCCUAGUUUAAGUUCAUGCUACUGUCCAGAUUUAUUUGAGAUCAACGUGAAGCUACUGGUUUGCAUGCUACUGUCCAGAUUUAUUUGAGAUUUAUGUAUGAGAUUUAUUUGAAAUCAACGUGAAGCUGCUGCUUAGGAUGGCUGCUGCUGACGGUACUGCGUGACGCUGCAAACUGAUGAUGGCCUGGUACAUGCCUGAAGCUGCUGCUUGAGAACAGGAGGUGAAUCGUCGUUGCCGAGUGGAAUUUGCUCCCUGGUGGGCCUCCUUUUUUAAGAUUACCAAGUUGGAAUAGUAAAUUGUUGGAGAGAUAGCUUUUUUACACUUGCUAAAUUAAAUAGCAACUUGCCAGACCACAAGAUUUAGCAACUCAAUUUUACAAAGUUAUUGGAGAUGCUCUUAAGUCAAUCUUGUUAUGCAGUAACUAAAAUAAUUCCAAAACAUGUUGAAAACAUAUUGAAAUACUUGGGACUAACUCUUACUUGUUCUUGAGCUUGUCACUUACAAGCUUCAUAACCCAUCAAAUGUUGACAUCUCCCUAAAAUGCUUCAGAAAGAGCAAACGAAAAAUCAGUUUAACAUUUUUACAAAGUGACUGGAAUAGUUUCAAUUAAACAUAUAUGCAACAAUAUUAACUAUUCCCUCUGUCCCUGAAAGCUUCAAUUCCUAGAAUCUGUGUCGCUCAAACUUGUUUAACUUUAAUCAACUUUAUAGAAAAGAGCAUCAAUAUGUAUAACAUAAAAUAAGUAUCUUAUGAAAAUAUAUUCAAUGAUAAAUCUAAUGGUAUUAAUUUGGUACUAUAAAUCUUAGCGUUUUUUCUAUAAAUUUGGUCAAAGUUUUAAAAGUUUGACUUAGGACAACUCUAGAAGUUGCAGCUUUCAGGGACAGAGGGAGUACAAAACAACAAUUUCAUAUUGGUCGUUGGACAUAAGAAGAUAUACUCACUCUGAAUUGGGUGUAUUGGUGAUUCAUUGUUCAUUCAGCUGGGUACAUCCCUACGUCCCUAAAGAAACAGAAAAUUUUGAAUUUUAUAAGAACAGCAGGACAAAGAAAUUGUAUGGUGGUAAUAACAACAGGCCAUAUGUAUCCAGACUUGGUACUAGAUUCAGGCUAGCACAGCAACCUUAAGAUUUCAAGAUAUACAUGAUGGGACUUAAAACAGCACAAACAUUGACAACAUACUACAUUCUGGAAAUACUUUGGCUUCUGAGUAACAGACAGAUUUGAAACAACUGAUCGAUUAGCCUGGACAUUCAAAGAACCAACUCGAAGGUAAAGCAUGCAGUUGCAUAGCUUGGUCAUUGCAGGUACUAAGUAGCGCUGUAUUCCCACAAUUAUACCAAUCCAUCCGCCACUUGAAUGGAUUGAAGUAGGCUUUGCUCUUAGCUGGGAGCCUGGGACUUGUCAUGCAGCCAGAAACAUCAUGACAAAGCUAGUGGAUACUGUGAAAGUAUGCAGAUUUAAUUUGAUGGACAGAAACCAGGGAAUAUACAGAUCUGCUUUCUACAUUGGAAGCCUGUUUCAGUUCAACAGAACAAACACUGAUUCGAAUCAUCUCCAAUCAUGCAGCACUUUGGAGUCCUCUGUCACAGUGUAAGACAUAGUUGGUGACUUGUACUAGACACUGAAAACUGGGAAAAUUUUACAACAAAGCUAUAUACAUGUCUAAAGUAGAAGAUUCUGACACAAAGUUGAACGAAAGAAUAAAAUGCAGACUUUCAGUUUAUCGUCUCUCUGAAGUCAACCACCACAAGAAAAUUCAACAACGAACUAGAGAAGAUGGUGUGCUUAUUUAUCCCAAUUCCCAAGUACGAACCUGCUACAUGAUACUUAAUAAUAUCAUGAUAAUCAUAAAAGGAGAAUGGGAUUUGCUACUGAGUUAAUUGGACACAGUUCUUGGAUUCAUAGAAGGAGAGAUAAAAUAAUAAUUUUCUACUAAAUUCCACAUCAGGCGAGACUACACUGUACCUACUACUAGAUAGAUAAAAUCGAUCUGCUUUUGUGGACGACCAGUCACCAGGUUCGAUAGAUCAAAGUAUCCAACCCUAUUAGUACCAGUUCCAAAUCGGAUCACCACCCAAUUAACACCCAGAUGAGGAAAAUGAAACCACAUGAAAACUAAAGCGGAUCAAUGACACAAAAUAAUAAGGGCUUCUGAAUUAUUACCAAUACAGGCACCACAACCGGAGCUGAUCUACCCAGCCGGGCCCCUCCUCGAUCGCCUUGAAGCACUCUAGCGCUGGCGUGGCAUACUCGUAUACAAAAAGAAAUAUAAUAGAAUAAUAAAGGCCCACUGAGAAGACGAUGCAGCAAGACGAGAGAUCAGAUCGUUUUAUAUGCCAACAAAUAUAUGAUAAAUAUAAGUACAACAAGAAAGAAGAGAUCCUAAACCGGCGUUCCGCACAGCUGAGCAGAUCGAUCGAGGGCACCCGCUCGCGGCCUAGUGCGAGCCGUGGCUGGCUGGGUGCAGCGAUGCCCGCACUGGUUGCAUCCAGCAUUCCAGGGCUGGGUGGCAACGACGGCGGUUGAGAGCCAGAAAUAUUUUGGUAGGGUUAGGGAUGACUUGGAGUAACCAUCAUUAUAUAUGGGUCAUAGACUCAUGGUUGCUCGAUGGGCCACCGGGCCUUUAAAGACCCAUGCAAAUGAACGUGGAGACAAUAUCAGAACACAAGACCCAAUUGAGGCGUUAAAUAGAUUGUAAAUGUAAGUUAGAUGGUUGAGGUGAGACAUAACUUUACAAUGUCUUGUUUUGCACAAGUGUUUCUUGGAUUAUAUAUAUGGUCAUAUACAUUUGUGUGAAACUACUAUGGAAAAAAUAUCAUCGUUUGAUUGUUUUCAGGACGUUAGCACGGGCAUUAUACUAGCUUACGAUGAUGCGCCAAAACUAAUAUAUAUUUAUAUUACAAAGUGUUGCUAAAAAAAUUAUAGUGUAAAUUUUGUGUCGCCGUGGACACCCGCAGGGGAAAAUAAAAACCUGUCCUGAACCCACUCUGUUUCGGGUCCCCAAACCGACAGACCUCCGGGGGCAAAAAUACACCCGCCACCGCAACAGCCGGCUCCAAAACCCACAGGGAACCACCACGCUUGGACCCGAUUGCCAUUAGUGCCAGCCCUAAGGGUAGGUCAUGAGGUGUGACGACCGAGGGCCCAGGAUGGGGUCCAAGCCCAAGUAUAUAAUACCUCAUACAUUUUAGCUAUAGUCCACUAGAUUUAGGAUUAAUAAGAACUAGGUGAAUUCCCCACAUGUUGUUGCAGGAUUUUCUUUAAAUUAAAUCAUUGUAUACAUAGCAUUACUAUAUGAUAUUCAGUAUAUGAUGUAUAUAUAUCAUUAUUUACAAUCGAGUGUAAGGGAGAAAGAGAGAUUUGAUAGGAGAUCGCUCAGUGCUGAUCCUGCGGGCGCCUCAAUGCCAGUGGAGCCACCCCCCUCGUUAUAGAGAACGACGUUGAAGCGGUGGAGGAGCUCUUAGUGCCCCUCUCUGAGUUGCUCCGCUCUCGGUGCAAAGCGUGAGCUAGAUGAUGAGGACUUGAAUGAUCUAUAUCGAAUCAUCCCCCUCUCUUAGGAUCCAACUUCCCCUUAUAUAUCGAGGUAGGUCGGGUACAUGGUGGUUUGGGGGAGUUGAGCCUAUGGUCUACAAGCACCGGAGUCUGGGAGGGUCUUGUAGCGGCAUCGUGUGGACCGUGGUGGUGUUGUUGAGCCAAAGAAGCCCUGGGCCUCGUUUGGCUACUCUAUUCCGAUUCGCUGAGUGUUAGGCUCUAUCAGCUUGGACCAACCUUCACCAGGUGCGCCUUCCAGAGGCUUCUUGGUGGCAAAGGCAGCUGGCUUGGGGGUGGACGCGCGGGCUUGGAAGCCCCUGAACCCCUAAUGGCAAUGGAGGAGUUUGUCUUCUUGCAUCACGCCUCAUGCGUGACCCUAUCGAAGGAGCGGUUUACUGCGCCACGUCUAUUGGGCAGAGCUAGGUAGCCCCCAAGCAUUGUUGGCUCAGGGGUUUAUUUGCCUCGAGCUCGGGCCUUGGUUGGAACUAAAGGCCGAGAAGGAGCUAAGGUCGGGUCUAAACUCGCAUCGAUCGUGAGCCUAGGGCUCGGGUGAGCCCUCGAAUCCGGAGCAGAGGUAGCGGACAUGCUCGGGCUUGGUCCAAUGCCUUAGGGGUGCGCGCGAGCAUACCUGAUGGGUAUAUAGCCCCCGAGCAAUCCAAGAGGGGUCGAUCGGGGGUCUUUUGUUCAGGAACCCUUGAUCUCGAGGUUUAACAUACCCCUAUGUUCAGAUCUCAUCAGUCAGUAAGUUGUUUACACUGACUAAAAAUCUAAUGCUGGAGACAAGCAUUUCUCUGAAGCCUGUCUCACCAUUUUCAAAGAUGGUGCCAAAAAAAUACUCGCUUCCCUUAACCAGCGAGGCUAUCUUGUCUUCUAAAAUAUAUUUUGUAGUAGAGCAAUCUAGUUGAGUUGAGGGAGUUGCUAGUGGGCCGAGAUGGUCGGUAAAGGUAGGCAGUAGCGCAAAUAUUUUCACCAAUGGUUUGUAAUAUAAAUCAUUCACAAUAUGGGACAUGAAGUGACGUUGAUACUAUUUUCACCACCAAUUCAUGUCCUAAACUGACUGGAAAUUACCACUAAUGUUUUUUAAUAUCAAACAGGUGGUGAAAAUGGUGUUGCUAAUAAACAGGCCACACGCCUUCCUAGCUAGUUUAUUUAUUCAGUAUGUUUUGCAUCAGAAACAGAUGGAUGCAUUACACAGUGCCUAUUCUAGGCAGCAACACACAAACGGUGUGAAGGUUGUCUCGCAGUAGGAACCUAAGCCAUAAUGGUGGUGUCUGCAAUAAAUCUCGCACUGCACAUCAAAGAGACAAUGUUUGUCUGUGUGGCAAUUCGGCAACGGCGUCUUCAGCGGUGAUAUGUCUGGUAUGGGUGAUGAUACUAUCCAAGAACGGCUCGCGCCUACAGAUGCAACGCCAUAUAUGACAAUACACAAAUCAAACAAGUUUGGUUCCAUAAGUUAUUUACAUAUAUAGUAUUAGGCCAGCCUCAAUGGACAGUAUCACUGCACGGUUUCACAUACCAACACGUCAUCGAGAUUGAAAUGAAACUAUCUAUGAAAUAAUACUAGCAAUGGAGCAUUUCACUUUGUUGUUUCCAAGGCUAAGCAAAGCAUUUAAUUACUGCAAAAUGAUUAGAUCACAUGCAAGAUGGUGAAACGAUUUGGUCCUCAGUGGGGAUUUCAUCCCGUUUCACCGCGUGGGAAACAACGCUCGUGGAGUUUCACCAUGGUGAAACUACUUCCUUCUCUCUCCUCUUCGUUUCAUGCAAAAAGUGCAGUUUUGCUAACAUGACGCACUAAUAAAUGUGCAUGACAUCCUAGUGAAACCUCCACUGAGACUGGCCUUAGAACAUCAUACAUCAGCAGGUAUGUAUAAUUGCAUAUCUCACCUUGGCAGGGCGUGAUGAUUGAGGACAAGGUAGCAAGAACGAAGAACAAAGCAGCUGUCAAGGAAACCAUCCUCCAUGCAUUGCCCUUGACAAAUGACAUGACGAGGAAAAGGGUGUACAUACUAGUACAACCCUUUUGUUUUCUGUGAAGAGGAGAGCGGAUGUACAUAAGUAUACAAUUUAUAGAACCGUGGAACCACUUCCGAUCAAUGCAUAAUUUAUGGCACGAUUAAUAUUGACCAAACAAACCACAAAUGCAUUGUCUAAGAAAGAAUUUAUUCCUUCUGUUGCAACAAUGACCAACCUUAAUUAGUCUCUUCUCUCUAAUUAUUUCUCCUUUAGUAAAACUCUAGUCUCAAAGAUAUUUUAGUAAGAUAAAAAUGAUUAAACUAUACAAUUAGUAUGUGGUUUGUUUAUUGGGCACUUAUGCAUUCAAUUCCUUUCAUAUUUUUAGUAAACCUAAGACUGAGAAGAGAGAUUUUUCGGUCUAACCAUGUCUUCUAUACUUGCCACGGUGCGUCAGUGCCUGCAUGUAUCUCCAUGUCCUGUAUAUGAUCUGAUAUGACACUUGGUGAUACGAGUUAGAAUUACGUACAUUCGUGCAUCCAGCGAUGGUACAGAGUCUGAUUCCCAGACGUACUCAAACCAAAGGCACAAUCCUUGAAUAACUCCAAGCCACAAAAUCAUCUCGUGAUAACACAAUAUGUUGUAUGUGCUUCUCCAAAUUUUUGCAACCAUUCGAAAGUCGGUGUCUAAUAACUGGCAACACAUUACGGGGUUAUCUAGAACAAUGGUUGGUGGGCUUAGGCAUAAGCCAAACUUAAUGGUGAACACAAAGACAACGAUUUAUACUAGUUCAGGCCAUUAGAAUAGUGUAAUACCCACGUCCAGUUAGACGUGUUGCCUUGUGUUGGAUAGUUGUGUAUGUUAUACUAGGAGGAUUCCCGCGCGUUGCCGCAGGUAUGAAGGAGCAAUCUAUAUAUAUGGUGUUGGUAAUGCAGGGACAUGAUAUAAUAUAUGUAUAGAUUUUUUUAGUAUAAUCGUGGAAAUUAUAUCCAUAGUGGAUGGUGUGCCUCACUGAUGUGGAUAUCAUAAUUCUUAUGCUAGUGAGCUUUAAUUGCAAAUAAUAGUGGACUGCUGAGGUGUGGACAUCUUGCAUAUCAAGAGAAAUUGCUAGUCGCAAAAUAUAGUGGACUGCUAAGGUGGACGUCUUGCAUAUCAAAAGAAAUAGCUAGUGGGGUUUUACUUAUAAGAGUUAUAGAUUACAAGUGGGCUGCUCCCGCCUCUCUUUAUAUAGUGCAAAGGGCAGGCGCAUAAGCAGAAUCCUGUCGGAUACUACAUAAGAGUUCCAGUUCUAUUACACAACUUUUCUAAGAACCGACUAGGUUGGUCGUUGAUAUUUUGGAGUACUCACCACCAAGUAAAAUCAAGUAGCAUCCGGGUACCUUUGGAGAGAAGCCACGAAGUGCUCUUUGAACUCUUCAAAUGGUGUGCUCUUUCUAGCAAAGUGCACUCAGUGUAGCACCCAAGCCUCUUGCAAUUUAGCAUGAAGAGCUAGAGGGUCCUUUCUGCAAUUAUCCAAUUCCUUUCAAAAAAAAGUUUGAAUGCAUCUGCUGAGGAUAUAUCAAUGUUUAAAAUAGAGGGAUUUAGCGUAAUUGGUAUUUGUAAUGUCUGUCUUCUAUGUUUAUUAUGUGUAAAAUUACCUAAUGCUUGAUAUAUUUUUUGCUCUGCCGCUAAAUGUCUUAGCCCGCUCACUAUUAGAAACUGGGUCUUUGCCUAGUGUUUGAGGCUUUGCCAAGUGCUAAAUAUUGGGCACUCGGCAAAGCUUCUCGGCAAAGCUUGGCACCCUGCAAAGAAUACCUGUGCACUUCUGGAAAUAAUCUAUUUUUUCAUGCAUAUAUUCAGUCACAUGCAUGUUUCUAUUUUUUUCAUAUUUUGUGCACUUCUGGAAAUAAUCUUGAGAAUUACAUGCACCUAUGCUGGCUGAACAUUUUGUCCAUUGUAACUCACUCUAUGUAAAUUGCAUUCUUCUUAGGUAGAUUGGUGAGGAGACCAGAUACUCAACUCAGGUGAACACACUCUGUAAUUGAGCUGAUAGCUUCUCUGUAUUGCAUACAAGUGUAAUAUAUAGUCACCGGGAUCGCGGGUCGACGUGGCGAUCCUCGUUCCGGGAACGUCGUCCCAAAUCGCGGAACGGGAACGCGCCGGGACUGCUGCCGGAACGCCGGCGGAACACGACCCCGCCGCCCGCGUGAACUUGACCGCGCCGCCGUGGGAACUCGACCGCGCCGCCGCGGGAACGGAAGGCCAAGCGCCGCAUCGGGAAGAACAAGAAGUCACGCGGCGCAUCUGCUGCAUCGGGGCAAGGUGAAGGAGGCGAGCGCAAGCGGUCAGCAGCCCCCAUUAAUCAACAUCGGGAAGGUGGAAGGCCAAGCGGUCAGUCGGUUGAUAUACUCCUGCACUUCUCCGUCUCCCUCGUCCCUCUUCUCUGCUCCAGUUUCCACUUUCCAGUACCCAGUCCCUAGUCCCUACACUUCUCCCUCUCAUCUGUAACGGCGUUCGGAUCGGGGUCUAGGAAGCGCAGGCGGUCCGAGGAUGAUGAAGACAUACACGCCGAGGCCAAUGGUGAAGACAUAGACGCCGGUCCCUCGUUCCUUCUCGUCGUUCCGGGAACGUCGUCCCAAAUUAACUUGGAUCACGGUCCAUGUUAAUUUGGAACGUGCUGAAGCUGUAUACUCGUCGUUCCGAACAGUAUUGAAAAUUGGCGUACCACGUUCCUCGUCCCCGUUCCUCGACCCGGUCGACCCGGGAACGCGGUGACUAAGGACCAGAUACUCAACUGAGGUGAACACACUCUGUAAUUGAGCUGAUAGCUUCUCUGUAUUGCAUACAAGUGUAAUAUAUUUAGUGAAAUCUAAAACUGGAUGUUACUGCUUUCAUGUGGUGUAAGUAGGUUUAGCAAGUAGUGAUGUAUAUAACAACCCCAACUGGAUCUUUGAUUUAUUUUUCCAAUUAGAUCAUCCAUCUUGAGCAGAGUUGAGUCAUUUUAGUGAAAUUAUGUUUCUUUGUGUAUUGAAAAACCAAGAUGCAAUGGAAAAGCUCAAAGGAACCACUAAUUGUUCGAUUAGCAAACCACUCUGCUUAAUGCCUUGAUUCUAAUUACUUAGCUUAUUCUCCACUAGUUUCUUGGAAGCUGCUGCUUUUGGGUAGGAGAUGCACCUAUUGUUUUUUUAGAUAAAGGAUAGUUUAUAUCUGGCUUCAUCUAACAUAUGGUAGAAUCAGACCAAUUAUUACAAAGUUCGGUCAGAUGACCAGUACAUUUGAGAUAACUCAGUUUAAGGAAACAAAAUGGAAAGAAAGUUUUUGACUAUGAAAGACCAAAAAACCUAGUUGACAGCCAUCCAUUGGAUCUAAAGAAAUGCAGAGCUGAAGUUUCCAAAAACUGUCCAGCAAGCAAAAGCUAGUCCUUUAGCACCUCACACCGCUGCAGUCUUGCCCACUGUCGAAGCCAAUGGGUUCCCCUGAAUAAUACCUGCAAAAAAGUUUUCGGUCUGCAUUUGUCAAAAACCAUUUCAUUUCUUGUUAUCCAAAUUGUCCAAACUAGGGCUGUUGCUGCCGUUAAUAAUAAGAAAUUAUGAGUGUUACUACCCCUCUUAGACCAAUUAACAAAAAAAUCAUUUGUACUAAGAGGAGGUGCAAUUCCAAACAGCAGGUGUACCGCACGCCACAAGAAUUUAGCAUAAAAACAUUCGAAAAAGAGGUGGUGAAUAGUUUCAGGAGAAUCACAGAACACACAUCUUGUGUCUCCAGCCAGUUACGUUUGGCAAGAUUAUCUUUGGUUAAAACAACACCUCUUUUUAAAUACCACAAAAAGACUUUUAUUCUUGUAGGUAUUUUGAUUUGCCAAAUAUCUUGUGACACCCUGACCCCAUUAUUUAUUAGCGCCGCAUACAUUAAUUUAACAGAAAAAAUACCUAAUGAAUGUAAUGCCCAAACAAAAGUAUCUCUCUCCCCUUGUAAGUCCACGUCAUGUAAUGAAGCAACAAUCUUAUGCCAAUCCCUUAAAUUCGCGCCCACAAGAUUACGGCGAAAGGAAAUAUUUAGCGGAGCUGAUGCAAGUAUUCUUGCCACCGAGUCUUGCGCUUUCUCCUCAUAAUGUUGAACAACAAGGGGAACUUAUCCUUCAAUGGUUGGUUCCCCAACCAUGUAUCUAUCCAAAACCGGGUUUGUGAACCGUCUUUCACUUUGAAUGAACCAAAGCUCAUGAAGGUAUCUUUAACAUUCAUCAGUCCUUUCUAGAAGUGAGAGUCUAUUGGUUUUUUAGUACAAUGUCCUAAUGUUUUGUUUUUUAGAUACUUAUUUCUUAGCAGUUCUUGCCACAAACCAUCCUCACUUAGUAGUUUGACAAGCCAUUUGCUCAACAGGCAUUUGUUUUGUACAUCCAAAUUAUGUAUGCCAAGCCCCCCUUGGAUUUUUCGUUGACAUAAAAUUUUCCAUUUAGCUAGUCUAUAUUUGCGUUUGUGGUGGUCGCUUUGCCAGAAAAAAACGUGAUCUAAAGCAGUCAAUCUUCUCGCUAACUCCUUUUGGAAGUUCAAAGAAUGAUAUCAUAAACAUCGGUAAGCUGGUGAGCACCGAGUUUAUUAAGACCAAGCGACCCCCAACUGAAAGCAUCUUUCCUUUCCAACCACUAAGCUUCUUUUGUAUCCUAUCUUCAAUUGUUUGCCAUGUUGGUCAAUCUCCUAGAAUGCAUGGGCAGGCCAAGGUAACGAAAGGGACACUUUCCCACCUUACAUCCGAAUAAUUGCGAAUAAAACUCUUCAUGAUCCUUCGCUUCUCUAUAGCAAAAAAUUUUACUUUUAUGGAAAUUAAUUUUGAGGCCUGAGAGUUGUUCGAAAGUAGUUAGGAUUAAUUUCAUAUUAAUCACUUUCUCCUCAUCAUUCCCCAUAAAGAUCACUGUGUCAUCCGCGUAUUGAAGGAUAGAUAGACCAUCAUGAACUAGAUGGGGGAUGACCCCUUCUAUUUGGCCAGCUUCCUUUGCUCUAGCAAUCAGUAUGGCCAACAUGCCCACCACUAUAUUAAAUAGUAUUGGAGACAUUGGGUCACCUUGCCUUAAGACUUUUUUUGUUUGGAAGUAAGAGCCCAGUUGGUCAUUCACCUUAAUAUUUACAUUUCCUCCUUGAGUGAAUUGUUGUACCCAAGCACACCAUUUAUUAGAGAAACCUUUCAUUCUUAAGGUUUGUUGCAGAAAACUCCAUUUCACCUUGUCAUAAGCCUUUUCAAAGUCUAUUUUAAGGAUUAGACCAUCCUGUUUUUUUUUAGUGAAGUUCGUGAAUGGUCUCAUGGAGGAUUAUUGCGCUCUCCAUAAUGUUUCUUCAUGGGAGGAAGGCAGUUUGUGUAGGUCUAAUGAUCUUUUGGGCAAUAGUAGAAAGUCUAUUCGUCGCAACUUUAGUAAAGAUUUUAAACGAGACAUUCAACAAACAUAUUGGUCUGUAUUGUUGAAUCAUUUUUGCCUCUUUAUUUUUUGGUAAUAAAAUUAUUGUUCCAAAGUUGAGACUAUUCAAGGGUAAAUUACCCUCAUGAAAUUCCAAAAACAAAGCCAUCAGAUCUUCCCUUAAUAAAUCCCAGAAGACCUGAUAAAACUCUGCUGGAAAGCCAUCCGGACCUGGUGCCUUAUUAUGUUCCAUCUGAAAAAUUGUUGCCCUUACUUCAGAUUCUGAAAAGGUAUCUGUGAGGUAUUCAUUUUCUAGUUCAGAAACUUGAGGAAUGUCUUGAACAUGGUGCUCGUUUAAUUGGAUAUUAGAAAUCUCUGGAGGACCAAAUAAGUUCUUAUAGUAGUUGGUAAUAUGCUGUUUUUGGAUGCUAGCUAGGGAUUUAAGAAACAUUAGUAAUGCUUGUGGUAUUACCUCUGUUAGGAUCUGCAGAUGUUAUGGUGUUAUCUGUGUGCCGAAAGUGUUUACAGUAUUGUUUGGUAGGCAAAGAAUUUACAAAAAAAGUCCUUAAUUACAUAGAGUGAGUUCGAUUAGUGGUUCCUUUUGCUCAUAUAAAUCUAGAAUUUCUUGUAAGUGUGUAGCGUCCUCCUUUGCACGAAUGAGAAUUAGGGAAUCAUUGGCAAAGAGUAAAUGAGAGACAAUAGGAGCACCCCAGCAGAUUUUAACUCCUUAAUUACAGCCUUCUUCCUCAGCAUGAUUAAAAGUAGAGCUGAAAAAUCCUUCGGCACAAAUCAAUAAUAAGUACGGGGAUCGAGAGGGGAUCUCCCUGCUUCAACCCACUCUCUGGUUUGAAAUUUUCUAAGAACGCUCCAUUUAUCUUAAUUCUAUAAGAGACUGUAGUAAAACAAUUCAUAAUCAGUUCCACCCAUCUUCUAUGAAACCCCAUCUUCAUCAUCAUAUCCUCCAGAAACUUCCACUCGACGCGGUCAGAAGCUUUGCUCAUAUCAAGCUUCAUGGCCACAUAGCUAGAACCCCCCCCCCCCCCCCCUUUCUCUUAUUUAGCAAAUGAUGUGCCAUCUUGUAGGCUAUCAGAAUGUUACCUGAAAUAAGACGGUCUGAUACAAAUGCAUUCUGAGUGAAAGAUAUGAUCUUUGGUAAAAUACCUUUUGGGACUGGCUUUACCCAAGCGAUGGCAUGGAGAUCACACAUUCACAUGGCACUGUGACUGCGUAUAAGAUUCAAGAAGCAGCACAUGUACGGUCUGCCAAUAGAUAGAUGGUGUUUGGUUCAGCAGAUGGUAACGCAAAGGAAAUCAAAUCAGAUACCACUGUAAUGGGAGUGGUUCUAUUUUUAUCUUAAAAUGGAAAUGGGAUCUUAUAAUAUUGAUUACAUAUGGCAGGAAUCAAACAGGUGUAAUGGUAAUAAAUAAUGGACUGCGUUACAUUUGAGGCAACCAAACGGCUCGGAGAUGUCACUAUGAUCCUGCAAUAAACAGGCCACGCCUUUCUCUAGUUUAUUUAAUUAUUGAAUAUGUUUUGCAUCAGACAUAGAUGGAUGUAUUACACAGUGCCUACUCUAGGCAGCAACACACAAACGGAAGGAAGGUUGUCUGGCAGUAGGAACCUAAGCCAUAAUGGUGGUGUCUGCAAUAGAUCCAGCACGUCUCAUUGAAGAGACAAUGUUUGUCCGUGUGGCACUGUGGCAACGGCCUCUUCACCGGUGAUAAGUCUGCUAUUGGUGAUAGUAUCCCAGAACGCCUCGCACCUACACGUACAUGCAACGCCACGUAUCACUACCGGAAAUCAAGACUUUGCCAAGUGCUUGGAUACUCGACAAAGAAGCCCUCUACCGAGUGCCAAAUAAAAAACACUCAGCAAAAAAAAACACUCAGCAGAGCAUAAUAGUUGGUUAACUAAUUUAUAUAAUAUAGUAUUAAAAAACCUUAGAGCAGGUACAUAAUAGUUGCAUCUCACCUUGGCAGGGCAUGAUGAUUGAAUUCAUUGUAGCAAGAACUAAGAACAAAGCAGCUGCCAAGGACACGAUCCUCCAUGCGCCCUUGACAGCUGAUGACAUGAUGAGGAAAAGGGUGUAUAUACUAGUACAACCCUUUUCUUUACGGUGAAGAAGAGAGAGCGAACGUAGGUAAGUAUACAAUUUAUAGAACUGGAACCACCUCUGAUCGAUGCAUGAUUUAUGGCAUGAUCAAUAUUUACCAAACACGUAACUACAAGCCAAAUGUAUAGUCUAAGAAAUAAUUUAUUCCUUCUGUUGCAACAAUGAUCAACCUUAAUUAGUCUCCUCUCUCUAUUUAUUUCUUCUUUUGUAAAACUUUAGUCUCAGCCUGUAGAUAUUUUGGUAAGAUAAAAAUGAUUAGACUAUUACAAUUAGCCUAUGGUUUGUUUGGACACAUGCAUUCCUUGCAUAGUUUUAGUAAACCUAAUAUCAAAUACAGAAGAUUUUUCCAACCAUGUCGUUUUUUACUUGCCACGGUGCCCUCACGUCUCUCUAUGUCCUGUAUAUAAUCCUGAUUUAUGACACAUGCUCAUAUGAGUUAGACAUGUGUACAUCCAUGCAUCCGGUGAUGGUAGAAAAGUCUGAUUCCAAGAUAUAUCGGAACAAAUGGCACAAUUGUUGAAUCAAAACCGCCAAGCCACAAAUCAUCUUGUGAUCAUGCAAUAAGUUGUGCGUGCUUCUCUAAAUCUUUGCAGCCAUUCGCAUUCCUCACGUGCUCCACUCGACUAUAAGGACAGAAUAGCCCAAGAGGGGUGUGUGUUUUGGCCAUUAAAAAUCUAAUGCGAUGACCUUAUCCUAUGCAAAUUCUAAACUCCCAAAUCAUCUUGGCUCAAUUAAGUUCUUCUAGAAAGCAAUCUACACUACUACACAAAAUAAUUUAUGGAUGCAGUGCCCAAAUAUUAACGAAGGCAGGCAUAAAAUCCAACUGCCUCCUAGAAUACCAAGAUAUUAACGACGACGGUCAUUCUCAUUUACCGAGAAGGACACAUUUUGCUCACCUCAUAAAAUCGAUUUAUGGAGACUGUUAAAAAAUAACCACCUCCAAAAACCGAUUUACGAGGUGGACGCCUUAAGACAACUGCGUCCAAAAACCAUCUAUUUUUGGAGGCGGUUGUCUUAAGGCAACCGCCUCCGUAAAUCUAUUUUUGGAGGUGGACAACUAUAAGGCCAUCCGUAAAUACUGCCUAGCUCGCAAAGCUCAUACAUUUCCAUGUACCGAGCUAACAUAUAAGUCAGACACUUAGUGUUUGUCAGUCAUUUUUUUACCCUCACUCCAGAGCGGUAGGCGCCCCUUGUGCCUUCCUUGAGCCUGUGCCGCUCUUCCUCUCCCUCCCCCCCUCUCGACUACCUCCCUUCCCAUAGUUAGCGCCCCUCUCCCCCACUCCCAAGCUCAUCCCUAGCUCUUCGCUCAAGCUCCUCCCCCAGCGGCGGUUGUGCUCGCUGCUCCCCUGAGCAGAUCCACCAAGGGAGGCGCUCUCCGGACGACUGGAGCUCGCUCCUCCCUAGAGCUACUCCACAUGUGGUGUCGCUCACCCGGCGGCCAACGCUCCCUCCUCCUCCGAGCUGCUCCAUCGGCAAUGGUGCUCCCCUGGCAGUCGGCGUGCCCCUCCUCCCCCAUCUCCUCCUCUGGCGACCAUGGUGGCCAGAUCCGUGACUGUAGUGGCCAGAUCCGCACCAGUGGUGGCUGAAAUCAGCUGCUGGUGGCAGGAUCGAGCAACGGCGGCGGCGACACAUCCGGAUGCAGCUGCCCGGGCGAUGGUUGCGCACAAAUCAGAUCUUGGCCUAGGCCCCGUUUGGGUUGAGGGCCUUUUUUAAAUUUAUUUUAAGAGGAGGGCAAAGCAACCGCUUCCAUAACCAUGGCUUGUCAUUGGAGGCGAUUGCAAUGCUCACCACCAUUAAUCAAAAGUGUCUGCCUCUAAUAAGCUUACUGUUGUUGUGCUAUUCCCUACUAGACAAAGUUCAUAUAUACAGAUGGGUCUAAAUCAAUUUCAAUGCCAAUUUUGCCUUUUGGUGAUGAAAGCGGGCGGUGAUAAUAAUCUUCAUCAUCGCCGGCUAAGCAUGCUUCCAGACUAUUGCCACGGCCAUGUCGUGGCGGUCGUUGUCCCCAUUCAGUGGCAUAUUGAAUCCGCAUCGCGAUCUCCUUGCCGUAACACAUCACAUCUCCUUUCCAGAUGAAAGUGCACCCCGCAAGAGUACGCGUGCCACCGUAACAACGGUGAGUGCCGACCGUAUUCUCCACAUGGACUAGGGGACCAGCUAAACAUGCUCAAAUAAACCUAAGUUGAACGAUUUGUCGGAAAGGAACUCCAAAUUAUUCCAAUUAAUAAAAAUCAGUAGGAUAAACCUUUUAUAAAAUUUCUUAGAACUUUGCGCAAAUAAAAUAGAAUGCGACUAGUAUCUAUAAGUAUCGAGAUCCAACUAAGAGUAAGGCUAAUAAUACAACUAGCUGCAGGCGAUAAGGUUUCUUUACAGCUUUCUUGCAACCCACUCAUAUGGUUAGCUAUAACUUAAUACACAUAGCCCACUUGUCUCUCUUAUAAACUUUCUUUAGCCCGUUUUUACUCUCUCUCCUCCACCUCAGCAUUUAGCCACUUAUACUAUAAUAAUUGCUCUAAUGCUACUACAAUGAUAUAUCACAGUCUCAUUGCGGUAUUAAUGGUAGUUUCUAUUUAUCUUAAUUACCUUGACAACUCAGCAAUGUGCUGAUGUGACAAAGGAAUCUAUAACUCUUAUAAAGCUAAACCCCACUAGAUGAAUUCUCUCUUCAUGCAAGGUUGUGAAAGUAGGUUGAACGUGACACCUUCUCAAGCUCACGGCUUCGUGUUUAUAUAGCUGAGAAAAGCCCUCAGCGUGGCAUUAUAACUUGCACAACAAUUCCUGAGAUCUAAUCUAACUUACAACACAAGAUUACAACAGAAGCUUAAGAGCUAUCCUAACUACUUCUACACGAAGCCGUGGAUAUCUGAAUAUCUCCAGCCUGCCCGCACCCUUGGUGCCCUUGGCGUAACAACCUUCUGUCAGAUAUACUGUAUAACAACCGUAUAUUCUAACACCCUCCCUCAAUCACAACUUAUCUGUAAGGUUGAGAUUGUUCCGAAACAUUACUGUUUGUUUCUCAGGAAGAGGCUUUGUGAAUCCGUCAGCUAUUUGAUCAGUGGUGCUUAUAAAUCUGAUAUCCAGGCACUUUGCUGCAACUUGCUCACAAACAAAAUGGUAAUCUAUCUCUAUAUGUUUAGUCCUAGCAUGAAAUACGGGAUUAGCUGAUAAGUAUGUGGCUCCAAUGUUGUCACACCAUAACCGAGCAGCUUUAGGAUGUGAGAUGCCUAAUUCAUCAAGUAGUUUGUGCACCCACAUUACCUCUGCUGUCGCAUUUGCCAAGGACUUAUACUCAGCUUCAGUACUGGAUCUAGAGACAGUAGUCUGUUUCCUUGCACACUAGGAGACAAGGUUACAACCAAUGAACACAGCAAAUCCGCCUGUUGAUCGCCUGUCAUCAGGGCAUCCUGUCCAAUCUGCAUCUGAGAAUGCACUGACAAGCAUCGAAUUAGAUUUCCCAAUCCUGACGCCUAUGCCAAUUGUGCCUUGCACAUAUCUCAAAAUUCUUUUAACAGCUUCCCAGUGGUCUGUUGUUGGAGAAUGAAGGAAUUGACAGUCCUUGUUGACUGCAAAGGACAGGUCAGGCCGAGUCAGUGUUAGAUAUUGGAGUGCUCCCACUAUACUCCUAUAUCUAGUUGAAUCUUCAUCUCCCAAUCGAGUUCCACUAGUAAUUGACAACUUUUCUGUUGCCGGCACAGGGGUCUUGACAGGUUUGCAGAGCUGCAUGUUGACUCUCUUCAGGAUAUCAGACGCAUACUUCUCCUGUGUUAAUAGCAGUUCACCAUUCUUCCUUUGUACCUGAAUCCCUAGGAAGUAGUGCAAAUCUCCUAAAUCCUUGAUGGCAAAUUCCUUCUCAAGAUCUCGAAGUAAAGUAUCAACUGCAAUCUGAGACGAGCUGGCUACUAUAAUAUCAUCAACAUACACAAGCAUGAAAAUAAUAUGAUUUCCCUUUUUAUAGAAGAAGAGUGAGGUAUCUGCCUUCGAAGGAAUAAAACCAAGACUCUGAAGUUUGUUACACAGCCUUGAGUACCAUGCCCUCGGAGCUUGUUUCAAGCCAUAGAGAGCCUUGUCUAGCUUGCAUACAUAGUGUGGUCUAGUUUUAUCUUCAUAACCCGGUGGUUGCCUCAUGUACACAUCUUCUUCAAGGUAGCCAUGUAAGAAUGCAUUAGUCACAUCUAAUUGUCUUAAGUACCAAUUUCUGGAGACUGCAACUGAGAGUAUGAGACGAAUUCUAGCUGCUUUAACUACUGGACUAAAGGUGUCCUCAUAGUCUAUGCCAUAUCUCUGCUUAAACCCCUUGGCUACUAACUGUGCCUUGUACCGCUCAAUAUUUCCAUCAGACCUCCUUUUAAUUUUAUACACCCAUUUACAGCCUAUUAUAUUUCUGCCUUUCUCUGGUGGUAUAAGGUGCCAGGUUUUGUUGCGGUGCAAAGCAUCAAACUCAACAUCCAUUGCCUGUUUCCAGUUUACAUCAGCAAGUGCACUCUGCAGAUUUACUGGCCCUUCAGAGGUGGCUGCUAUCUGUCCAUAGCGUAUAGUGCCAUCUGUGUACUACUUAGGUUUGCGAAUACCAUGCUGUAGACGAGUAGUGGGGCGAGGUGGAGGAGGUAAUACCACAGGAGCCACAGGAGAGGUAGUAGGAGCAGACGGUGUAGGGGAUCCAUGCGGAGGUGACGUAGUAGCCGCACCAGAUCCCGUAGCCUGCAGAUGUGUCGGAGGAGACGACGGUGCGGAUGUAGAAGAUCCUGGCGCGAGCGUCGGAGAUGAUGGCGCCCGCCCGUGUCCCCCCGCCGUCGGGUGCUCCGGGACGGGUGGCAGUGGGGGAUUGGCGGAGGAGGGAGCGGCGGCCGAGUCACGAGGCACGGCCGCAGUCAACGCCGGAUCCGAGGUAGAUGCACUGGUCGAAUCAGCCGCCGUAGCAACACCGGAAUCCGUGCGUGGUCCUGCCAAAAAAGGAAAGGCUCCUGGGAGCAUAAAAUGACCCGUGUGGAUGCAAAUCUGCAUCGUUUGAUGCCAAAGUUUCUGUAGAACCUGCAUGCUCAGGAGACACAUUAGUAGGCAGGAAACCAUUGUCAAGCUGAUCAGAAGACUUGCUAGUCCCAACAUCGAAGGAUGGAUCAAGGAGAUGGGGAGGUAAAAGAAGUAUUUCUGAUCUAAGACGGGCACCUGCAUUAGGAUGGAGUUUGGCAAAGGGAAACACAUCCUCGUCAAACACAACAUCACGGGAUAUGUACACCCGACCUUCAGUAACAUCAUGACACUUGUAGCCCUUGUGCAUAUUACUAUAACCCAGAAACACACACUGUUUGGAUCUAAAUUGAAGUUUGCGAGUAUUAUAUGGGCGUAAGUUUGGCCAACAGGCACAGCCAAACGUGCGUAGGUUCUGGUAGUCGGGCUUGUGUUUGAAAAGAAGCUCUAUCGGGGUUUUACCGUGAAGGACUUUGGUGGGAAGCCGAUUGAUCGAGUAAGCGGCCGUAGAAAAAGCUUCAUCCCAAAAUUUGAGGGGCAUAGAGGCAUGCGCAAGGAGGGAGAGGCCAACUUCGACAAUGUGUCGGUGUUUGCGCUCUGCAGCACCAUUCUGUUGGUGCGCAUGAGGACAGGACACAUGGUGGGCGAUGCCAACCCGUUGAAAAAAGGAAUUGAGUUUUUGGUAUUCCCCACCCCAGUCGGUUUGCAUGGUCAUAAUUUUUGUAUCAAAUUGACAUUCAACAAGAUUUUGGAACUCAUGAAAUCUUUUAAAGACAUCAGAUUUCUGACGAAGCAAGUAAACCCAUGUGAAUUUGCUAAAAUCAUCGACAAAGCUCAAAUAAUAAUUGUUCUUGCCCACAGAAGUAGGCGCAGGGCCCCAUACAUCAGAGAAGAUUAAUUCUAGAGGACUAGAAGAAACACUUGUAGAUUUGGGGUAGGGUAACUGAUGACUUUUGCCUUGUUGGCAAGCAUCACAUACAGACUGUUUAUUUUUAUCAAAAGCAAAUGAAAUCUGAUUCUCACGCAAGACUUGUUGAACAACGGGAAACGACGGAUGACCAAGCCGACUAUGCCAUCUAGAAGUAGAGGCUUUGAUAGUGCCAAGCGUCUCUUUAUUUGGUGGAAUGGGGGACGUCAAGGGAUAUAGGCCACCUUCACAGCGCCCUUUAAGGAGAGGCCUCUUCGUGUCCUGAUCCUUGAUCACAAAAUAAGUAGGGUGAUAUUCAAUAAAAGCACGAUUGUUAGAGGUAAGGCGAUGAACAGACACAAGAUUUUUGUUGGCUUCAGGUAUGUAUAAGACCUUGUUAAGAACAAGAUUUCGAGUUUGGGUUGUAACAAGACUUUGACCAACUUGACUGAUUUUCAUACCUGCGCCACUUGCCGUGUGGACCUGAUCAUUGUCGAGGUAUUUGUCACGUGUUGUGAGCUUCUCCAGCUCACCAGUUAUGUGGUCGGUGGCACCAGUAUCGGUGUACCAAUUGGUGUCGACCCCGUAGGAAGCCUGGGCUGCCCAAGCAGAUUGUUGGCGCUGAUCGGAGUUGCCCUGGAAGGAGGCGUCGAAGCGUUUGCGGCAGUCAAUUGCAGCAUGUCCCUCCCUGCCGCAAAGCUGGCAGGUAGGGCGGUCACUGCGCUACUGAUGUCGACCGCUGUUGCCGCCACCGUUGUUUCCACGGCCGCGGCCACCACGUUCGCGAUUGGCGCCCUUGUUGCCGCCCUUGUUUCCGCGUCCACCGCGGAAGGCAGAAUUCACGGAGGAUUCGAAGCCUCCAUUGUUGAGAUCCAGGCGUUGCUCCCAACUGAUUAGCUGGGUGUACAGCUCACCAAGCGUGAGCGGCUCCACGCGCAUGCCGAUGGUGGAGACCACCGGGUUGUAGUCAGAGUCGAGGCCAGCGAGGAUGUAUGACGCAAGCUCCUCAUCCUCGAGUCGCUUGCCCGCCGCCGCCAUGUCAUUAGAGAGGGACUUCAUUUUGUUGAAGUAGUCCUGCAUGGACGAGGCCCCUUUCUGCGCGGUGGCGAGGGCCAUGUGCGUGUUGAUGAUGUGCCCGUGAGAACGUGACGCAGUCAUGUCGUGGAUGGCCUUCCAGAGUUCCGCCGACGAGGUGCACAUAGAGACCUGGACAAGCACUUCCUUGGACACAGAUGAGACAAGGUAAUUAAAGAUCUGUUGAUCUUUGGCAUACCAGGUUGCAUAGUCUGGAUUCUGCACCAACUCAUCAGGUUUCUCGACGGACUUCGGGACGGUCUUUGGCGGCGUCACGGCCGUCAUUGGAUCGAGGUAGUGCUCCAGCUGAGUGCCACGGAUUGCUGAGAGUACUUGCAUCUUCCAUAGCGAGAAGUUGCUCUUGCCCAGUCUCUCGGUGAUUGGGCAGCCGAUCAGGGAGCUGAUCAGCGAAAACGCAGCAGGUUGCGCGGAGGAGGUUGACAUGGUUGAGUCAAUCUAAUAAUGACCUAGCUCUGAUACCAUGUGAAAGUAGGUUGAACGUCACCUUCUCAGGCUCACGGCUUCGUGUUUAUAUAGCUGAGAAAAGCCCUCAGCGUGGUAUUACAACUUGCACAACAAUUCAUGAGAUCUAAUCUAACUUACAACACAAGAUUAUAACAGAAGCUUAAGAGCUAUCCUAACUACUUCUAUACGAAGCCGUGGAUAUCUGAAUAUCUCCAGCCUGCCCGCACCCUUGGUGCCCUUGGCGUAACAACCUUCUGUCAGAUAUAUAACAACCGUAUAUUCUAACAAAGGUGUCAACAUCAUUCUCCACUAAGUGACCCACUAAAUAUUCUAUCUCUUCAUGCAAGGUGUCCACAUCAUUUCCCACUAAGUCCAUGUCAUCCCAUAUUAAUUACAAAAAAUGAUCAUAUCAUCUAUAUCAUGUGAAAUACUUUAAAUCUUUAAUCUAUUAACAUACAAGUCAUGUACAUACACUAUUUGCUUCAUCAUAAAUUAAUUCCUCUAUAAUGUAACCAAAUAUUAGUUUUUGUUCUAUUAGCUUAGCAAUUUUUUACUAGAUCUAAUACAAUAAAAUACAUGCAAGUCAAAUUUAUAUGUAGACAUACAUAAUAGACCGAAUACCAUGUAUAUAAUGACUUACUUUUAAGAAAUUUUUAUAGCAACCCGUGGAGAAUCCACCUAGCUAGUUAAUGAAGUGAGAGAGUGCAGAUAGAAGAAAUCGUUUCUUGGUGAAGGAACAAUGUCCUCUCUUGAAUGCAGACACCAAGAAACCGCUGAAACAGUGUUGGGGAGACACGACUCGAUUCCAUGGCUCUCCUCUCGGAUCGAGUAUGACGGCAGCUGGCACUAGUUCUUCUCCCCGUGGCCAGGAUCCACUCGACCAAUUUGUCCCGUUUCUUCUUCCGUUUGGCCAGAGCAGUGGACGCGGACAUACUGCUGCGGCCAUUUGCUGGUGCUGCCCGUGCUCACCCCUCCGGUAGCCAAGGCCGCCCAACUAAGGCCAACCUCAUUCCCCCACGAAGAGCCCACUGCCCCUUUCCGCCCCUCUGCAUAUACAUCGCCAUGGACGAGCGCCAUCAAUACUAGAGCUCUGCUCAUCAUCCUACAGUGGGGAGGCUGAGGAGAUCUAGCGCCAUGGAAUGCAGUAUGCUUGAUCUCGUCCCUGCAGAGGUCUCUGUUCUGAAGACACCUUGGUUCCUGGCCUUAUUAUUUGCUAUAUAAAGAUAACUAAGGUAUUAGCUAAACAUUAAUUAUAUGCUUGUAAUAUCUCUUUCACUAGCAUUAAUCUUGCAGUCGCUUAGCUAAUCUUUAUUUUGCACAGUGACAAGGUUGAGCCACAAUCUCAUCUGACAUCAAUUGCACAGUGACAAUUCAACACUACUACAUGUCUACUGCUAGUCUGAACUUUGGAGUUCAACUUCUGAAGCUGCAUAUGAGGACAGCUACCCUACAUGCUGGAGAGCGCCGGCACGAGCUCACGAUAGGACGGCGGAGGCAGGCGAUGCACUUUCCUGGAGACCUUCUUGCUUCCUCCAGUGCUGAGGGAGGCCACGAGCGGCAACAACCGCCCGCCGGCGGCCAUCUCCACGGCACUACGAGCAAGCAACGAGUGCGUGGAACACUACCUUUCUCUGCAGACGGUGAUGGAGAGAACUUGCCAGGGAUCUGAUUGCCUGCUCCAGCACUGGGGGAGGCCGCUAGCAGGGAGCAGCAACAGCGAGCAGACGGCCGACGAGCAGGGCGCGGCGGUGGCAGCGCCGCAGCGGUGACGAGCAGAGGGCCUGGAGCACUCCGUGCAUAUUUUGCUGCACCGUUGGAUAUGGGACUGGAGCACUCUUUUGUUUUGCGUUUUCUAAAUGUGGGCCGUGUUAGGUAUAUGGGCCGAGGCAAUAAAGCGGCUUCCGUGCAUAUUUUGCUUGCACCGUUGGAUGACCAAUGCCUCUUACAUAGAAACCAAUACGUUAGAGGAACUCGUUCCCUCAGUAUGAGUAGGGAUGAAAACGAUACGCAUAUUUUCUGACUGUAUUCGAGACCGAAUUCGUUUAGAGAGGUUCAGAUCUGUCUACAUCCGAGUCCGAAUAUUCAACAUCUGAUACCGUAUUCGUAUCCGAAUACUUAAAUCAUCGUAUAUUUAUGAUGUCGACAUCCAAUCAUAUCUGAUCUAACAUGAUUGACAUUAUCCGUAUUUGAAUCUGAAUUCGACUAAAAAUAUGAAAACAAAUAUAAUAUCGAUGAUAUCCGUCUGUAUCCGAUCCGUUUUCAUCGUGACUAGGAGGGGCCAAAGUCUAAACUCCAAAGCCUCUGUCAAGUCUCUUCACCUCCCAAGUCGGUACUCGGUAGUAGUAUAAAAAAGUAAAGAGUCCCCCCAUUUCCUUGCGCGGGUAUACGAAUCGACGAAGGUCUGGCCGUGUGGGGUCGUCUCGCCGCCGCCGACGCCGAGUGCCGGCAGCCGAAGCAACGGGCAGCCCAGGACUGCGUCGAGCUGAGGACGUGAGGUGAUCCUAGAUUCCACACAUUUCCUCCUCCUUCUCCUUCUCUGCUCAUCUUUCCACUCGCCGCUCCCGCAGAGCCUCUGGACGCCGGCGACAUGUUCGACGGAAUGAACAAGAAGGCGGCCGCAGCGAGCGGCGUGGACCGCAUCAGCGACCUCCCCGACGCGCUGCUCCAGCACGUGCUCUCCCUGUUGCCGGCGGAUCAGGCCGUGCAGACGUCCGUGCUCGCCCGCCGGUGGCGGCACCUCUGGAAGGGCAUGCCCGCCCUGCGCCUCGUCGGUCCCAAGACGAGGUUCGCGACCGCCCAGGACUUCGACAGGUUCGUGAACCGUCUCAUCGCCGUCCGCGGCCAUUUGCCUCUCGUCAGCUGCGAGGUCGAGGCGUACGCCUACCUGACCUGGGAUGAUUAUGGUCGUGAGCCUGAGGAGCCGGAGCCGCACCUGUACUUCGACUCCUGGAUCCAGUAGGCGCUGGCGUGCAACGUUCAGGUGCUCAAAGUCGUCGGCGAUCAUAUUGGCUCCGAAUCAGAACUUGUUGUGCCUCCUAUCUCCCAGCACCUGAGGUACUUGGAUGUUCACCAUGUAAUUGUGGACAAAUAUUCUUUGGAUUUCUCAAGCUGUCCAGUGUUAGAGGAGUUAAAGAUGAAGGAGUGCGGCCUUUGGGUGCGCAGCAUGUCAUUUCCAUUGCUGAAGCGUCUGUUCCUUACUGAAUGCAACUUCCCUGUGGAUCGUCGCGUCAGUAUUUCAGCGCCUGGUAUUGUUUCACUGCGCCUUCUGGAGUGUGGAGGCAAGACUCCUUUGCUUGAGAACAUGCCGUUGCUAGAAACCGCGUCCAUUGAUCUCUCACGCUAUGAGUGCAAGGAUAAGUGUGGGGGUUGUACUGAUGAAAGCUGCGAAGGUUGUCAUGGUUAUCCUGUUGGGAGUUAUCGGAGCAUACUUCUGAAUGUUCUGUCCAAUGCUAUAAAUUUGGAGUUGAAGGAUCAACCUGAAGUGGUAUGCUUCUUGCUUCCACUUAUAUUGUACUCUGUAUCUACUCUAACUGUUAUUUGCUAUAUAGUUUUACAUGCAUAAACACAAACAACUAGCUUUUUCGUUAUCACACAUGGGUGCUGUCACUGUCAUUACUUGGCUGAUAUACUUUCCAUUGUUUCUUUCUGAUGAUUAUGAUAUACUAUUGUUACUAUCUGUAACUGUCAAUUUUGUACACCAUGCAAUCUACAAUUGUUAGACUGAGUGGUUCUUGUCAAUUUCUUUAGGAGUUUAGGAUCUGCCUCUAUGGUCAAUAUAUCACUGUUUCUAUCAAGGGCGUUAUUGCCCAGCGACGGCGGCCCUCGGCUACGUAGCUCGUAGCCUUGGUCCGUGAUAACUGGCGGGGUUAUGCCCCCUCGCCUACCCUCGCUGGUCGGGUUAUACCCCCUGGCCGGCGGCUUGAGAGGAAGAAGAAGAGAGAUAGGUUUAAGCUUGCUUGAUCUCAAAAGGUCUCCAAUUACAAGGCUUUAUAGCCUGGACUCCCAACAAGAAAGGAAACUAAUCCUCUAAACUUAAGGAAACCUGAUAAUCUCUUUCUAAACAAUCCCUAUCUUACCAAACCUGGACUCUCCUAAUCUGUCCAAGCCGCCUGGGCGCCUGGCUAGCCACUAACGGCGCCAGCCCCCUUGGCCAGGCUUUGGGCGCGCCCAGCGGCCCUGCGCACAUCGCGCAGCCUGCGACGCCUAGUGUAAGUAUUUCCCCACAUGACAUCUCUCCCCUCCUCGAGAGGCAGCUCGUCCUUGAGCUGGAACUGUGGGUACGAAGCGCGGAAGACGUCAACAUCUUCCCAUGUAGCUGAAGCCGGUGAUGACCCCUUCCACUUGAUGAGGACUUGACGCACGCCCCUGGCCAGCGUGACUUGACCACUUGCUCAGGCUCGGGCACCACAGCGCCAUGGCGGAGCGGAGGGAGGGGCGGUGGAGCGGCUGGCGGCUCGCCGUGGAACUUCUUGAGAAGGCCCACGUGGAACACGUCGUGGAUGCGAGCUUGGGGCGGCAGGUCGAGGCGGACGACGACGUCGUUGAUGAGCUCCACCACCCGAUAUGGGCCGUAGAACUUGGGCUUCAGCUUGCCGGCAGGAGCCCUGGACAGGGACGCAGCAGGCCUCUGUCGAAGGCGAAGGAGCACCCAGUCUCCCACCAGGUACGAGACCGGCCGAUGACCCCGGUCGUAGUGGCGUUUUUGAACUGCCUGGGCCUGCUCGAGGCGGUGCUUGACUUCGGCGAGGAACUCAGCGCGUUCCUCCAUGGUCUGAGCCACUGCAGCGACCCGGGUCUCGCCCGGCUCGUAGGAGCGAAUGGACGGCGGAUCCCGGCCGUACACAACACGGAAUGGAGUGUCCUGGAGCGAGGACUGGAACGCGGUGUUGAAGACGUACUCUGCCCAUGGAAGCCAACGCAGCCAGUCGCGAGGUCUGUCUCCUGUCAGGCAACGCAAAUACAUGAUGAUGACUUUGUUAGCGGAUUCGGACUGCCCGUCCGUCUGGGGGUGAAAAGCUGUCGACAUCUGCAGUUUUGUGCCACUCAGGCGCAUCAACUCGCGCCAAAAGUUGGAGGUGAACACCGUGUCGCGGUCGGACACGAUGGACUGCGGGAUGCCGUGGAGCCGGACGACGUCUGCGAAGAAUGCUUGGGCCACCCCCUCCGCCGAGUACGGAUGCGCCAAAGGAAUGAAGUGGCAAUACUUGCUGAAUCUGUCGACGACGGUGAGGAUGACGGACUUGCCCUUAACGCGGGGAAGGGCCUCGACGAAGUCCAUGGCGAUGUCGGACCACACCCCCUGCGGCACGGGUAGUGGUAGUAGGAGCCCCGCUGGGUGAAGAUGCUCUGACUUGUGGCGCUGGCAGAUGGAGCAGCCCCGCACAAAGUCCUGCACUACCGUCUUCAUGUGAGGGAAGUGAAAAUCGCGACGAAGUCGGUGCAGCGUGCGCUGGACCCCCUCAUGGCCCUCCUCGUGGACGGCGCGCAGAGCCUCCUGCAGCAAGGGGGAGGCCGGUGGGAGGUACAGCCGCCCGCUGUACGUGACCAGCCCGUCGGACAGGGCCCAGGGGAGCGCCCGUGUGCCCGCACUGAUCUCCUGCUGGAGGGCGACGAGUGCCGGAUCGGUUGCGUGAGCCUGGCGCAGACGCUGCACGAACUCGAAGCGGGGCGCGGACAGCACUAGAACCGUGCCCUCCUCGACAGUAUCCCGCCGUGAGAGAGCAUCAGCCACGGCGUUCGAGUGCCCCGGCUUGUACUCCACGGUGAAGUCGAAGCCCAGCAGCUUGCCAACCCAGUGAUGCUGAGGGAUGGUUGACAAGCGCUGGUCCAGCAGGUACUUGAGGCUAUAGUGGUCGGUCUUGACAGUGAAGCGGCGCCCCCAUAAAUACGGCCGCCAAUGGCGAACUGCGUGCACAAGGCCGAUGAGCUCGCGUUCGUAGGCGGCGAGAGCUUGGUGACGUGGCACCACGGGACGGCUGAAGAAGGCGAUGGGGUGGCCCUCCUGGACCAGUACCGCCCCGAAGCCAUGCGACGAUGCGUCGCAUUCGACGACGAACUGCUUGGAGAAGUCCGGCAUGGCGAGCACCGGCGCCGAGGUUACCGCGUCCUUGAGGGCAUCGAACGCAGCAGCGGCCUCGGCGGACCACGAGAAGCCGUCCUUCUUCAGCAGGGCGGUGAGAGGUGCUGCGAUGGUCCCAUAAUUGUGGACGAACUUGCGGUAGUAGCCGGCUAGCCCCAGGAACCCACGCACUGCCCGGGCGGACCGUGGCUGCGGCCAGUCCCGCACGGCUUGGAGCUUGGCGGGGUCCAUGGCGACGCCAGCAGCAGAGACGACGUGGCCCAGGUACGCGACCGACGCUGCAGCGAACGCGCACUUGGAGCGCUUGAGGAAGAGCUUGUGGCGCUGCAGCUCGUCGAAGACCGCACGAAGAUGGCGUAGGUGAUCGGCCCAAGUGCUGCUGUAAAUCAAAAUAUCGUCAAAGAACACCAGCACAAAACGACGGAGGAACGGACGAAGAACAUCAUUCAUCAAAGCCUGGAACGUGGCCGGAGCAUUGCAUAGCCCAAAGGCCAUGACCAGGAACUCAUAGAGGCCAUCGUGCAUGCGGAACGCCGUCUUGUGGAUGUCUGCCGGCCGCAUGCGGACUUGAUGAUACCCCGAGCGGAGGUCGAGCUUGGUGAAGUAGCAGGCCCCGUGGAGCUCAUCCAAGAGCUCGUCGACCACCGGUAUGGGGAACGCGUCUUUGAUGGUGAGCGCGUUGAGCGCUUUGUAGUCGACGCAGAAGCGCCACGACCCGUCCGGCUUCUUGACGAGGAGGACCGGGGACGAGAACGCGGAGUCGCUGCGUCGUACGAUGCCUUGCUCCAUCAUGGCGGCGCACUGCCGCUCGAGUUCGUCUUUGUGCGCAGCGGGGUAGCGGUAGGGCCGGACAGCCACCGGCAGCGCGCCGGGCUUGAGGACGAUGCUGUGGUCGCGGGUGCGCUGAGGGGGCAGACCAACCGGCUCCGCGAAGAGACUCCCAAAGGCGAGCAGCAGCUCGUCCAGGAGGGUCGUCGGUGCAGUCACGGCGGCGGUGAGGGCUGGCGUGGGUGUGGCCACGUCGGACCAGCACACGCGCCUGUCCUGGCGGGUAAAGGACAGCGUGCGCGCGGUGAAGUCCCACUCAAUCCGGCCCAGGGUCACCAGCCAUUGGGUGCCCAGGACCAGAUCAUAACCGGCGAGGGGCAGAACGUAGAGGUCGACGCAGAAACCCUCGCCGUCGAUGAUGAUCGGCGCCUGUCGCAGCACGCCUGGACACGCGAUGCGUUCGCCAUUGGCGACGGUGGCGGUGAGGCGCGGGUCGGCGAGGACAGGGAGGCCGGUGCGCGUCGCAGCCGUCUCCGCGAUGAAGUUGUGGGUAGAGCCCGUGUCGAGGAGCGCCGUGAGGGUGACGUCGCCCACGGCCACUCGUACCUGCAUCGUAUCACAGAUGGGCAUACCCGUGACGGCGCGGAGGGAGAACACUGGGGCGGCUGGCUCGGCAUCGUCAGGAACGGCCUCGUCGUCUGCGAGCUCGACCCUAUCAAUGAAGAAGAUACGGCGGCAGACCCGGUUGUGACCCCUGGAAUACGGCUCGUUGCAAUUGUAGCAAAGACCGAGGCGUCGUCGUUCGGCUUGUUCCUCGGUCGACAGCCGCUUGACCUGGUUGGGCGCGCCCCUGGGUGGCGGUGCUGGGAGUGCUGGCAGGGCCGGCGCCGGGGCCGGGAGCGCCAGGGGUGCUGGAGCCGGUCUGACCGCCGGCCGGGGUGCUGGACCAGCGCGCGGGGCUGGUGGCGGGAGCGCGGCCUGGGCGCGAUCCAACUCCAUCAGCUCGACCUGGCGCGCCAGACUCAUCGCGGCAGCGAGGGUCUCCGGGUUGUGGAUGCGAACUGCGUGACUUAGGGGUGGGAGCAGUCCCCCUGUGUAGAGCUGAACGCGCUGGGUCUCCUCCAAUCUCCCGGCGCGUGGUAGCAGGGCCUGAAAACGAUUAGAGUAAUCUUCGACAGUACCUGUGCGGCGACACUCCGCGAGCUCGAAGAGCGGAGCCGACCUCAGGGGCGGCCCAAACCGCAGGUGGAGAAGGUCUUUGAAGCGACCCCAGGAAGGAGUGCCCUCGUCCUCUUGCAACUGGAUGAACCAGAGCUGUGCGACAUCUUCGAGGUUGUAGGACGCCAUCCAGACGCGCUCCUCUGCCAAAGUGCGCUGCUGCCGAAAGUACGAUUCGCACUUGUUGGUGAAGAGCAGCGGAUCGGACUUGCCGUCGAAGCGCGGGAAAUCAAGCUUCUGGAACUUGGGGGGACGAUCCAAGUCGCGCUGGCCGCCGCCCGUGCUCUCGGACGUCGAAGCCGACUUCUCCUUCAGUGCCAGCAUGUCGGCCUUCAUGGAGAACAUCUCCUCCUUGAAGGACUUCAGCAUCUCGACGACAUCGGCGAUGGUGGGAUCAGCCAUGGCGGGUGGGGGACAGGUGGACGCAGUGGAGGACGUAGGGGUUGGCGGCAGGGCAGGGUGGGCUGCGGCAGUGGAGGUUUGAGAGGUGGACGAGGAUCGGCGUGACCGUGAUACCAGGUUGUCAAGGGCGUUAUUGCCCAGCGACGGCGGCCCUCGGCUACGUAGCUCGUAGCCUUGGUCCGUGAUAAUUGGCGGGGUUAUGCCCCCUCGCCUACCCUCGCUGGUCGGGUUAUACCCCCUGGCCGGCGGCUUGAGAGGAAGAAGAAGAGAGAUAGGUUUAAUCUUGCUUGAUCUCAAAAGGUCUCCAAUUACAAGGCUUUAUAGCCUGGACUCCCAACAAGAAAGGAAACUAAUCCUCUAAACUUAAGGAAACCUGAUAAUCUCUUUCUAAACAAUCCCUAUCUUACCAAACCUGGACUCUCCUAAUCUGUCCAAGCCGCCUGGGCGCCUGGCUAGCCACUAACGGCGCCAGCCCCCUUGGCCAGGCUCUGGGCGCGCCCAGCGGCCCUGCGCACAUCGCGCAGCCUGCGACGCCUAGUGUAAGUAUUUCCCCACAUGACAGUUUCAGAUGCACAAAAGCUUAGGAACACAUGGUUUAUGAGCACUUCUCAUUGUAUUUGCAUAAGUCAAAAUUAACCAUUAAGUAUUGCACAUAUGUCCAAUCAAGCUCUUGUUCUAUUGAUUGCUUGAUGCUAGCCGUCAACUUUUUUAUUGUUGUUAAAGUGCAUCAUUGGAUCAUGCAAUUUCAUUAUAUAAUAGGAUCCUGACUAGGCAAAAUGUCAAUUUAGAGGCUUAAGGUGUAGUUCUGUCAUUUUCUUAUUUAUUUAUGAAUCUAAAAUAUCAACCAAAGUUUCCACUUGCCUCAAUUUUUUCAUUUUAUAAGCUGGAAAAUUUGAGUUUCUGAUUGUUUGCUACUUGUGUAGUAUAUCUACAAAAGGGAUUUGGAAUGUUGCCCUGUAUUUGGAAGAUUGAAGACUCUUUUACUCGACAUGUGGUGCAGGCAUGUUGAUAUGCAUGCACUGGUUCGCAUUCUUCAGCACACGCCUAUUCUUGAAAAGCUUACAAUUCAGCUUCGUAGUGACAAGGUAGAUUUUCCGGAUAUAUGUUAUCACAGAUUCACAGUACUAAUGAAUAUGUAAUGUAUACUCUAUUUAUCUUAUUUGUAUGUUGUGUCCUGUAGAAUUUCUUAUGCGCAGGCCGAGGUGAAAGAAAACAUGUUCGAAUAGUGCAAUCAUUUUGUUGUGCACAACUUAAGGAAGUCAGCAUAGAAUGUGAAGAGAAACUAAGGGUCAAGGAUAAGGUCAGGCAAAUUGUGAAGAUCUUGAAUAGAAAUGGCAUACAUAAAGAGCAAAUCACUUUCAAGAAGCUCCCAAGGCCAGAAGGUUGUAAGUAACUAUUUAGGUUUUUUAUGCUUCCUACUCCAAUUAAAAAUUUUGCAACCUUGUUCCAAUAUAUUCUAUGCUGUAAUUACUCAUCAAGACAUAAAGUAGAGCACACAACAACACCCUUUACAGUUACAUCCAUCAUUCAAAAUCCAUAUUAUUGUUAGGUAUGAACUGUUGUAGUUCAGAAUUGUUAUUAUUAUCUCACCAGGAUUAUAGUGUGACUAGUAGUGGAAUUAUGUUUCCAUGGUGCAUUGGUGACUAUAAAGUCUGCACCCUGAUUAAUUGCUGAUGGAAACAGUAGCUGUUCUCAUCUUCCAAUCCAGUUUACCAUUUCCAUACUCUAUUACUGGUUUCCAUCAUAUUAAGGACCACCAAUUGGUGAUUGUGUUUACUUUCCUGAGCCUGUGAUGAAUUUGCUGCUCCCAGAUUGAUGGUAAUGCUGAUGCCAUCUUCUGAUCUCCCUAGUGAUAAAGAGGAAAUUAGCAUGGCUUCCACUCUUUUUACUGAAUCAAAAGCUUUGUCUUACCUCCAGGUUAACAAUACUACAAUAGAUUAAAUCAAAAAACUGGAUUCAAAAAAUCUAUCCAAGCAAUCAGAAAUUCCUAUCUGAUCAAUGAAUGUGUCAUAUAUUAUUACUGAUAGCAUGUUUUCAUUUUGGUUCAGUGUAUCGUCUGGUGGCUGUGUCACCUAGGGCCUUUGAUGACAACUGGUCGGGUGGCGAAUAAGGUGGUGGUGUUGGGUCGCGAACUCGCGAUGUUGCUCCAAGCCUGUUAUGUCAUUUCUCCAAAUCUUUUGCAAUGGUGGGCCCUGUGCAGGCCGUUGGUUUCAAUGGUGCAACUAAGCUAAACAAUUUCCAGUUCUUUCUGUUUAAGACAUCAGUAUUUCAUUCAGUUUUCCAUUUUGUCAGUCGACUCAAACACUUAUUUCUCAACCAAUGAGAAUAGCUGUCAGAUGCGCAUCAAGAUAUGGAUUCGGUUUUUUCCCGUGCCUUUUGUUUUUUAAUAUAUGACAUGUGAUUCCUGUCACUGAAUUGAGAUACAGUCAUACAGUGGCUCUCAGUCGAUUAGGGAGUAGGGGACCUUUUCUUCGGUUGUCCGUAAUUAAUGAAAAUCGUGCCAGGACUUUGUCACAUUUCGAAGCUAGGUUUGCGUGCAUGAAAUUUUAACAUUCAAGGUUAUUUGAAAAUUUAACACUGAAUUAUAAAAUAGAAGAAGUUAAAUGAAUAUUGGAAUUUUAUAUCGAUUUACAAAGCAGCAUUCUUAGAGGUUCAACUCUACAAUGCAAGUUGCUGUCAAGAAAAAAUCAUAUUUUUUGCUAUUUUUUUUAUUACAGAAUCGAACUUAUAUCGCUCUCUCCAAUAGUACUUUUAAAACUUACUCUCUAAAUCAUGAUUUGGAAAGCCAAUUAAAUAAAAUCAUUUUUUACAUUUUUUUUACUCUCUAGCAACGUUUCUAAAUUUUGUGUGGUAUAGAGUUAAUCUCGCUCUCCAUUUUUGAUUACCAAGAAAUCUAAAAUGGAUCUCAGCUAUAUUUAGACAUCUAAUAAAAAUGUUGAAUGGUAUUUUUGUACCAAAUUUCUAUUCCAAAAUAAAAGGAUAUAGAGAUGUUCUUCAAAUUGCUCUAAAAGCACCGAUCUUCCACGCACUCCAUAUAAAAAAAAGUACUCUCUCCGUCUCAAAAAAACCAUUGUUGUUGACUUUGACCAAUCAUGUUUGACCGCUCGUCUUAUUCAAAAUUUUUAUGCACAUUCUAAAAUAGAUAAAUCAUUAUUAAAGUAUCUCUAAUGAUCAAAUAAGUCAUAUCAAAAUAGAGGAUAUAUGUAUAAAAAGUUCUAAUAAGACGAAUGGUCAAACAAGACGUUUGAAAGUCAACAACAACGGUCUUUUUGAGACGGAGAAAGUAAGUUUUCAUCCAUCGUUAGUGGCCCAAUGGGGCAUUGGCCUCCAUUUAGCUUAGCCUGCGCUCCGUCACCUCAGAGCUACUCUCUCUCAUGUAACUAUUCUAGAAUUUUUAGGAUAAAGAAAGAAUAUAAAAAACAUAUACAUCUUUUUUUAUUUAUUAAUCAAAUGCUAUCAUCAACAUAAUUAAUGGUGUUUAGUUGAUAUUUUUCUAAUGUUAGAAUGUACUAUAUUUCAGAGCAGAUAUACUAAUAGGAGUAAUGAUCCUAAGGGCAGCUCUAGCUCUAAACAUUUUUUCUCAUAUUUUAAUAGAAGAGAGAGAAAAACUGUCUCUUAAUGAAGAGCUAAGCUCUUGCACAUAUUUCGCCGGCUCGCCGCCGCCGUCGUUGCCGGAUAUGGUCACAUACGCUGGUGGCUAGCUGUUGGUUCGGAUCGGGAGGGACUCAGGCUUUGGGAAGAAGGGAGAGACCGUUUAGAGAUUGGAGUCUCAGGCUCGUUCCAGACCGUAUCGAAAUCAAAGUACGAAUGAACCCAAAUUAACCAAAUCAAUCAAUCCUAGGUGCUAACCCAAACCAAACCAGACCAUUGUAUUUCUAGAACCAUUUCUCAUUAAACUAGAGCAGUCCAAAAUAAAAAUCAAACCAUAUAAACUGACUGAUCGCAUUAGGUGCACAGCCAAGCAAACAGCAGAAGCAGCAUUCAGUGAACACCUCUGUUCUGCAACGAGCAUGAAUUCUAAUGAAAUUCAACACAGGCACUAUAUUAGAAAAGCCACAUCUUCUUCAGUUUAUUUGCAUCUAAAACCAUAUCAAUCGAUGCAUACAUAUAUGCAUGCGUAUGUCGCACUAGGUAUUUAUCAUGGGCACACAGCAGCAGAGCCAGACAUUAAGACCAGUAGGCAGUUUAUAGCAGGAUCCAUUUGUAGUGUCGAUAUCGGAUGGGCAUUCAUUCCGCCACUGCUUAAACGAACAAUCCCCAGCGGUCUUGUAGUAGCACGGCGUGCACGACAGUGGCUGCCCAAGCGCCGGGGAACCCUGUUGACGGCCGUCGUUGCCCUUCCCUUGCACUGUAAUAAUAUGGUAAUUCUGAAACUAAAUCAGACAACCAUAAAAAUUGGCACUUUAAUAUGUCGGAAAAAGAUACAGUGGAACGGUAGUUGGACCUUGGAAGGACGGGGAUGUUGAAGCCAUGAUCAAGAGAACCAAGAGAGGAACGGUUAUCAAUUCAUUGAUGCUCGUGGAACUUUUCUUGAAGAGUAGUGCCACUGCCAUGAGGAAAAAUGAGAAUCCUCCGAGGUGGGGGGUGGGAGGACUACUAUUGUUUAGUAUAUGUUUCAGUUGGCAGCUGUUAGUAUUAUAUAGACGGAUGCACCUCCAAGCAUCAGAUAUGUUUAAUUAAUUUUUUUCUAAGAAUUUAUGUGCUUUUUCAACUAAGAGAUUUUGGUAUGCAAAGAAUAAGGUAUAAUUAGUAUCUUGCUACUAUCAGAUCAAAAUAAAUAAGCAAACCACUAAUCUUGCAAAUAUGUUAGUUGUGUAUGUGUAUAUUUGUAUCUAUACCUAUCUAUAUCUAUACUUUUAUAUUUAUCUAUAUUUUUAUUCGUAUAUCUAUAUCUAAUAAAUAUAAUUAUCUAUAUUUAUAUCUAUAUCUGUAUAUCUGUACAUGUCUUUCUUGUCCUCACCUCCCCGAUUGACCCCUCCCGGUCCCCUUCGCCACUACUAAAAUGCUGGAGUUCUCGUAGUGUUUUUAGUUAGUAAUAAAACACUGCUACUAGUCAAAACACUAGGAAAUCCUCACUAGGAGGAAUUUACUAGGAAAGUUUAUACUAAAUUUUGAAUGCUAAAACAUUAGAAGAAUCCCACACUACUAAGAGAAAUUGAAAAAACCGGUUGUGCGCCGUCAUCACCUCCCCUGCCGAUCAUCACCCUGUGUUGACGCAUGUCAUCGCCACCCUGCCCACGCCCAUCAUCACCACAUGCAUACAGGAGGCAGACCCGUCUUCUCCUCCAUAAUCGUAUUUUUUAUGUGCGUAUAAAAAACACAGAAAAAUUCGUCACAUACAGAGCAAUUUGAUCGAGUUUCCACACUGAUUCUUGAAACAAAUUAAAGGCCAGUCUUCUUGGUCGGGAUGCACGUCGUGAUCCUCAGGUCUUGUUCCAAAUAAAUUUGGAAAAAAGACACUGUAGCACUUUCGUUUUUAUUUAACAAACAUUAUCUAAUUAUAGAGAGCUUAAAAGAUUCAUCUCGUGAUUUACAGAUAAACUGUGUAAUUAGUUUUUAUUUUUAUCUAUAUUUAAUGCUUCAUGCAUCUGCCACAAGAUUCGAUGUGACGGGACAUCUUGAAAAGUUUUUAAUUUUUGAGGUGUACUAAACAAGGCCUUGCUGCAUAAGCGCUAGGGAUCCCUGUGUGUUGACGGCCAUCGUCGUCGCUCUUUACAUGCUAUAGUAAUUCUCAAAUCAGACAACCAUAAAAAUUGGUUGGUUAAUUUAUCUGAAAAAAAAUAAUACAGUAGUGCUAGUAGAUAGUGGUAGUUCCACCUUGGGAGGACGGCGACGUUGAAGCCAUGAUCAAAAGAGCGAAGCGAGAGGAAGGGCUAUCAAUUUAUUGAUGCUUGUUGAACUUUUCUUGAAGAGCAGCAGUGCCAUGUGGAAAAACAAGAAUUGUCUGGUUCCUUUUAUUUCAUUUGUGCGGGGUGCGAGGGUAACGAAUAUUUGUGUUUAUUGUGUGAUCUGUUGUAUUUAGUGUGCAACUGUGUACGUACUAUGUAGACGCAUCCAAGUUCAGGUACCAUUCCUUUAAGGAUUUAUGCAAAUAGGUAUAAAAUCUUCGUAUUAUAUUGCAAAAUAAAUAGUGGAAGCACAACCAUUGCCAAUAUAUUGCUUGUCUGCGUAUGUCUCUAUACCCAUAUCUUUAUUUGUAUCAGUAUCUAUAUUUGUAUAUGUAUCCAUGUCUGUAUGUGUAUAUCUAAUCUAUAUCUAUAUCCAAAAUAUCUCUACCUCUAUCUCUGUAUCUAUAUCUAUAUCUCAAAAAAUAUGGUUAAAUUCUUGCAGUGGGACUAAGUUAUAGUGGACCAGAUUUAUAUGUCUAUAUAUGACGUCUCGCUAACUAUUACCCAUAUUGUGCAAUCAAAUCAAAUAUCCAUUAAAAAAAAACUUUCCUGCAACUCAGGGGAAAACUAUAACAGGAUCCUAUUCUUGGCCAUGAUAGAGUUCAUUCUUUUUUCCCUAUCUGUGUUUUGGACAUGAAAAGUUUGUAAAACAAAAUUUCCCAAGGAUCGAUCGAAGAUUUUAUCAUUAUCCAAAAACAUGUUCAUUUUCAUCGAGUUUGCAACAGCUAGACAGAUGCAUGCAUUACACUGUCUCAUGAGUGCAGCAGCACUCGGAGUGAGCACGACCAGAAUCAUCAUUCCUGGUGAAGCAAGGAGCUCUUUCAGCUACGAAACCUUUGGCUCCACAGAAAGAGCUGCAGGUAGUACAUCCUUGUGAAUCAUGGUCCUGGUAGCACGUAAACGGGUGCUGAGGAAUUAGGAUCUUUGUUGGCGACGCCGCCAACUGUGGGCAGCAGCACUCCACAUGAGAUUGACCAUACUUGUCAGUCCAAUUCAAGCAGAACGCUCUGUUGCUCCUCACGCCUUUUGCUAUGCAUAGAUUGGAGCAACUUGCAAACGUACAGUGAUUUAUAUCCUGGAAGCACGACAUCUGUCGAGGCCGAAUCAUCCCCGUUAGCAGCUGCGGCGAGUAGUGGUCUGGAUCGGAGCCUGGCAAAUGCAAUGAAGAAGUACAUACAGAUCAAAUAUUUUGUUGAUCAUAUUUACUUAUCCAAUAGUAUGCAGAUUAAGCAGAGACAAGGGCGCCAUACUGUCAAGGUUCUCAGCUUGGCAGGUUGUGCGGGAUGGAGACAUGAUCAGAAGAACUAAGAGAACAGCGGCAUUGAAGUGCUCGAUCUGCCUUGAGGUACAGCUCUUUGCCAUGAGGAAGAUAAUGCUAUUCCUCAUUCUAUUUUUGUCAGAAUUGGGGAUUCUCUUUCUGUUGUAUAGUGACGCAAGAAUUUAUAUAGAAACAAAACACAUCGUGAAAAUAUGUUCGUUGUCAUUGUAUAUCUACAUCUACAUCUACAUCGAUAUUGACAUCUACAUCCACAUCCACAUCCGCAUCCACAUCUACAUCUACAUCUAUAUCUAUAUCUAUAUCUAUAUCUAUAUCUAUAUCUAUAUCUAUAUCUAUAUCUAUAUCUAUAUCUAUAUCUAUAUCUAUAUCAGAAUUUCUAUAUCUAUAUCAAUAUCUAUACCUAUAUCUAUAUCUACCACAAUCUUGAAUUACCGUGGGUGCUAAAGAUUUUCUUCUAGACCAAAACAAAACCGCCAUGCGGACAUUGACUCCAAAGAAAUGAAUGUUGUGUGCUAAACGAAACCAUCAAGGUUAUUCCAUGUUUCUUUGAGUGUCAUUACAAACCGCCAAUAUAAAUGCUCAUUUUCAUCGGUGUUAUUAAAAACCGCCAAGGUAAUUUGUAUUUCCUCGAGUGCUAUUUAGAACUGCCAAAGUAAUUCCAAUUUUCUUGAGUGUAAUUUGAAACCCCCUAGGAAAUUCUCAGAUCUUCAAAAUUCAAAUUGUUUGAAUUUUUCAAAUGACCUCGGAUGGAUAUAUUACCUAAAUAGAAGUUAUAUUAUUUGACUAGAUAAUUCAAACUCUUUAUAUUAUUUGAAAUCAUUUAGGAUCUCAAAUAUUCAUUACAAGAUUCAACAAAGUGAAAACAGAAGAAAAAAAUAAUUCCCUUCAUCACAAGUUGCUUUGAGGAAUAGUGGUAAGUGCUUUUUAUUUGAAGCAAUAGGUCGCAAGUUUGAAUCCUACACGAGCCCCAGCUUAUUGUGAUUUAUAUUUUUUAUUCCUCUAUAUUUCCUUGGAGAUUGUUGUCCCUCAAAUUUCCUUGAUGGUUAAGAAUAUUUCCUUUGAGGUUGCUGGCCUCAAGAAAAGUUAAGUAUGAUCACAGUUUUCUUGGCAGCUAGUCUCUAUGAAAAUCAUCCUUUAGUGCCAAAAAUGCCAAGAAAACUAAUCUCUCUCUUGCAUUAUCCUGGUGACUUUGCUUGAUGAUCUGUGAUCAAGGAGUUUAGGCUCUUUUCUUGGUGAUUUUGGGUGGAAAUUCCCUGUGAGCCAGCAAUUCCUUACGAGCCAUUGAAAAAGUUCAACGAACUUCAGCACCACUGCUCCAAAUUUUUUUGCCUCCAUGCCACUGCCGUUAGAUUGGGCUCUAACAGUGUUAAACCGCAGAUAUAAAAAACAAAAAUACCCUUUUGUCUAAAUAUGCCAUUAAUGUUUUUGAGCAUCUUAAUGACUUUAAAUGGAAAACUCAAAACGAGAUCUACAACCUUUUAGUUUUGAGUUUUUCCAUUUGAAGUCAUUAAGAUGCUCAAAAAAUUAACAACAUAUUUACACCUAAGGAUAUUUUUGACAUUUCACACCCACGGUUUGGCACCAUUAGAGCCCAAUUUAAUGACAGUGACCUGGAGGGAAAAAAAAUAUUUGGAACGGUGACGCUGAAAUCCGCUAAACUUCACAAGAAAUUACGAUUUUUUAUAGUGGCUUACAAGGAAUUUCCUCCACUAAAAAUGGUAAUUUGGGCAUUAUGGUAGUGAUGGUCAUCGAUAUGGGACCAAGUUCUAGUGGCCCAAAACUAUAAGUAGAUAUGACGUCUUGCUAUCUAUUACCCCUAUUGUGCAACCAAAAAUCAAAAUAAGAAACCUCUCCAGCAACUCAGAGGAAACUAUAACAGAUUCGCCAUUAUCAAAAAACAUGUUUAUUGAUCCAGUAUGCAUCAGCUAUAGACAGAUGCAUGCAUUACACUGUUUCAUGGGUGCAGCAGCACUCGGUGUGAGCACGACUAGAAUCAUCAUAUUCCUGAUGAAGCAAGGAGCUCUUUCAGCUACGAAACCUUUGGCUCCACAGGAAGAGCUGCACGUAGUACAUCCUUGUGAAUCAUGGUCAUGGUAGCACGUAAACGGGUGCAGAGGAAUUAUCAUCUUUGUUGGCGACGUAGGCCGCCGACCGUGGGCAGCAGCACUCCACAUGAACAUGACCUUGGUUGUCAGUCCAAUUCAAGCAGGACGCAUCGUAACUCAUCACGCCUUUUGCUUUGCAUAGAUCGUAGCAACUUGAAAACGUGCAGUUAGUUAUAUCCUCGAGCACGGCAUCUGUGGAGACCGAAUCUUCGCCGGUAGCAGCUGUGGAGAGUCGGAGCCUGGCAUAUGCAAUGACGAAGUACAUACAGAUCAAAUAAUUUUGCUGAUCAAAUUUGUUCCAAUAGUAUGCAGAUCAAGCAGAGAUAUAUAAGGGUUUCUUACUUGUAAGGUUUUCGGCUUGGCAGGAUGCAGACAUGAUCAGAAGAACCAAGAGAACAGCGGCAAUGGAGUGCGCGAUCCACCUUGAGGUACUGCUCUUUGCCAUGACGAAGAUAAUGCUAUUUCUCCUUCUAUUUCUUGCAGAAUGGGAGUCUCUUUUAUGUUGUAUAUAUAUAGGGAUGCAAGCAUUAUCAUCCUGUCCCAGGUACAAAUGCGUGGGGCGUAUAGCAGAAACUAAUGAUUUGGUAUAUCUGGUCUGUAUCUUCUGGGAUUGGAUGCAACUAAAUUAAAUGUAUACUGCAGCCCAUAUACGAAUGUGUGCAUCAUAAUAAUAUAUUGGUAUCUGUAUCUUCUCUAAUAAACACUAAUAUUUUGCAGCCCAUAUAUUGGUCUGUAUCUUCUGUAAUAAACACUAAUAUUUUGCUAUCUAAAUAGUAAGAUCUGAUACAUUCUUUUUUUUUAGCGAGCAAGAUCUGAUAUAUUCUUAGAUGCAACUUAAUACUAUUACCACAGCCAAUAUAGCCUGUGACUACCUUCUCUCCGAAUCAAUGUCCUCUUCUAAAUGGAUUAAUGUUUUGGUAUCCCCACCUUGGAUUCUUAGGUACCAAUAGAAAUAUGUGAAUUUUUGGUUUGGGCUGGCAAGAAAGAUUGAAUUAAGUUGUAGUCUUAGAGGCUUGUCUUCCGAAACAAAAAGACAUAAAUACACCAGUGGUACAUGAAACUUUUGAAUAACUCAUUUUUGAGCAAAUAAAGUGAUGUGCUAUAGAUCCAUAUGGUCUGAGGAUUAAUAGGAUACUUAUAUUAAUAAGUUACAACUUCUUUUUCGGAAGACUAUCUUCAAAGAACUCUAAAAGUAAGCGUGUUUGGCCUGGAAAAAUUUAGAGAUGGGUGAUCGACCGAAAGUUCUUUCCGGGUGUGUAAGAGUGAGGACAAAGUGCGCAAACUACGCAGAAACGCAAAGUACGCAGAAAAGACUGGUGUUGGUCUGUGAGGACAGUUUAUAUCCUACAAAAGUUGCCGGAUAUAAACGGGCCUAGCCUCAUGGAGGUGGAGAACGUUACAAUGACCAAUAUGUACAGUAGCCCACCAUGAAGUCGACAUAGCAUUGCCAGGUGCUAUAUCUGGGUCCCCUUCCAUUGUCGCCCUUUCUCCUCCGAGUCCUCUCCAAAGCUGGACAUUGUAGGGACUUAGAAGGGCUCUGGUCGUAGGGGAGGGCCUAGUAUAUAUAGAUUCAAGGGUCUAUUCAGUUGAAUAUCCAUUAUUUUAGCAAAAAUAUAAAUAUAUAUAUAAUAAACAUAUAUAUGUGUUCAAAAAAUAAAAAGAAAAUUUAUUAUGCAGCCUCUGUAGAAAAAUGUAGCCAAAAUAUAUAUCCUUCUAUUCAUUUUUCACCAGGGCACCAACUAAUUAAACUCUCAGCAGGGCACCACCGCACCAGCAUCCACACCUGCUUGUAUUCCUCAGUUCGGUUGCGUUUUCCCCCAAAUCGGCACGCAGUGGCCGCCAGCACCUGGUGUCGUGCUGGCGAUGGCACCACGCCACUAUUAUUGGUAGUUUUUUUAUGUUAAACAAUUCCAAUUUAUGGCUAACCUAUUGUAUGCUCAUAAAGAUUGAGGCCGGUUUUCUUUGGCAAACAUAGUCUAGGAUACGACCCCUCAAAAGUUGUAAAGAUACAUGAUGCUAUCUCUCUGUUUUCUAAUAUGGGUAAGUUGUCCCACUCCAUAUAGAGUGAUUUACCAUAGAUACUAGGCUACGUUACACGAGUACGAGUACGACUAUCGGAUACAAUACGUAUCGGAUACGCGGAUACACACUUUCUAAAAACAAAAACCCACUAAAAUGGUGUAUCCGAGUAUCCGUAUCCGCGUAUCCGACGAGUAUCGGAUACGGAUACGUCACCCCCUUGGAGUAUCCGUGUAACAUAGAUACUAGGUAUGACGGUACUUAGGUCAGUCUCAAUAAAGUUUCAUUAGAGUUUUAUAGACAUUAAAUAUGAUGAUGUGACAUCAUAUUAAUGAAGAGAGAGAUGGCAAGAGUUUCAUGGGAGUAGAGAGAGUUUUAUGGGAAUGAAACUCUUCUACAAUAUUUCCAAAAUAUUGGUGUGUUAGAAACUGGGUGAUGAAACUUCCACUAAGGAUGGCUUUAACCGACAAUUGAAAUUUUACAUCCAACUCCAAGAGCUUGGCUAAAAUUAGUAACUAAAUUUUAUUGUUUAGCCAUUUUGUAAAAUAGAAAACCUUUUUAAAAAAGAAGAUGUCCAUAACAGCCUUGCUAUUUUAUAAAAUCGGAUAGUUAGUGUUAGUGGUUGGCUAUAUAUGGUCACAAAAAAUUAAGAGAUAGCCAACUUUUUAUUUUACAAAACUAGAUAGCACAUUUGAUAGAGGCUACUUUUUGCUAUACAAAUUUUAAAAGAGCCUCUAUGGCAAAAAUAGUCAAGCUGCUGGAGUUUCUCUAUAUGGUGCUUUUGGAAAGUGGAACUAAUAAUAAAAAGAUUACUUAAGUUCUCCAUAAGGGGGAUGUUAUUAGGAUAGAUUUCAGCUGUACCAAUGACUUCAUUGAGGCUUGGGCCGACAAAGCCAUGCCCAUGAUCGGUGGGUCCAAUAACUGCCAAAUAGCCAGUCCCGAGGUAUAAAGGUGUUUGGUUGGAGGUGUUAGGGCACUCACAAUGCAAGACUCUAUCACAGAGUCCAAGACACUUAAUUACAUAUUAUUUAUGGAAUUUUGAUGAUGUGGCAGCAUAUUUAUUGAAGAAAGAAGUAGAAAAAAUAAGACUCCAAGUCUUAUUUAGACUACAAGUCCACAUUGUUCGAGGUAAUAAAUAACUUUAGACUCUAUGAUAGAGUCUGCAUUGUGAGUGCCCUUAAAGUUUAAUAUGUACUGUAAUAUUUUCGUCUUAUUUGGAAAUUAGUAUCUAAUCAUGGACUAAUUAUGCUCAAAAGAUUCAUCUCAUAAAUUACUCUCUAUUUAUAUUUUUAGUUUCAUAAAUAGUCUAUAUUUAGUACUUCAUGCAUGUAUCCAAACAUUAGAUAUGAGGAACGAUAAAUUUUAGGGAGAGCAACCAAACAGACCUAAGAGAAGGCACCCACGACUAUACCUGAGGCUGUAAAUAGGGUUGUCAGAUACCUCCCGAUUAGGUUUCCUCGGGAAUAGGACUGAAGAUCAAAGGUCAGUCAAUGGUCAAGAAGUAACAUGGAGUACCGCAAGUCUACAUUGACAAUGCUCAUCUUCGCCACCAAUGCCACGCCUGCUUGUAUAUAGAAGGUAGGAUGACAUCAGUGGGUCUUUGGGCAUCGUCUAUCACCAUAGGUCACCACUAAUUAAACACGGUUAAGGGUUAAGUGGUGGAUUAGGUGUCGUCUAAGAUCAAUCCUAAUUAAUUAAGCAUAAGAGCAUCUUAUGCAAUUGGACUAUGCAUUCUAGAAAUUUGAUAAAAACCUUAAAAAUUGUUCUCCAAUAGUUAUGCAUUUUACUUAUGCAUUUUGGCAAACUUGGCAUUUGAUGGACCAAACUUAGCAUUUUUGCAUAAGCACAAUGGCUUGGCAAAUUUAAUAUCCCGAGUUUCCUGGACUCCUUGUCGUGCGCGACCUCUCCACGCGCUGCGGUAGUUUCCCGCAAGGACUCCUCUUCCCCGCGCGAACUCUUCUUUCCCGCGCGACGUGAACUCUGCGACUUCGUGGACUACUGGCGCACGACAGAACUCUGGCGAACUGCGACUUCGUGGACUGGCGGACCGGGAGGCCGCGAUUCACAGAAACGGCGGUGACUUGCGACUUCAUGGACUGGCGGCGACGGGCGACGGAAAUUCCCGCGCAGAGGAAAAAUCUCGCGUGAAGCGCGCCAAUCAAAAAAAAGAUCCCGGACAAAAAUAGUUGGGUCCAUUAUUUUGGGAAUGCCAAGUCAAAAUGCCAAACACUUGGAGAUGGAGUUAUUUUUCCUUUAGCAAAACGUUUAGAGACUUGGCAAAUUUCAACAAAUGGCAAAUUCCAAUUGCAUAACUGUUGGAGAUGCUCUAAGUCUUAAAAAAACUACCCAAAUAUUGAAACAGACAGAAAACAAUAUUUCACGAAACGGUAAACACACAUACUAGGAUAUCAUAACUAGAAAGAUUCCUCACGUGUUACCACAUGUAUGAAGGAUGAAUAUAAAUAUAGGCCUUGUUUAGAUCUAAAAAGUUUUUGGAUUUUGACACUGUAGCACUUUGGUUUUUAUUUGACAAACAUUGUCUAAUCAUGGAGUAACUAGGCUUAAAAGAUUCAUCUCGUGAUUUACGGGCAAACUGUGCAAUUAGUUUUUGUUUUUAUCUAUAUUUAAUGUUUCAUGCAUGUGUCGCAAGAUUCGACAACGAAGAAUCUUGAAAAGUUUUUUGUUUUUGAGGUGAACUAAACAAAGCCAUAGUCUUAGUGUAGUCUAUCCAGUCAUCUUCUAUAUAUAGUUUGAUUAUUAGUAGUCAGUUUUUGAAUAGAAAGAGAGAAAGUUACGUGAGAGAAUAAUGCUAGCAAUAUGCGUGUAUAGUCAUGUGUAGGUAACUGCAUCCACUACUAAAACCAUUUGUGAGUGGGCACUUAAUUGCAUGUGGCAGCAGGAGGAGUCGAUGAUGAUAUUGCGUGCAAGAUAAUUAACGUCUUUAUAGAAUAUAUAGAUACUCUACUAUAAAAUCGUAGUGUGUUGUAUUCAAAAAAUGUUAGAGAGCAAGCACAAUCAUGCAAGCUAUCUGAUUUAGUUUUUCUGUUGGAAAAUUUUGCUACACUGCAGUUACUUAUAAACUUGAUUUUCUCCUACAAACUACUCCCUCCAUCCUCAAUUAUAAGAUAUUCUAAGAAUCUUAGAGAGUCAAAGCAUCUAGUUUGUUUAAAAUUUAUAUGAUAAGAUGAUAACAUUUACUAUACCAACUAAGUAUCAUUAUAUUUUUUAUUAAUUAUAUUUUCAUAUACCGAUUUAAUGUCAUAAAUAUUUAUAAUUCUCUCUAUAGCUUUGGUUAAACUUGAAAUGUUUUGACUCUCAAAGAUUUUUGGAAUGUCUUAUAAUUUGGAACGGAGGGAGUAGUUAAUCAAUAUCAUUUUGACCCCUUAAACUUGUUUUUUCGUUAAAUACGUUUCAGGGUCAAUUUUUGUGCGAUGAUAUAUGACAUUAUGAACUUGUUAGAAAAAAAAUAUUUUGAUUAUGUUGUGUGCUUCCUCAUAUAUUUUACAUUUGAAUCAUUCAAUUAAUAUCAAAUAUAUAUAAUGCAGACUAAACGAGCAAGGUAAUUGCAAACCUCACAUGGUCAUUUUUUAGAUCAAAGGCGUUCACCUGGCUUUAUUGAAAGCAUAACGAAAGCCCACCAUCAUUUUGCUGGGGAUUCCAGCUUACAACGUAGUUCAGACAAACUUAGGACGCUUACAAGUUCAACUGAAAUACAGAUCUCUAACACAACACGAUUCAGUACGUGCUCGAUAGAGAUUGGGAAUUGAAAACGUAUAUGGUCUGAUGUUUCAGGUUUGCCACACAUAAAGCAUUCCACAUGCUCUGACCAUUGUUUUCUUUUUAGUUGCACCCUAGCCUGGAUUCUGUCAUGAGCCGCCUCAAAUACAAAUUGUGCAAGGAAAAAGUUAAAAACACAAGCUAUAUCCUAGCGGAAAAUGACAAGGUACAAUAAUGGCGUGAUUUGAGCCGUUUGAAUAGCCAUUAAAGUAUUAAGUUAAUAUUUUGUUCGAGCAGUUAUUAAAAAUGUAAAUUUUUUGUUGUCAUCAUAUAAAUAUGUAAACAAAAAUGUUUAUUACUCAGUACAACAAAUUAAAGAAACACAAAGAAUAGAGAACCGAUCGAUCCGGUUCGAUACAGUAACAUUGGUCUCAUAUAUAGUCACUUCUCACUUGGCGAGCUAGCGAGUAGACGGAGAGCAUGAUGACGAGCGCCAUGCACGCGGCGGCGGCCAGCAUGAGCCCUGCGGCGGCGUAGGCCAGGUCGAAGAACUUGUCCAUGUCCCGGUGCAGCUUGUCGACCUCCGGCGUCCCGAUGGAGUCGUCGUCGAACUGGCCGUCCAGGUAGCGCUUCACGUCGUAGGUGAAGGCGAACCCGGCGGCGGCGCCCGUUGCGAGCAGCAGGGCGAAGACCACGUCGGCGAGGAGGACGAGGACCAGCAGCGCCACGGCGACGCUCCCGCCGCCAGCGCCGAUGCCCCGCUUAUUGUUCCCGCUGGCGAUGAUGCUGACGGCGGCCAACGGGAGCUGCAGCAGCGUGUAGGCGCACCCGAUGACGGCGACGGCCAGGACGUACCUGUAGGCGUAGACGUCCCUGAAGGUGUACCUCUGCGGCGGGUCGCUGUCGACGUUGAGCUUGUCGGCGGCGAUGAGCGCGAGCGAGGCGGCGAGGAGGCCGAGGCUGAGGAGCCGGAGGAUCAGGACGGCCGACGGCAGCAGGACAGUCCGGGACGCCAUUGUUAGCAGCGAAAUGAACUGUUUCCCUGCAAACACACUGCGUCUAAUUGGCUACUUAUUAUUGUCACGUUUUACUACUUGCACACGUACACGCGCAGCAAGCUAAGCUUGUGAUUAUUGCUGGCUGCCUGAUUGGGAUUAACGGGAGAUGAGAUGUCAGGGAUGAUGGUUCCUUUGUGCAUAUAUGUCGCCAUGAUCUGUGCAUCGUGUUCGUGUCGUGUCGUGUUCUUUGAGCUAGCUAGCUGCGAAGAGCUGAUGAGGGCCGGCCGGCGGCGACAUCUGGCACGGGGAUGUUGGCUGUUGGAUGGAGGGCGGCUUUGGCCUGGUGUCCGUCCGGCCGGUCUUCGUCUCCUUCGAUGACCAAGACGACGGGGUGUCGCGAAGGGCCGGUGACCUGUGUGUGUCCAAUGUCGAGACAUGCAUACAGGAGAAAAGAUCCAAAGAAGAUGGAGGUCGUGGUGGACUUUUUCCGCUAUUGUUGCCACGUUGGUCGCCGACUCGCCGGCUCGCGGGCGGCCGCUUUAUUUGCCACUACUGGGGCCCUUUGCCAUUACUGCUGCACUUUAAGUUACAUGCCACUAAGGCCCAAAAACCCAAAACUUUACAAGAUUCUCCAUCGCAUUGAAUCUUGUAGCACAUGCAUGAAACAUUAAAUGUAGAUAAAAAAGAUAACUAAUUAUACAGUUUACUUGUAAAUCACGAGACGAAUCUUUUAAGCCUAGUUGCUCCAUGAUUGGAUAAUGUUUGUCAAAUAAAAACGAAAAUGCUACAGUGUCAAAAUCUAAAAAGUUUUUAGAUCUAAACGAGCCCUAACUCAAAAGUCAACAGAAUUAUAUUCUUUUAGACAAAGGAUAGUUUAUAUCUAGCUUCAUCUAUCAACAGGUAGAAUUAUGCCAAUUAUUACAAGGUUCGACCUAUAAGCUAGCACACGAGCUAUAAAAGUAACAUCUUACAGCGACCCACACAAAAGAACAAAAUAAAGUUUUUGACUAAAGAAGACCAAUAGAUCUAUUUGAAAACCACCCAUUGGAAGCAAAAAAUGCAAGACUGAUGUCUCUAGAUGCUGCCCUACACGGAUUAGUUGGUGUCGUUGAACAUCACACCGCUGCAGUCUUGCUCAUUGGCGAAGCGAGUGGGUUCCCCUGAAAAGAACCUACAAAAAAUAUUUUAGUUUACAUUUAUCAAAAACAUUUUGUUUCUCGUUAUCCAAACUGUCCAACACAAAGUUGAUGUUGCGGUCAGCAACAAUGAAUUGUGUUUGUUACCACCUGUCUUGGACCACCUAUACUCUGGGAAGGUGAUAUCGCAAACAUUAAAUGUAUAGUGUGCCACAAGAAUUUAGCAUAGAAAUAAUCCAAAAAAAGGUGUUGAAUACUUUCUGGUGAGUGACAGAAGCUACACCUCGUAUCACCAUUCCAACUUCGUCGAGCCAGGUUGUCUUUGGUUAAAAUCACACUUUUUUAGGUACCACAAAAAUUUUUUAUUCUUGUAGGAAUUUUAAUUUGCCAUUGUUAACACAGCAUACAUAGAUUUGACGCAAAAAAAUCCCUGAUGAAUGUAGACCCAAACAAAACCAUCCCUAUUCCUUUGUAGGUUCAUAUCAUGUAAGGAGGCAACAUUCUAUGCCAAUCCCUUAAGUUUCUUUCUACUAAAUUCUAACGAAAAGAAAUAUCCAAUGGGAUUGAGCUAAGUACUUUUGCUAUGGAAUCUUGUUUUCUUCUCACAAUGUUAAACCCCCUAGGGAAUUUAUCCUUUAAGUGACUGGUUACUCAACCAAGUGUCUACCUAAAACCAGAUUUGCGUACCAUCUUUCACCUUGAAAGAAUUGAAACUCAUAAAAGUGUCUUUACCAUUCAUUAAGCUUUUUCCAGAAAUGAGAGUCUGUUGGUUUUUUAACACAACUCCCUACAGUCUUAUGUUUGAUAUAUUUAUUCCUCAAAAGUUCCUGCCACAUACCAUCUUCGUUUAACAAUUUAAAAAGUCAUUUACUCAACAGACACUUGUUUUGUAUGUCCAGAUUCUAUAUUCCUAGACCACCUUGAAUUUUUUGUUGGCAUAAAAUUUCUCAUUUAACUAAUCUAUAUUUGCAUUUGUGUUGAUUAUUCUGCCAAUAGAAUCUUGAUCUGAAACAGUCAAUUUUUUCACCACUGCUCUUGAGAGUUUGAAAAAAGACAUCAUAAACAUCGGUAGACUAGAGAGAACCGAGUUUAUUAAAACUAAACGACCUCCUAUCGAGACCAUUUUCCCUUUCCAUCCACUGAGUCUAUUUUCAAUUCUAUCCUCAAUUAUUUGCCAGUCUUUAUUGUUUAGUUUUCUAAUAUGCAUAGGUAUGCCAAGAUAACGAAAGGGGUAAUUCCUAAUAUCACAACCAAACAGCUACGAAUAAAACACCUCAUGCUCUUUAGCUUUACCAAAAUAAAAUAUUUCACUUUUGUGGAAGUUUAUUUUAAGCUCUGACAGUUGCUCGAAGGUAAGUUUCAUAUUUAUGCCUUUGCAACAUCAUGGCUCGUAAAGAUUACCGUGUCAUUUGCAAUACUGGAGAAUAGAUACGCCAUCUUGAAUAAGAUGAGGAAUAAUCCCUUCUACUUGACCUGCUUUCUUUGCUCUAGCAAUGAGUGGCCAGUAUGUCCACCACUAUAUUAAAUAGUAUCGGUGAUAUUAGGUCACCCUACCGUAAGCCUUUUUUUGGUUUGGAAGUAGGAUCCUAGUUGGUCAUUAACCUUAGUGUUAAUAUUUCCACCUUGCAUAAACUGUUCAACCCAGGUGCACCAUUUUUAUGAAAACCUUUCAUCCUUAGCGUUAGUUGCAUGAAGCUCUUUAUUUUACCUUAUCAUAAGCCUUUUCAAAUAUAUAUAUAAUGCCCCUUCGAUUAUCUAGUACGCCCACCAUUCUAAAUUAUAAACGUUUUAGUAUUUCUGGAUAUGUAAAUAUCUGGUAUGCAUCUAGCUUAGAUAUACACUUACGUUUAGAUGAAUAAUAAAAUCAAUAUAUCAAAAAAAGAAUGUCUUAUAAUCGAAGCUCAUAGACAAUUUUCUCCCUCUAUCCUCGUGCCAGCAACUGUAGGCUAAAUCUUCUUCAUCUUGUAAGACCUUGUUUAGUUCAAAAAAUUCUGCAAAUUUUUUUCAGAUUUCUCAACACAUCGAAUUUUGCGGCAUAAGUAUUAAAUAUAAAUAAAAAAUAACUAAUUGCACAUUUUGCGUGUAAUUUGCGAGAUAAAUCUUUUAAGUCUAGUUAGUUCAUGUUUGGAUAAUAUUUGUUAAAUACAAACGAAAGUGCAUGCUAUAGUGUUUAUUUUGCAAAAAAAAAAAAACAAUGGAACUGAAUAAGGCCUAAGUUGUAGUGGUAGCAUGUGGCCAUUUCCUUCGUGCACCGGCCGCCGUUUACCGGGAAUUCCAGAUCCUGGCCAGGAGUCCAGCUGUUGUAGGCUUGUAGCACUGAUCGGAGUUUUUCAUCGGACGCUAAGAGGUUGGGCCAGGUUGGUGGAUGCUGGUUCGGUUGAACCAGCCACAUGCUGUUUAGGCUGGGGCUUUCACUGAUUAUUAGAACUUCCUUUGCCGAGUGUUUUUUCAUACUCGGUAAAGAAGCAUUUUUACCAAGUGUUUUUUCUUUGCGGAGUAUUUUUGUUUGACACUCGAUAAAAUGUUUAAAAAAAAACAUUCGGCAAAGAGGUUGUCUGCCAUAGUGUAUAUAUAAAUUUUCUCACGGAUAAACAGAGUUAGAACCGGAACAUGAUAGGUGUGCGGCGCUGUUUACGUCGUGUACCAUCGGUUCGGAGUUGUACAGAAGAUCUAGUAGUGUUGGCGACAAAUUAGGCAUUGAGUCAGACCAGGAUUCUUGUUCUGCAUAGACUCAGAUGGAAAACAUCAAUAACCAGGGCCAAAAAAAAAAAACCAUCAUAUAUAUAGCCACGGCCGGCCAGGUAUCAUGGCACGAGCACGACGACAGCAGUACUAAUUGGCUACGCGAUCCAGAUCGAUUAUAUUAGAAUAGGCAUCGAUAAUUAAGAAUCAGGAGAUGGAGCGCGGCUGCUCAGGUAACAACUCGUCGGCGGCGGCGGGAACGAAGAGACCAGAGCUAGACGACGGGAUGAUGAACAAAGGCGAGUGGACAGGCACCAAGAAGAGCAAGAAAUUGCACGAGUAUCAGGUCGCCGUCGUCGUUGGCGCUGGCGGCGGCGGCGGAUUGUCGAGCUCGAGGAAGAGGCCGUACGAGUACGGCGAGCACGAGUACGACGUGUCCACUGAGAAGCUCUACAAGGGCAACUACUGGGAGGACCCAGCCUACGCCAAAAAGAUUGAAUUCUUCGGGCUCACACUUGCGCGCAGCGACGCGCUCGACAACGCAUGCGAGCGCUUGCACCGGGAGUUCGAGGUCCUGUACCCACACCGUGCCAAGCACAUGCAUGGAUAUGCAUUGCAUGAGUAGCUAGCUUUUUCUUUUUUUUUUCCUUUUUUAUUAGCCUGGUAGCUAUUAGGAAUUGACCGAAAUUACAAAAACUAGAUUGAUCAUGUUGGAAUAAGUGAUGCACGCAGGUAUAUGGUUAUAGGUUUAUAAUGUACUUAGGUUGAUCCAUCCAUGUUUUAUCCAUGAUGCACCUUUUACAAAAUGAAGUGUCAAUUAGUGAAACAUAUACACAACAGUUCUCAUUUCAGAUUGGAUUGUUCAACCAAAAACAUAUAAAAAUCUUGCCAAAUAAUUGUCCAAAUCAAAUCAAUUUCACUACACUUAGUGCUAAAAAAAUCAUCUCACCACAGGACAUCAACAUGAACUAUAGGGGAAAUUUAGUCUAGUUUUAAGAAACCAAAAACAUGGCAUCACAGAACACAUAACCUGCAAUUCUAUAUCAAAUGAAGAGAUAGAGUUCAUAAGAAAAGGAGAGCAUACCAAUAAAGCAAUGACAAUAGAAGAUCAGAUGAAGACUAGAAGGGCAACUUGCUCGUGCUCCCUGUAGAUAAUAUUGCCAACACUAUUUAAUCACAAGGCAAUACAAAUAAGUCAAAAACCUGAGCAAAAGCAAACUUACUUCAAAGCUAUAGGUGGGUAGAAAGAACAAUUGAAGCCUUGAAUCCUUUAGUGCUUCCUUAUUGGAUAUUUUGCAACAUGCACAAGAAAGAAAGAAAUACUCAGAACUGAUAUAGUGCAGCGAGGAGACAAACUUAUACUUCCAUUUGCAACUAAAAGUUCAAUUGAUUUCUUCUCUCAAACUUUUUAUAUAUAGAAUAAACACAGCUUUCUCGCAUAAAGGACCAAAGUAAAGUGACUAUGAACUCCCAUCAGUGUGUACUUUGCCAUCAUACUAAAAAAAAGUUGCAGACAUAGCAUAAAAGAAUAUACAUGCAAGCUGAUGGAUUGUGUGGUGUGCAAGAUCUUGAAUCCAGAUGGUUCCUCUGCAAAAUCAAUUAAGGCAUUAAACAACAUAUUCACAUCUAAAUCAAGCUGAAUAAAUUCCUUCUCCAGAAAGGGGAAGAGAUGGUGGAUCUGGCCUGAAUGCAAAUUGGCAACAGAACGCAAACCUUAAAUGUCUUAGCCUUUCUCACCUUCGUGUACUUUCUGCAACCAAGAAAAAAAAACAAGACAAUAAGCUAUGUGCCAAAAACCUAGAACGCAGAAGAAUGGGGAUUAGAGGAAGGGGAAGUGGAGAUGAGGCACCUGGAUUCGGAGGGGAAUGGGGACACGGUGACGGCACAGCUCUUGCACUGCCACACAUUCGGGCAUUAGCACCGGUCGGGAAGGGCCUGUUGCUCCAGUUCCCGAGCCGGUGCUGCCCUUCCGGGACGAAAGGCCUACCCUUUAGUCCAGGUUCGGGAAACCGGGGCUAAAGCCCCCCCCUUUAACACCGGUUGGUAAUACCAACCGGUUUUAAAGGGUCCUGCCAGGGCUGCCACGUAGCAGGACCCUUUAACACCGGUUGGUAAUACCAACCGGUGUUAAAGGGUUUCUUUUUUUUGUUCACUUCUUCGGUUCUGUUUAUUGUUUUUAUAUAAUAAUAAUAGGUUUUUCAAUACAUGUUUUUGCUGAUACAAUAAUAUAUUUAUAUUACACGCAUAUUAAGCAUGUAUAAAUGAAAAUUAUAGGCUUAGCUUUAUAAUUAAGCUUUGCCUAUAAUAAAAUGAAUAGGCCACAUCAAAAAUUAAAUAAAAUGUAAAAAGCUUUAUAUAUAUAGUUUUAUAUGUACAAAAUUCGUGACACAUAUAUACAUAGAGUUUUUUCUCCCAAUGUCUACAAACGAUACAAAUUAUCAUCGUUGUUUGGAAUAAGAGUUUCGUUGCCGUUGAAGUGAAACUCGCCGUUUGGAUUGAUCACUUGCUCGCGGAGAAAUCCUGCUAUUGUCUCUUGGAUAGCUUUGAUUCGGUCUUUUUGUAUGACCUUUUCCCUCAACCAUUCCGUCUUUAAUUUGAAAUAAAUAAAAAAGUUAUUAGUUAUCUAAGUUAUUCAAUAUAAUUUAGGAGAUAAUGAAAAGAGACAUGUACUCUGAGAGUCUCUAUGAGUGUUUGAUUGAGUUGUGCCAUCAUGAAUUUGCACACGUAAUAUGCACAUAGAUUGUUCCCCCCUUCUUGUCUUAAACACCACUGUACGAUAUAUAUAUAUAUAUAUAUAUAUAUAUAUAUAUAUAUAUAUAUAUAUAUAUAUAUAUAUAUAUAUAUAUAUAUAUAUAUAUAUAUAUAUAUAUAUAUAUAUAUAUAUAUAUAUAUAAUAUUCACGACCACGACAAUAAGAAGGCUACAAGUUAGCGAAAGUUUGCUAGCUAGUAAAACUUACUUGUGGAUGAAUUAUGCUAAGCGACGCUUUACAUCCACUGAGAUGUUCACGGUCAAUAAAUCUUUCCCAAACCCUACACACAGCCAUUAUGAAUCGUGAACUAAUAAUUACAGAGUCAUAUUAUGAUAUUCUUCUAGCUGAGAUCGACAUUAUGUACCUUUGAAUAAUGUUUACCAUUUGUUGAUAAUUUUCUUGUGGUUUUCUCAUUGAGUCAAAGAUUAUCAACCGGUUCUUUGGAAUUUCAAUGACCAUGAGUAUCCAGUGAAAGCUAUUUACAUAUAUAUAUAUAUAGUCAGACCUAUAUAUAACUAUAUAAAACUUGUCUCGAGUAAUAAUAAGUAAAAUAAAAUAUGCAUGCACUUAAUAACUAUAUAACUCACUCGAAGUUGAAGGGGAAGAGUAUUUUUUUGUUUUUCUUUUUUGUUCACAAAGAACCUCAUAAAAUUGGUGCAGACUUCUGUCUCAUGAGCUGCUGUCCACAUUGCCUGUGGAGCCUUGAAAACAAUAUAAGUGUCAACGAACCCAAUACUAUUGUCAUUUCUGAUUCUGAGCUCUCUCAUUUGGUGCCUGCAUAUAUACAUACAAAUUCUAAGUGUGUAAGGAUUAUAUACAUGUAAUUAAAGAAGUUAGAAGUAUAAUAAAAAGAAAGAAAUACUUACAGACAAAAGCAGCUGACAAGAGAUUUGUCGAGAGCGUCGAGGUGACAUAAUUGGUGCAAUUCUUCGAACUGCACGUAUAUGAGGUCAUCUCCACGGAAGUAGUGAUGUUGUCUAAUACGAACAGAAAUCCAAUUCUCUCUCCUUUUAGACGCCUCAAUGCACCAUUUGUUUAUUGCAAACAUUUGUGUGCCGAGCUCAUGUAAACGCUGAGGGUCGAAUAGACUUCUGCCCGGUUCAUAUCUUGCCCUCCAUGGAUCAACUACCUCAACUUUUUCAAAUGUUUGGCAACCAAUAAUAGCGCCAAUUUCUUCCAUAUUUAAACCGCUCUGUCCAAAGUAACGCUCAAGCGAGUCUAGCUCAGACACUAAUAAGGAUUUCUUUGGCAUCAAGUCUUUAUUUGAGCCGUAUUGAUUUGGCACAAUCAAAGGGGGCACCGGUUUUGAUAUACUUUUCCGAGCUGUGGGACCCCCUUUCCUACUCUCUUUCUAUGCUGUGAAGACUUGACCAGAGACCGCUCAUAGUCCGAAAGUGCUGGCUUUUUCUGAGCUUCGCGUUGCUUCUUUUGCUGGUCCGCCACCUUCUGCCUUCGUUCCGAUGGCUUUACAUAAAAGUACGGCUUUUCUGGGUUUAGCCGCUUUUUUCUAUCCUCCUUCAAUUUAUCAAAAAAUUGUCUCACCUUAGCUUUGGAUGCAGCAAUUACCUCCUCUUACUUUUUUGUAAGGUAAUUUUUCUGGUGUCUUAGCUCUCUUUGCUGAGGCAGCCUUCUUUGGAGGUGGGACCGAUGACUUCGGUCGUUCUUACGCGGACCGCUUCUCACUACCUCGCUUUGAAGGCGAGCGGACCGAACGUGUACUCUUUGGAGAGGGCGGUGCAGGCGGUGGAGGUGGUGGGGCCGAUCUUUUCGGUGUUGGAGAACGCGGUGGAGGAGUUGGAGACCUCGGUGGAGGAGGUAGAGACCGUGGUGGAGGCGGUGGCGGGGUCGGUGUGGCCGCCGCAGGUGUUGGAGCAGAUCCAGCAUUGUCACCGCCCGCAGCACUAUGAUGCGCUGGGGAGAGAACUGGACUUAGGUUGGAGGAGUCCCCGCAAAGAAAACAAUUACAAGUUUUGUGAGCAAACUUUUUUCAAUUCAAUACAUAAUAAAUAAUAUAAGAAGUAAAAUCAUGCACAAACCUAUGGUGAGGAAUAAUUAUGAAGCGCUUGCGCCAACAAAUAAACUUCUUCUCAGCUUCACCUAAGGUCUUCUCUCCGUCUCCCCCUUCUAUUUCUAGAAGCACAUUGCCACAACCUUUCUCAACCCUAUCAACCGAGACGCCAGCAUAUCCACCAGGUACUGGUCGACUAUGAAUUCUUGGAGUUCUCGUUCGGUCGAUAGGGUUCACAACAGCGAUAGCCACCUUUUUCGUUGCAUUCCCAUCUGGUACAUGCAGCUCAUAGGUAGUAAAAGCCUAUGUGACAUCAUCCACGGGGAAGUGUAGCUUCGUGUCAUCCUGAAUGGUUGGUACUUCUGUGGAUGCGCAGCUGCUUUUCAACUGGCCUGGGGGGCUAACGUUGACCUCAGGCUGUGAUGUACCUUGCCCUUUCGUCAUUUGACUAAGUGCUGCUUGCACUUGCCUUUGAAUCUCCGCCUGCAUCCAUUCUUCACGAGCAUUCUCGUGCUCUUCUGACUGCAGAACAAAAGUUUCCAGGCGGCGGAUCCGCUCUGCAUCCUCAUCCUUCUUUCUCUAGCGCUUCUGUAGGUAUCUUGAUCAGCUUGGAAUGAUUACAGCUACGGAACUGCCCCAUAGCCUCUCGUAUGCCCACCGUGCUUAGGAUUUUCAAGCGCAUAGGUGAGUUCAUCCUUCUCUCUGUUAGGCCUGAACUCACCAGACUGAACCGCCUCUCGUGCACGGACCAGUCUCUUUGCUGCUCUAGAGAUUUCUUGGCCCCAAACUAGCGCUCCGGUGUCUGGGUCCACGCUUCCCCCAUGACCGUAGAACCAAUGCUUGGAGCGCUCGCUCCAAUUCUUUGCUAUUGUCUCGAGUGUGACCCCCCUAGCAAGCAUCUCCUGUUCCAUUCGGUCCCACUUGGGAACAACACUCUUAUAACCACCUGAUCCCAUAUGAUGGUGAUUUGUCUUUUUACUUGCAUUCUCUUUGUUUCUAAUGGCUCGUUCCUCGCCCUCUUCUGAUAUUUUGUAUUGCACGAAGUCAUCCCAGAAGGCCCCCAGCUUUACAUAUUGCUUGAGGUUGAAAUUUGGAGUCUCGUUUUUCUUGACAAAUUUAUUGUACAAAGACUUCUUCCAAUUCUGGAACAGUACCGCCAUCUUCUUCAUAGUCCAGUUAUAAAUUCGCACCUUCAACUCUUCAUCGUUGGUGUCGAAGGUGAAAAUGUCCGUGAUGGCUUUCCAAACUAACUCCAUGUCACGAUCAGAGACAAAACUGAUUUCAGAAGCACCUCGCUUCUCUCUCCAUUCACGAGCACUGAUCGGUAUUUGAUCUCUCACAAGGUAUCCACACUAACUAACAUAUUUAUUUGCAUGUUCACCAAGUGGUCUGCCUGUAGCUAUCUCAAACUCGGAGAUUACAUAGCGGCCAUUCAACGGCUUCUUUGGCUCUCGUGGAGGUACGCUUCUCCCUGUAGAGGUCGAUCUAGAAGGCUACACGUAAAUAUAGAAACAAAAAUACUAAAUUAAUAACCAAGUAAGUCUAAAACCUAAUGUAAGAGAUACAUUAUAUAUGUUUACAUUUACAUACCUCGCCGGUAUUUCCUUCUUGUUGCACGACAUGUUGUUGCUCAGGGGCAUUGCUCUCUUGUUGCUCAGUCGGAUUGUCUUGCAUGAUCUCGUUGUAAUCAAUAAAGUACUGACUACCGUCGUCGAUCAUAUUUUGAAUGGCAUCUUCCAUAUAUUUAGGAUCAUCGUGAGGACGGUCGGCCAUUUCUAUGUCUGCAACCAUACAUAUAUAUAAGUGCUAGAGUGCUCCAAACUAAAAAAUAAUACUAAAAAAAUAAUACGAACAAUAACACUAGAAUAAUAUAAGUGCUAGAGUGCUCCAAACUAAAAAAUAAUACUAAAAAAAUAAUACGGACAAUAACACUAGAAUAAUAUACUAGCACAAUAUAUUUCAUAACAAUUCAAAACACUACAAUUCAUAAUAUACUAGAAUAAUAUACUAAAAAGUAUUUUAAGCCAAGUAAUAUACUAGAAUAAUAUACUAAAAAAUAAUACUAGAAUAAUAGUAUAAACAAUAAUAGUAUAUGUUUUAAGCCAAGUAAUACACUUGCACCUAGAAUAAUGUACUAAAAAAUUAAUACUACAAAAUAAUACAAGAAUAAUAUAAGUGCUACAGUGCUCCAAACUAAAAAAUAAUACUAAAAAAUAAUACAGACAAUAACACUAGAAUAAUAUACUAGCACAAUAUAUUUCAUAACAAUUCAAAACACUACAAUUCAUAAUAUACUAGAAUAAUAUACUAAAAAGUCUUUUAAGCCAAGUAAUAUACUAGAAUAAUAUACUAAAAAAUAAUACUAAAAUAAUAGUAUAAACAAUAAUAGUAUAUGUAUACACUAGAAUCUUUUAAGCCAAGUAAUACACUAGAAGAAUAUACUAAAAAACGAUACUACAAAAUAAUAUAAGAAUAAUAGUACAAACAUUAAUAUAUAUUAGAGACUUAUAUACUACUAUAUAUAUAUAUACAUUUAAAACAAUUCAAAACAUUUUAUAUAAUAUAUAUGCAUAUAUAAGAUAUAUAUAUAUAUAUAUAUAUAUGAUACAUAUAUAUAAGAUAUAUAUAUAUAUAUAUAUAUAUAUAUAUAUAUAUAUAUAUAUAACAUAUUAUUCAUCGAAACUGUUGGUAUUCAUAUAUAUAUAUACACACAAUUCAUAUAUACAAUUUUAGUCUAUAUAUAUAUAAACUGUUGGCAUUCAUGCAUAUAUAUAGAUCGAUGAAUAUACGUAGGAUCGUGGCUGCCGGAGUUCGUCGAAGGAGAUGGCCGGUGGCGGCCGGCUCUAGUGAAGAUAGCCGCUGCGGCGGCGGCACUGGAGAUGAACAGCGGCGCUGGGGAGACGAACGGGCGGCGCUGGACGGCGGCGGCGGAGCGCUCUGCUCGAUGAAGACGAAAACGAAGGCAACUGCUGAGAUCUAGGGUGCUUGUGGCUUAUACAGGGGCGGACCCUUUAGCAUCGGUCUGUGGCUGGAAUCGGUGCUAAAAGGUCUUUAACACCGGCUGGUAACACGAGCCGGUGUUAAAGGGUGACCCUUUAGCACCGGCGCGUGUUACCAGCCGGUGCUAAAGGGAUCCUUUAGCACCGGUUCCAGCCACGGACCGGUGCUAAAGGGUCGAGCGCGGGCUAAGGCGGGGUCCUGAAAUUUUCAGGACCCUUUAGCACCGGUUCCCACUAUGCCGGUGCUAAAGGCCCUGUUUUUUUAUUUAGGGUUUUUCAAUUGUUUAUAUAUACAGUUUAUAUUAUAAAUUGUAUAAUAAAUUAAAUAUUUUGCAUAAUAUUUUAAACAGUGACAUAUACUGUAAUUUUUUUUAAUGUACACAUGAAAAAUUUUAACCUUCUUACUGUAUUUUUAUAAUUUGCAAUGAUUUUGUAAGAAAUGUUUAGUAUUUUGUUAAUGCAAAAAUAUAUUAUUCCAAUAAAUUUACAAAAACUAUAUCCAAUCACCUAGAAAUCUAUUUUCAUAUCAUAUUGACGCUAAACUUUUUAUUUUUGUUAUUUAUUACUCGGAAUGCUAGUAGGGUAUUGUUUUCAUCAAAUAAAAAAUCUAUUUAUCAUAUAAAAAUAUAUAUCUUGAUGAACACACCCUUUGACCGAACCCUAGAUUGUCCCAAAUGUAAAGUCAUGAAUACAAAGUUUGUUACACUCAUCAAGUUAUACAUUUUGUCUAAUGGUCAACUUUUCUUUUGGAAAAGUUUGAACCACUGAAUUUUGAAUUUUGAGAGAAUUCAUAGCCACGCAGCGGUUUUGGAACCCUAGAUGGUCUCGAAUGGAAAAGUCAUCAAUACCAAUAUUGUUCCACUCAUCAAAAUCUACAUUUAAUAUAUAGACCAUUUUUGCAUUUGACAAAGUUUUAGGAAGGUGUAGUUGAAAAUCCACAAUUGACACAUAUAGUUUCAUAUAGUUUGUGUGAGAUUCAAGAAUUGGUGGGUAUUGUUAACUUAAAAUUUCUCAAAUGGAAAAGUUGUGUAUAUAAAAAGUUUAGAUCUUGAUGAUAUCUAACAACUUGGUAUUCAAAAUUUUUUCAUUUUAAGUAAUUUAGUUUGUCAUUUGACCAAGUUUGACCAAAACCCGUCUUGGAUUUUAUAGAAAUAUGAUUAGGAUUGGCUAAAAAUUAUCCAAAUGGAAAAAUGGACAAUAUAUAAAAUGUAGAUCUUGAUGAUCUCUAACAACUUUGUAUUCAAAAUGUUUUCAUUUGAGGUCAUCAAAUGGGCCCUUUGAUCAAGUUUGACCAAAGUCAAAGCAUUGGCUUUUACAAAAACACCCUUUGACCGAACCCUAGAUUAUCCCAAAUGGAAAAGUCAUGAAUACAAAGUUUGUUACGCUCACCAAGUUCUACAUUUUGUCUAAUGGUCAACUUUUCUUUUGGAAAAGUUUAAACCACUGAAUUUUGAAUUUUCACAGAAUUCAUAGCCACAUAGCGGUUUUGGAACCCUAGAUGGUCUCGAAUGGAAACGUCAUGAAUACCAAUAUUGUUCCACUCAUCAAAAUCUACAUUUAUUAUAUAGACCAUUUUUGCAUUUGACAAAGUUUUAGGAAGGUGUAGUUGAAAAUCCACAAUUGACACAUAUAGUUUCAUAUAGUUUGUGUGAGAUUCAAGAAUUGGUGGGUAUUGUUAACUUAAACUUUCUCAAAUGGAAAAGUUGUGUAUAUAAAAAGUUUAGAUCUUGAUGAUAUCUAACAACUUCGUAUUCAAAUUUUUUUCAUUUUAAGUAAUUUAGUUUGUCAUUUGACCAAGUUUGACCAAAGUCAAAACAAUGGUUUUUACAAAAACACUCUUUGACCGAACUCUAGAUGGUCCCAAAUGGAAAAGUCAUGAAUACAAAGUUUGUUACACUCAUCAAAAUUCACAAUUCUCAAAUAUAGUGUCAUACAAAGUUUGUUACAACACAUACUAUUAAACAUGACUUUAUGUUAAGCCGACACAACAGUGAACUUCUUCUUGACGUAUGACUCUUGGUUAUGAUCAUGCCGUAACCAUGGAGUAUCCUCAUUGUUUAACAGAAUGCUUGGGUCUUUGUUGACUAUUAAGGGCGGAAUUCGAUCAUCCCUUUCAUAAUCGCCUGACAUGUCUGACUUGUCCUCAAUUCCAACAAUGUUUCUUUUCCCAGAAAGGACAAUGUGGCGCUUUGGCUCAUUGAUGAUUGAGUGGUCAUCAUUUUUUCCUCUCUUUGGUUUCGUAGACAUAUCUUUGACAAAGAACACCUGACUCACGUCUGCAGCAAGGACGAAUGGUUCGUCUUUGAACCCACUAUUGUUAAGGUCCACGGUUAUCAUCCCAUACUCCUUGUCGACUGUUACCCCACCUCCGGUCAUCUUCACCCAUUGGCACCGGAACAAAGGAACUUUAAAAUUAGCUGCAUAGACUAGUUCCCAUAUGUCUUCUAUGCGUCCAUAUUAUGUUUGUCUGUUCCCAUUUGGAUCCGUGGCAUCCACGCGUACACCACUAUUUUGGUUGGUGCUCCUUUUAUCUUGGCCAACUGUGUAAAAUGUGUUACCAUUUAUCUCGUACCCUUUGUACGUGAGGACAUGCCAUGAUGGUUGCCUGGCCAACAAAUAAAGCUGCUCAUCAAUGUUUUCAUCACCUUGACAUUUUUUGCGCAACCAAUUGCCAAAAGUUUCCAUGUGCUGAUGUAUUAUCCAAGCUUCAUUCUUCCCGGGCCACUGGGACCGUAGGAAAUCUUUGUGUACCUCAACAUAUGGUUCCACCAAUGAGGAGUUCUGGAGAACUGUGUAGUGUGCUUUAUUGAAGUAAUCGUCUCCCGUACCAAUAUAUGUUUUCUUCCCAAGGGUUCCCUUUCCGCUGAGUCUGCCCUCGUGUCGAGAUUCCGGAAUACCAAUUGGGUCAAGGUCUGGAAUAAAGUCAACACAGAACUCUAUGACCUCCUCUGUUCCGUAGCCCUUGGCAAUGCUUCCUUCUGACCGGGAACGACUAUGGACAUAUUUCUUUAGGACACCCAUGAAUCUCUCGAAGGGGAACAUGUUGUGUAGGAACACAGGACCGAGAAUACGAAUCUCUUUGAUCAGAUGAACUAGGAGGUGUGUCAUGAUAUCGAAGAAGGAUGGAGGGAACACCAACUCAAAGCUGAUGAGACAUUGAACGACAUCAUUCUGCAGAGUAGCUAGUUGCUCUGGAUUGAUUGCCUUCUGAGAAAUUGCAUUGAGGAAUGCACAUAGCUUUACGGUGGCUAGACGUACGUGUGGAGGUAAAAUUCCUCUUAAAACCACCGGCAACAAUUGCGUCAUUAGAACGUGACAGUCAUGGGACUUCAAGUUUAGGAAUUUCUUCUCUGGCACAUUAAUUAUUCCCUUGAUAUUGGAGGAGAAUCCAGAUGGGACCUUGAUGCUGCUAAGACAUUCAAACAUGCUUUCCUUCUCUUCUUUGCUCAGAGUGUAGCUAGCAGGGCUUAAGUAAUGACGUCCAUCGUCAUCUGUCUUUUCUGGAUGCAGGUUGUCUCGUUCUUUCAUGCGCUGCAAGUCUUGUCGUGCUUCAAGUGAAUCCUUAGACUUCCCAUAGACACCCAUGAAUCCGAGCAAGUUCACACAAAGAUUCUUUGUCAGAUGCAUCAUGUCGAUCGCGUUGCGGACCUCUAGGACAUUCCAGUAAGGUAGCUCCCAAAAUAUGGAUUUCUUCUUCCACAUGGGUACGUGUCCCUUAGCAUCCUUGGAAAUAGGUUCGCUGCCUCGUCCCUUUCCAAAUACCACUUUUAUAUCCUUGACCAUUUCGAGUAUAUCAUCCCCGGUUCGAUUGAGAGGUUUGGUCCGGUGGUCUGCCUUGCCUUUAAAAUGCUUGCCUUUCUUUCGUACUGGGUGGUUCACAGGAAGAAACCGACGGUGGCCAAGGUACACGACCUUUCGACAUUUUUCAAAAAUACACAGUCAAGGUCUUCAUAACAAUGUGUGCAUGCAUUAUAUCCCUUGUUUGACUGGCCUGAAAGAUUACUCAGAGCUGACCAAUCAUUGAUUGUUACAAACAGCAAUGCUCGCAGGUCAAAGUGCUCUUGUUUGUACUCAUCCCACACGCGAACUCCUAGUUUGCUCCAUAAAAGUUGAAGUUCCUAAACUAAUGGCCUUAGGUAGACAUCUAUGUCAUUGCCAGGUUGCUUCGGUCCUUGGAUAAGCACCGGCAUCAUAAUAAACUUCUGCUUCAUGCAUAGCCGUGGAGGAAGUUGUAGAUACAUAGAGUAACUGGCCAAGUGCUGUGACUACUGCUCUGCUCACCGAAAAGAUUCAUACCAUCUGUACUUAAGGCGAACCGCAAGUUUCUAGCAUCAUCUGCAAAAUCUAUGAAUUCUCUGUCUAUCGCUCUCCACUGGGAUCCAUCGGUAGGGUGUCUCAGUACAUUGUCUAUCUUACGGUCUUCUUUAUGCCACCGCAACAAAUUUGCAUUGUCCUUAUUUCUGAACAGACGUUUUAAUCGUGGUAUUAUAGGAGCAUACCACAUAACCUUGGCAGGAAUUUUCUUCCUAUGACGUUCUUCACCCUCAACAUCGCUAGGAUCAUCUCGUAUAAUCUUAUACCGUGAUGCCUUACAUACUGGACAUGCAUCCAAAUUCUCGUAUUCCUCCCCACGGUAGAGGAUGCAGUCAUUAGGACAUGCGUGUAUCUUCUGGAUUUCUAAUCCCAAAGGGCAGACAACCUGUUUUGCUUCAUACGUAGUGGUGGGCAAUUCGUUGCCUUUUGGAAGCAUCUUUUUUAUGAUCUUCAAUAACUGCCCAAAUGCCUUGUCAGAUGUACCAUUCUUUGCCUUCCAUUGCAGCAAUUCCAGUGUGGUACCCAGCUUUUUUUGCCCCUCUUCAGCGGUGGGAUAUAGCGAUUUCCUGUGGUCCUCUAGCAUGAGCUCGAACUUGGCUUUCUCUUUAUCACUUUCACAUUCUCUUUAUGCAUCACGGAUGGCAUCACCAAAAGCAUCAUCGCCCCGAUCAUCUUCUGCCGCUACCUCUUCUUCAUUAUCUCCCCCCCAUUGCAACAUCAUUGAAGCCACCGUACUGAGCAAUAAUAUUGGCAUGGUCCAAUUCUUCUUCUUCUUCUUCUUCUUCUUCACCUUCAUCCAUUAUAAUCCCGCUUUCUCCAUGUUUGGUCCAACAAAUAUAGUUUGGUACGAAACCAGACUUUAAUAAGUGCGAAUGAAGAGUUCUUGAGUUAGAAUAUUCCGUCAAAUUCUUGCACACGGCACAUGGACAGCACAUGAAACCGUCCCUCUUAUUUGUCUCGGCCACACUUAAGGAAUAAUGCACGCCAUUAAUGAACUCUUCGGAGCGCCAAUCGACAUUAUACGUCCAAUUACGUGUUACGAUCUGCAUUAAAUAUAACAUAUAUAUUAUGAAAACCAUGCACACAUAUAGUUUCUCAUCUUAUUGCACAACAUGUCUAAGAUACAUAGUUGAUUAAUUCAAGAAAGCUUGGCUACAACAAAUACAAUCGCAACUAGCACUAAAAAAACCAAAACUAAAAUGCACUUAAGCAACAUAAUUAGUUCGCGUCCGAUCCCAACUAUAAUAGAUAGAUCAUUCGCUUGAUCAACAUCAUUGAACUCCUUUCGUCGGCUCACUGCCUCACCACCUUCAGCCUCAACCACCUGUGUUCAAUGUAUUCUUCCUCCCAGUACCAACCUGUACAUCCGCCGGUACCGUCCCACUGAAAUUAAAAGAGAGAAUCAAAAGUUUAAUUAAUAUCAUUUAAAAAAGUAAGCACAUAUAUAAGCAAAUGUCUAGAAAUAGCUGACAUUACGAUCCGGACACUUGUAGAAUAUACUACCCUUGUUUACUCCCUCUUUCGACACUUUGUACUCCAUCACAAUCUUCUGCCCACACUUGCCACAAGUAAUGAGAGGGAGUUCCGGCCGAUAUCGCUUUUGAACCCGUUGAGAGACCGAAGACCCGGUCACCGUUGCCAUCUACUAUCCAUACUCAAUUUUUAAACAAUUAUAAAUUACACAUUUACUAGUAAACAUGUAUGAUUAAAGAAGAACCUAAUAAUAUCCUUUAUUUGUCUAGUUACUUCAACAAAUCUUCUAAAUUAUACAAUAGACAUUAUGUAGUAAUAAAAAUAAAUCAAGUGAUAUUAACAAACCAAUUAAUUUGAACUAUCCUACUUUCUAAGAUCAUGAAAAGAUACUAUAAUUCAUUCUUGCAAACUACAUUAAUACUAGGUCAACCAUGAAAUAUUAUAUAUAUAUAUAUAUAUAUAUAUAUAUAUAUAUAUAUAUAUAUAUAUAUAUAUAUGGAUACUAAUUCAUGUGAAUGAUUCAAAAUAACAAAGUGGAUUUGAGCUAAAAAUAAUGGAAACAUCACAAGCCAAAAACAACAUGAAAAAGACAAGAACUACUAAAGUUAGUCACCUCCAAGCAUGAAGAAACGAUGAGGGAGUCGAAGAAGAUCAACGAUGGGCGUCCAAGAUGAAGAACAAAUGAAGAACAAGGAAGAAGAAGCUCCAAGAACAACAAUGGUGCUCUCGGUUUCAAAUGGGCAGAGGGGAGGAGAAGGCGGGCCUAUAAACCGGAGCUUUAGCACCGGUUCAGGGCAAAAACCAGUGCUAAAGGGUCACCCUUUAGCACCGGUUUGUGUGCCAAAGCGGUGCUAAAGGCUUUGCCUCGGCCCGUGGCACUGGCCGGUGCUAAAGGGGACCCUUUAGCACCGGUUGGUAACACGAACCGGUGCUAAAGGGUCCCUGCCCCGACAACACCUGUCAGUAGCCGUUGGGUAGGACCCUUUAGCACCGGAUCGUGUUAGGAACCGGUGCUAAAGGGGCCUUUAACCCCGGGACGCCAAAGGGCCGAGGUUUUUGGCCAUUUUGGGCAUCGACCAAUGCCUCAUUCUGUAGUAGUGUUGGUGGCCAGCGAUGGGGUAUGGUGACAGUGGGAUUGGGGGCGGCGGGCUCAGCAGCAGGGCGGGAUUGGGGGCAGCGGGCUCAGCAGCAGGGCUCAGCAGCGCUGGGGACGGCAGAGCUCCGGCUAGGGACCGUGGUGACGGCGCUCCGGUGGGUGGAGUCCUCUUGCAGGCACUCGGCGGUGGGAUGGUGUGGCGGCGCCUAGCGCGUGGUGGGCAAUUUUUUUUCUUUCUGAGUCGUGACUUGGUGAGUGGAAGUCUAGAGCCUAAUGGGUCGCUGAGGUAGCCUUUUUUAUUGGGCUCAACAUUUAGCUGCCGCGCAUGACUUGUUUUGGCGCGUAGUUUCCUGCUCACCCAAAUUGUUCUAUUUGUGGUUCCCUGCCUACUCCUUCGACGAUAGUUAGACCGUCAUUUGGUUGGGCUACAACGACACAUAUUUUGUCUAAAAACUUUUGCCGACACUUACUAAGUCGGCAGGAGCAACGCCAACACAUUACGUGUUGGCUUACAUAGUCAUUAUCGACAGUUUAUGGGACGCGGAAAAUGUAUAUAAUUGCCAACACAUGAUAUGUUGUUAAAAUCCUUGUUUUCCCAACACAUGAGUGUAGGGAAAAGUAGGUCAUGGUGUAGUGUGUCAGACCCGUGGGAUGUAUGAGCCAACGUCCUAACCCUUCCUAUUUUUGCUGAGUUAAGGAGAGCAUAUGAUUUUCCCCUACGUGCCGUAAUCGAGGGCACACUUAGGGCCUGUUUAGAUCCCAAAUCUUUACAUCCCAAAAGUUUUGGCUGUAAAUUUUACAUCCAAAUAGGUGUUUAGAUGCUUCCAAAAACUUUUUGGUCUGCAGCACAUAAGAUAGAUUUGCCCUCAUUUAAUGCUUGAUUUGGUUCAUUAAUUGAAGUACAUGCACAUGAUGGCGUCCUGCAUGCCGAUUUGCAUGGUUACGUUUCUGCGUUUGCAGUGGCAUGCUGUAGACACAUUUUUUUCCAAAGCGCACAAUCAAAACUAUAAUGAUUUUAUCCCCAAACAAAUAUCCUAAAAAAAAUACAUGUCCUCAAACAAAAAUAUAAUUACAGUCCUCGAACAGAACUUAAAUUACAUGUCCUCAAACAAAACUUAAAUUACAUGUCCUCAAACAAAACUUAAAUUACAUGUCCUCAAACAAGAAAAAAAACAUAUUCUCAAGAUCUAUUCAACAGGCCAAGUGCAACACUAUCACGAAAAGCAUUCAUCUGUGCACAUUCUUCCCUACUAGGUGCUGGAACAUGUGGAGGCUGAUUGGCCCUUGCUUCAGGAGGUACGUAAUUCUCAUCACGGUCACAACGAUCAAAGUCUCUAUCAACUAUUCCACUCAUCCUAAUGAAGUUAUGCAGUGCAAAGCAAGCAACUAUAAUAUGGCUUUGCGUUGUCGGUGGAUAACUUGGGAUACUUUGCAACAUCCUCCAUUUUUGCUUCAACACUCCAAAUGCCCUUUCUUUGACAUUUCUAAGUGAAGAAUGUGCAUAGUUGAAUACCUCCUUUUUACCUUGUGGUUCGUCGCCGUUUUGAAACUCUGGAAGAUGGUACUUUGUUCCCUUGUAAGGCGCCAGAUAACCGGGACGGUUUGGAUAGCCCGAAUCCACCAGGUAAUACUUCCCUACACCAGCAAGUACCUGUAAGUGUCAAGUGCUAUAAUUAGAAAACAAAAUGUAAAUAUCAACAAGCUGUGUACCUGUAGGUGGAUGAGGAAAUACAUGGUUGUAUUUCCCCAGUGCAUCAUCAAAUACUCUCAUGUCAUGUACAGACCCAGGCCAUCCAACAAGGACAAAUGUAAAGAUCAUGUCAAAGUCACAUGAGGCCAUCACAUUCUGAGUAGUCAUGCCCUUGCAACAUAAGUGCUGAACAAAUUUAUCAUUUGGCACGACCACAGGAACAUGAGUGCCAUCUAUUGCACCUAUGCAAUCCUUGAAGAAGGGAUAGAACCUACGCUGUCUCAAUCUAGGGUGCAAAAUACUGAAUUGUGGGUCUCGAGGUUUAAUGAUGUCUUCGGCCAACUUUAGCAUACAAUUCAAAACUUUAUAAAAUAUGUUAUGAACUGUGCCUAGUGAUCUCUCAAUUCUAUCCUCAGCUUGCCUAACCGACUGCGGAGCUCCAACCAUCCAAAGAAACAUUCCUAAAGCCUCAAUUGAGGUAGACUUUCUUGAGGACUUAAGGCCGUAAUGUUCUACUAACAUAUCAUGCAGCCGAUAGAAAACAGUUGGGGUCAUUCUAAACAUGUUGUAACAGGAAUUCCUAUUUGUCAACUUUCUUUCCACCCAAUCCAAACCAGUCAUUACUGGUUGCCUACUCUGGGAUCUACGAUAGUACUUGUCAAGGUGCAUAGCAUAGUGGUACAUACCAUAGAUGAAUCCACUGCAAUCAUCUUCAAGGAACAUGUUGAAAAAAUCUUCCUCAAACUUCUCAUCUAAAUCCUCGUCUGGGCCAUUUUCCUCCUUAGGUGGUUCGACAUCUUCCUGUCUAUAACAAAAACCGACAAUAACUCAGUCCUCAGUCACAAGAAUGUGUUGAUGGAUGCUUACUUGAGCAGAAAAUCACCAAACAGCACAGAAAUCAGAAACAUACAAUGCAUGGAUAGGUAGGUCUUGCUACAUUCAUUCAUCAUCACAGACAACAAACAACAGUCAUACAGACAUCACAAACAUACAUAGUUCAAUUCAAAUACAUCAAUGGCAUACGUAGUCCAACACCUAAUAACUAAACGAAUGCAUAGAUAAGAGGGUCUAGUUGUCGACCCCGGCAUAGUGCUUGAUGAGGCCAAGCCUUCCUUCUGGCUUUGUUGAUAUGAAGAACUUCAUUGCUUUCUCAGACAGGAUGAUCUUCAGGACCCCAAUCCACAGCUUCGUGUCCUCCUCAGUUGCACCACUUUCUCUGGCUAGCUACUGGACAUAUUCAAUCCUCAAUUCCUCAGCAGACUUCUUUUCUGCAGCUUCCUUCUGCCUUCUUUCCCAGAUGGUCUGCAGCAUGGCAUUCCUGUUCUCUUGAAGAACAUUGAAGUCCCUCAUGUUGUUAUCCAUGGCUCUAACUGCAGGACUCCUUGUCUUCUUGUUUGGGCUGGAACCAGUGUUGCGUGUGCUAGGUGUGCUGGCCCUCUUUGUCCCAAUGCUCAGCGGGGUUAACUGCUCCUCAGCUUCAUCUCCUUCUUGUUCAUCAUCACUUAUAUUGUACGCACAGGGAGCUCCUUGACCAGGAACGUAAGAAGAAGAGUCAUCCACUGCAAGCACCAGGAACAUGCGGUCCAUUUCUUCUAGGUACGGAGGCCACCCAUUCUUCAAUUUCUUCCAUUCUGAUUUUCCUUGCAAAAAAAUAGAGCACAAAAAGAAGGUAAGACUUCUACUAAAAUUUAGGUGUCCCUGCAACAAAGAAAGAGCAGAAAAGAAGUACCUGAGUGUUUUCUUUCCACCAGUCAUCUGCAGCUAUAACAGAUCCAUCAGGUCUAUGACCCAAACCUGUUCCUUUCUGAAGUUUCUGAAUGAAUGUCCACAUAUUCUUCAAUUGUCUUAUCCUAUUGCCAAACUGCUCGUUAUCAUGAACUAGACCUGUCGCCGCAUAGUACCUCUCUAUGAUAUCCCUCCACCCACUUUUGCUCAUGACACCCUUAACACAGUUCCCAUUGUCAAUCUGGUUGCAGUAUAUCUCACACAGCUUGUUGGUGUUUUCAGAGCCCCAGUGUGCCUUGUCUUUCCUAUCCUAAACGUUGCAUUACAUAGCAAAAAUCAAAACAGUCAUACAAGAACAAAAUAGCCAAAAUUUAGUCAAAUACAAACAGUCAUAACCCCUUCAAAUAGUCAUAACAUACAUAACAAAUAGCCCAAAUACAAACACCUAUAACAAUCAUACCAAAUACCAUUCAUAACAUGCAUAUAACAAGUACAAAAAUACAAACUACCACACUAUAGCAGUGAAAACAUACAUAACAAGUACAAAAAUACAUUCUGGGAAAACCAGCACUCUAUACCAGUCAUAAAAAUACAUAACUCGUUAGGGUGUAGAAGAAGCAGUCUUACCGGGACUUGAGCAUAUGAGUUCUCGUCCUCUGCAUCGAAGGUCGGAGGAGGUAGGUUGCCGCGUAGAGGCGUACCGCGUCCCCUAGACCCGCCGGAGGAACCCGAUGCAACACCAUGGGGAGGGAUGCGUCCACCACCAAGGGACAUGGAGCCGCCGUGACCUAACUUAGGUCCACCUCGACCGACACCGCCAUGAGCACUGCGCAAGCCGAGGGUGCCUCUGCCGCUGCGGGUAGGCGGGCGAAACAGGGGAGGGGCUUGAGUGUUCCCGAAGUCGGCGUCUUCAGUCCCCGAACGAAGGAGACCCUCGUAGGAACCGAGGCCUGGCCACCCUUCGCCGGAGUUGAGAUCCAACGCCGCCAUCCCCAACCGGUUAGGGUUGGUGGAGCUCGACGUGUGGUAGAGGUACCCUAUGCCGUUGAAUCCCGAGGGCUGGGAGUUGAAUCCCGAGGCUGGGAGAGGAAGUCCCUCGUGUCUGCUCUGUCGCCGAAGACGUCCUCGUCGCCAUAGCCGUCGUCGUCGUGGAAGCUGUGGCCCCGCUGUCCCGCGCCGCUCCAGCCGUCCAUCGCCGAGGGAAGCCGGAUCUGGAUCCGGUGCUUGAGAGCGACGAGGCGGGUGUUGCGAUGGUGGAUCUGCCGGCGAUUCAAGAGAAUGGGGGUGGAGGAGAAAGCGACGGUGGGAUGGGGUGGGUUAGGGUUCGUGAGGGAGAGAGUGGCUGAGGGAGAGCGGUGGGUGCGGGGCUGCGCGAAUGGAUAGGAGCAGGGCUGGGGUGGGAGCAGGGCUGGGGGUAUACCCCGUCCAACUCGGGUCCCUAUGCACUUUUUGGACAGUUUUGUGACUCAAGGGUCCCAAAUUCCAAAUCUUUACAGCCCAUGGUUUACAGACCCCUGUUUAGAUCCAUUCUUCCAAAAAGUGUACAUUUCUCCAAAACUUUUUGGUUUUUUGGCUGCAUCUAAAUAGGCCCUAACCUUACGAGGUUGUGGCCCCUCAUAAUACAGCGUUAAAUAAAGAUAGCUCCACUUCUCUAGAACCGUCGACGUCGUUCUAUGUGGACUACAGCCUAUCACAUCUCAGAUUUAAGAGGUUAUGGUCCCUCGUCACAUAAUGCUAAAUAAAGACUGCUCCACUUUCCUAGAAACCAUCGUUCCAUGUAGACUACAUCCUAUCACAUCUCAGAUUCGAUAACCAAGAGAGUGUUGAAAUGAUGGGAAGGCUGUUUCCUCUCUCCACCGGCGUCAUCUUCCUCAUCGACCUCUACCGAUGGUGUCAUCUUCCUCACUGACAUCGGACCUACCUGAAGAUCUCGAGUAGUCAUUAAUAAUCCACUAGUGCGUUUCAAGUUAACUAGAUUGUAGAUCCUGUGGUUUGGUCCCUAAUGUUUUCUAACAUUGUGGCAUCAAGAGCCUGCUAAUCUAGUUCGUGAAACCCUAAGAUAUGGUUUAAGCCUUGGAUUAAGAGAAUUGCAAGGUCGGUUUAAUCUAAGUAUGCCCUAGUCACUUGCUUUCAACGUGAUUUACCUUAUGCAUGAUUAGGCCUUAUGUGAUCGUAAUUACAUGGUUUAUGCCUCUGAUCUAUGCCUAAAGUGCUUGGGUACAUCAAAUUUUUUUUGAUUAGGGUUAAUUAGUUUCGAAUUAAUAAUGUUUUAUGUCUAAUUAGCCAUGAUUAUCAUGUAUCAGGCCUUAAUUAAUCAUGCUUAAAUCAAUUCUGCUCACUGUAGUUCUUCACAUCAGAUGGAUUUCUUGCAUGUUUAAGGCCUAGGUUUAGUUAAUCAUUACACAUUAAUCAUGGACUAAUGCAAACUUGUGCCAAAUUGGAGUGGCAUCAUGGCGCUUAGAGAUGUCAACGGGCCCUGUUCCCCGAUUCUCCAUGGGGAAUUCACCCAUUAGAUGAUGGGGAUGAUAUAGAUUUUGUCCCCACGGGGGAACUAAAUGGGACUAAAGUUGUCCUCGUCGGGGUUCACAGGGCCGGGGAUAGUAUGCAUGCCCCCGUCCCCGCUCCCAGCAGCGACCCGACUCUGAAGGUCCAUAUAUUUGCAAGGUCUAAUAACUAUGAUAUAUAAGCAAAGUUGAAAUCCUAUCCUUCACUUUCUCGGUCUCAAAUGUGAAUCUUUAUAGAAGAGAUUUGUCUAUAUAGCAUUCAUAUGAAUUCAUGAAUACAUGAAUAGUUGACAAAAUCACAUAAACUAACGUGGAUACAGAGAAUCCCAUGGGAAUAUAUUAUUCCCCGCACGGAGACGGAGAUGGGGAGAAAAUCUACCCCGUGACAUUUGGCGGGGAUGGGGUGAGAAAGUUUCUUCCCCACGAGGACAGAGAUGGGGAAGCACUCACUUUAACUAUUUGGAUUCGUGUAUGAUACAGAUAUUAAAUGUCUAGAUUCGUAUAUGGAUUACCCAUGUACUAGUAUUUAAACCCAUUUGCGCUGCUGCUCCACCGCAUCAGGGCGCAUCUGCAGCCACGCCCGCGCUUCAGGGUGACGCCGUGGAUUACACAACCAGAUUUUUCAAUUUCUUCUAGUAAUGUGGGGUUCUUCUAGUGUUUUAGCAUUUAAAAUUUUAGUAUAAACUUUCUCUAGUAAAUGUCUCCUAGUGAGGAUUCUCUAGUGUUUGACUAGUGGUAGUGUUUUAUUACUAACUAAAAACACUAGGAGAACUCCACCAUUUUGGUAGUGUUAGGCCGCUGCAUCGAGCGGUGCCGCCGUGUCUCUAUGAUGGAGUUUUCCCCGGCCCACACGUCGUCGUCGCAGGCAACCGCCAGGACCCGCUCGAGCUCGACGUCGCCGCGCGCCCGCGCCGGCGACGGCGAGUGGGGCCCUCCCCCAGUCGUCCGCCAGCGCUGCCCUCACUCAUGAUUGGCACUAUUGAUUUCUGUCGCAGCUCAUGCAGGCCUCUGAUGGAUUAUUACAUCUCUAAUUACAUAGUGAAGUCAGACUCUGAACAAGUCAUUGUUGAUAGUGAUCUAACUGGAAAGCAGUCUGAUCAAAACAUAUGGAGAACUUCUCAAUGAAGUGCAGGUAAAUAGGCUAGCAGUUUGACAAUGCUGUAACAAUGAAAAUAUACAUUCUGUUGCAUAGUUGCGCUAUACUAUAGUGGGGUACUACAAAUCGUCUUCUCAUUGUUGGAAUCACUCAAUUUGUUUCAAAUAGACACUUCAACAGGAGUACGGUGCUUAGAUUUAUUUUUUCUGAACCAAAACCCAUCUUAUUUUUAAAGUAAAUCAUGAUUAAGACUGUUUUCUAUUUUUAGAGCCAAAUGCACGUGCAUUAUAUCUGCUAUCAAUACAUACUACAAUAGACAAGAUUUUGGCAAUUUUUAGCAUGACUUGUCGUGUCAUGUAUAUAGUCUGACCAAGGUGCAGAUCGUGAGGGAGACAAGCGUCGUCUGGCCGAGAUACAGAUCGCGAGGGAGGCGAGGGUUGAUGAAUGCUGGCCCUGUCGAUAGGCGUCGUUGGCCUGGAGUAGCAGAUCCAUGCUGUCGAGUUGCCACAGGGUGUCAGAGGAUUGGGGUAGCGGAUCGCAGGGAUCAGACUUGGUGGCGGUAGCGGCGGCUUGGAGGAGAUCGCUGUCGAGCAGUCAUAGCGAAGGCAGUUUUUUUCACGCGUGCUGGGUCGCGGGAGGCGCUAAUAGCGAUCGCAUGAGACCGGCCAGGCACUGAUUUCUUCUUCUUCUUCUUCUUCUUCCAUGGAAUAGCGUUGUUUGUUUACUUCCUUUUUUAUUUGCUUGGAACGGUUUGCAGCGUUGUUUGUUUGCUUCCUGAUUGCAGAAAUAAAAAGAUUCUGAGCGCCGGUUUUAUUUGGAAAGGAGAUGGUGAUUUGCUAGGAGAGUUUGCAUGGAUCUUAGGUUUUUAGGAAACAACAGGAGGCAUCGCAGGUGCAUGUCAGGUGCGUACACAUUAUUUUGGUUUCCUUUUGAAGCCGAACUGAUCGUGCGCAUGCCGUGGUGUCAGAUUCCUUUUUCGUUCGUACAAAUUUUUUUUCUUCCUUUUGGAGCUGCAUGCGGGGUCGCAAGAAGAGGCUAAGGUUACACCAAACAAAAGUUGCACGAAAAAGUUAUCUUCCUUUUGUUCUUUUUAGUUGUAGAAGAUUUUUGCCCACAUAAUGAUUAUUUCUACCGGUUAGAAUGGAACCAACGGAAAAAUCUAGUUAGAAACUAAGGUGUGGCUUAUGCAUAUAUCUUUGACUAAUGUUAAUUUAUAUAUAUGCACAAGUUCACAUGUUUUAUAUCUGAUUUCUUUUUCGCUUCUGCCCAAUGGUGGUGCGAAUCUGAAAUGUCAUUAGCAUGAUAUGAAUCAGACCAAUGUAAGAUUUCAUUCAUGAAUGACAUAAUGUGAAUACCCUUACUAAUUUUGUUUCAUAUUUUGAGUCAGACCUGUGUCCUUCGGAGACUAUGGAUACUAUUAAAUGGAUUCGUCUCCUAGACUGAUUCAACUUCCCAUUAUGGAAAGGGGAGGUACAAUUUUGGCUCUCUUACUUCUAAACUAUGAUCAUGCUAUACGCCAGAGUGCUCCUACUGUCCCAACAAUAGAGGGUGAUUAUGACAACGCCUUCUGUUGGAGGGUCAAAGAAUUUGAGUCUAAUACAUAUCUAUGGGAGCGCUCAAAUAGGUUGUCGCUCAAGAUCAUGAAGAAGCGCAUUAGUGAUGAUCUUAGGGGAGAAAUCCCUAGCACCGAUAAUGCCAAACAAUUAAUUCUUAGCUUCAUUAGAAUAGCCGCUUAAAGAUCAACAAAAUAAUUAUGAAAAGUUUUUCACCCUAAGACGUAACCGUAAGCUCGAUUUUGAGAAGCAAGAGCUCAAAUGAUCUAGAGCGGAAGCUGAACAUGACUAUCAGCCAUCUGUAGAAGGACUGUGAUGGCUUUAAGGACUAGCUCCCAAAAAAGGGUAAUCAUAAAGUUUUGUUUAAUUUUAGUUAUGAAUCCCUUAUGUUGAUACUUGAAGGAUUAACUCAGGUGCCAUGUGCACAUUACUAAUUCUUCACAGAUCAUCUAGAGGCCGGCUAGCAAUGGGGAAGCACAAAAUCGAAGUACUAAAUGGCAUAAGUUUCAAGAUGAAGCCAUUGCACUCUCCAUUAUGCCCUUAUGUUUUCUCAAAUAAUGUAAUCUAUGUCCUUGCAUGAAAGGAACAUUAGUUGAGUUUCUUCAAUAGCUGAUUAUGCUGGGAACGAUAGAUGUUUUGAUCAAAUGUAAUAAUGACAUACUUCUUUAUAUUAACAAGUCAUUAUUUACAUAUUGCCUCUAAGUGAUUAUUUUGUGAUGAUUAUGAUUAAUGAUGAAGAGAAGACUGAUCAAUGUGACUCUCAUCAAAAUUUUGGCAUUUGUCUAAUAAGCCACAUUUCGAAGGGGAGAAAUGGAGCAUCUCAUUAGAGAUAAGAUACUUCAUGGAUAUUAAGAUUACAUUAAAACUUAUCUUAUUCCUAUCUUAUAUCAAGGGAUAUUAUGUCAAAUUAUUGAGAGAAUAUGGAACUUUAGAAAUCUAAGCUUUGAUUCUAUAGUUUAUCUUAUUUGAUUAAUAUGAUAAUUCUCAUUAUGUGUAUGUCUCUCCAUAGAUGAACAAUCUAGAGCACAUCAAGUGAUAAGUGCAUAAGUUCUAGAUGAACAAGUGUAACACCUCUGGUGCUAAGCAACACUAAAACAUGUUCAUGACAUCAUCAUGCAUAAGCAUGUCAUUUAGUGCAUCAACUAAAACAAGUUUACUUUGAGAAUGGUUGAGCUUAGGGUAGUGUGUGAUCCAAACCCUAAAAUUCCAUUUUGGAAUGUAACCUCAACUACUUGAUUAUACCCUAUGUAACUUGAGAAGUGAAGUGGUACUUUACCCUAGUGUCAAGUGUAGGGGAUAACUUCAAGUCCAACAUCUAAAACCUAGCUCCAAUUUUGAACUUAGGUUGGGAUUCCAAAACUUACGGGGUGUUUGGGACUGCUCCACAAACUCCACCGUGGAGCAGCUCCACAAAAAACUGGAGUUUCUGGAGUACCUCUUUAGGUGCUCUCACAACUCCACCUUUUUUUCUCGAACUGAGUGCGUGAAGCUGAAACCGUUUGGCUAAAAAACGUGGAGGGGAGGUGAAAACGCUGAGCAGAGCAAUCCCAAACACCCCUUUACUACAAGUUUUCUAAUGCAAACCUGAAUUCAGGAUUGGGGAAUGUUUUGUAAAUAAAAUUUUGUGUAACCAAAUGUGACUUUGAGUGAAACCAUUGAUAUUGAACUCAGUGGAGCAUUUGGGAUGAUUGUGUGAUAACUAAUCAACCACUGAUUAAGACAAAGUGUAAUUUAUCUUAAUUAAUUAGUGCCUAAGGGCCAAAUUAAGACAAGGUACUUUUUUGAAUUCCAGCUCCUCCGCCGUGAGGUUUCUAGCUUCUUGCGCCCCCUCCAAAUUUGCUAAGGUUAUAUUUAUGAUCGCCCAACUUAACUUCCAUCUGCCCAAUGAUAAGCGCCUCCAAUUUCUUAGCAUCUUGGUCGUACGUAACAGUUUGGCAUGAAGACGUAAAAUAGCAUCUUGAGUGUUGACCGGUUUGUUCCAUGUGUUCUGAACCAUGUCCAUGAAAACAGGCAUGUGUACCCAGUGUGCUUCGAAUCUAAAUCCCCUAUAGAAGUCACAGUUAACGUCCCCCCUUGAAGAAACAACGCGCAAUGAUCAGAUCCGAGGGAGGCUAGUGCCUGAAAAUUAUAAUCAGCAAGGUGGUGGCAAAUAUGUGAACGCGUGCAAAUUUUACCACUACUCAGACUAGUAAUAAAUAUUGUAAAUAUGAUUGCAGACAUACUGAAAAUUAGACAAAACAAAUUAGAGAUGUACCCAGAGGAGAGACCAGUGCCGAAGGCACUCGCACUAGUCGAUAUAGUGUGUUGCUUGAAGUAGCGGACCACAGUCUAUGCAGAAAGAGGUUCGCGGUGCAGUCUUGCGAACGUCUACCAGAAAGACAUUCUGAUCCGCGAGCGUCCACCAAGAAGAAGACGAUCCAAUCCCACGAGCAUCCACCAGGAAGAAGACGAGAUGAUCCGAGGAAGGAGACGAAGCCAAGCAGUCGCGGAAGACGCUCCCCAAAAACCUGAUUGUCUGCACAUCUGAGCAGGUGUCUCGAUGCAAGGCAUCAGGGGGAAGACUCAGUGCUGCUCGACAAGAAAUGAUUCCAGACAAGGAAGGAGUCCGCAGGGAUGGAGUCCGCAGGGAUGGAAAGAAAUAGGCGAGAGAAAGAAAACAUUCAAUCAAUCACCAUUAAUCCUAUAACGGACAAGAUUUGAAACUGAACCCCGUUUAUUCCUCCCUUUACUAUACCUUCCAUCUGGCAAAACGACACGACAAGCUCGCCUCGCCACAGCUCGGCGGCGGCGGCGCGCGCGCGUGGCCCCCUUUUUCUCUUCUUUAACUUCUCUAUAAGAGCUAUUACAAGCCGCCUAGUAUAGCAUUUAUUACGGACUCUAGAAUUAAUUAUCAUCAAAUAAUAUAUAUGAGCCAAAAACCAUAUAAUAUUUAACAGUGGAUGCAAAUAUAUGAUCGGUUCUUGUCAUAGUUGGUGACCGCUGGUCAUUGCACCAGGUGUACUUUUUGCCUCAGCUCAAUCCUUGGGAGCUCUAGAUUAUCAACUGUUGUUCUAAAUCUAUUGAUCAUCGACACAUUUAGGCGUGUGUUGUUUUUCUCCUGAGCACUAAGAAUUAGGUUGAAGUCCCCCAGCAGCAACCAUGUUGGGAGCACAUGUUGACUUAAAUCCAAAAUCUCUUGCAGGAAUAAGAUUUUAUCCACGUCAUUUUGAGGUCCAUAAACUCCCGUUAUCGACAAUUCUUUAUUUUCGUCUAGCAUUAUUAGCUUUGCUAUUAGCUAGAUAGCGUGCCCGUGCGUUGCUACGGAAUAAUUAAAUUUUAUACUAAAACACAUAGAUCGCAUGAUAAGAUAAUAAUAUUAUAAAGUUAAAUACCGACAUUAAAGUAAUAUUUAAUCCAAAAAGUAAAAUCCGUAAAAUUAACUGUCACAAAGAGUAUAGCGUCCUAGGCCCAUAAACUUUAUUGUAUAAAUCUUUUCGUGAUAUAGCUAAGAUAAUGUAUUAUAUCGAUAGAAAAAAUCAUCAAUAUUUAUUUUUACAUGAGCCAAUAAAUCUACAAGUUCGGCGUCAUUUUUCCCCUCUAAGAUUAUGGUCGUACGCUGCUACAAGAAACAACCAGUACUCAGGGUGAUAAGCAGGAUGAGCAUUCCCACCCAUGCUUUGCCUGCACCACUGCUAUCACAUCGUUUUUUCUGGCUAUUGUGGCGCGGGUUAGCUCCUGUGACGCCAACAUUUGCACACCGCUGAUGUGCAUAUCAUUCUAUUUUGUGGCCAAUUGUCACCGUUACACAAAGCUUCAAAUAGCAUAGAUAAUUAAUAGAUAACUAUCUUUCACUCUGCCACCCAGACACUUGCAAUGAGAAUCGAUACUGUAGUACACUUCAACCAAAAAGUUUUAAACAUAACUGAUCUAUCAUUCUCCACAAUAUAUAACAUUGAAAUAUUAUUACACAAACAAAGGAAGCUUUGUCCAAGAAAUGGUAUAAAAGUACAGAUGUUGAUAGAUAACCCUUACAAUCUGAAAUAUACAAAUUGAACACCAGAAUACAGGGUACAAGUAACGUCUACAAAGGGCUUCCGGCCGGCCAAAAAGUUCUUUGACGAUGCUUUCAGAAAAUGGUUGAGAUAAAGGUCAUGUCAUUUAGUUUCUGGAGUUAUUUAUGGUCCGCUGGAAGAUAUUCUUGUGUUAUAUAAACCAUUAAACAACAAAUCGGCCACUAUUAUGGAGUGGCAGUGAAAUGUCUAAUGAGUGAACUUAAACAAUUCUAUUGAUAAUUUUCUAUUCUCGCACUUUAAUUUUGCAAACAGAGCUGAAAGAGGGAUGAGGAAAUUAAAGAGCUAAAUAUCAUUUCUAUAUCUGAAAAGUUGUAUUUGAAUUAGCUCUAUGCAAGUCAGGUCUCACCUCAGUGACAAACACUGAUAAGUUGCUUCUCCACUCUGAUAUACUAUUUCUAGCGACCACUAAUGUUGAUAAUCCCUUCUAAAUCUAAACAUAUAUAAUGAAUCGAUUGAUAUUCUAAUUUAAGCAGCACAAUUUACAAAGAGGAAAUAAUGAUUGUUUAGUAAUCCAUAUCCUAGCUGUAGACUUUCCUUCAUUUAUAAAAAUUGGUCAUGCCCUUGAUAUUUUAGCAGACAACAGAUUAAGUGCAUCUAUAAUCAUGAAUAUGCAAGUUGUAGAAAACUUGAGCUAAUGAUAACAAACCUGGAAUCACCAAAGCAUUUAAGAUAAAUAAGCCUUCAACAUAAAAAUGGGAACUUUACAGUACCAAACACCAAACAAUAACAAGAGGAUGUCUCAUCUUGGCUUAACAACUGCAAGGUGCAAACCAAGUCUCGCACUGAGAAUAUUACCCCAAAGGUUGAAAUUACAUACAUUGGAAAAUAAAGAACUACAUAUGAAUAAAGGAAAUAUUUUUACUUUGGAUGAUGAACCCAACAAGAUAGUCUCCAAGCUCAAGUGCACCAAUAGUAUGCCUUAAUAUUAGUGCUAGAACAUCUGUGAUCAACAUCGAAUAAAACAGUGCAUAGUAGUAAUAGGUUUAGUAAGGACUAAAGAGUAUACAUGAUUGCCGGUUGAAAGAGCAUCUAGGCCCCUAAUUAUUUCAGUGAUUAAUGACAAUGUUGAUUACUGUGACUAACGUGUGUUUGGCAGAGGCAAAGUCAUUAGUGAGGUCAUGGUAAUAGGUACUCGAUGAACAGGGACGUACAUGCCUACUUAAUAGUGGAAAUCGUUUCGGUUUUCAAAGGAUGGAUGGACAUCGUCAAGACUAGACUAGGUCUAAGUGCCAUAUGGUGAAGCAGGGCACUUAGAGUAGUUUAGGACUUUGUUUUCCUUUGAUCAUACUAUUAAGAGGGGUUUUGAUCUAGUAGCUUGAUUUAGGCAAGGCUUUAGGUUUAGGUGUGGUGCACACUUGGUAAACCUAGCACUAGGCAGCUCAGAGAUAGUCCUUAGAUCGAGAGGAACCAACUUCGUUUUGGAACGGUCGUGUUUCGACGAGGUUAGGGUGCCUAAGUAGGCACCGGACGCUGCACCGGACGCUAUGUGAGUGCGUCCAGUGAGGUCUUUAGCCGUUGGAGGGCUUUGGUGCCUAGGGUUAGGCACUGGACGCUGGCACCGGACUCACCGGGCAGCGUCCGGUCCCAUACCCAGGGAGGUUGUAAUCCUGCCCCGAGCACCAGACGCUAGCACCGGACGCACCUGGUAGCGUUCGGUCUUAAACUCAGGGAGCUUGUAAAUCUCCCCGGAGCACCGGACGGUGCCACCGGACGCUGGGAAGUAGCGUCCGAUGACCUGUCAGACGCAGGUACAGUUAGCCGUUGAGUGUCACCGGACGCUCAGUGCAGAGCGUCCGGUGCAACAUCAACAGCGUCCGGUGACCCCGUUUUCAGUGGAAAACGGUUGGCCGACCCUUGGACUUCGUGGAGUGUAUUUAUACUCCUCCACCUCGUCCAUGAGAGGUCUCUUGCCCAUUUGAACAUCUGAAAAACUUGUUGUGGAGCAAGAGAGUAGCAAGAGCCUUGAGAGGAUUGAGAUUUGAGUGAUUUCUUGUGAGAAUCCUUCUCUAGUUGAAUUCCAAGAGUCAAGUGUGCAUCCACCACUCUCUAGUCCCUUGGUUGGGUCAAGUGAGAGUUCUUUGCUUGUUACUCUUGGUGAUCGCCAUCACGUAGAUGGUUUGGUGGUGAUUGGAGGCACGAAGACCGCCCGGAGUUCUUGUGGGUGGCUCGUGUCAAGCUUGUGAGCGGUUUUGGGCGAUUCACCGUGACGGAGUGUCGAAGAAUCAGCCCGUAGAGAGCACUUGCUCCUUGCAGGGACCAAGGGGGAGCAAGACCCUUGCACGGGUGCUCCAACGAGGACUAGUGGAGAGUGGCGACUCUCCGAUACCUCGGCAAAACAUCGCCGAGCACUUUCUUCCACUACUCCUUUACUUUCUAGCAUUUACUUUGUGUUUUUACAUUCUUAGAAUUGCCAUGCUAGAAUAGGAUUGGGGUUGCAAAACUUUUAUCCGGUAGCUCUCUAGUCACACUAGGCACAAGGGGUUGAAUUGGAGCUUAUAGGUUGCUUAAAUUUUUAGAGAAGCCUAAUUCACCCCCCUCGUGGGCAUCUUGAUCCUUUCAAUUGGUAUCAGAGAGCCUAGUGCUCAUUAUUUAGGCUUCACCGCCUAGAGAAAGUUGUCUAACGGGGAUGGACCGCCACCCAUGUUCGAUGGGGAUGACUUCCCGUAUUGGAAAAUACGGAUGGAGUCAUACCUUGAGGCAUGUGACUCAAAGUGCCUAAAAGCCAUGACCGAAGGGUUUACCCCUCUGGCAAAAGACGUCGUUCUUACUCCACAAGAACAAGAAAACGAAAAGUGGAAUGCGAAGGCCAAAAACCACAUCUUUAGAGGCCUUUGCAAAGAGGUGUUCAACUGCGUUCGGAACCACAAAACCGCCCAUGCUCUAUGGAAGGAACUUUGUGUGCUCCAUGAGGGAUCAAAGAGUGAACGUGAGGAACACUAUCACCUUGUGAUGAACAAGCUUAAUACAUUUGAAAUGCUUCCUAAAGAAAAUGCUAAUGAAAUGUAUUCUCGCUUGAAUGUGAUUGUAGAGGAGCUUAAUGGACUUGGGCUCACUCAAAUGAGUGCGGCGGAUGUCGCAAGGAAGAUACUAUGUGUGCUUCCCAUUGAGAAAUAUGGGCACAUAGUAACCGUGCUUCAUCAAGGCGAUCUCUCCACCGCUACACCAAUGGCCAUAUUGGGGAAGAUCAAUGCUCAUGAGAUGUAUAUGCACAUGAACCCCCAAGAUGGCUCCUCAUCGGCCAAGAAGGAGAAGAAGGACUUGGCCCUCAAAGCUUCUCACAAGGGCAAAGCCAAGAAGAUUGAAGUUGAGUCAUCAACUUCAAGUGAUGAUGAUGCAUCCAUUGCCCUCUUGGUGAGAAGAACCACCAAGAUGUUGAAGAAGCUCAACAAGAAUGGAGUCAACUUUGACUCCAAGAAUAAGAAGUUCUUCACAAGUAGUAAGAGAAAGCCCAUCUCCGAGAUGGAUUGCUACAAUUGUGGUGAGCUUGGUCAUCUUGCUCAUCAAUGUCCAAAGCCCAAGAAGGACAAGUACAAGAAGAAGAACAAAGAGUAAGAUGGUUCAAGUGACGAUGAGAAGAAUGACAAGAAGCCAUACAAGAAGAAAGGUGGCAAGAAGAAGGAGUACCACAAGAAGAAGAAUGGCAAGGCCUACAUUGUUGGUGAUUGGCUCACAGACAUUGAGAGCUCAAGUGGUGACUCCUCCGGCAAUGAAAGUGAUGAUGAAAAGGUUGCCGCCAUUGCUAUCGAUGCUUCAUCACCAUCAUCUUCACCAUCAUCUACAUCCUCUACACACCUAUGCCUCAUGGCUAAAGGUGACCGGAAGGUACAAAGUGAGGAUGAGAGUAGUGAGAGUGAUAGUGAAUAUGAAUCACCAUCUUAUGACGAACUUGUAAAAUUGCUAAACAAGUACACUAAGGUCAUAAGAAAGACUAGAAGUGAAAAUGAAAAGCUUGAACUUGAAAAUGAAACACUUCUAGCAAAGCUUAAAUCUAGUGAUGAGCUUAGAUACCAAAAUGAAAUCAUGACCACUAAGCUCAAGGAGCUCAAACUCUCUCUAAAAGAGCUCAAAGAAAAACAUGAUAAACUUGAGAGUGUUCAUGAUGAGCUUAUCACUAGAUAUAGAGCAAUGAAAGAAGAGCUAACAACUCUAAAAGCAAAUUAUGACAACCUUGAGAUAGCUUAUGAACUUGCAAUUGAUGAAACACAUGUUGCUACUAACCAUGUUGCUAAGCUUGAUGUAGCCACAUCUUGUGAUGACUUACUUGUGGAGAGCACAAGCAAAUGUGUUGAUUGCAAGGGCAAGAAAGUGGUAGUGGCCGAGAGCUAUGAGGACACUAUCAAGCUCAAGGAAGAAAUUUCCAUGCUCAAGAAAGAGUUGCAAGAGCAAGCCAAGCACAAGACAAUUGUGAUUGAGUCACUUGAUCAAGACAAGAAGCUUGCAUAUGAGAACAAGUUGCUCAAGGAAGAAAAUCAAUAUCUCAAGCUUGGUUUGAUGUAUGACAAGCAAGAAGAAGAUGAGACUUUCAUCUUAGAUGAGUUAGCUAGCAACAAUGACCCAAUCAUAAAGAAGCUAACUCAAGAGAAUAGCAAGCUCAAGAAAGAGAAGGAACAUCUAACCAAAGGGUUAGCAAAGUUCACAAAAGGGAAGGAUCUUCAAAGUGAGCUUUUCAUGAACACCGUCAUGAAGAUGGACAAGAGUGGGAUUGGCUACAAGGCUCAUCAAACAAAGCUCAUCAAUUCACUAGACACUCAUGAUCAACCAAGCAAGCCAAAGCCAAAGAGAUGCUUUGAGUGUGGUCAAGAAGGACACUUUGCUCAUGAGUGUGAGGCACCACUACCACCACCCUUGCCCAAGCAUGCUAGACCAUUUGCCUUCAAUGCUCACUACAUUGUAAGGAAAGACAAGAGUGGCAAGGUCAAGGUUAGCAUCAUGGGGCCGCCCAACAAGCAAAGGCCAAAGAAGAUUUGGGUGCCAAAGCAACUAGUAGAGAAGGUCAAGGGCCCUAAGCAAAUGUGGGUCCCUAAAUCUCAAGCUUCAUCUCUUGUGUGUGUAGGUGAACUACAAGACCGGUGGAUCACAUUAGGUAAUUGAUAGUGGUUGCACUCAACAUAUGACCGGAGAUCCCCGGAUGUUAACCUCACUUGAUGAAGAUGUUGACAACCAAGAGAAGAUCACAUUUGAUGACAAUUCAAAAGGCAAGGUCAAAGGUCUAGGAAAGGUUGCAAUAUCAAAUGACAACUCCAUCACCAAUGUGCUCUAUGUGCAAUCUUUGAGUUUCAAUUUGCUCUCGGUUGGACAACUUUGUGAUCUUGGUUUUGAAUGCUUAUUCAAGAAGAAGGAAGUAAUUGUGACCGAGGAUGACAAUGAAAUGGUAUUCAAAGGCUUCUGACACAACAACUUAUAUGUAGUUGAUUUCUCAUCCGAUGAAGUUGAUGUCAAGACUUGCUUAUUCACCAAGACCUCACUUGGUUGGUUGUGGCAUAGAAGGUUAGCACAUGUUGGAAUGGGCACACUCAAGAAGUUGAUGAAGAAAGAAUUAAUUAGAGGCUUGAAGGAUGUGACAUUUGAAAAAGACAAGCUUUGUAGUGCAUGUCAAGCCGGCAAGCAAGUUGCAAACACUCAUCCAACCAAAGCCUAUCUCUCUACAUCAAGAGUGCUUGAGCUACUCCACAUGGAUUUAUUUGGACCAACCACAUAUGCAAGUCUUGGAGGCAACAAAUAUUGCUUGGUCAUAGUUGAUGAUUACUCCCGGUACACUUGGACAUUCUUCUUGCAAGACAAGGCCGAGUUGCAUCCAUAUUCAAGAAGUUUGUAAAGAAUACCCAAAAUCAAUUUGAUGUCAACAUCAAAAAGAUUAGAAGUGAUAAUGGCAAAGAGUUUGACAACACCAACAUUGAAGAGUAUUGUGAUGAAGUUGGAAUCAAACAUGAGUUCUCCUCAACAUACACACCACAACAAAAUGGGGUUGUAGAAAGAAAGAACCGGACAUUGAUCACCUUGGCAAGAACAAUGCUAGAUGAGUACAACACUUCGGAGAAGAUGUGGGCCCAGGCAAUCAACACCGCAUGCUAUGCAUCAAACCGGCUCUUUCCUCACAAGUUCCUAGAAAAGACACCAUAUGAGUUGCUCAAUGGGAAGAAGCCCGAUGUCUCAUUCAUUAGAGUGUUUAGGUGCAAAUGCUACAUUUACAAGAAUUGCCAACACUUGGGUAAGUUCCAAAGAAGAUGUGACAUUGGCUACUUGGUUGGCUAUUCAUCAAAGUCUAAGGCAUAUAGAGUCUUUAACCAUGCCACAAACUUGGUUGAAGAAACAUUUGAUGUUGAAUUUGAUGAAACUAAUGGCUUCCAAGGAGCAAGUGAUAAUCUUGAUGAUGUAGGUGGUGAACCACUGAGGGAUGCCAUGAAGAACAUGUCGGUGGGAGACAUCAAGCCAAAAGAAGAUGAUGAUGUGCAAGUCAUUGAGCCACCAUCCACCUCACAUGUACCACAAGAUGAAGACAAGGAUGUGAGAGAUGCUCAUGAAGACACUCAAGUUACUCAUGAGCAAGCGGUGGCACAAGCGCAAGAUGUUGAUGGUCCCCAAGCAACCCUUCAAGUGGCGCCAAGAAGAUCAUCACAUCUCCUCCAUGAUCAUUCUCAAGAUCUCAUCAUCGGGAGUCCAUCACGUGGUGUAACUAGACGCUCUAGACAUGCUUUAUUUAUGGAACAUCACGCUUUUGUGUCUCUUGAAGAUGUUGACACCGUUUUUGGGCACGUGUCCGUGAUCGGUAGAAUGCAGGUCGGCAAGACAAGACGGCAGUGCUUGGUCCGCAGGAUGAGUUGCCGAUGAGGAUGGUUGCCGAUGGAGGGACGGUUGAACAUGACUAAGUCCACAGGUGAUGAUGUGUUUGUGCCGAUGGCUAUAACAGGGGAGUCUGCCAAUGACGCGGAGGAAGAACCUAAAGGUUGCCGAAUCGGCUUGUGGAGGUGUUCCAGUUUGUCACGGGAGGAUAGUUUUAUGUUUUCCUUAGUUAUUUAGAUCGUUUUGUAUACGGAUUCUGUUUAAUUUGGAAUUUGAAUUCUAGUCGUGUCUGGUUGUAGCUCUGCGAAUAGGGUAUAAAUGUAGACCCUGAGGCUUUGUAAACGGACAUCUAUCAAUCAAUCAAACACUAGUUUUUACUCGUAUUCCAGCAUCUACUUUUUCGACGACUUCGUCAUACCUUUUUCCCUUUUUAUUACGAGUUCUUAGGAAUUCGUCGACUUAAGCUCGGAGCGUUCUCAAGUUCCGUGUGAAUACCUCUUGGCCGUGGCAUCCGGGCGCAUCGCUGUUGUCGGGACCAAAGUAUUCGAGUUAUCACCUUUGCCGGUAGUAGGGUCAAAUCGGCUGGCACGCCUUAACGUUUGAAUCGGGUAUUAGCCCUUUGUGUUUGCAUAUCAGCUUUUGCAUCAACACAUCUUUUGGCACGCCCAGUGGGACCAGAUUCAAGAUUCAAGGUCAAGAUCAACAUGUCGACUACUGAGUUUGAUCAGGAGAACGUCAUCCCCGUGACGGAAGCCAAUCUCAAGGAUGAGCAGAAGCAAGCUAUUCCUAAAGCCAUGGAGGAUUACAAGCAGCAAUGCCUGAGGUCCUUCAGCAUAAACAGGAGCGGCGAAGUGAUCCAGAAGGAUGCACUGCCGACGCCUUGGCAGGUUACUUUUGAAGCCAAUCCUGGUAAACUUCAAGAGAUGGUUGAUAGUGCUAUCAACCGCGCUUUGAUCAACCAAGCUGGUGUGCUGUCCAAUACGGUUUUCAAUGCCGUGGCUAGAACUUUUAAGGAAGGACAAUUGCACCAGAUUAUGUGGGCCCCUCUCAUCAUCAGCCAGGAUCACCGGUGGUCACAGCUCCAUCGGCUGCUACAGCCGCUGCGGGCCCAGAAAUUCCUGUUCCUCCAAGCAUGUUGGGAGUCACUAAUGCACAAUCUAUGCCGAUGACAACUAAUCCAUCGACUUUAGAUGAACAGAUCAAGCUCACCACAGAUCUAUUGGCAUCGACAAUGUCAGGACCAGUUCCUCCUCCUAACUGGUGGGGUUUCGGUAUGCCCCCGGAAUACUGGAAGACGCCUGGUACGUCCCAAGCAGCUGAGGCGAGAGGCAAGGCUCCUAUGGCAUCGGCACCUCCAAGUAUGCCGAUGAACCAGUGUCUCCAGUAUACUACAACUACUACUGCAAGACCUUAUACUGGGAAUUCUCAAGCUCUGACGUUCCAGAUGCCUAACGCAUCGGCAGACUCAGUCCUGAUGCAACAGAGAUUUAUAACUCAGCCAGGGUAUGUCAAUUCAAUGAUGAUGCCCAAUUACCAGUCAUCGGCAUUACCAGACAUCUAUCAAUCAAUCAAACACCAGUUUUUACUCGUAUUCCAGCAUCUACUUUUUCUACGACUUCGUCAUACCUUUUUCCCUUUUUAUUAUGAGUUCUUAGGAAUUCGUCGACUAAAGCUCGGCGCGUUCUCAAGUUCCGUGUGAAUACCUCUUGGCCGUGGCAUCCGGGCGCAUCGCUGUUGUCGGGACCAAAGUAUUCGAGUUAUCACCUUUGCCGGUAGUAGGGUCAAAUCGGCUAGCACGCCUUAACGUUUGAAUCGGGUAUUAGCCCUUUGUGUUUGUAGAUCAGCUUUUGUAUCAACAGAAGAUGAACCAAAGACUAUAGAGGAAGCUCUUCGUGAUGCAGAUUGGAUCAUUGCCAUGCAAGAGGAGUUGAACAACUACUCUCGCAACCAAGUAUGGACACUUGAAGAGCGACCCAAAGAUGCAAGAGUGAUUGGAACAAAGUGUGUCUUCCAGAACAAGAAGGAUGAUCAAGGCAAAGUGGUGUGCAACAAAGUAAGGCUCGUGGCAAAAGGCUUUUCACAAGUGGAAGGUCUUGACUUUGGUGAAACCUUUGCACCAGUGGCAAGACUUGAAGCAAUCUGUAUCCUUCUUGCAUAUGCAUCUAGUCAUGAUAUCAAGUUGUUUCAAAUGGAUGUGAAAAGUGCUUUUUUGAAUGGUUAUAUUAAUGAGCUUGUCUAUGUUGAGCAACCCCCCGGUUUUGAAGACCCUAGGUACCCCAAGCAUGUCUACCGGUUGUCCAAGGCCCUCUAUGGUCUUAAGCAAGCUCCUAGAGCUUGGUAUGAGAGGCUUAGGGACUUCCUCAUCGAGAAGGGCUUCAAGAUUGGGAAAGUUGACACAACACUCUUCACCAAGAAAAUGAAUGGGGAAAUCUUCAUUUGCCAAGUUUAUGUUGAUGAUAUUAUUUUUGGCUCUACUAAUGAAGAUUUUUGCAAGGAAUUUGGUGAGUUGAUGUCCAAGGAGUUUGAGAUGUCCAUGAUUGGCGAGCUAUCCUUCUUCCUAGGAUUUCAAGUCAAGCAAAUCAAGGAAGGGGUCUUCAUCUCUCAAGAGAAGUACACACAAGAUCUUCUCAAGAGGUUCAAGAUGAUGGAUUGCAAGCCAAUCAAGACUCCCAUGGCAUCAAAUGGGCAUCUCAACUUGGAUGAGGGAGGUAACCCAAUUGACAAGACUCUCUAUCGUUCCAUGAUAGGAAGUCUACUCUACCUCACCGCAUCUAGGCCCGAUAUCAUGUUUAGUGUGUGUAUGUGUGCUAGAUAUCAAGCAAUGCCUAUGGAAUCUCACUUGAUUGCCGUCAGGAGAAUUCUUAGGUAUCUAAAAUACACACCUUGCCUAGGCUUGUGGUAUCCCAAAGGUGCAAGAUUCCAACUUGUAGGCUAUUUCGAUUCGGAUUAUGCCGGGUGCCGCAUUGAUAGAAAAAGCACAUCCGGAGGGUGCCACUUCCUAGGUAGAUCCCUUGUCUCUUGGAUGUCAAAGAAACAAAAUAGUGUUGCCUUGUCAACGGCCGAGGCGGAAUACAUUGCCAUCAGUGCUUGUUGUGCAUAAAUACUUUACAUGAAACAAACUUUGCUAGACUAUGAAGUAGUACUAGACAAAGUACCUUUGUUGUGUGACGAUGAAAGUGCCGUAAAACUUGCUAACAACCCGGUUCAACACACCCGCACAAAACAUAUUGACAUCCGCCACCACUUCCUUAGGGAUCAUGUUGCUAAAGGUGACAUAUCUCUAGAAAAUGUGGGAACGGAAAAUCAAUUGGCGGAUAUCUUCACAAAACCCCUAGAUGAAGCAAGGUUUUGUAUGUUGAGAAAUGAACUUAAUGUGCUUGAUCUUUCUAACUUCACUAAAAAUUGAAGUUGUGUGUUGAAUUUGUAAAUAGUUUUUGUUUUGCAUAUCAUGCAUACCAAAACUAAAAUACAAAAAGAAUUGUGUGUAGGGCUUGUCUAACAUGGUUAAGAUAACCCCCUUUGUGUGUGUGAAAAAGCUUAUCCUUGGAUCAAACUUGACAAGCAUUAGUUUACUUUCAAGUAUUGCAUUUCACCUCAUAUCUUAUGCAUGCUUGUUAGUUGACCGUUUCUUUUUUAUUAUGCUUUGAGCAUCCGCUGUGUUCGUCCAUAGAUAGGGGGAGCAUUCAAAGCUCACCAUGAUUUAAACCCCUAGCUUUAUGGCCACACGAUGCUCCUCGGUGCUUUCACUUGACUAUUUUCAUAAAAACUACUAUGCCUAAGGCUAAAUAUUUGUGAAAAUUUGAGUGUUUGAGAGAGGUCACUCAUACCAGUUCCACUUGGUGUUUAUUUGGAUCCUCUUGAAGUUGGAACUUGGUUGGGUGAAAGUCGGGCGAAGUUCUAAGUUGAAAAAGGAGCCAGAAGUGCACCGGACGCUGCACUGGACGCUACCUCUGUGCGUCCGGUGUGGUGAGUGUGCUGGACAGCACUCACCGGACGCAGGAAUAGUGUCCCUGUUCCAUCCGGUGAGGUGCGUCUGGUGCUCAGCUAGGCAAGCCCUAGGGCACCGGACGCUAAGGCCAGCGUCUGGUGGCCAUCGUCUGGUGCUCGGCCGAAUUAAAACACUCUCUGUGUUUUAGUCCGGUGGUCAUCGGAUGUGUCCGGUGCCACAUAAAUAGCGUCUCGUGACCCCGCAGCGAGCCCAUAUAACUCGCGCCUGGACGCUCUCGUCGGCCGGUUUCUUUCCUCUCCUCCCUAUUCCGCCAGCAGUCGUGCCCUAGCCCAAGUCGCCGAGAACUCUGUCGCCAGUGGUUUGACUGUUUUCCGGUGACUUCGUGAUCUCCUCCUCACGCAGAUCUGCCACAAGGACAUCUCCCCCAUCCUUUCCUCACGCAGUGGCCCUCAUCUCGCGAAGUUCUAGGGUUUGGGGUGAGCUUCCUUAUCUACGCACUCAAGGUGUUCGAAUUUAUGUGUCAAUGGAUUAGAACGAGGUUUUUGACCUCGAUUUGCUCCGUUUCAUCUGUGCAGCACCUUGAGGAGUCGAUUCGUGUUCUCCGACGGAUUUCGAUCGCGAUAUUUCAUCCAGAACGCGUCUCGACAUCGGAUUGUAAGCCGUUCGCGCCCAGUCCUUAUCUGUUCUUGCGAUCCAUAGGGUUUUCUCACCUCUAGCUAUUAUGUUUGCUUAUAUAUAUCCUAUCUAUUCCAUCUCUUGCAGCGCGUUGAUAUCCCUUGGCAAUUUGUCAGUCGCUCAGUUGUCGGCAGUCAUUCAGAUGCAGUUUUCUUGCAAUGGCACGUUGCAAGAAUGUCAAUGGUCAGGCAGCCAGCUCAAGGGGUUCUCCAGGAGGUGAUGGUGGAGGUGAUCCUCCCCGUCGCCUGUCAGCGGCAGAGAAGGGUAAAGGCAAGAAACUAGCCACCAAGAAGAGGAAGGCCAGUGACAGAGAGGCAGAGGUGGCCGAGGCAGUUGCAGCAGCAGCUGAGGCAGCAGAGAGGGGAGGACGUUCAGGUGCCCUGAGGAUUGGGGCCGAUCUCACGCCACUGCAGAGGCGUGCAGUUCUUGAGGCUGAGGCCCUUCAUGGGUCUCCUCCUAGCACCAUCAUGCUAGGAGGUCAAUGUGUCAGGAUUGCAGUCAGAGAGCCAGCUCAGGAGGACCCAGAGACUGAGACCGAGGCAGAGGCCCAGGCAGAGGACCCAAUAGAGGCACAGCAGCAGGAGCAGCCUCUCAGGAGGUCGACUCGCGCUCGUACUUAGGCCAUCCCUAUGACGCUCUUUCCCAGGAGAGGCUACAGAGACGGCUUCACCAGGAUUCAGCAGUGGUUGGUAGCCCAUCUGAUCUCGAAGACGCCAUUUGACUUGUGGGAUAUGAUAGUCUCAGAGAUCGAGGAUACUAUUUCAGAGAGCUUCAGGGGUCGGUGUCAGUUGUCGUACGCACACUGGAUCACCAUGCUCAUUCUUCAUGCUAGGCCAGAGCCUCUUCCAGCUCACCUCCAGAGAGAGCUAUCAGAUGCUGACACAGUGUUCCCUCACUAUGACCCCUGGCAGAUGCUGAGAGCGCAUCACGACCUUAGAGCUCCACCACCUCCUCAUGCACCACGUGACCAGGUGCCACCACCUUCUCCUAGGGGCACUCGCAGUUCAGGAGUAGACCAAAGACUGAGGAGGAGCAGGAUAUCGCCAUUGGGGCGUUUGCAGACGAUGAGGCUGAGGAGGACUUUGACUUUGCUUCAGACAGCUCAGACGAUGAUUAUCGUCUUCUAGUGCCAGACCUUCCUCCGAGGCUGCACGACCACAAGGCAAGAGGUUCCUCGAGUGCUUCAGACCCCGCUUUACUUGCUAUCCUAGAGGGGAUGAGAGCCGAUCAGCAGCGGGCAGCUGAGGAGCAGGCCAGGAGAGACAGGGACCAGGCUGCCAUCAAUGCAGCCAUGCAGGCUAGGUAGGACGAGCUUUAGAGAGAGCUUCUGACCUUCCAGGAGCAGCAGCUUGCGUUCCAGGCUCAGCAGACGGUGAUGAUGGCCGCUCUUAUGGCCGCCUCAGGGAUUCAGCUUCCUCAGGUACAACUCCCAGGCACUUCAUCAGUCAGGCCUCCUAAACCAGCGCCUCAGAGUCAGUCUCAACCACCGCUUUAGCUCCCUGCUCAGAGUCAGCCAUUAUCGACGCCUCAGCACCAGGUUUCUCAGGGUGCCAUCUCGUCUGGUUUUGAGAAGGUGCCUCAGUUCACACCUCUACGCUCUGGUUUUACACCUCAGUCAACGACAGCGUCACAGCUCGUGUUGGACUCAUCGGCAGGCCAGCACAUCAGUUUCUCUUACAGUGCUCUGACUGGUGACCCUACUCCUCCACCUCUGCAGGCUCCUACAGCCUUUACGGUCCCAGUCACCACUACUGAGCGCCUGUCAUCGUCAGUAGCUUCGUCUCAGCAGCUAGCACCUUCCUCUACUAUGCCAGAGACGUCAGCUACAGCGACAGAGUCCGUGCCAGCUUCGUCAGCAGGACUUGAGCAGCCAACACAGCCCGUGACAGCUACAGAGCCUGCAGAGCCGACCCAGACCGCUUCUCCAGCACGUGCAGCUUUAGAGGGUCACUCUAUCUCCUCCGAAUCGACGGCCGAUGGAUCAGACGACGCAGCACAUUUUCAGGCUAUGCCGAGGGACUCCACUGCUCUGCCUCCGCCUCCUUCGUCUUAGGUUUUUGGCACUUGAUGCUAAAGGGGGAGAGAGUUGAGAGUAUGAGAGUUAGGGGGAGCUAGAGCUAGAGAGGGCAACCUUUUGAUUAUUUUGUGUGCUACUCCAUGCAUCAUGUUUACGUUUAUGCAUUGCAUUUUUGUGAGAUACUCUUGUGAGAUACACUUAUGGUUGUGCUUAUGGUUGUGAGACAUGACUUAUGCUUAUCUGUGAUAUCCUUAUGUCAUGUGGUUUGCUCAUAUUACUUUGCUUCCGCGUUUUUACUCCGAUGUACUAUGAGCCAUCUGUGGUUAUAUCUUGUUGUAUACAUCUCACAUAUUUGGAUGCAGGAUGUUAGACUUGGUUGAUAUAAGCAUGCUUAAUCCCUUUGCUCUUAUUGUAUCAUGCUUACUGAAACCAAGUCAUUUGAAAACCUCAUUUCCUUUCAUACUCGAGGUUAUUGUCAUCAAUCACCAAAAAGGGGGAGAUUGAAAGAGCAUCUAGGCCCCUAAUGAUUUCGGUGAUUAAUGACAAUGUUGAUUACUAUGACUAACAUGUGUUUUGCAGAGGCAAAGUCAUUAGUGAGGUCAUGGUAAUAGGUACUUGAUGAACAGGGACGUACAUGCCUACUUAAUAGUGGAAAUCGUUUCGGUUUUCAAAGGAUGGAUGGACAUCGUCAAGACUAGACUAGGUCUGGGUGCCAUAUGGUGAAGAAGGGCACUUAGAGUAGUCUAGGACUUUAUUUUCCUUUGACCGUACUAUUAAGAGGGGCUUUGAUCUAGUAGCUUGAUUUAGGCAAGGCUUUAGGUUUAGGUGUGGUGCACACUUGGUAAACCUAGCACUAGGCAGCUCAGAGAUAGUCCUUAGAUCGAGAGGAACCAACUUCGUUUUGGAACGGUCGCGUUUCGACGAGGUUAGGGUGCCUAAGUAGGCACCGGACGCUAUGUGAGUGCGUCCGGUGAGGUCUUUAGCCGUUGGAGGGCUUUGGUGCCUAGGGUUAGGCACUGGACGCUGGCACCGGACUCACCGGGCAGCGUCCGGUCCCAUACCCAGGGAGGUUGUAAUCCUGCCCCUAGCACCGGACGCACCGGGUAGCGUCCGGUCUUAAACUCAGGGAGCUUGUAAAUCUCCCCGAAGCACCAGACGGUGCCACCGGACGCUGGGAAGUAGCGUCCGGUGACCUGUCAGACGUAGGUACAGUUAGCCGUUGAGUGUCACCAGACGCUCAGUGCAGAGCGUCCGGUGCAACAUCAACAGCGUCCGGUGACCCCGUUUUCAGCGUCCAUAUCGACGUAGCGGUGGAAACGAUCGACGAGACGCAGGACGCCGUUGCUGGCGGUCGAGCCCGUGCGGCAAGAAAGGACCCUAGGACUCCUAUGAAUGACGGACAGGUCGACCCCCUCCACAAGAAGACAAAGCCGCGCAACUUGCGCAACUGCGAGAGCUCAAGACAAAACUCGACGAAGACCGUGAGCGCCUCGUCCUGCUCGAACAAAUCCUUGAGCAGGACCUACCAUACCCACCUGGCAGAAGUGUCCGCAGAAGGGCUCGAGAGGUGCAUCGACAUAUUGUUUGGGACGGGGAACCAGAACAACCUUUCAGCCGCUUCCCUCGAGGAGGCCAGAACGUCGUGGCGGCAACGAUGCUGCUGUGUAACAUGCCCGAGCCCUCGAACUCCCAAGCACAGCGCAUUCGAGACGAGGUGCAAACUCUACUCCAAGUGGCGGCAGUUCAGCAAGCCGAGAGCUCGGCCUCUCGAUGUCGAGGAACUGCCACAGAAAAGCGUGAGGAACCAGCCCAGAAUGACAAGGAGGUGUCGGUCCAUCAGCAACCGCCCCCUCGAGGGAAGAAGACAGCGCUUGUCCUCCACCACCCCGUCGACAACCAACGGCGACAUGACGCACGACGUGACAUCGAUGAAAAUCGUCGACGUCGGUAUGGGGAUGCAGAAGAGCAUGGUUACAGCGCCCACCGCGGCGGGAGAUACGACAGCGACGAGGACCGGAUGGCCCCGGAACCAGCGGGGCCUCGAGUGUUCAGCAGAGCAAUCCGCAGCACGCCGCUGCCCAGCCUGUUUCGACCCCCGACCAGCAUAGCCAAAUACAACGGCGAGACCAAGCCAGAGCUGUGGCUGGCAGACUUCAGGUUAGCCUGUCAGCUAGGAGGCGCUCGAGGGGACGAUCGAGCCAUCAUCCGCCAGUUACCGCUUUUUCUCUCCGACACCGCCCGUAGAUGGCUCGAGGAGCUCCUGGCCAAUCAGAUCCAUGACUGGACCGACUUGGUCAGAGUAUUCGAGGGCAACUUCAAAGGGACCUACAUACGGCCUGGUAAUUCAUCGGACCUCAGCAAGUGCAAGCAGAAGUCAGGAGAAACUCUUCGAGAGUACGCUCGACGCUUCUCGAAGCAGCGCACCGAACUGCCGCACAUCCCUGACCACGACGUCAUACAGGCCUUCGUCUCAGGCACCACCAGCCGAGAUCUGGUGCGGGAGUUAGGCUGGAAUCAUCCUCAGACCGUCGACAAGCUGAUGGAUGUGGCAAACUACACCGCAGGGGAAAAAGCGGUCGGUGCCUUCUUCAGCCAUGAAGGAGAAAAAAGCAAGUCGCCUGCCGACGACGACGAGGGUCCCAGUCGAGGGCCCUAGAAGAACAAGAAAAAGAAGAAAGCACGACCGUUCCAACAGGAAGCCCUUGACGACAAUCUCGUCGCCGCCAUGGAACGCAAGAGGCCUCGAGGACCUCCAGAGGGAGCCAUCUUCGACAAAAUUCUAAAGGAGCCCUGCCCUUAUCAUAAAGGAGGGGCAAAUCACAAGCUCGAAGACUGUCGUAUGUUGAAGAAGCACUUCGAUGGCCUAGGGUUCAAGAAGGACGACCAGAAGAAAGAGAAAAAUGGCGACAAGAGUGACGACAAAGACGACAAAGGUUUCCCUGCCGUCCACGACUGCUACAUGAUCUACGGUGGGCCCUCGACGCAGCUGACCGCAAGGCAAUGCAAGAGGGAACGUCGUGAGGUCUUCGCGGCAAGAAUGGCGGUGCCCUAGUACCUCAGCUGGUUGAGCACCCCCAUCACCUUCGAUCGAGAUGACCACCCCGACAAGGUAGUCGCCCCUUCCGUAUACCCGCUCGUCGUCGACCCCAUCAUCGUCAACACCAGGCUCUCGAAGGUAUUGAUGGACGGCGGCAGCAGCCUAAACAUCAUCUACCUCGAGACCCUCGACCUCCUCGGCAUCAAUAGGAUGCAGCUCCAACCAAGCGCCGGUGGUUUCCAUGGUGUCGUACCUGGAAAGAAUGCGUUACCGGUAGGUCGAAUCGACCUACCGGUCUGCUUCGGCACGGCGGCCAACUUCAGAAAGGAGACCCUCACCUUUGAGGUGGUGGGAUUCCGAGGAACGUACCAUGCCAUCAUAGACGCCUGGGUUACGCCAAGUUCAUGGCUAUCCCCAACUACACCUACUUGAAGCUGAAGAUGCCAGGACCCAAGGGCGUCAUCAUCGUCAGCUCUUCCUACGAGCAUGCGUACGAGUGCGACGUCGAAUGCGUCGAGUAUGGGGAAGCCGUCGAGAGCUCCACCGAGCUCGCCUCGAAACUCGAGGCCCUAGCCGCGGAAGCCCCAGAGCCCAAACGCCACGCCGGCAGCUUCGAACCGGUGGAAGGAACAAAGAAGAUCCCGCUCGACCCCGACAACUCCGACGGCAAGGUGCUGACGAUCGGCGCUGACCUCGACCCCAAAUAGGAAGACGUGCUCGUCGACUUUCUCCGUGCAAAUGCUGACAUGUUUUCAUGGAGUCCUUCGGACAUGCCAGGCAUACCGAGGGAAGUCGCCGAGCACACCUUGGAAAUUCGAGCCGGUUCCAAGCCAGUGAAGCAGCGGCUGCGUUGCUUCGACGAGGAGAAGCACAAGAUCAUUGGCGAGGAAAUCCACAAGCUUUUGACGGCCAGAUUCAUCAAGGAGGUUCACCAUCCCGACUGGUUAGCAAAUCCUAUACUAGUUAAGAAAAAGAAUGGGAAAAUGAGGAUGUGUGUCGAUUAUAUGAGUUUAAAUAAAGCAUGUCCAAAAGUUCCUUUUCCUUUGCCACGUAUCGAUCAGAUUGUUGAUUCUACUGUGGGAUGUGAAACCCUUUCUUUCCUUGAUGCAUAUUCUGGUUACCCUCAAAUAAAAAUGAAAGAGUCCGAUCAGCUCGCGACAUCUUUCAUCACACCUUUUGCGAUGUAUUGUUAUGUAACCAUGCCGUUCGGGCUUCGAAACGCGGAAGCCACAUAUCAGCGUUGCAUGCUCCACAUGUUUGGCAAACACAUAGGGUCAACAGCCGAGGCAUACGUUGAUGACAUCAUCGUCAAGACAAAGCAACGAGGAGACCUGAUUUAGGACCUCGAGAUCGCUUUCACUUGCCUACGCGCCAACAAGGUCAAGCUCAAUCCCGAGAAGUGCGUCUUUGGUGUCCCCCGAGGCAUGCUCCUGGGAUACAUAGUCUCCCGACGCGGCAUCGAGGCCAAUCCCGAGAAAGUCUCAGCCAUCACGAGAAUGGGGCCGAUCCGAGACGUCAAAGGAGUGCAAAAGGUCACGGGAUGUUUGGCGGCGCUAAGUCGUUUCAUCUCGAGGUUGGGGGAAAAGGCAUUGCCACUAUAUCGGCUCUUGAAAAAAGCUGAGCGCUUCUCUUGGACCCCCGAGGCCGAGGAAGCCCUCGAUAACUUGAAGAAAACACUGACCUCUGCGCCGGUCCUGGUCCCGCCUCAACCCGCAGAACCUCUGCUUCUAUACGUUGCCUCGACGACCCAGGUCGUCAGUGCAGCAGUGGUAGUCGAGAGGCAGGAAGAGCGGCAUGCGCUGCCAGUUCAGAGACCGGUCUAUUUCGUCAGCGAGGUACUCUCGGAGACCAAAGCGCGGUACCCACAGAUCCAAAAGCUAAUCUACGCGGUGAUCCUCGCCCGACGCAAGCUGCAGCACUACAUCCUCGGUCACCCUAUCACGGUGGUCUCAUCCUUCCCCUUGGGUGAGGUCAUCCAGAGCCGGGAGGCAACAGGAAGAAUUGCCAAAUGGUCGAUCGAGCUCAUGAGUGAGACCCUCACUUAUGCGCCUCGUAAAGCUAUCAAGUCUCAAGCUCUGGUGGAUUUCGUCGCGGAAUGGACGGACUCCCAGCUCCCCCCGGCUGAAGUUCAGGCAGAAUUGUGGACGAUGUAUUUUGACGGAUCCCUCAUGAAGACGGGAGCUGGUGCGGGUCUGCUAUUUAUCUCACCGCUCGGUGUCCAUAUAAGAUACGUCAUCAGAAUACACUUCGCCGCAUCCAACAACGUCGCGGAAUACGAGGCCCUUGUCAACGGUUUAAAGAUCACCAUCGAGCUAGGGGUUCGACGCCUCGGCGUUCGAGGCGACUCCCAAUUCGUCAUCGACCAAGUGAUGAAGGCCUCCAACUGCCACGACCCAAAAAUGGAGGCAUACUGCAAGGAGGUACGCCGACUCGAGGACAAGUUCCAUGGUCUCGAGCUCGUCCACGUCGCCCGACGCUACAACGAGGCGGCCGACGAACUCGCCAAGAUCGCCUCGACUCGAGGCACGGUCCCGCCCAACGCAUUCUCAAGAGAUCUUCACGAGCCAUCCGUCGACUUGGGCUCGGGGGCUGACGUCGGAGCCACCGCCCCCCAACAAACCGACACCAUCGAGGCACUGCUAGCGGCGGCGGAGGUAAUGGAGGCAGAACAGCGACCCGGUCGGCCGUUCGACUAGCGCACGUCGUUCCUCGACUGCCUAAAACGUUGCGAGCUACCGGAAGAUCGAUCCGAGGCCCGUCGUAUCGCUCGACGGGCCAAAUCAUUCGUAAUCUACGGCAAAGGCAAUGAGCUAUAUCGACGAAGCUAGACAGGGAUCUUGCAGCGCUGCAUCACCAUAGAGGAAGGCCGAAAGCUCCUCGAGGAUCUGCACUCGGGGGCUUGUGGCCACCAUGCUGCUCCACGGACCCUCGUAGGGAAAGCUUUCCGAUAGGGCUUCUACUGGCCAACGGCCGUAGCUGACGCCAUCGAGCUCGUACGCUCGUGCCAUGGGUGUCAAUUUUAUGCCAAGCAGACGCACCUUCCCGCCCACGCUCUUCAGAUGAUUCCCAUCACAUGGCCGUUCGCGGUGUGGGGACUCGACCUGGUAGGGCCUCUACAGAAGGCAGUAGGAGGCUACACCCAUCUGUUGGUGGCCAUCGACAAAUUCUCCAAGUGGAUCGAGGCUCGACCCAUCACGAACAUUCGCUCCCAGCAAGCCGUACUUUUCUUCACCGACAUCAUCCACCGGUUUGGGAUCCCCAACAUCAUCAUCACCGACAACGGCACUCAAUUCACUGGCAAGAAGUUCUUAGACUUCUGCGACCGGCAUCACAUCCGUGUGAACUGUUCUGCGGUGGCCCACCCUCGAACAAACGGCCAAGUCAAGCGUGUCAACGGCAUGAUUUUGCAGGGACUCAAACCGAGGAUCUACAACCGCUUAAAAAAAUGCGGCAAGAAAUGGGUCGAAGAGCUCUCUUCGGUCCUAUGGAGCAUAAGGACGACGCCGAGCAGGGCCACAAAAUACACCCCGUUCUUCAUGGUCUACGGCUCCGAGGCCGUGCUCCCAACGGAACUCGAAUACGGGUCCCCUCGACUCAAAGCAUACAACGAGCAAUCAAACAAGGAGGCUCGAGAGAAUGUCGUCGACCAACUCGAGGAAGCUUGGGACAUGGCCCUCCUCAACUCCGCCAGAUACCAGCAGAAGCUUCGACACUAUCACAACAUGCACGUGUGCAAAAGAGACCUAAACUUGGGCGAUCUUGUCCUACGGCGGCGGCAAAGCAACCAAGGACGCCACAAGCUAACGCCACCCUGGGAAGGCCCAUACAUAGUGGCCGAGGUCCUGAAGCUAGGGACAUACAAGCUAGCAGACGAAAAAGGGGCAAUCUUCACCAACGCGUGGAACAUCGAACAGCUACGUCGAUUCUACCCCUAGAAUUUCAAAAGCUUUAUGUUCCUAUGUACAAUUUGUACCAAGGUUUUGUGAAUGAAUGCAUGAAUGAAUAAGAUCUUUCCCUCGAGUAAAUUACUUUUUUCAUGAGUCAAAAUCUCGACGAUAGGAGGGAGUACCAACUAUGACCCAUCAUAGUCGAUACCCCCUCGGGGGCUAGCAGGGGGGCACCCCCCCCCAAGUGAUUAUUUUUUCGUUCCUACUAAGUAAACCUCGCAUGAUCGAGUAGUAGAGGUACCUCGAGCCCCUUAAGGGCCGAGAAACAACGAGCCUGAGAACUCCUACGCCCCCGGACUAUGGUAACUCUACUCGCUUUCUCACCCUCGAGGCAAUCGAGGUUGCCUUAACCAAAGACAAAAUGAGGAAUAUAGAUGUAGGCAGAAAAGAAAAUGAAGGAACCUCGAGUGGAAAGACAAACGUUUACAAAUCUUAUAACCCACUUAAAACACGAUAUCAUUUAAGAUAGAAUAACAAAGUACUGUACAAGGGGCCUCAGCACCCAGAGUAGGCUCGCAGGCCUCAGUCUACGUCUUGGCCCUCACCACCAUCGUCCGCACCCGAGCUAGUCUCGGGAGGAAGUACUUCCGGCUCGAAAAGCCUCACCAACCUUUCCCCAGGAGCCUCCGCAUCGUCGAUCAAGGCGUGGAGCCUCUCCUCGUUCUCUGCGUCGGUCUUGGAAAUAUCGAUGACGAAGCCGUGGGACACCACCUCCAUAUCAUAGGAAAAGCCUGAGCAGACAACCGCCAUUGCCCGCUUUACCCCAGUAUGAAGGGCGUCCCGCACCCGGUCCCUCAGCGUAGCACCUAGAUAGCAUAGCUGGUCGACCAGUGCGUCACCUCGAGCCUCCUCCCUCGACUCGUCCAUGGGCUCGAGCUCCCAAGAGGCUGAAAGAUCAUUUAUCGCCGUCUGCAGUCGACGGUUCAAAGGGACCUCCCCCUCAAGUUGAGCCUUGGCAGAGCGGGCCACGACCUGAGCUGCGAGCAGCUCAUCCUUAAGCCCUACAAGGACCAACAAGGAAAAAUUAGAUACCACAAAACACACCCUAGAAAGAAAACUCAACAAUAGGAAAUGUACCGCGAAUGCUCUCCUCCAGAGCUGUAUUCUCGCCGACCAACUUGGUGUUGGCUCUCUCGAUCUCUGCGUUGGAGCGCACCAGCUCGGUGUUGGCGACGCGCAGGUCUUCGAUCACCUUACCGGCCUGCGCGAUGGCCCCAUCCUUCUCCAGCAGCGCUCUCUUCAAAUGGUCAACGUCGUCAGAGAGACUUCGGGAUCGAGCCCGCUCCGCCUCGAGAUCCUCGAGAGCCUUCUUCUUGGCCUCCUCCGCGGCGCUCCGGGCAAUCUCGCCAUUUACGCACUCCACCUUCAUCCUUUGGAAGGAUUCUCGGACAGAGGCGAGACCAGUCUUGAGGGUGCCCUUCUCCUUGUCCAGAGCAGCGGCCACAUUCCUGUAAGACAAGGCCUCCUCCCGAGCCUUGGAUGCGACCUCCUCAACCAUCAUAGUUCGCUCCCUUAGCAGCGCAGCCUCAUCCACCGCCUUCCUCGAGGCCUCUCGAGCCUCGGCCAGAGCAGCCUCCCUCACCUUCUUCUCCUCCUCGAGCGCCAACAGCUCCUUGUAAGCCUUGAGGAGCUUUUCCUGCGAUUCCAGGAGUUGAUCCUUGAGGAGAGGGAGUUGCUCCCAGCCGCCCCUUGUUGCAUGGAUGAAGCUCAAUUUGAUGCGGGAGGUCUCUUUCAGGUCCUGCAAGCCAGCGAUUGGGCAGUUAGAAUACAAAACCAAAUGUUCUACAAGGGUUAAGGCCUAAAAAUGCUUACGAAGUAGGCUGGUCCGAGCCCGUUGUUGACGACGUCGGACAGGAGCCCCACCACAUGCUUCAUCCAGAGGCGAAGCUCCUCGACAUGCUCCCACUUUUCGGCCUCCUUCCGAUCGUCCAAGAAAAUGUUUGGCUCAGACGGAUCGGUGGAUGCCCAAAUGCGGAUCCGGUCAGGGCACCAGUUCUCCAUCUCCUGGUCAGCGCGCGCCUUGACGCCCCGGAUGAGCUCCUCGACGGUCUCGAGCGACCCCCCGUGGCGCAGGAACAGGUCGACGAGGGAGGGGAACCGCCCGUCGUCAUCCACCGUCUUCCAGGUCCCGGUCGCGCUGCCACCACCGCCGCCCGACGUUCCGAUCUCGUCUUCCUCGGCGGGGAUACGGUCCUCCCACGACCGACGCUCCCGGAGGAAUCCCGGAGUGAUUCCGUCCAUGCCGUAGAUCGUGCCCCUGAUCUCGGACUGAGGGUCGACGAGGGUGCGCAUCAUACAGGCGAGCGCCACCACGCCGUCCGCCCGCCUCGGCUCAGCUGGGAUCGAAGCAGGCGCCCCCGGACGAAGCCACGCCGGGGUCGGAGGACCAUAAACCGGCAGGCUCUCCCCCUUAUUUCCAGGCUCUUGCGGCGCUGGUGGCGCUGGUUGGGGCGGACCGAGAGAGGGAGGCUCGAGCAGUUCCUCUAACUGCUGGCCCCUUAGUUGCAGCUGCUCUUGGAGCUCCCUCAGCUCCUGCUGCCGGUCCUGCACCAGCAGCUCCUCGAGCUGGAGACCUUGUGGCAGCCGCCCCUCCUCUCCUUCUUUCUACUGCGGCCGCUGCUCCUCUUGCAGCUGUUGCCGCGUCUCCAGCUCGCGCUCCUCUUCCUCCUUCUUUCUCUGCUCCUCGACGGAGCGAAGCCCGACAGGCCAGGGCAUCCGCAUAGCGAUGAGAGAAGUCUCGGCCUCCUCGUCCAUAGGGCGGGCGUCCUUCGAAGGCCCGUCGCCGCCGGACCCGUCGCUUAUUGUGAUAGGGUCCCCCUCGACCCCAGAUCGGGGAGGCUCGGGGGCUCCCUCUUGCUCUUGGGGGCGAGGCGCCUCGACCCGCCUCGGCGACGGCGGAAUGGACUCCCCUACCAAGGGGCGAGGCGGGGCAUCCUCGACACCAGUCGACGGCCAGGGAUCGGGGGAACCUGUAAUACAUUCAGAGGCAAGAGGUCAGCCAUCAUAAUCGACGUAAAGACAACCCAGCUCCCAUAAGUGACGGAAAUAAACUGCUAACCUGAUUCUUUGGAGGCCGCUCCCGCCUUAAGCCUCUUGGCCAUCGAAGGCUGGGCCUGCUCGAGCGUCCGCUUCAACCUGAGGAAAGAAGAACGAGUGUGAGAGAGGCCAAAACGUUGAAGACAUAGGAAGAUGAGAAUCGUAACGUCGAAAACCUUACCCCACAGCGAGAACGGCCUGCCAGCCGGUGCCUCGACCGACAGGCCUCGAACCGCCCCGUGCCAAGGCACCAGGCACCUCACGAGCAGGCGCAGGCCUCGGCUCGGCAUCUCCCGCCUGGCGGGCGCCAGGGCUAGCACUCCUGUGACUUGCUUCCCCCUUGCCGAAGGCCACGGCACGGCCACGGGUCAAUGGCCCCGUCGCCAGGGGCUUAGCCCGGUCGCCCGCCUUUGACGUAGGGGGAGGUUGGGGGCACGGGACAGACCGACCUCGCGCAGGCGCGGGAGGGGUAUCAGCGUGGGAGCGGCGAGGGGACGACUCCCUCUACCACCUCUCGAGAGACCCGCUUGGCCCCUCCUUUGGUGCAUCCGUCCGCGGGACGUCGACGUCGGCUCGAGGCGGACCCUCGAGAAUUCUGUCCAGACGGGACGCCAUCCCCUCGGAGUCGUCGCUGUUGUCGUCACCAUCACCGCCGUCAUCCUCAUCAGGGGAGUCUUCCUCAGGCUCCCCCCUCUGUCUGGAUUUCGCUCGGCGCGUCUCCAGCGCUUGGCGCUCGAGAUUCUUCUUUUUCUCCUUCUUCUUCUUUAAGUCCAUUGCGGACUUCUGCUUUUCAGUGGACUCUCACCGCUUGUCAUGGUCGACCUCGUCCUCCUUUACCGGAGGCCUCGAAGACCGAACAUCGAUUCAACCCUGUGCAAAUGGUGACGAGUUUUAAGGAGGAUCGAAGAAAUUCUGGAAUCAAAACCAUAAGCGAGAGAGGAGCUUACUAGGUCGAUCGAUCCCCUGUCAGGCCUCAUAGGGAAGCCGUUGACAUGCUCUAGCUUGAAGUCGCCAGCAACGGUCGCCCUGACUCGAGCCGCGACCUCGUCGUCCGCCAGAGCCUUGUUGGACAUCCGGCAAGCCUCGAGAUCCCGGGACGAAACGCCGGGACCCAUCUCGUCCAUUCUCAACGGCCGAGACAUCAACGGAAGAACCCUCCGAUGAUGGACCGCCGAGAGGACAAGAGUGGCUGUCAGGCCAUCCUCGCGUAGCUUCUUCAAGGCGUCAAGGAGGGGGGCGAGCCGCAAUUGGUGGACUUGAACCACACCGUAAGUCCAGUGGUCCGGGCGCUUCGAGAUCAAGCGACCGGUGUAGGCAGGGAGGAGGUCGUCGUUGUUGCGCAAAUAGAACCACUGGGAGUCCCAUCCGGCAUGGUUCGACGUCAAUCCCACCGGGAUGUACUCGCGCGGCCUCUCCGUUUUGCCGGUCUUCAACACCAAGUUGAGGCACCCGGCCCGUACGAGUUUCCUCAUGCCUGUGGUUCCAGUAGGGGCGUUGAAGAGCUCGUCGCGGUACAGAUGGAGCCACAGAUCCCAGUGGGGCAUCAUCCCCAGAUAGCCUUCACACACCGCGGCAAAGACCGCCGCGGCAGUGACGGCGUUUGGGGAGAAGUGCUAGAGCUCCACCCCGUAGUGGUGGCAGAGCGCCCGCAUGAAGCGACUCAGAGGAGUGCCCAGGCCGUGGCGAUGGAAUUUGGCGAAGGAAACCACGUAGCCCUUGGGCGGCCUUGGCUCCCGGUGGUCCACCGCCGGCGCAAUCCACUCCAGCCGCGACGACGACGUGCGGGGGCGUAGGAAUCCCUCCCUCUCAAGCUCCAACAGCCGACGCUCCAUCAUCGACGAUGGGCACCAGUCAUCGGCGGCGAUGAGUCUCACAGGCAUUUUCGGGUGAAAGAAAGGCGAACUCGCUACUACUCGAGGGUGCGCGUGUGUGAAAGAUAGCGAGGAAGUUGGGACAGGGACAAAGGCAGAAGGCGGAAGGAGCGACGGCAAUGAGACCGCGGCGCAUUUAUAGACGGCAGCCCACCAACGGACAGAUCCGAUAAGCACGGUAACUCCUCCCAUAAAUGCGCCGUCUAACGGUCCUCACCUCUCUCACAGAUGGGACGCUACGAAUUCCGCGCCGGUUCAUUACAGCAACGGCUCCCACCCAACGGGCGAAAAGGCGAACCGCCACGGCCCCUUCCUUCCCUCGUAAGCCAAGGUAGGCGUCUGUCACAACUAAAACCUCGAGAGGUCACGGGCUGGCCCACCAACUGGGUUCGACAGCCGAUCUCGAGUGCCAGAGUCAGGGAUGCCCAGCGAAUGGUCAAAAAUCAAGGCCCGCCUCGAGAACUCGCUGGGGAUGUCCAAGGUAGGAUUGAGACGGUCGAGAGGAAUCCCCCCGAAGGGAGGCAUCGAGCCGCUGGACUCUAUCGAACGAGACCAGUAACCCCGACCACGUCGACCCUGCUUUAUGAGGAUGCCUCUGGGCUACAGCCGACCCCCUCGAACGGGGCACAGGUCCUCACUUGGAUUACCCGUUAGGAACUCAAACCGGGAUAGAUGACGCUCGCUCCAUCGGGAGUACGUCGAAACCCCUGCGCAAAACAUACCGAUCAAAGCCGUUCACAGCGGACAUUGAGAGCGCUUCCACAGAUUAGGCAAUAUAACCCUCGAAGGAGUCAAAAAACUCCUCCAAGGGCUCGGGGGCUACCCUCGCGGGGUCGCUCGCGUGCCCCCACGGAAACUCGACCUUAAAAUGUAGCCUCCACUCAAGCGCAAGCGCUCGAAUGGAGACUCGGGGCCUACUGUCGAGGAUAUCAGUAAGGGGUACCCUAACUGAUAUGCAUAUCGAGAACAUCCGUACACAAGUCGAGGCCUCCAACUCGAUGCCCUGCCUAGUCAUACGCACAGUCCUCGACGACUGUGGCCUCGAACACGGACAUAGCGUCCUGCGAAUCGACCGAGGCUCGAGCGCCGGCUGCCGUCGAAUACGGAAGUAGGCUCGUACGAACCGGAAGGCCUCGAGCGCAAGGACACCGCCCGCCGCCUGACGCGAGCGCAGGGAUCAGAGGCAUUUAAUGCGCCUGUAGUGUUCUCACCUAACCCGACAGUCACGGGAAGCGUGAUAGGAGGCCAGCACCCGUCCUGUCGUCCCUUCUGCAGCUUUCCCCACUAAACUAGCCAGAGCGUGGCAGAGUACAGAGGGCGAGUCGAGACGUCCGGUCACGACCCCCCUCGAGAUGCCUGAAGUCAACGCUCUGGACCGUGAACCGUUACCUGGCACCUGACCCUCAAGUAGACAUGUUCCUUUCCCAGAAAGGAUUGGGCGACGACUGACGGCGCCCCAACCACUCCGACGUAGCUGCUACCGCGACGUACAAGCAUGCGACGCAUAAGUCAGUCCAGGACGGCGCACAGGAGCAGGAUUCAGGGGCACGCGUAAUCAUCAUCAAAGUAGCAAGACAAGACGGCUCGAGGCCACGCCGGUACGGAGGCCUCGAGUAGGUCAGCGCGCCAUACCUCUUUCGAUCCCUACUCUGACGCCUAUACAUGUACCCUGGGCUUCUCCUUGGAACUAUAAAAGGGGAGGUCCGGGAGCGAGCAAAGACACGCGACACAACACAAGUCAUACGCAGUAGAGCAACUCACCUUAUCUCCAUUCAUACCACGCUUGUAUUCGCCCCUGUACAGGCACUUAGGUGCAGGAUAAUACAAUUUCCUCCCCCAGCUGGACGUAGGGCCUUCUCUUGCCCGAACCAGGAUAAAUCUUUGUGUCUUUCUGCAUCACCAUCUGGAAAAGGGAGCACGCACACAAGUUUUACUCGUUGGUGUGACCCCCCGGGGGGAAAACACCGACAUAUUGAAAGCUAGCCAUUGUAAAUUGUGAUUUAUCGUAUCAAAGAAAUAGGUGAAUUCAUCUAAGGACGAGAAAAAUGGCAAUAGAUCAUACGUUGAUUAGCAUUCUAUUUUGACUAAAUAUUAUAUCAUUCAUAUGUUCUGAGACCAUUUUAUUAAUAUAUGCACAGCCACAUAAAGAUCCAUCAAACCCAUAAUUUGUGUCCCCAUAGAGAAUUGAAUAUGAUUUUAAUUGUGCAUGCAUCAGCGCAUUUUUUCCAAAAAAUUCAUAAAUGAUGUUACAUUAUUUUAGAAGAUAUUUAGGAGAAAAAAGUCAAAACUUUAAUAGCUGAUGGACUAUUAGAAGAUACAAAUGUCACACUGAGAUAAUUUCACUAACCAGUAGAAAAAUGCCUCCUUGCUUUAGUACUGCUACCAAAAGUUCUUGUAAUAGUAAAGGUUAUGAUCAGACAGGUGGCAUUGGUCGUGGGUCUAUUUGUUCAUCAGAUUUUCAGAUCACUAAUCAGGGAUGUAGCUCCUAUAGCAAGGAAACAAUAUGGUCACACCACUUCUGCCACCCAGUGAGUAAAAAAAUCUGUCUGGGCACAACAGAUCAGUGGGUCACCAUUGUCGAAAGCUAGCCAUUGUAAAUUGUGUUUUAUCAAGGAAAUAUGUGAAUUUAUCUAAGGACACCAGCACAUGCUGAAUUACAAUGCAACUGGCAAGCCUGACAAUGUCCAGGUUCAUAAAACAGAAGUGAUGAUACUCAUUAAUAUAACUAUUGUGUGAGAUACAAUUUUCUAAUGAAAAAAAUGGCAUUUGGGAGAAUACUGGGAGUGACUAACCUUGUUCGCAGCAUUCAAGUAAUAGAAUGCACAUGAUUAGUGAUCUGGUGAGGCCGCUGCCCCUUCAGCUACAAGCUGAGCCACUGCUCCUCUUCUGAUUGCAACUGUCGUGGAUGAGAAUGUCAGGAUGCAACACGCUGGGGUCACUCCUCUUGUCCGCCUUUCGCAUGCUCGUCUCCGGAAUGGGGUAGAGAGGUCCGCCUCUGCAUGUUGGCCACCGGAUCAAAGCCGCCUGUACCAGAUCUGACGGCGUUAUUGCCAUGGGAAAAGUCAAGGAAAAUUGAGUUCUAAAGUCUAAUAGAAAGCAAAUACACUAAUUACCAUUGCUAACUCCUGGAUAUAUGCCACCAGUAGUAAUAGUUGGAACACCAGCAGCUUUUGCUUGCUCAUGGAGGCCUUCUGCUCCUCAAAGAAUAGUCCGUGUCAUCGCAGACAUCAAUAUAUGGUGUCUGUUCAGGAUAAAGUUUCAAAUGUGCCAACACCAUUUUCAGUUAAGCAGCUCACCGCCCCCCAAAAAAUGCAAUCGAGACUGAAGCUUGGCGCGCUUCUGUUCUACCUUAGUAGAUAUUGCUGCCUGCAACACGGUGCACUCCUCCGCCCUCUGGAAAGGGCCAGCAGUAUGGACAACCAAAUCCACACCUGUCGCAAGAGAAAAUUUCCAAGUACUUAUGUUAAGCUUCUCCUAGAGCAAAAGUAAAAAACAUCUGUUUUUACUGCUUAUUAGGGGGCUCAAACAUCAUGAGUUAGCUAGCAACUUGGGCUUUGGAGCCUUGCGAGAGCCUUUGCUGCUAAUGUGAAGCUGUACCACCAAUUAACAUGCUCUAGCUUGCUCUAGGCAGUAGUCAUGGCAUAAUAAGCAGGAUACAUAUUCAUAGUUGUACUGCAUGUUGGCGUAAUCACUGGUGGCAGGGACUGUCAGCUGGGGCCAAACUGAAGAAGCGGGAAAGCUCAGAAUUCAAAUGGAGUCACUUGCAGUCAAGGCCAGCAGGGUGACCGUGCCCAGGGAGCGUGGGCGACGUCGUGCGCGGCGUCAGUUAUCCAGUGUGAGUCUUUAGGCGUCGAGUGGAGUUAGUUUUUUUAUUCUCUGUAGGGGGUGUGUUAAGUGACUGCGGUGAGUAGCACAUUAUCUGUAACCUCUAUUUUGCACUGUUAUUCUCUAUCAGAGUAAAAUAGCUCUGCCCUCCGACAGUUUUCGGGGUCAGGGUCCAAAUUUCGUGUGUUCUUGUGUGUUCUUCGAUCUAGCCAGUGAGAAAUCUGUGUUUGUGAUUGAUCCUGAGUCUACACGUGGUAUCAGAGCCGAUCACAAGCCAGUGCGUUGAGUGCGUGCGUUGUAUUGAGUUCAUCGUGAUGGUGGAGACCGGAUCGAGUGGAGGUGCGGGUGGCGGCGGACAUGGUGAUCGCGGGACGUACCACUACCCGCAGUUGACGUCGACCAACUACACGAGCUGGAGCAUCCGGGUUCAGGCCAUCAUGGAGGAUCAAGGCAUCUGGGAGGUGGUGGAACCUCCGGAAGGGACGACAACGGUGCAGACGGCGAAGCAGUCCGGCAAGGACAAGACGGCGCGGGCACAUUUGUUGUAGUGCCUUCCCGAUGAUCUGCUGAUGCAGGUGGCGAAGAAGAAGACUGGAAAGGAGGUUUGGGAGUGCUUGAAGUCAAGAUUUGUCGGUGCAGAUCGUGUGCGUGACGCACGGUUGCAGACGCUCAAGAGCGAAUUCGAUGCUCUGAGGAUGAGGGAGGACGAGUCGAUCGAUUCCUAUGCUGGGAAACUGACGGCCAUGUCGGUGAGGUACAGCAAUUUCGGGGGAACAUUGGAUGAUGUGGCGUUGGUGAAGAAGAUGUUUGACACCGUGCCGGAGAGGUUCAUUCAAGUUAUUGCCGGGAUCGAACAGUUCUACGAUCUCAAGAAUUUGGUGUUCGAGGAAGCAGUUGGGCGUUUGAAGGCAUUCGAAGAGAGAAUUCGGCCGAGAGCCGGGAAAUCCUUGACAGAUGAGAAGCAAGUCCUACUCACUCAGGCAGAGUGGGAGGAGAGACAGCGGAAGGCUGGUGGUGACUCGUCGGGAAGAGGAAGGUCAUCGGAAGCUAGACGCGGAAGAGGCCGAGGCCGGGGGAGAGGCCAAGGCGGAGGUCGUGGCAACGGGCAAGACCGUGAUGGAGGCAGUGAAGCUGGCAAGAAGGAUAAAAGCCAUAUCAAAUGUUUCAAAUGCAAAGGGUAUGGUCACUAUGCCAACCGAUGUCCGGGUGGUGAGAACAAAGAGGAGGCGGCACAUCACGCGCGCGCUGAGAUCGAGCGUACGCUGGGGUUGAUGUAUGCUGUCGCCAAGGUGGAGCAAGAAAAGGAGUCCAGGGAGCCAGUCCAGCAAUGUCAGAUUGGGAGGCGGGGAGCUGUGAAUCUGACAGAGGAGAAGGUGAAGCCGGAGCUGCACUUGACCGGGGGAGGGGAAUCCACCGGAGAUAGCUGGUAUCUGGACAACGGUGCUAGCAAUCACAUGACCGGCGACCCUGGCAAGUUCAUGGAGCUAGAUGGGGGAGUCACCGGGAAUGUGAAGUUUGGAGAUGGCGCGGCAGUGCAGAUUGAAGGGAAGGGUUCCAUCUUGUUCAAGUGCAGAGAUGGUGCUCAUUGGUUGCUCCGAGAUGUCUACUACAUCCCCAAGCUCAAGAGCAAUUUGGUGAGCCUAGGUCAGCUCACUGAAUUUGGCUGUAAGGUGGAGAUGGAUGAUGAUGUCCUCGAGGUGUUCGAGAAAAAUCCCAGGAGACUGCUACUGAAAGUUCAGAGAUCCUCAAACAAACUGUAUCGAGUUGAUCUGAAGCUUGCAGACUCUGAAUGUUUGAUGGGCAGUGUGGAGGAGCUAGAGUGGCUCUGGCAUGGUCGGCUAGGCCAUGUCAAUUUCAGAACAUUGAAAAUGGUUGGGGACAGGGAGAUGGUAGGAGGAGUGCCUGUGAUCAGUCAGCCUGACAAGUUGUGUCAUCCAUGUCUGGCAGGGAAACAGACACGACAACCAUUUCCAAAAGCCACAAAUUUCAGAGCUCAGCAGGCAUUGGAGGUGAUCCAUGUUGAUUUCUGUGGACCAAUCACUCCAUCAACAGUGGCUGGUAAUAAGUAUUUCAUACUGUUUGUCGAUGAUCAUACUAGAUACAUGCAUGUUUAUAUGCUGAAGAGUAAGGAUCAGGCCACUGCUGCAUUAGUGAAGUAUAAAGCUGAAGUAGAGAAUGCAGUACAGAAAAAGAUCAAGUGUAUUCGUUCAGAUCGUGGGGGGAGUUUCUGUCAGCAGCUUUUGCAGGGAUAUGUGAAGCAGCUGGGAUCAGAAGACAACUCACUGUUCCAUACACACCACAACAGAAUGGUGUGGUGGAGAGAAGGAAUAGAACUGUGGUUGAGAUGGCUAGGACCAUGAUGAAGAGUAUGAAAAUUCCAGGGAGAUACUGGGGAGAAGCAGUUAGGCAUGUUGUCUAUUUGUUGAAUAGAUUGCCUACAAGAGCUGUGUUGGAGAAAACACCAUUUGAGAUGUGGGUGGGAAGAAGACCACAUCUGGGACACCGGAAGGUUUUUGGGUGUUUGGCUCACAUGAAGGUGACUGUUCCUCAUCUUAAAAAACUUUCAGAUAGAAGUCAGAAGACAAUCUAUCUAGGUGUGGAAGAGGGCUCAAAGGCACAUAGACUACUUGAUCCUCUGCAGAACAAGGUGUUGGUGAGCAGAGAUGUGAAGUUUGAGGAAGAUGUGUCAUGGAGCUGGGAACAGGGAAAUGUGAGGAUGGAAGAGUUCUAUGUGGAAGUAAUGAUACUGCAGUUCCUACAAAUUUGGGGGAACCAAGUGGUGCAGGGGAGAUGCCUGUAGAAGUAGGAGCAGAAGCAGUAGAAGAAGGUAGUGUUGGGGCUGGAGGUGAUCAUAUGUAGUCAACACAGGGUGAAAACUCACCACAGCAAAGUGAAGCUUUGCCACACUCAGAGGGUUCAGGUGGUGUAACUGAACCUGCUUCAGCACAAGGCUCAGGUCUGAUACAAAAUUCACCAGAGGGAUCAGGUGGGCAAGGGGAUGAUAGUUCAAAUGAAGAACCAGGAAGAUUCAGAGAUCUGAAUGACAUCUAUGAUCACACUGAUGUGGUUGAACUGCAGUAUGAUUCUGAUGGUGAAGCUUUGUUAGCAGAACUUGAAGAGCCAGCAAAAUAUGUUGAGGCUGCUGGGAAGCCAGAUUGGGAGGAAGCUAUGGACAAAGAAAUAGAGUCUAUUGAGAAGAAUGGAACUUGGGAAUUGUCAAAGCUACCAGCAGGGCAGAAAGCUAUUGGUCUCAAGUGGGUAUUUAAGCUGAAGAAGAAUGCUGAAGGUGAAGUUGUAAAACAUAAAGCUAGACUUGUAGCCAAGGGGUAUGUUCAAAAGAAAGGUGUGGAUUACGAGGAAGUGUUUGCUCCAGUAGCUAGAAUUGAUACUGUGAAGUUCAUUUUAGCAUUAGCAGCAAACAGGGGUUGGCAGAUCCAUCACUUGGAUGUUAAGUCUGCAUUUUUGCAUGGAGUUUUGGAGGAAGAAGUGUAUGUCCAACAACCUGAAGGUUAUGUAGUAAAGGGAAAAGAGGAUUAUGUUCUCAGGUUGAACAAGGCAUUAUAUGGCCUCAAUGGAACAUGAGACUUGACAGAAGUUUGAAGAAGCUUGGUUUCAAGAGAUGUUUGAGUGAGCAGGCUGUUUACACAAGGGGGUCUGGGAAAGACAGUGUACUUCUUGGUGUGUAUGUAGAUGAUCUCAUUGUGACAGGAAAUGAUCCAACAGAGAUUAUCAAAUUCAAACAGCAGAUGACUGGGGAAUUUGAGAUGAGUGAUCUUGGCCUUCUGUCCUAUUACCUGGGAAUAGAAGUAGAUCAGAAGGAUGAGUAUCUGACUAUAAAGCAGACUGGGUAUGCCAAGAAAGUGUUAGAGCAAUUUGGUAUGGGGGAGUGCAAUGCUACUAAGUAUCCUAUGGAACCUGGGUUGAAGUUGCAUGAGGACAAGCAAGGAGAAAGAGUGGAUGCAACAAACUACAGGAAAAUGAUAGGAUGCUUAAGGUAUCUGUUACAUACCAGACCUGACUUGGCUUACUCAGUUGGAGUAGCAAGUAGAUUCAUGGAGAAGCCUACAGUGCUACAUGUGAAGGCAGUAAAGCAGAUACUGAGAUAUCUCAAGGGAACAACUGAACUUGGGUUAGUGUAUACCCAGGAGAGGAAGAUGGAAGCAAUCACUGGAUUUUCACACAGUGAUCAUGGGGCUGAUGUUGUUGGGAGAAAGAGCACAGGAGGGAUGGCAUUCAAUCUGAAUGAUAGUCUGAUCUCGUGGUGUUCUCAGAAACAGAAAACAGUGUCCCUUUCUUCCUGUGAAUCUGAAUUUAUGGCUGCCACUGCAGCAGCAAGACAAGCUCUAUGGUUGAGGAACUUGUUGUCAGAAAUAACAGGAAAGGAGCAACAGGUGGUGACCUUGUAUGUUGACAACAAUUCAGCCAUAGCACUCAUGAAGAAUCCUGUCUUUCAUGGAAGAAGCAAGCACAUUGAUAUAAAGUACCAUUUUAUCAGAGAAUGUGUGGAGCGGGGACAGAUAGCAGUGCGGAGGGUGUGUACUGAUCUGCAGAAAGCAGAUGCACUGACUAAGCCACUGUCAGCAAUCAAGCUGGCAACCAUGAGGCAUUUGAUGGGGGUUCGAGAUCUUAGCUCCCACCAGGAUUAGGGGGGAGAGUGUUGGCGUAAUCACUGGUGGCAGGGACUGUCAGCUGGGGCCAAACUGAAGAAGCGAGAAAGCUCAUAAUUCAAAUGGAGUCAGUUGCAGUCAAGGCCAGCGGGGUGACCGUGCCCAGGGAGCGUGGGCGACGUCGUGCGCGGCGUCAGUUAUCCAGUGUGAGUCUUUAGGCGUCGAGUGGAGUUAGUUUUUUUAUUCUCUGUAGGGGGUGUGUUAAGUGACUGCGGUGAGCAGCACAUUAUCUGUAACCUCUAUUUUGCACUGUUAUUCUCUAUCAGAGUAAAAUAGCUCUGCCCUCCGACAGUUUUCGGGGUCAGGGUCCAAAUUUCGUGUGUUCUUGUGUGUUCUUCGAUCUAGCCAGUGAGAAAUCUGUGUUUGUGAUUGAUCCUGAGUCUACACUGCAUUAUUGAAUACUGAUACUGACCCUGCAGCGCUUCCUCCAGCAUGCCUGUGUCGCGGGUGUCGACCUGGACAAACUCAGACCGGCUCCCAAGCUUAGCUGCAACGGACUCGCCUUUCUCUCUGGCAAAUCAAACCAAAUUGAACCAAGCACCACCUGUAAGUUGCAUAGAUUCUGCAUAGAUUCAGCCUGAACACAAAAGGUCACUAACGAGGUGAGGUCCUACCAGUUCCUGCCUCCGAUGAGAAUGUCGAGGUCGGGGCGGAGCUCGGAGAGCGUGGUGGCCGUGGAUCCCCCGACGCGUCCUGUGCUGCCUAGCACGAGCACGUGGGCAGUCCUCGAGGUCUUGCUCCUCCACUGGGCCUGGGUAGCCUCCCUGGAGCCGGAGGGAGCUGCCGUGGCGGGAGCUGGAGGCACGCAUGCUCUGACGACGAUGCCCAUGGCGCCCAAUCCCUAUACGGCCAGUGCCGCGGCGCGUGCGAGGUGGGCAGGCUUAUCGUCUAGCUAGCGCCUAGGCCACGCCCUGGCCACAGAACGAGUGUCGCGCCACCGCCGUGAGGAUGUGUCGGAUGCCUGGGAAAAGUCUAAAAUCAUGGGAACCGCUGGAUCGUGACGGGCCUAGGGAAGGAAGCUGGGGAGUGUGGAAAGCCUCCGCCUACACCAAUCCCCUGAUCUGCAAUUUGCAGCAACACGCCGGGCACCAUCUCCAUGGAUUUGAACGCCACUGGCUAGGAUGGAGGGGGUGCGUGACUGCGUGCGCUACUUCUGCCCGGGAGGGGACCGAGCGCUCCGACCAGCCAUGCGGUGGCACCUCAACUGAUAUUCUUGCCCCCGCGUCGAGAUCCCAUCGAGGAUCCAUGCCACCGUCGAGCGCGAACAGCAGGCACGCGCGGCCACCGGCGAGAGCGGGAGGGGAUCCCGAGCGCAUGCUACGGCGUUGGGCGUCAGGGGAUCGACGCGUGAGGGAGGAGAGAUCUUGCUACCGCGUUGGGCGGGAUGGGAACGGAGGUGAUGGCGGCGUGGAUCCGAGAAAUCCGCGAGGGCGAGGAUUGGGGAUGGGAGCUG
rnacentral:lncRNA from 1 species